rnacentral:lncRNA from 1 species
AUCAAUUACAUGCCAUUCAUGCAGAAGUGGGGUCGGAUGAUGAUGCAGCCCUCUUCUUGGCGAAGUAUUCCUCAGCUCGAGCAAGGUUCUUUGCAACUGAAGGCUUAACCCACUUCUUGCGCCCAGGCAGUACAGUGAGAGAGCAACUGGCAGCCUCAAGCUUUUCCUUUGCAGAUGCUUAAAGGGCACGGGCCUUCAUGUUCAGCUUUACCUUCAGCUCCCCGUCACCGAGAAUCUAAAUCAACACGAUUAUUGCAAUUACAAUUCUCUCAGUCUUUGCAUGAGAGAACUGAUUAAGAAGGUAGAAUUCCAUUGUUAUUACAAAUACAAUUCCAUUGUUAUUUCCAUUAAUAAUUAAGCAGGUCGGGAUUAAUGCUUCAUGCAUGAGAGAAACACAAUUUCCUACUCAAGUUGUUCUCCAGAACAAGUAGCAUUGGGGUCAUUAUACUUAAACAAAGUCUGGAAGGGGCUCUGUUAUAAUAAAAAUCCAAGAGCAUAUUCACCUUCAAAGGGAGUUUCCUCUCUCUUCCUUAAGGGUUGAUCAAACCCUUCUCCUUUAAAGUCUCCAACGACACCUCAUCUCCGUCUUGAAAUCCAGCUGUUUCGAUGUCUUUUAAGUUAACCGCUAUGUAUUUUGGUAAUCCCGCAUGCAUACCUUGCAAUGUCAAAUGAAAAUAGCUUUAAUUUAAACACUAAGUUAUUAUAGAAAAAAUUAAUAAAACAAUAAUAAUAAGUAAAAUAGGGGAGAAUUUUUAUUAUUUAAUUUUCACUUACAAUGUGCUAUUUAUAAGCUUCUUUACAUUCAAUUAAUAAAUGUAUUACAUUCAAUCAAUAAAUGUGAAUUAAGUUUUCUUAAUUACUCUAUUUAAUCAUCUCAUGGUUAUAAAUGAAGUAAAGAGUUUUAUCUCAUUACUUUAAUAAAUGUAUAAAUGGAUUAUAGACAUCCAUUUAAUGUAUUUACAACACUUCUCCUUGGAUGUCUUUUAACUAAAAAUGUGACUCAUUAAAACCUUUACUAGAAAAAACCUUGCGGGAUAAAAAACCUAAUUAAGGAAAAAGAGUGCACAAUCUCCUAUUACAAUUUGUCUCAUUAAAAACCUUUACUAGGAAAAUCCAGUGGGACAAAACCUUGGUUAAAAGAAAAGAGUACAACGUGUUUUAAACUCUCCCUAAUGGCAACAUCACAUUAUAUAUUUGAGUCGAUGCAUUCCAAUCUUGUCUCGUAGUCUUUCAAAUGUUGAAGUUGACAAUGUAUUGGUAAAAAGAUCUGAUAAAUCAUCACUAGAGCGAAUUCGUUGAACUUUUAUGUCACAUUUCUUCUCAAGAUCAUGAGUGAAGAACAAUUUUGGUGAAAUAUGUUUCGCUCUGUCACCUUUGAUGUAACCACCCUUCAAUUGGGCUAUACAUGCUGCAUUAUCUUCGUAUAAGAUAGUUAGCAUCUUUUCCUAUAAAGGCAAAUUACAUAUCUUUUAGAUAUGUUGGGUUAAUAACCUUAGUCAAACACACUCUCGGUUUGUCUCAUGCAUUGCAAUUAUUUCAGCAUGAUUUGAAGAGGCAGCAGCUAAUGUCUGCUUUGUUGAACGUCAUGAUAUGACAGUACCUCCACAUGUAAAUAAAUAUCCUGUUUGAGAUCGACCUUUAUGUGGAUUCAAUAAAUAUCCAGCAUUAGCAUAGCCGGCUAAUUGUAACGCCCCAAGAAUUUAAUAGUUUAAUUGGGAGAAUCUACAAUAACUAAAAUUUGGUAUAUGUGGUUUUGUGCUCUACUUUUGCGUUUAAGGUUGGUAGUUCGAGUUGCAUUGUUAAAAGUUUUGUUAUUUUUUAAAACAACAUUUAUCCAUGUGUUAUGUAGUUAAGUGCAAUUCUAGGUAAAUCGGUGUCAAGAAUGAGCCUGUUGGUUCACUGGUUAAGGAUCUGUCUAUAUUCUGUCUAGUUCCUAGUUCAAGUCCCAUCGUGUGCGUUAGGAAAUAUAUUUUUGCAAAUGCCGAAAAGUGGGAUGGUGGUUAAUUUAAAACAUUCUGAAGAGUUCUAUCGUCCUUUUCUUUUUUCUUUUUUUAAAUUUUAGUUCAUUGCUUUCUUGUUCUUCUUUUCUUUUAUUUUUCUUCUUACUACAAUUGAUUUUACGUGAAAUGGGAAUUCUUACGUGAAUUGGGAAUUCUUUGUUGCCUGUGAGGUUAAUAUUAUGUAAGUUCCAUUGUUAUUCCAUUUCAUUUUGCGAAUUCUGUUGUGUUAACACUAUUCUGUCGAAACGAGAUUUUGCUCGUUUGCUUGACAUUCUGUUAAACACUCGAUUGGUUACUUUUUAGGUGAGGAUAUUACAAGAGACGUGACUUCGUCGUGUUAGUCUGAUUCCUUCUGUUUCGUAGAAGGUAAGUAUGCGAUUUGAGUUGGGGUUGCGUCGAAAUUUUCGACAUGAUCUUGUCAGUAGGUGAUUUUAGUGAAAUCUUGAAAAUGAGGGUGUAAUUGAUUAUUGAAUGGUUAAUUAGGUUCUAGGUAGUCUUCACAUUGUUUUCUUUGGUCAAACGAAACUAGGUGCGUAUCAAAAACCUUAAUUUUUGUAAGUUUCGAUCAUCGAAAAUGGUGGAUGUCGACGCCACACGGCCAGGCACAUGGGCGCAUGUCCAGGCCAUAUGGUUGGCAGUGUAACUAACUGUUUAUCAAUUUGGGGCAACACGGGCAGGGACACGGGCGUGUGUCUAGGCCGUGUGUGGCCAUAUUAGUGUAGGGUUCACACAGGUAGCGGACACGGGCGUGUGUUAGGGCCGUGUAACUCACUAUUUAUGGAAUAAAACCACACGGCCAGGGACACGACGUGUACCUAGGCUGUGUAAGUCACACUGCCAAGAAGAAGGACGUGUGUCCAAGUCGUAUAACUCACUGUUUAUGCUUUGAAACCACACGAGCAAGGCACAUGGGCAUGUGACCAAGCCGUAUGGCAUGUUAUUGGGGCCCAAACCUUUUUUCGAGGCCGUGAAUGUUAUUUAACACUGAUACUAGUAUUCUUGUUGUAUGAAUUUGAUUAUAUGGGAACAAUCUUAUAUUUUGAGACUGAAGUGGAAAUAACAUAGUUGUAUAAAUAUUAAUAUACUUAUUCUGGAAAUGAACUGUCUUAUCUAUUUGUGAAAUAAACUAGAAUGAUUGAAUAUAUUAUACAGGUAAUUGUGCUCUGCAUUUGCAUGGAUAGGGAUAUUGUGAAGAAGGAAGUAGUCUGUUCUGAAUCAGUGGUUAUGCCACUAUACGUAUAAAUAUGAUUCUAGCGAUUUGUCGUAAUCUGGUCUAGCAAAUAUGCUGCGUAUCUGUAAAGUGUCAAACGGACACUCUAAGGUGUGCAGGGUUAGUUUGGCAUUGAAUGUCCUUAACAGUGUGUUGGGAUGGCCGAAGACGAUGCGUAGCGGAUGGGGGUAGAAAUAUUGCAUCUAAAUCUGAUAUGUAUUAUAUAUGAAACCAGAAUUGCGUAUAUGUAUGUGUAACUAACCUACUCUGAAUCUGAACUGAAAUUACUUUUGUGUUGAACCGAAUCUCUGAAUUCAGCACUAUCUUAUAAGUGAGCAUUUAUUGAAAAAACUUCUUUUACGCACUGAGUUCAUAACUCAUUCUGUCAUUGCUUGGAUUUCAAGUGGUUUGUAGACUUGAACGGGUCGGUGUUGUGGGAGCUCGGUCGAGCCAUUAGCUUUCUAUAAAAUAUUUCGGUAAGAGUUUCGAUAAACUAGAAUCGUAUGACUUUGGAAGAUUAUAUACUUAACUAAUCUUUGUGUUGAAUUUUAUGUGAAUCAUGGUUUGGUAUUAUUGUGUUUUGCAUAGUAUUUGAGUAUUCAUAAUGUAACUCUCUAAACUUGGACUGGACGGCUAAGCUAGGUCUAGGGUGUUACAUUUAGUGGUAUCAGAGCCAAGCUAGUCAACACUCGGACUAUGUUUGGGCUCAUAAUGUGUGAGAAAAGUAGCUUAGUGAUAAUUUAGUAUCUAAAUUAAUAUAGAAACACUGAAACUUUAGUGAACGACCAAGCCUCCGACGUUGACCCUGUAAGUAUUUCGAUUCUAUUAUAAAGAUUAUAAUACUUAAACUGUUGUGGGUAAAAUGUUUUGAUGUGAACUGGUAAAAUCAUCCUCUUGAAUGUCUAAACUAAUUUGUGUACUCUGACAUUGUAGCUAGAUUGCCAUAAUAAGUUCGCACGGUAGUCAUGAACAUGGUAUGCUGGGGCGUCGAGCAUAUCGAGGAGGAGCUCAAGCAGAGUCAUCCUUUACGGGUAGUAUGCCCAACCUGGAGACCAGCGAGACUGUUGGUACUCCCACUGGUAAGGCAGAGUCCCAAACUUCGAUGGUUGGGGACGACGCACUACCCCAAGCCAUGAUUCGAGCACUGAAGAGGGUCGUAGGGACCCAUUCGAGAUCGAGAUGGCUAGGGUUAGUUACUGGAUAACUCCGAUCGAAUUAGGCUAAUUAUUUAGGGGCAUCAUAGAAGUCGCUUCCACUAUUGCUGAAUAUUGGCUCGAGGCCACUGAGCAUAUUAUGACAGAUCUUGACUGUACUUCUACUCAAAAAUUGAGGGAUGCUUUGUCCCUAUUCCAGGACGAAGCUUAUCAGUGGUGGUUGAUAGUUGAGCAAGGUGUUCAGCUUGAACAGGUGAACUGAGACUAUUUCAAGAACACCUUCUAAGGUAAGUAUGUGAGGGCAAAUUAUGUUGAGGCUCACCGAUAUGAGUUCAUGAGCCUAGUUCAAGGCGACCGAUCGGUGGCCAAAUAGGAAGUCGAGUUUUUACGACUGAGUAGGUAUGUAUGGACUCUAGUAGCGUCUAAUUAUGAAAAGUGUUUAAAGUUUGAGGGGUGCUGUUUCCUUAUUUCGGGACGAAGCUUAUCAGUGGUGGUUGACAGUUGAACAAAGUGUUCAUCCUGAACAGGUGAACUGGGACUAUUUCAAGAACACAUUCCAAGGUUAGUAUGUGAGGGCAAAUUAUGUUGAAGCUCACCAAUACGAGUUCAUGAGCCUAGUUCAGGGCAACCGAUCGGUGGCCAAAUAUGAAGCCAAGUUUUUACAACUAAGUAGGUAUGCAUGGACUCUAGUAGCGUCUGAUUACGAUAAGUGUGUGAGGUUUGAGGGAUUAAGAUAUGAUCUGCAAGUUUUGAUAGCUCCUCAGAGGGAGCGAAUUUUUGCUGUUCUAGUUAACAAAGAAAAAAUAGUGGAAGAACUGAAGCGUACUAAGCGUAAGUGGCGUGAUCGUGAGAAGGAUCAGAAUAAGAUUAAGAAGGAUUCGAGUCCCUCUGGUUGUAGUCAGCGUCUUAAAAAGCGGACGACAUUUGAUAGGCCCCCGAGGGCCGAUGCACCAGUUGUAGUGACUGAGAUUCAACUGUGUAGUGAUUGUGGGAACUGCCAUCCGAGCGAGUGCUAGAGGAAGUUAGGAGUAUGCAUCCAUUGCGGUUCAAUGGAGCAUCGAGUUAGGGAUUGCCCCCGUUGACCAGAUCUAGUGUUAGCUACGGCACGGGCUCUGGCUCCAAAUUAUGUUUGGCCUCCAAAAGAGGUUCAGCAACCAUUCAGAGGUUGUGGUACUGAUAGGGGUGGUAAUAGAUCUGGGAGAGGACAAAGAGCAUCGGGUAGAGGUGUAGGUCAGGCUAAGGCUUGUCAGCCGGCACUAGUUUAUGCAGCAAGAUUCCGUGAGGAGAGCAAUGAUGCUAAUGUCAUUGCAGGUACCUUCUUUAUUCAUUCUGUUCCGUAUUAUGCUCUCAUUUAUAUAGGCUCUACUCAUUCGUACAUAGCUAGUGUUAUUUCUGUAAAUCUGGGUUUAACCGCUCAGAAUACUCCUAGAGAGUUUUCUGUAAUCAGUCCUUUGGGUCAGUCAAUUUGAGUUGAUAGGGUAUACAAGCGGGUACCCCUUGAGUUCCAGGGUAUAGUAUUUCCAGUUGAUUUAAUGGAAUUUCCUUUUAAUGAGUUUGAUUUAAUUUUGGGAAUAGAUUGUCUCAUUGAGUAUCUGGUCAGUCUAGAGUGUACAACUAAGAGAGUUACUCUGCAAUCGAAUGAGAAUGACAAGAUGGUCAUGGUUGGUGAGCGACGGGAUUACCUCUCUAAUUUAAUCUCCACUGUUGUAGCAGAAAAGUUAGCUCAAAAAGAGUGUGAGGCAUACCUUGCUUACGUCUUCGAUUAUAUUUUUGCAAAACAUUCGGUGGGGGAUAUUCGUACUGUGAAAGAGUUCCCAGAUGUAUUUCUAGAGGAAUUGCCAAGAGUACCUCCUGAUAGAGAGAUCGAGUUUGGAAUUGUUCUAUUACCAGGUACUGCUCCAGUGUCCAUUGCGCCUUACUGCAUGGCACCGAAAGAGCUGACUGAGUUAAAAGCGUAGCUUCAAAAACUCCUUGAUAGAGGAUUUAUUCGACCAAGUGUGUCUCUAUGGGGGCACCAGUAUUGCUUGUUAAGAAGAAAGACGGGUCGAUGAGAAUGUGCAUAGAUUAUAGACAGUUGAACAAGUUGACAAUCAAUAAUAAGUACCCGUUAUUGAGGAUCGAUAACUUUUUCGACUAGUUUCAAAAAGCAUCUGUCUUUUCUAAAAUUGAUCUACGAUCUGGUUACCAUCAGCUCAAGGUCAAGGAGACUGAUGUGUACAAAACUACCUUCAAGACUCGUUACAGACAUUACGAGUUCCUGGUAAUGCCUUUUGGUUUAACGAAUGCCCCGACAGCGUUUAUGGAUUUAAUGAAUCGAGUGUUUCAAUCAUACUUGGAUCAAUUUGUAGUGGUUUUUAUUGAUGAUAUCCUGAUCUACACUAAAACUGAAACUGAGCAUGAUGAUCAUCUUCAUAUUGUGCUUUAGAUACUCUAAGAAAAAUAGUUGUAUGCCAAGUUCAGUAAGUGCAAGUUUUGGUUACAGGAAGUCACUUUUCUAGGUCAUGUAGUGACGGUGGAGGGGAUCCGAGUUGAUGCCAAGAAGAUAGCAGCUAUUGUUGAGUGGAAACAACUGAAAAAUAUAUAUGAGCUUUAUAGCUUCUUAGGUUUAGUCGGUUACUAUUGAAGGUUCAUCGAAAGAUUUUCUCUGAUUACGUCUCCUCUAACGAAACUGUUCCGUAAGAAUGCUCCAUUCGUGUGGCCUGGGGCACAAUAGUCUAGUUUCGAUAAGCUCAAGUCUGUUCUGGCACAGGCUCCUGUGUUAGUUCAACCGAAAUCGGGUCGGGAGUUUGUAGUAUACAGUGAUGCUUCACAUGUUGGGUUAGGAUGUGUGCUUAUGCAAUACGGUAAGAUGGUCGUUUAUGCGUCACGAUAGCUUAAAAUAAAUAAGGGUAACUACCCUACACACGAUCUUGAGUUAGCUGCGGUUGUGUUUGCUUUGAAAAUCGGGAGAUACUAUCUGUAUGGUGAAAUGUGUAUUAUAUAUACUGAUCACAAGAGUCUCAAAUAUUUGCUAACCCAAAAAGAAUUAAAUCUUCGGUAGCGUCGAUGGGUUGAAUUACUUAAAGAUUAUGAUUGCACAAUAGAGUACCAUCCGGGUAAGGCUAAUAUGGUAGCUGGCGCCCUUAGCCAUAGAGCCAUGACUGAUUUGAGAGUAAUGUUAGCUUGUUUGAGUUUGGUCAAGGAUAGAAGGCUGUUGACUGAAUUAUAGGUAAAACCGAUUUGGGUGGAGUAGAUUAGCGCUAAACAGUUGAGCGAUGAGUCCUUAGUUUGGCAUCUAUAACAUGUUUGUUCGAACGAGACUUCUAAUUUUAGCUUGAACAACAACAACUUGUUGUGCUUUAAAGGUUAGAUCUGUGUACUUAAUGACAGAGAGUUGAGGCAUUCAAUCCUUUAGGAGGCGCAUAGUAGUCCCUAUGCUAUGCAUCUUGGUGCGAACAAAAUGUAUCGGGAUCUCUAAGAACUCUACUGGUGGCCCGAACUGAAAUAGGAGAUAGUCGCUUUUGUGUUCCACUGUUUGACAUACGAAAAGGUUAAGGCGGAACAUUAGCUGCCAUCCAGGUUGCUUGAACUAGUUAAAAUUCCUUAGUGGAAAUGGGAGAAAAUAAUGAUGAAUUUUGUUAGUGGGUUGCCUUUGACCCCUACUAAGAAAGAUUCAAUUUGGGUCAUCGUUGAUCGAUUGACCAAAUCAGCCCACUUCAUACCAAUCCAGACAGAUUACUCCUUAUAGAAGUUGGCUAAACUGUACAUCACCAAAAUUGUGAGGCUACACGAAAUUCUGAUCUCAAUCAUCUCUGAAAGAGAUUUGCGAUUUAUGUCUCGGUUCUAGAAGAAACUCCAUGAGGCUUUAGGCACUUAACUUAAUUUCAGGACUGCGUACCACCCUCAGACCGACGGACAGUCGAAGCGAGUCAUUCAGAUCCUAGCGUUGGGGUUGUGUGUUAGACUUCAUUGGUAGUUGGGAGGAGUAACUAGCAUUGGCAGAGUUCGCAUAUAAUAACAGCUUCCUGUCUAGUAUUCAAAUGGCACCAUACGGAGCUUUGUAUGGUCAUAGGUGCCGUACUCCGUUAUAUGGGACAGAAAUAAGCGAACGUCGACUUCUGGGUCUUGAGUUAGUUUCUAAAACUGAAAACACUAUGAAAGUAAUUUGGGACCAUCUAAAAGCCACAUCUAAUCAACAGAAGUCUUAUGUUGAUUUAAAAAAAGAAAGACAUCGAGUUUUCUAUCGGUGAAUAAGUUUUCUUGAGAGUAUCACCGUGGAAAAAGGUACUCCGAUUUGGAUGCAAGGGCAAGAUAAGCCCAAGGUUCAUUGGGCCUUACCAAAUCUUGAAGCGUGUCGGACCUGUUGCUUACCAAUUAGAAUUACCAUCGGAGCUGGAUCGGAUUCAUGACAUGUUUCAUGUCUCGAUGUUGAGAUGGUAUCUGUUAGAUUCGUUGCAUAUUGUUCCUAUCGACGAGAUCGAGUUGCGAUCGGAUUUAACAUUCGAGGAGGAACCUGUCCAGAUUUUGGAACGUGAUGUUAAGGUACUGAGGAAGAAAAAUGUUCCUCUAGUGAAAGUUUUAUGGCGGAACCACGGUAUUGAGGAAGCCACGUGGGAACUUGAAGAAGCGAUCUGACGACUGUAUCUGUAUCUGUUUGAGUCAAGUAAAAUUUUAAGGCCGAAAUUUCUUUUAGGGGGAGAGAGUUGUAAUGCCCCAAAAAUUUAAAAGUUUAAUUGUGAGAAUCUGCAUUAAUUAAAAUUCUGUAUCUGUGGUUUUGUGUUCUGCUUUUGUGUUUAAGGUCGGGAGUUCGAGUUGCAUUGUUAAAAGUUUUGUUAUUUUUUAAAACAACUUUUAUCCAUGUGUUAUGUAGUUUAGUGCAAUUCUGGGUAAAUCGGUGUCUAGAAUGAGCCUGCUGGUUCACUGGUUAAGCAUCUGUCUAUAUUCUGUCUAGUUCCGAGUUCAAGUCCCAUCAUGUGUGUUAGGAAAUUUAUUUUUGCAAAUGCCGAAAGGUGGGAUAGGUUAAUUUAAAACAUUUUGAAGAGUUCCUUGUUUUCCUGUUUUUUUUCUUUUUCUAAAUUUUAGUUCCUUAUUUUCCUAUUCUUUUUUUCUUUUGUUUUCUUUUUCUUCUUACUCCAAUUGAUUGUGCAUGAACGGGGAAUUCUUCAUUGCCUGUGAGGUUGAUAUUGUGUAAGUUUCGUUGUUAUUCCUUUUCAUUUUGCGAAUUCUGUUAUGUUAACACUAUUCUGUCGAAACGAGAUUUUGCUCGUUUGCUUGACGUUCUGUUAAACACUCGAUUGGUUACUUUUUAGGGAAGAAUAUUAGAAGAGAUGUGACUUCACCAUGUUAGUCUGAUUCCUUCUGUUUCGCACAAUAUAAGUUUGUGAUUUGAGUUGGGGUUGCAUCAAAAUGUUUGACAUGAUCUUGACGGUAGGUGAUUUUAGUAAAAUAUUGAAAAUGAGGGUGUAAUUGAUUAUUGAAUGGUUAAUUAGGUUCUAGGUAGUCUUCGCAUUGUUUUUUUUCGUCAAAAAAACUAGGUGUGUAUUAGAACCUUAAUUUUUGCAAGUUUCGGUCACCGAAAAUGGUGGUUGUCAAUGCCACAUGGCCAGGUACACGAGCGUGUGUCCAGGCUGUGUGAGCCAUACAUUCGUGUGGCUGGCCGUGGAACUUACUGUUUAUCAAUUUGAGGCCACACGAGUAGGACACGGGCGUGUGUCUAGGCCGUGUGUGGCCAUAUUAGUGUAAGGUUCACAUGGGUAACGGACACGGGCGUGUGUUGAGACCGUGUAACUCACUGUUUAUGGUAUAAGACCAUACGGGCAAAGCACACGGGCGUGUAUCUUGGCCGUGUAACUCACUGUUUAUGGAAUAAAACUACACGACAAGGGAAACGAGCGUGUACCCUAGUCGUGUGAGUCACAAGAGCAGGAACACGGACGUGUGUCCAGGCCGUGUAACUCACUGUUUAUGUUUCAGAACCACACUGGCAAGGCACAUAGGCGUGUGACCAGGCCGUGUGGCAUGUUAUUGGGGCCCGAAACUUGUUUUUGAGGCUGUGAAUGUUAUUUAACACUGAUACUAGUAUUCUCAUUGUAUGAAUUUGAUUAUAUGGGAACUGUCUGAUAUUUUGAGAUUGAAGUGGAAAUAACAUAGUUGUAUAAAUAUUAAGAUACUUAUUCUGGAAUUGAACCGUCUUAUCUAUUUGUGAAAUAAACUAGAAUGACUGAAUACAUGAUACGGGUAAUUGUGCUCUACAUCUACAUUUCCAAUUUUUCAAUCUGUAGGCCAAGAUAAAACUUUGUUUUUCGAAGAUCUUUCAUUUCAAAUUCUUUCUUUAAAUAAUUUAUUGCAUUUUGAAGCUCUUCAAAAGUUCCAAUAAUAUUUAGAUCAUCAAUAUAAAUAACAAUUAUCAUAAAGUUUGAACCAGAGCUUUUUAUAAAAACACAUGGAUAGAUUGGAUCGUUUCUAUAACAUUUUUUUAACAAAUAUUCACUAAGACGAUUGUACCACAUACGUCCAAAUUGUUUUAGUCCAUAUAAACUUUUCUUUAAUCUGAUUGAGCAAUUUUCCUGAAAAACUCUAUAUCCUUCAGGGAUUUUCAUAUAAAUUUCACUAUCAAGUGUAUCAUACAAAUAGGCCGUCCAUUAGAUGCACGUCAAGUAUUUCACAUAGUAUCAGACUAAUAAGGUAUCUAAACGUGAUUGCAUCCACCAUAGGAGAAUAUGUCUCUUCGUAAUCAAUGUUAGACUUUUGUGAAAAUUCUGAUGCUACAAGUUGUGCUUUAUAUGUUACGACAUCAUUUUUCUCAUUUUGUUUUUGCAUAAAUAUCCAUUUAUAUCUUACCAGCUUUACAUAUUUAGCUGUUUGGACUAUAGGUCAAAAAACCUCACGUUUAGAAAGUGAAUUUAAGUCUCUUGAAUUGUGCCUUUCCAUUUUGGUCAAUCUUUUCUAUUUCUAUAUUUCUCAAUAGAUUUAGGCUCAGGAUCCUCAUUUUCUUUUGAUAUUUCAAUAGCAACAUUAUAAGAAAAGAUGUUGUUGACAACUAUAUUUUUCUAGUUCCAUCUUUUUCCUAAAGUAACAUAACUUAUUAAGAUCUCUUCGUCAUCACCAUUUUUAGGUACCUGAACCUCUUAUGGGGUUUUUUGAUUAGUUAUAUAUUUGGUCACUUCUUGGGCACUUACCUCCAGAAUACAACCAUCUUAAAUAUUUGCUCAUUUCCUUUUACGAUGAUUUUUAUAUUUGGAACCGACUGGUCUUCCACGCUUUUGGCGUGAAUUACUUUCUUUUACACUAAUAGUUUUCCCUAUUGGGACAACAAUUCGUAUUAGAGCAUUUUCAGCUGGUAUGUGAGAUUUUGUAAUUGUCUUUAGGUCAGUAAAUGAAUCUGGCAAUUGAUUGGCAAUGUUUUGCAAAUGUAUGAUCCUUUGAACUUCUUGUUCACAUUGACUUGUACGAUGACCUAAUUGAGAUAAUGAUGAUCCAUUCCAUGUAAUUUCUUUUAUCAGUUGUAUUUUCUCUCCCCUUUAAUGUUGGGAAUGUUGUUUCAUCAAAAUGAUAAUCAAUAAAUCGUGCAGUAAAUAAAUCUUCAGUUAAUGGUUUAACAUACUUAAUUAUAGAAGGAGAUUCAUAACCAACAUAUAUUCUCAACCUCCUUUGAGGACCUAUCUUUGUUCGUUGUGGUGGAGUAAUUGGAACAUAUACUGCACAUCCAAAAAUUCUAAGAUGGUAAAUGUUUGGUUCCUGACCAAAAGCAAAUUGUAAUGGGGAGUAUUUAUUAUGACUUGUUGCCAUUGAAGCGCACAAGUGCUAAGUGCUGCUGCAUGCAAAAUAUCAUAUUCCCAAGCUGUAGCAGAGAGUUUUGUUCUCAUAAGCAAUGACCUAGCUAUUAGUUGGAGGUGUUUGAUAAAUGAUUUAGCUAAACCACUUUAUGUGUGAACAUGAGCUACAGGAUGUUCAAUUUUUAUCUCAAUUGACAUACAAUAAUCAUUAAAAGCUUGGGACGUAAACUCACCAGCUUUAUCAAGAUGAAUAGUUUUGAAUGCAUAAUCUGGUAAUUGUGCUCUUAAUAGAAUUAUUUGAGCAAGUUGUCUCGUAAACGCAAGGUUGCGAGUCAAUAAUAAACACACAUGUGACCACCUGUAAUAUCCCUAAAUCGAGUCUAGUAGUUUCGGGUAUAUUUUUUGGGUUCUGAGUGUGAAACUAAGAAUUUAUAGGGUUUCUAGUAAUUUUUAAUUUAAUUUAAUUUAGGAGUUUAAUUUCAUCUAAAAUCGANNNNNNNNNNNNNNNNNNNNNNNNNNNNNNNNNNNNNNNNNNNNNNNNNNNNNNNNNNNNNNNNNNNNNNNNNNNNNNNNNNNNNNNNNNNNNNNNNNNNNNNNNNNNNNNNNNNNNNNNNNNNNNNNNNNNNNNNNNNNNNNNNNNNNNNNNNNNNNNNNNNNNNAUUGUAGAACAAUGGCAAAUUUAGAGUAUUUAUAUGGGAAAUAAACCUUAAAAUUCAGAAUUUUGGAGGAAGAGGACUUAAAAUUCGAAAUUUUGGAGGGAAAGGAUUAAAUAGUAAAGUAAGAGAAAUGUGGGAGUAGUCAUUAAGCAAAUUUCCCAAUUUUUAAAUUUCUAGUGGGUGGUUUCAAUUUUAAAACUAAUAUAUCUAGCCCACUUUUCACACAUUUUACAUCAGAUUAGAGAGCUUUAAAAUUCGUUUUCUUUGCAUGAUUUUAAAUAUUUAUCAUUAGAGAAUAGAUCCAACCAAUUUCCUUCUCAAAAUACUCUCAAUUCACCUUAAAUUAUGCUGAAAAGUAGCAAAAAAUAUUCUGAAAGUUCUCAAGUUUCUUGAAUCAAGAUUUUCAAUCAACGAAUUUAGAGCGAAUGAAAGGUAAUCUUCAAUCCUAAACUUAUUUUUAUGAGGAUUAGAAAUAUUUUUACAUGAUUUGAGAGUUAAUUAAAUGAUUUUUAUCAAUGUCAUCUUUUUCUAAGAACACAUGGUUCUUUAAUGGUGGAUCUUGAAUUUUGAGAGGAAAUCCACAAAUCAAUGGAUGUUCUAACUCAAAAUGGAUCUAUUAAAAGGUUUUUUAUCUUAUUUAUCAAGAUUAAACAUGAUUUGUCAGGUAAUUUAAAGAAAUUUGAAUUUCAUCAUCUUCAUGAACCAAUUUUUCAGAAUUUUGUAAAAUUGAUUUAAAGAUGAAAUUGAUACUUAGUAUAAGUGUAUUUUGUAUAGUAUUGAUGACUAAAAGUGUUUAGGAGGGUUGGAGAGAUCGGUUUUGUGAGGAAUCGAGUUUUCGACUUGAUGUUAUAAAUCUGAUAAGGUAUCUUUAUGAGAGGAUUUCGACUAGUAUAGUUAAUUAAAAUUUGUGUUUAUUAUAGCAUUGGAAACGUGGUAAUGUCUACUUUAUCUUUGUUGAAGCUCCGAAUCUUGAAGAGGACUGAGCUAACUGGAAUUGAAGCUUGGAUUUGCUAGGUUGAUCACUUGUUUGUGGUAGAAUAAAUUGUGUGGUGAGUGUUUCUAAGGGCAAUUUGGUAAAUUCACCCUCAUUUAUGUUUAAUUACUAGCUUAAUUGAUGAUUUCAAUUGAUUAAUUAUGUUUGAAUGGCUUGUUUUUUCAAGAUUGAUAUUAUAUGUGCAAGAGUUGAUUUUUUAUUGAAUAAUGGUAAGUAAGAAUUUAGGUGGUUUUGUGCAAUUUAAUUAGGCUAAUUAUAUUGAUGAUUAGAGCAUGGUUACUGGAGUUUUUUUAUUAUGAUAUAUUGGUGUUACAAUUGGUAAUUGGACAUUGGAAAAUGACAAAUGAAAUGCUUGGUUUAAUUGGAUGUUAAAUGGCUAUGUUACAUGUUACACAUAAACAUUUUGUCACAUUAAAUUAAACACAAUAAUGAUUGAUUUAUAUGCUAUGUUUGACUGAAUAUAUUGGCAACAUGCAUGGUGGAUCCAUUGGAUAUAGUUGGCAUGCCAUAGGAUUUUUGAGUACUCACCUUUAUUUGUGACAUUGUGAGCAUAUGGCUCUAGGUGGACUGAUUUGUUUGGAGUAGAUAAGGGAGUGUUGAGCAUGAGUUUCCACUUAUUGGGUUAUUUGAGGCACUAUAAGGGAGUGUGUGCUUCAACCCGUUCAACUCGGUGAACUGUAUUUAAUAUUUGUGAGAGUUCAAAGAUCCAUUUAUCAAAUGUAUGAUCACCCAAUUAAGCCAUGAGAAGUGUAUGCCAAUAUAUUUAUUUGUGAUUAUUGUUAUAUCAUUCGAUGUUUGUAAGCCAUGAAUAAUUGAUUCUUGAUAUUGAUAAAACAUAUGGAAAGUAAAUUGACAUGUUUUAUUAUUAUGGGUAAUAAUUGGUGAUUGAUUAAAUGUGAUUUAAGCAUGAUUUGGAUGAUGAUUUACUAGGUUUUUAUUAACAUUCACUGAGCUUUUUAAAACUCACACCCUCACAAUUUGUGCAGAUAAUCAUCGGACUUGAGGAGCUGAGGAGCCGAGCAUGAGAGUUCCAAGAGAUUAAGGCUUGGUAGAGACUUUAUUUCAAGUUUUAGAUAUUGUAAUCGGGCAUUGUGGAACUCCCCUAAGUUAGUUUAAUUUUGGUUGUAAUUGGACAUUGGACAUUUUAUUUUGGAUAGUUUUAUAAUAAUUUUGAGGCUUGCUUGAGUUUAAUUAUUAAAUGAUUUAUGGUGUAUUGUUGCUUGAUAACACGAUGAUUGAUAAUACGGUCUGUGAGACAUGAAAUUUAUACUAAUGAUUAUUUAAAUGAAGCUUCCAUGGUGUGGUUUACUAGCGACUAAGGUACGCCACUUGUUUGAUUUAUCCAAUGUUUGUUAUGCAUGAAAUUGAUUGCCUAAUUCUAUAUAAUUGAGGCUUAAUUGAUGUCAAUAAAUUCAAUUGAAGGUGUAUGUAAAUGUAUGUUAAUUAAUCGUAGUUAAAUUGGUUUAAUUGGCCAUUAAAAUAUACAAAAUCAGGUUUUAAAAUUAUUUUUUCACAAAAAUAGGUGUAGUGGUUUCCACACGGGCGUGUGAGGGGCUGCACACGGGCAUGUGGAGACUAGAGCUAUCACACAUGGGCAUGUAGGAUUUCCACACGAAUGUGUGCAAUCGGUCUAAAAGUUUUUCACAAUGUGAAUACGGUCGUUUAAUGACACACCGUCUGGGGGACACGGCCAUUUGGGUUUUGGGGGGUUUGAACUUUUUUCUUUUUAAAUUUUUAUUCUAACUUGUUUAAGUUGCAAUUUAGUAUUGAAAAUUGAUUAGUCUAAUUAGAGCCUUAGAUGAUAAGAAAACUUGGUAAAAUUUUAGGUUUAGUUUCAUAAUGGGUAAAAUUCGAUAGAAACACAGUUAAUUUAUAAUUCAGAAUAGGUCCUAGUAGUUUGUAAUUGUUACAAUUUAGUCCCUAAUAAUAAAACUUAAAUUAGACAUAGUAAAUGAACUCAAAUUAAGCUAAACUUUUUAGGCUUGCAUAAUUUGACUAAAGAAGGGUGGUAAACACUUAGAUCUAAAAUCAGGUUAGUUUUACCAUAAGUGGUAAAAUGAGGAAAAUGCCCUUAAGUUAAAUUACCUAGGAAAAGUUUAAAAUUGGCUCAUAAUUUGCUUCUGUAUUAAUAAAUAACUAAUAAUUAGAUAAUAUUGAGGUGUUAUAAGGUCGGGGUGUGUCCUGGGUGGUCGUUAGUCGGAGAGUCACUUAGGUGGCUAAUGUAAUGCUUCGAAUUUGGGUUGGUCCGUCCUGAUUAGGUUUGGGCUGUCACACCACCUACUAGAUGCAUUUAUCAAUACCAUAAAAUAUCUGAAUAGUCCACGUGAUGGAUGAAUGGGCCCAUAUAUAUCACGUUAAAUACGUUCUAGAAAUGCGAGAGAUUCAAUCCCAACUUUAGCUGGUGAUGGUCUAAUAAUCAAUUUUCCUUGAGAUUAAGCAACAUAAGAUAAAUCCUUGAAUUCAAGAAUCUUCUAGUUUUUUAAUAGGUGUCCAAUUGAAUUCUCGAUUAUUCUUUGCAUCAUAAUAGAUCUGGGAUGGCCUAAUCAGUCAUGGUAAAUACUAAAAGUAUGUGGUUCUACAAACUUCUGGUUUGUAGUAACAUGUGUCUCAAUUGCACUAAUAUGUGUAUAAUAUAAAUCUGAUGAAAAAUCAGGUAGUCUUUCCAAAACAUAUUUCUUUUCAUAUUCAACAUUUGUAAUAUAUAGAUAUCCAAUAUUUUUCUCAUUCAUAGUAUCAAUAUGAUAUCCAUUAAGAUGAAUAUCUUUAAAAUUCAAUAAAUUUCUUUGAGACUUAGUGAAAUGUAUAGCAUCAUUAAUGACAAAUUUUGUGCCUUUAGGUAAUAAUAUAAUAGCUCUCCCAAAGCCUUCAAUAAGUUUUGAACUACCCGAUAUUGUAUUAACAUGGCCAUCACUUAUUGUCAAAUGAGAAAAUUAUUUUUUAUCUUUGAGUAUCGUAUGUGUUGUAGCACUAUCAGCAAGACACAUGUCUCCAUUAAUUUUGGGUCCAACGAAAUUCUAUUGACUAUUCAUAUUCUUCAUAAAAAUAAACAAAAUAUAAUAUGAGAAAUGUUGCAAAUAUUUAUUAAAUAUAUAAUUUAUUCUUUAUGGAAGAAAUUAAAGCAAACUUAAAACAAAAUAAAAAUGUCAAAAUAACAUCAACUUUUCUAAUGAUUCUCAAAGAAAUCUACCACAUCUAGGUGAGUUAUAUUAUUAAGGUCAUGAAAUUUAUCACCAUCAUAGGCAUGGUCAGUUUUAGUAUCAUAGUGAAUAUGUUCAUUUUUUGCCUCCAUUUCAUCAUUUUGGGAUAUAAAAUUUUUCUUCAUAUUCUUUCCCUUCUUUAUAAUGGAUGCUUGAUAAAGUUUCACUAAAUACUCAAACGUACGACAGGUACAUGACCAAUGGCCCUUCAUACCACAUCGGUAGCAUAAAUUCUUAAUAAUCUUUGAAGGAUUAUUUUGACCACCUCUUUCUUGUCCUUCAUUGUUGUUCUUUUUCUGGUGGUUAGAAGUAUCACUGUUAUGACCACCAUGAUAACGAUUACUAGUAUGUCCUCGACCACGUCCCCCACUACAUCCACGACCGCGACCUCUAUAUUUUCCAUUUUCAUAAUUAUUGUGUACUGCUACAUUUAUUUUAGGGAAUGGUGCAGAACCAAUAGGACGAAUUUCAUGAUUUUUCAUUAACAACUCAUUAUUUUGUUGAGGCACCAAAAGGCAUGAAAUCAAUUUAGAAUACCUUUUAAAACCUUUUUCACGGUAUUGUUGCUACAGGAGCACAAUUAGUAUCAUAAAAGGUUCAAAAUGUUUUCUCUAACAAGUCCUCAUUAGUUAUGUUUUCUCCAUAUAAUUUUAGUUGAGAACUAAUUUUGAAAAGUUCUAAAUUGUAUUCACUUACAGUCUUAAAAUCUUGCAACCGUAAAUGCAUCCAAUCAUAACAAGCUUUAGGGAGUAUAAUCGUUUUCUGAUGGUCAAAUUGUUCUUUCAAAUUAUUUCACAACACAAGAGGGUCUUUCACAAUGAAAUAUUUCACUUUUAAUCCUUCAUGUAGAUGAUGACAGAUGAAAAUCAUUACUUUUGACUUGUUUUGAUUAGAUGCUUCUUCAUAUGCUAAUAUAGUAUUUCCUAGACCUUUAGCAUCUGGGUGAAUUUUAACAUCUAACACCCAUGACAAAUAAUUCUUGCCUAAGAUGUCUAAAGCCACAAAUUCAAGUUUGGCAAGAUUUAACAUUAUAAUCACUUAAACCAAAAUAAAAAAAUUAGUAAAAUAAUAUGCAUUCUCAAACGUAAAAUAAUCCAAUUAUAUAUACCAAAUUUGCGAAAUAAUAAUAUGUACGUCAAAUAUUGGCAUAGAGAGGAAUAAUCAAAAUAAUAACUUAAAACAAAUUGCAUUAAUUGAAAUUUCUUUUAGUAAAAAAAAUUAUAUAUGAUUGUCAUUAUAACAUUUGAGUUGUAAAAAUAAAUGUGCAAAUGUUACCCAAAGCAAAUAUUUCAUCUAGAAAAUAAAAUAAAAUAAUGAUAAAAAUAUGUAUAUAGUAUAUAGUUUAACGGGAGUUAUAGGGCAAAUUAUAUAAAGCUGAAAUGACGUGAAAUUCACUAUGAACUUGUAGAAGCUCGUGCUAAUAACAUGUUAUAGAAAAAUUAAUAAAACAAUAAUAAUAAGUAAAAGGUGGAUGAAAAAUACAUGAGAAUUUUCAUUACUUAAUUUUCUCUUACAACGUGCUAUUUAUAAGCUCCUUUACAUUCAAUUAAUAAAUGUAUUACAUUCAAUCAAUAAAUGUGAAUUAAAUUUUCUUAAUUACUCCAUUUAAUAAUCUCAUAGUUAUAAAUGAAGUAAAGAAUUUUACAUCAUUACUUUAAUAAAUGUUUAAAGGGACAUAAGAAAAAAUAUAUAAAUAUUUAAGCAUGCAUGCAUGCAUGUAUAGUUGAUAUAUAUGUUAUACUAAAAGGCAAAAUAAUUUUAUUAAUGGAAGAGAUGAGUACAGAUGCUUUUUGUAAUAGUGGUGAGAAAAAACCAAUUAUAAUUUAUUCAAACCAAACCACAAUCUAUUUAUUUAAUUAUUUUUAUUUCAUUACAUAAAAAUAAAUCCUCUAUUUCUAAAUUAGCAAAAAUAUAAAAUAUUAAAAUAUAAUUCUUGCAGAACUUUAAAAACCAAUCAACCAAAUCACAAAUUUGGCCUGCUUUUUAUCUUGUUUUUAGAAAAUUAGAAUAUUGCAAAUUAACCACAACUUUUAUACAAAGUUGAACCAAAUCAUCGCCACCCGUAAAAUACACACCCAUCAAACGAAUCUAGCCACAACACCACCUAAAAACAUUUACUCCCCCAAUGCAAAACCUUCUUUAAUUCUUAGCAGAAACAACAAAAACUUCAUUGCCACAGUAUAUCAACCACCAUGAAAGCCAAAGAGGUGCCCAAAUCUUGUAUAUAAGAUCAAACAUGGUUAAGUGAUUAGAUAAACACUUUUAACUGCCUAGGAACUGUGCCAUGAUUAUUAGACCGCUAUGAAGAUGAGAGCUGAAGGGAAUGGGCCAGCUUGCAGGCUGUUUAAUGAAGCAAAGAAGGACUACACUGGUGAGCUAAGAACAGACAGUACUGCUGAGCUGGAAGAGAUGGACGGCAAAGGAAUUUAGCUAAGAACUCAGUUAUGAACGUGGACAAUUGAAUUGGUUUACAGCUGUAACUCUAUUAUUACUUUUUAGAGAUUGCCCACGGCAUAUGUCCAGUGAACUAUGAAUUUUCAUAUGUUUUCGGAAUGAAAUAAUCUUUCUUACCUCAGUUCCCUACUCUAUCUGAUCUACAUUCACUCCGGGAAAGAGUAAAACUCAGCAAUACAAAUGGUGGAAGGCACGAAACUAAAUACACUGCAGGAGCAGAUUCAAAGUUUGAAGAGGCAGAUGGAAGCAAUGGGAGCUGCAGAGAACACUGUGCCUAAAUGGUGGGAGGAGCUGCGCAUUGGUAUUGAAGCCAAGCUUCGGAAGAACCAGACUUACAUGACCAAGAUGUUGAUUUUUUGGAUGAAAAAUUUUAAAAUACUAAAUCUUAUAUGAUUAAUUAAAUUUAAUAUUUUGAAUGAUACAAAUUAAAAUCAUUGAUUGUGAACUCAAAUUUAAUUUAAUAAAAUAUGUAGGAAAUGGAUGUUUCAAAUGCAUAUAUUUAAUUUCCUAUUUACGUUUUUUACCGUUAGUUAAUUUUUUGUUUUUGGUUACUAGAAAACAUAUUUCAUGAAUCAUGCAAUCUAUUUGCAAACUUAGAACAUCAUUAACAUUUAUUUAUGAAUUAUGUACUUCUAAAUGUUCACUAUCUCAUUGUCUUAAACUCAAAUGAGACAUUGCAAGUUAGCAUUUUUCCCUUAACGCAGAAGUUUUAUUGAAACUCAAAUAUCUCCGGAAAAAAAUUAGCUCAAAAAUGAAAAGAGACAAAAAUAUAAAAGUACAUAAAUAUUUCUAUACUUACAAAUAAAAGCAUAGUAUACAUUUUUUCAUUAGAACACAAAUAAAAGCAUAGAAUACAUUGAAUUUUAACAUAAUUAAAUAGACAAACAUGAAGAAAAUACAAAGCUCCCUCCCCUUGACUGCAUAUUGAUCUAAACAUACAUAUUCAUAUCAAAAUACAUGAAAGGAAGCUGUCACUUUAUUCAUUAAAUAGAUGCUUCAAGUAGCUAUAACAAUAGCAGCAUGCGAUAUUGUUUAGUUUGCUUGGAUGAGGUGGGCGUCAAUGUCUUUGGAGAUAUCUUGAACCAAUUGCAGUAGAGUCUCGGGGUCCGCAAUCCCAUCGUGCAGCUUCUCGUAUUCCAAAGUCCAGUGCACUACGCUGCCACUAUCCUCGCUCUUGGGCGAAACUAGAAUCGUGGCUACGAAGCUCUUGUACUCUUCCAUUAGAUCUCCUUCGAUCACUCUGAAAGUGAUCAAAUUCUUAUCAGGGUCUACCGCUUCCACUACUUCCUUUGCCUUUUUAGCCUUUCCAUCUAAACAAACAACCUUUUUUCUUUAACAAAACAAAAAGAGCAACAAAUCAAGUGAUAAGCAUGAAAAGAAAUUGGGUUUAUUAUGUUAUAUCAUACCAUGCACAUAACUCCAGUGGACAAUGGUACCGACUUUCCCCCAUUUACCUUCAUGUAGAUCGCAUCCUUGAAUCUUGUCAUAGCAAGUAUGGUGCACGUGAUGUGGUUUGUGGGCGAACAUUUCAUGAAACUGCUCGGGAGAAGCCUUAAUAUCUACAUCUGCCUCAAGCUUACCUGUAAGAGUUGAAGAUGCCAUCGUAUCACCAACAAUGUUUGAUGUGGGAGUGGUUUGUUUGAUGUUUAGGCUAGGCAUUAUUUAUAGACCGAUGUCAAUGUCUAAAGCAAUAAUCCUCUCCAAAUGAUACUACUCAAUUUCCUAUUCGUUCACCAAUUAUCAUUUAACAUAUAUUUAAUUUUGCACACUUGGUUUACUUAUUGAAUCUUCUUUGAACCAAAAAUAUAAAAGUUUUAUUUUACUCAAAUUUUAUUCAUGAAUAUUUAAAAUAUUGAAUCUUGAAUUCUCUUAUUUGAUUCUUUUUUUAUGCUUUUCAUAUCCGUUUUACAAAUUAUGUUCAGGGUUUAUGACUACUCUUUCCAACAAUGUCAUUUUCGAGAUUCAAAUCUACAUUCUCUUGGGAGUAUAAUGUGAUUUACCACUGUGCCCAAUAUUUGAUUUAAUGAACAUAAAUAAUUAACGUUUUAAUAAAUGGAAAAAAUAUUUUAUGUAAAUAAAUAAGUUUGAACAUGGUACCAACAUUAUACUAAACAUAAUAAAAACAAAGGGCAACAUGGCAAAAUUCAAAAAAUUAAAAAAAAAACACAACAUUAUACAUUGCAUUAUCAAAAUAUGUUAAAUUCAAAAUUUAUAUAAAUUUGUGAUACCUAAUUGUACAAAUUGAUCAUUUUAAUGUCUAUAUGGACUAAUUCAUUUAACUGUAUUAUUAUUAUUAUUAUUAUUAUUAUUAUUAACUAGAUGAUCAUACAAAAAGUUAAAGUUAUAGAAAUAUUUCAUAAAAAAAAGUUAUAAAAGUGUAGUUUUGUAUUAGAAUAAGUUGAUUAUUUCUUAAAUAUAAUAAUUAUAAGCAUAAGCAUAAUGUAGCACUUUGCAGUUUUUUAUUUUGAAAUUGUUAAAUUAUGUUAAGUGAAUUGAUUUGGUUCAGUGGUUUAGUGUUAUGUUUGUGUGCGAGAGGUUUUGUGUUUGAUUCCUUUCCCUUGAAUUUUGAUUAUUUUUAUCCCAACCCCUGACUUAGAAUAUCUAGCUUAUCUUUAAUUAUUGAGUAGUUUUUGACAAGAAUAAGCUUGUUGGUUUAAUGGUAAGGCUUUAGCUUACCCAUGAGUCUUGUGGUCAAAUCUUAAGUGCUCAAAGUAGAAAUAUUUUUGCUCUCUUUGUUGUGCUCUCUGUUUUCCAUUUUUCUUUUUGGUUUUCCUCAAUUCUAUUUGUGUUCCUAAAACUUUCUUUCUCUAUCGUUUAUCUUUUGCGAUUAUUCUUUCAUUUAUUUUUGUCAUUAAUCAUCUUGUUUGGUCUUUUACCGUCACUCCGUCUUUCCAUUGAUUAAACCAUUAUUUACGCACCCUUAUUUCUCUGUCUCUCUAUUUUAUGCUCUUUCUCUUACGUAUUGGUCAUGUGUGAUUGGUGUGUUAAGUUUCUGUGUGGAAAUAUCUAGUAAGUAAGAUUUAUUUUCAGUUGGUGAUUUCUGUUUUGAUGCGAUUUCUCGUGGAUGGUUAGUAUUCUGUGUUGUUGUUAAUUGGAGUGGUCUGAUUAUGUCAGUGUUUUUGAUAGGAGAAGAUCGUGAGACACACCCUCCUCCCGCGAGUUGAGGGCCUUUGAACUGCUCCUUCUUGGGGUAAGUGUUUGAAUGCUGAGUUAUUGACUAAUUUCAGCUAGGGUCGAAUACCCUAUUGUUUAGGCCGAACAAGUGAUUUAGUUUCAGUACAUUGUUACUAAUUGAUUUGUUUUAGAUGUCAUUCAUAGGGUUUAGAAGAGUGUUGUUGUGUCCCUGUUCAGAAAAUCAUCAGGUGUGUGACUCAAACUCCACUAAAUUGUGAAACUGCGUGAAACCAAAUUUGCCAAUCAACGACACAUGGUCAUGUGUCUAGCCAUGUAAGCCACGCGAGCGUGUGUCUGGCUGUGUGCCAGGCUGUGUGGGUCACACGGGCUGGAUACUUAAGGCGUGUAAGCCCAUUUUGUAGGUUAAUGUGUCUAAAUUUGUGAUUCGUAAAAUUUUGUAACGGUUAAGUGGCCAUAUCUGAAAUCGGUUAAAACCAUUAGGUAAUGCAUGAUGAUUAAAUGCAAACAUUUUGUGAGUAUAAGCAAUAUGUUAAAAUCGUAUAUUUGUUUUAUGAGUAUUUGAGUAAGCAUGUCUUUAUAUUGUAUCUCUGAUUUUGUUGUUGUGCAUAAUUUUGGCCUGUGAAACUGUAUGCUUUAAAAGCACAUCUCUGAUAUGAUAAGCUUAUAAAUGAGCAUGUAUAGUCUGAAUAAAUAUGUGCAUAUGGUAUGUUUUUACAUGUGCAUUGGGGUGGGAUGCGAUAUGUGACGGAGGAAGUUCCGGCAUUGUAACGCUCUAAACCCAACCUAGACGUUAUGGCCGAAUCUGGGAAUGUUACGAAGAAAAGUUAUAAUUCUGACCUUAUCAUUUUGAAAACAUCGUAUAUUUUUGUUACUAAAAGAGUCUACUUAUUUAAAAAUGUGUUGUUAUUCUUAUAAGUUAAAACCGUCAAUUGUUUACAUUUUCAAGUAAAUCAAAUAGUUUGCAAUGGAAAUUCUUAAAUCGUUGUAUUAUGAAAAACAGAGUUUAUUUCCUCGAAAAUGGUUGAUUACAGAAAAAUGACUGUUUUCGAAAAUCAUUUUAUCAAACGUCAUUGCAAGAUAUCCCAAAUUAAAAUCCAAAUCCAAAAUAAAAUCCAAAUGUCUAGAGAGUCCCAAAAUUACAAAACUCUCAUAACCAAAUUUUUAAUUGAGCAAAUUAUGUAAAUAAUGUUUUACGUAAUCGUGGCAUAUCUGAGCUCCCGUCACACCAACUCGCCUAAGCCUGAGGAUUACCUGAAAGUAACAGACAAACAGAAGGUGAGUUUUAAAACUCAGUGUGUAACUCAAUAGAAACAUAAAUUCAGAUUCACUCAUAUGGCAAAACAGAUUCAGACAUAAAUAUUUUACAGAAUCAGAUUUGUAAUAGAAUCAUAUAGAUACGGAUAUUCAUAGUCCUACCCCCAUCCUUUACACACAAACUCUGACCAUCCCAACACACCACGUGGGGUAUAAAAACACCCACCCAGCCCUACAUACCACAUAGUGUCCAUACGACACUUUUCAGAAUAAUCGCAGCAUUCCUCCUCAUAAUACAUAACCCUCCCCAUAGCCAGAUACAAACAAAAUAUCAAAUAUAACAGUAUAAUAGAUACCAGAAUGUAUAUCACAUGCAUGCUCGUAUAACAACUACUAAACAUGCUCAUACAUAACAGAACAUGUAACAGCCCAAUUUUAGGCCUAGUCGGAAUAGUUGUUUCGGGACCAAAAAUUUAUUUUUUAUUAUAUUUUUAUGGUCUAAAAUUUCACAGAAUGAUUUCAUGAAAAUUUCAUUCAAAAGUUUCGACGUUUGGGCACUCAAUUUAGCCAAAAGGACUAAAUUGUAAAAAGUGUAAAAGUUGAGUUCUACAUGUUAGAAGUGUCCAAUUGUUAUGAAAUUUUAAAUUGGAGGUCCUUAAAUGGUAAUUAGACCAUUGGUUAACUUUUUGGACAAAAAUGGACAAGAGAUAAGUGAAAUAGGAAAUUUUUAAGUUGGGGGAAUUUUGGUCAUUUAGUAAUUAAAAGAAUUAAAAAGGCCAAAAUAGCCAAAAAUUUGUCCAUAUUCUCCAUGGUGAACGAAAUAAGCAAGGGGGAAGCCAUAUUGAGGGUUUUCAAGCUUCCAAGCUCCAUAGUAAGUGAUUCCAAGCCCCGUUUUUAAUGUUCUUUACGUUUUUGGAGUCCCGGUAACUUGAUUUAGCUUAUUCUAGCAAUAAUUUAACCUAGGGUUCAUAUUUUGAAAAAUACCCAUAGGUGAAAUGUAUUUAUUUUGAUGUUUUAUGGUAGAAUAUGAAGCUUAAAAUUAUGUUAAAUAACUUCUACUAGCCGAUUUUAAGUGAAAACGAGUAAAUUGACAUAAUCGGUAAAAAUACCUAAUGUUCAUAAGUGUUAGAGUGAGAAUUUGAUGUUUCCAUAGAAGGGAAAAAUGUUUAGCAUGUCAUAAAACAUAAUAAAAAGGAAUAAAUUUUAAUUUCCGAGCCUAGGGGCAAAAUCAUAAUUUUGUGAAACUUUAGGGGCAAAAAUGUAAUUUUUCCAAAAUGUGAUUUUUGGACUGGAUUGAAUAAUUUGAGUGUUAAAUAAGUUAAAUGUGUUAUUAUAAGUCAAGAAAGACAAGGAAUUAACUUUGAUUAGUGAAAAAGAAAAAAAUGAGAAAAAUUGAGAAAUUUCCCGAUUGAACAAUCGGAAUAAAAAGGGAUACGAAUGAAGUGAUAGAAAUGAUCACAUGUGUGGCAUGGACUGUGUGUAGGCCAGAAAGUGAAAGUGAUAGUCACGUGUGUAGUACUAUGUGCAGGCUACUACGUGUAUCAGAAUGAUAGGUCGCAUGUGUAGUACUAUGUGCAGGCUACUAUGCGUACCGGAUAGCUUCGAUCACGUGUGUAGUACUAUGUGCAGGCCACUACGUGUAUCGGAUAGUGAUGGUCACAUGUGUAGUACUAUGUGCAUGCUACUAUGUGAACCGGUAUCAUUAAUUAUAAGGUGGUUGCUAUGUGCUGAUCCCACCGGAUAUCAUUGAUUACAAAGGGUGGUUGCUGUGUGCUGAAUCCACCAUGUAUCUAUUAUUAUUUUGAAGUGUUCAUUGGGAAAUUGGCUAAGUGAAAAUACAUGAGAUCAUGUAACGAUUAAGUGUGAUUGAAUGAUGAAUAUAUGUGCGGAAUUGAAUUGAAUAAUGAUUGAAAGUGAAAAAGUGAAAUUAUGAAAAAGUAAAAUUACCAACAAAACAGUUUUGGACAGUAACAAUAGUGUGACUUUGAAAAAUCACCAAAAAUGAUGGAAAUUGAAUUAGAGAGUGAAUAAGAUAUGAAAUUAAAUAUUAAUGAGUCUUUUUUACAUAAAAGAAACAGAGUAAGCAAAAGAGUUAUAUAUUUUUAGAUAUUUUAAUUUUAGUGAGGUAGGGUCCGAUUGGUUUCGGAAUCCCCUAUUCUGACUUUGGAAAAUAAUUAAAAAUUGUAAAAAAAUAAUUAUAAGUUAUAAUUUAUAUUUUUAGAAUCCUUAAUGAGUCUAUUUUCAAAGAAAACAAAUUAAAAUAUCAUCUGAAUUCUAUACAAUGAGAUAAUUCAUUUUUAGUGAAGAGAGGUCAGAGAUGUUGAGCAGUUAAAUAGGGGUGAAUUUAAAGAAUAAAUUGUACUAAUUGGCUAAGCCAAAAAUUCUGAAAAUUUUAUGGUAAUAAGAUAUGUGAGUGUAGUUUUGGGAAAAAUUAACGUAACUUAAUUUGGAGCUCUUUAGCUCCAAAUAAAAAUAAUUUAGUGACUAUAACUCGACUAGAUAACUUUGAAUUUAAAUAUAAGUGAAUAGUGAAAUUAUGUAUAAUGUGAUUUAAGCAUGUUAUAUGCAUAAAGGAUAUGGGAUGGAGAGGAGGAGGAGGACAAUAAAGUAUAUGAAUGAAUUGUGUAUAAUUGGUUAAAUGCCUGAUUAUAAUCGAUAAAUGUUGAAAUAGGAGUGAUGCUUAUAUUGGUGCAUUACUGAUCAUGGUAAGCUCAUAAGAGAAAAUAAAGUUUCAUAGCAUAUGCGUGUAGUAUAUUUGGCAUGAAAUGAUGUCAUGAGUGGGUCAUGAAUUAACUCAUGUUGGUAAGUUGAUGCAUAAUUAUAGUAUUCAAAUAUAUACAUAUUUGUAAUAUUUUGCUAUGUGAUUCGGAAAAAGGGGAAUAAAUAGCAUAUUGAAAUUCGACCAUGGUGCUAGUUUAUGUUAAAUGAGUGUUUUAUGGCAUAUCUUAAGUAAUGGAAUGUUAUGAAUUUUGAGAUUAAUUUGCUAGUCAAAUAAAUGACAAAUGAAUUGAUUGCGUAUUCGUAAUUUUGACAUAUGCUUGGUAUAUGAAACGUAAUAAUAUAUGCUUGAAUAAACUUUAACACCAUGUUGGUGGGCCCCACUUAAUCCCCCUUUAAUCCGUUGUUUGGUUCAUGGUAUUGCUAUUACGGGUCUAAUACAUUACUGACCUAAUCGGUGAAAUCCACCGAUUUCUAAUCCCUCCAUUUUGCUCAGUUUAGGUGUUGCUUCAGUUUACCCUCCCUGUUUUACCCUCCCGAUCGGCUUCUUUUAUUUUUUCCUCCUUCUCCUUCUUCAUCCUUCAUCUUCUUCUCCUUCUUCAUCCAGGUAACUUUCCUCCUACUUCUUCCGUUCUUCAUCUUUUAUUUCCAAUUUUCCUUAGCUUUGUCCGUCGCAUAUCUUCUCUUCUCAGGGCUGUUGUUUUGUUUCGCUCAAAUCUAUGGCUACUUUCACCUUUUUCUCUCUUUUUCGGUACUCUUUUAUCUGUUUAUAUUUUGUUAAUGUUAAGGACAGAGUGAUAAAGUAUUGAUUCUGGGUAUUUGAUUUGGACAGUAAUUAUGUAACGACUGCAAGGAUUGUUGCAAUUGUGAGAGCCUCACCACGACUCUCUUCUUCUCUCACCUCCAUCAAUUUUCUAACACCAAAUCACUCACGCAAGUAUUUUUCUUUUCUUUUUAUUUGGUUGGGAAGUUCUCUUAUUUCGGCAUUCAAUUGAUGAUUACUGUUAUUCUUUUCUUUUCUUUUUUUGCUUUUCUGCAUUUUAACCACGUGCAAAUGAUUAGGAUGAACUUGGAGAAGAACUAUCUGCGUACCUGAUCCAUAAACCUUGGUUCGGCUUUUCUUGAAGCAGUUUCUCUAGAUGGAAUACUGGCCUAGUUUAAAUUUCUAGUUACAAUUCUCCAGCACAAAAUGUUAGUAGCAAUACGGUGAAGAACGUUGUUUGGUUGCCGAGAAAUACGUAAGGAGAAAAAAAUGGAGUGAAUGAGUGAUAUGUUUGGUUACAUUUUAUCUUUUCCAUUUUGUUGCAUCAAUGUUCUUAAGAUAAUUUUUGUGUUUUUGUGUUUUUUAACAGAGAACUUAAUGAUCAAUCAACUAGUGUGUUGCACUCGUAUCAUGAUUCAGGUUAGAAGUUUCUCCUUGUUUUCCCCCACUCGUACUUCAAUUUAAAGAUGAUUAGCAAUUCCUAGUCCUAUGGUAAAAAUGGUAUUGAUUGAUUGUUUUCCCCCACUCGUACUUCAAUUUAAAGAUGAUUCCUAGCCUUCUUUACCAUUAUUAUAAUUUUAGUCUUUAUAUUAGCAUCAUUUUUGACACUUGGAAAUCGCUGCAUGCCUUGCUUUGUUAUAUUAGGUGCAAUGCCGAGGGAUGUUUUCAACACACUACCACCGUUUAGUUAUGGACUAUAGGAACAAUUCCAAGGUGUGUCUGCUUUCUGUUGGAUAAUAUAUUUUUUAAACUGAAGUUUAUAGCAUUUAUAAUUGGCAAAUUAUAUUAGGUGCAGAGAGAGUGAAUGAGAUAUUUUGAGUUGUACAGCAUUAGUUUGAAGUCUUAUCUGCCAAUUUGUUUAGUGAAAAUUUGUAAAAUGCAGGGCUCAUUGCUAUUUUAGUGUCUGUUCAAUUUCCUCAAGUUAUUUAUUAUUUGCCUUUAAUAAAAUUUUACAGGUCUCUCUCUGUCACAUGGCGUGCCAAGUAGGAAAUGGAGUUGAAGGAGCUGAAGAAGUUACAUUUCUUUACAGGUUGACUCUUGGUGCCUGUCCAAAAAGUUACGGUGUGAAUGUUGCACGAAUAGCUGGUAAGGUUAUUUGUAACUUUAGUUUCUCUUUGCCGAGGAUCUACGUGUGGACUUGUGUGAAAUGGGGCCUCAUUAGCUUCUAUGUUGCUUAUAGCUUUGAUAUGUAUAAAUAUAAUAUGGAGAUUAACUUGAAUAAUGUGUACUGUGGGUUGAAACUAUAAGGACCUUCGAAGUCCAUUGAAGGAUGUGGUGUUUAGAGUGUUUAGAGUAUGAUAGCAUCAAGGAUUCCAUGGGGCAUAUCUCACCUACAGGGAAAAAAUUUAGCUUUUUGUUGAUUUUUCCUUGAAUUUAGUUCAUAUUAUCAGAUUAUUGAAAUGUGCAUUAAUCAAUACCUUCUGUUAUUAAGAACCUUUAGGACAAAAAGAUGUAGAUGUAUUUUUUUGUAUUUAUCUAGAUCUUUGUUUAUAGAGAAUCGACUGAAUUGCAAAAUUUUAGCAUCUGCUAUGAUGAAUGUCACCUAACUGGUAAUCAUUUUAGGGCUUCCUGACUCAGUACUACGAAUAGCUGCCAGUAAGUCUAGAGAAUUUGAGGCUAUAUACGGGAAACACCGAAGCAAGGGAUCUGAAGACAAGUUGCCAAUGCAAAGUAGUCUUGACGAAAUGGUAGUUUUUAUUCGGGAACUAAUCAGCCUUACACGCUUAAAGACAUGCGAGGAGGGCACUUGUAUUAGGUCAUUGAUUCAACUUCAACAGAGGGCAAGGAUGCUUCUGCAUCAACAUUGAUUGAAUGAAAUCCAUGUAAUAUUUGUAAUUUUUCCCAGGGUCAUUCAUUUUCGGAUAUAGUUAGUAAUGUGAAUAUGAUUGUAACUAAUAUGCUAUCUAGCAUUUUGUAAAGUUUGGGUGGGCUAGAAAAUUGGAAAACAUAUUAGUUGGUAGCUGGAAGGUUGAAAUGAGCUGACCGGCAUUUUGUACAAUGCAUUUCUAAUGAGAAAAUUUUGUUGACAUGAUUGCUCUAUCUCCUUGACUGAAACACCUAAAGCUGAAGCAGUUUGAAUUAAGUAAUUAGCAGUAUUUGUGAAAUUUUGGGUGAUCAAGUUCAACAUUGCUUAAAGGUCAUAAUGCUUGGCACUGGUUAAAUGUAUAAAUUAUAUAUCAUUAUUAAAUUAUAUUUAAUAUUCAUUAUUUUAAAUUAUAUAAAUUCAUAUAAGAAAAUUUAUUAUCAAGAAUUUUAUGAAAUUAUAUAUCAUUAUUAAAUUAUAUUUAAUAUUAAUUAUUUUAAAUUAUAUAAAUUCAUAAAAGAAAAUUUAUUAUCAAGAAUUUUAUGAAAUUAUAUAUUAUUAUUAAAUUAUAUUUAUAAUAAUUAUUUUAAAUUAUACAAAUUCAUAUAAGAAAAUUUAUUAGUUAUAAUUGUUUUAAAUUUUAUUAAAUCAUAUAUUUUAUUAAGAAUAUUGAUUAUUAAGAAUUUUAUUAAAUUAUAUAAGAAUAUUGAUUAUUAAAAAUUUUAUUAAAUUAUAUAUUUUAAUUAUAAUAUAUUUAAUAAUAAUUAUGUUUAAAUAUGCUUAAAUUAUUUAUUAUUGAUAUUAAUAAUCUUAUUAAAUUUUAAAUAACAAUAACAAUAAUCAUUUAUCCAAACAAAUUUAUGCUAAGGGUAUUCUAGUCAUUUUAGUUUUUUCCAUUAUGCUAUUACAUCUCUAUUCCAUUCAACCAAACACAAGAAUACUAUUACACAUCUAUUCCAUUACAUUCAACCAAACAAUUGAUUUGCUAUUACGCCUCUAUUCCAUUACGCCUCUAUUCCAUUACGUCUCUAUUCCAUUACGCCUAUAUUCCAAUACAGCGAACCAAACAUGCUCUAAGUAUUCGAAUGACAUGGAUUUGAUGGUGAUAAGAUUCGAACAUUGAAUUCAUGAAGCACAGGUGAUGUAUUAUUGUUGUGUGAUAGCUUGGUUCGAGAAAUUGGUUAGGUAAAUGGUAAGUGAAAGCAUUUAUGGAUAUAUAAAAAAUUUGGACUGAAUAUGAAAUUUAGCUCAAUUAAAUAAUUUCAUCAAUUAAACAUUGUGUAUACGAGAAUGUGUUAGUGAAUUACAUAUUCGUAAAUUGACAUUCGAAGUUCAGUUAGUGAUAAAUGAAAAGAUUUAUGAUUGUGAUUAAUAUUGAUUCUGACUUAAAGUGGAUUCUUCAAUAUUGGAUUGAUUUAACGGAUAUAUUGAGCAUAUGAAUGGGUAUGUAUUGGGCCUCAUAAACCCUAAUUAGCGACUCGAAGAUAAUAAUUUGAAAGUUUUUAAUUUGGAUGAAAUUUUAUAACUUGAUUUAAUAUGUUUAUAAGUGUAUUUAUUCUGGUAAUGCCUCUACCCUAUUCCAGCGUAGAAUACGGGUAAGGGGUGUUACAAUGUGACAUCACCAGAUUCGACCCUAAUGUUUAGGCCGGGUUUGGGGUGUUACAGAACAUAUCAUACAUAUCAUAUUACACAAUACCUAUAUAGAUGUUAUUUACAUCAAUUUCAUUCUAACAGAGUAGUAGAUUUCAUACUUUACGGCUUAUACCACACAUACCGACCCUACAGAAGGCCCACAGUCGAUCGGGAUGACAUAUACGACCCUAGGGAAAAAUUUUGAAAUUUGGACCCACAUGCCCAUGUGGCUAGCCCGUGUGGGCCCAUAUGCCCAAAAUGGCUUAGCGCGUGUGGCCUACACAGCUUGGCACAUGGCCCACAUGAACCAAAAUGGCCUAGGCCAUGUGUCACACACGGUCUCGCACACGGCCUACCACACUGCUAGCCACAUGACUGUGUGGUGUCAACAGGCCUCAAUUUCGACUUUUGCCGAUUGUCAUUUUUCGAGUUUCUCGUUAUACACCUAACUCAAUUUUGAUACGGAAACAACUACGAGACCACUAGUACUUCAAAAUUGACAAUAAACAUUUCAAUUAGCCAUGUUUCCCCAAUUAACCAAAAUAAUACACUAGCCAUAACGAAAAUCUCAAACGUUCAAACAUUUAUCCAACUUCGAGAACGAUUCCUAGCACCACUAAUCACAAGGGGAUAGUUCGGUCCUCACGAUUCACCGCUGUCAACAAGCCCAAGAUUAUAAUCAACAAAAAGAUAAUAACACCGAUUCCACAACGAACUUUGAAAUUACCCUUAAGCCGAACAAAACCCCAUAAACCCCACUUACCAGACCGCAAGAAGAAACAAAAGAAUCCAAGACACAUCGAUUCAAUCGAGCAGAAAGAUGUUAGAAUUGAAGAAAGUAAACCAAAAGAAGAGGCUAAAGGAAGACAGAAAAGAAAACGUUAGAGUAAUUUGGCAAAAAGACAAAACGUGGAAAAGAGGGAAUUUUUCAGGAAAAAUUAAAAUAAAAUUAAGAUAAUGCCCUCAAUUCCCCACUGUCCCCACUAACUACCCAAUCCCUCAAAAUUAUCCUCCAACUACCAUAGAAUUUCAAUUCCACCAAACCUCUACUACACCACCGGCAUACACCCAGAAGCAAAAAUAUUGCUAAUUACUCUCUCAAGGAUUCGAACACAAGACCCUGGGAAAAGCUAGCACUUACCACUUAAACUAGCAGGCUCAUUCUAAUAUAAGCUAUCCAAAAUAUGAUAUAACCAAGCCAUUAAAGACAAGGCUAGGAACAAAAAUAGCAAAUUUUCUAAAAGUGGGACUUGAACCCCAAACCUCAAGCACACAUACAUAGAUUUCUGGCGGUAACACCGCAAAUUUCUGUAUAUUAUGUUAUGCAAUUUCUGGCGGUAACACCGCAAAUUUCUGUAUAUGGCAAUUAAACACUACAUAGAUUUGAUUCUGGCAGUUUCCGCAUUAUAUCUUGCAGCUUGACUGCAUAUUUCUAUACAGUGAAAAACGAACACAAAUUUGGUGUGUGGGGUUGAAUGGGUAUUAAUUACCCUAUUUGGUGUGGUGGAUGGGACGAAGGUGAUGAGUAGCGGACGGGGGUAGGAUAUGUAUAUCAUUUGUGUAAUAUUUGCAUCGCAUGAUAUGGCAUGCCAUGCCAUUUGUAACUGAUCUAAUUGUUGUGCUACAUUGCCAUCUAUGCCUGUUCGGUUAUUGACUUUUGUAUGACUAUUUGUUAUUCAUUUUUGUAUAUGAUUUGAGUUGCACACUGAGCUUUUUUAACUCAUCCAAUAAUUUAUCUUCUCAGGUAAUCAGUGAAGUUAGGAUCGGGUGACGUGCGGGAGCUCAGCUUGGAUUUUAGCUAAAUAAAAAAAGGUUUAUAAUUUUAAAUUUAAUUUUGGACCUUCUGAACUGUAUAAUUGUUUUGGACCUUAUUCUUCAAGUUUUUUGAUUUUCUGCUAGAUUUUUGUUUCGUUAAACUACAAAUUACAUGUUUUGACAUACUAGAAUCACGAUUUUCAAACUAACAACUCCUAAAUUUCUGUUGAAAAACUAAAUAACAAAUUAAGUAUUUUUCUGUAAAAUAAAUAAGUUCUACGCAUAUUUUCUAACAACUUGUAAGAGUUUUGUCAAAAUUAAAUAUUUUCGAAACACACACUUAUUUAAUUUAAAAUCUGGACUUUUAAAAUAAGUUAAUGUAAUUCCUCAAAAUCCGGACAUAACGUCUAGAUCAGACAUGGGGUGUUAUACAUAAUUCUAAAUUUAGGAAAAUAAUUUAUUAAACUUUAUGAUAUUUUAUUAACACUUAUUAACCUAUCAAAUUUCAAUAUUUUAAAUAUGUGAGUAUGGUACAUAAAGAUGCGGAUUGAGAAAUUAGGAAGAAAUAGUUAGAUGAAAGUGAAAGAGAGAGUGAAAGGAGUGCGCGGUGAUAUUACGAGGCAUCUAAUCACUUUUGGGUUCCUUAAUCCCAUUCUCCAUUAGGAUACCAACAAUAAUAUAUGGACCAAUGCACAGGAAUGGGAUGCUACAUUCCAUUUGAAAGAUCAGCAGUGAAGCAUAAAUGCUUUUGUUUUUUUGGCCCCAUCAUACUCAGGUCCAUUCCUUUCUCCAUCUAUUCCUAUCAAUACCCUCACAAAUUAUUUUUUUCCACACUAUUCCAAAAGAAAAAUUGAAAGUUCAGUGUUAUUGAAUUAUGCCAUCAGUUAGAAAUUAAUUAACAAAUUUGUUUUAUAAAUUAAUAAAUAAUAUGGUAAUGGUAAUUAUAUAUUUUAAAAUUUUUUAUAUAAUAUUUUAAAAGAGAAUAAACUAUUUAACCGUUUUUACGUUUCAUAGAAAUCACAAAAUGUUGCUUAAAUUAUACUAUUUUUCCAUCAUGGUAUUUAAACUAUACUUCAUCAUCUAAAGUGAUACCUAAAUUAUACUUCGUCUUCGCUACCAAAAUUACCCUAAUCAUUAAAAAAAUUUUAACAAAUCAUUUUUGUGACAUAUUAAACUUUUUAAAUAAAAAUAAAAAUAAUAGAACUAAAUUAAUUAUUAAAAAUAUCAAAUUGAAUUAAAUUAUAACUUUUCUAUUUUUUUAGACUCUUCCUCUCUCCAUGAUUGUUUUCUCUUUUAAUGCAUUUUCUUUAAGUGUUAGAUGAGUAAACUUUGCAACCCUCAAACCAUUUUUUUUCCUAUUCAACUUCUUUCUAAUAUUGGAAUUUUGUGCUUUAUCUCUGGUUUUUUAUUAUAAAGGUUCAUCCAAUAUUAAUUAUUUUACACAAAGUAUAUAGAAAAAAAAGAAAUUAUUGAUAAGAAAAAUAAUACAUAAGUUUUGAAAUGGGAUGAGAAAGGAAUCAAAGUCCAUGUUUGAAAAAAAGGAAAAGAAGCUCAUUGGAAUAUGUGUUGUGUCAUCGAAAUAGGAUUUGGAUAUGAGUUUUUUUUACGGGUUCUUGAAUUUUCUGUCACCGGAAUUUUUAGGUAAAAAUAAAAUAGAUCAAUAUGUUUAUAUUAAAAAAAAACUUAAGGAAAUAAUCUUUAACUUCUUUUGAAUUUUUUAAGUUAAAAAUUGUCAAGUGUCACGAAAUGAGGCUUGGAUAAUUUGAGUAACGAAAUAUAGUUUAGGAACUACUUUGAAUAACAAAAUAUAUUUUAAGUACCACUUGUGAUAAAAAAGAAUUUAGUAGAAAAUAAUAUAAUUUUUUUAGUUCAAUAAAAAAAUAUAAUGUAAGUACUACUUUAAAUAAUAAAAUAUCACUUGUUACAACUUAAGAAGGAGACAUGUUCUUUGAAUUGAUGCACUGCAAAAAAGGUAAAGUUAGAUAUAGUCUGAACCGUAAACUUAGAAGCCAACCUUAAACAGACAUUUGUCACUAGAAGCCAAAAAGUUUAUCAUUACUUGCAUCUAUCUUUACAUAGACUGAGUGUAACGUAAUUUAGAUUAAUUGAAACGUUAGAAAUGUUUUCUCACUUAAAUUUAUAAUAAUGAUUUUUGCGAAUAUAAAUAAAUAAUUAAAAAUCAUUUAAAUAAUAUGAACCUUAAUGAUUGAAAGCAUUAAAAGGAAUCCCAGGGAAUAUAGUAAGUGACCCAGUAACCUCCCUGGGGUCUCCAAAAAGAUGAAUAUAGAGUAGUUUUCAUGCAGAAGUGUAGUCGGAUGAUGAUGCAGCCCUCUUCUUGGCAAAGUAUUCCUCAGCUUGAGCAAGGUUCUUUGCAACUGAAGGCUUAGCCCACUUCUUGCGCCCAGGCAGUACGGUGAGAGAGCAACUGACAGCCUUAAGCUUUUCCUUUGAAGAUGUUGAAAAGGCACGGGCCUUCAAGUUCAGCUUUACAUUCAGCUCCCCGUCACCAAGAAUCUAAAUCAACAUGAUUUAUUAUCAAUAACAAUGAAUAUUUUGUUUUAAAAACAACAUGUUCGAUUAUUGCAAUUACAAUUCUUUCCGUCUUUGCAUGAGAGAACCAAUUAAGAAGGUAGAAUUGAAUUGUUAUUUCCAUUAAUAAUUAAGAAGGUCGGGAUUAAUGCUUCAUGCAUGAGAGAAACACAACUUCCUACUUGUAGAACAAAAAUAUAUGGAAACUGCUCAAAACAUAAAACAGACAAUAACCAGUCACAGAUCGGCCUGUCACAGGGCAACCAGCCCAGUCAGAAUCACUAAAAGCCUUCAGUACAAGUGAUGAAGAGGCAGAAAAGAAGAGACCAUAAGCAAGGCAGCCGUUGAAGUAAUGAAGAACACGAUGAGUAACUUGUAAAUGACUGACUGUAGGCCGGUCCAAGAAUUGACUCAGUUGUUGAAUUGUAAAAGCGAUAUUAGGUCUAAUAGAAACCAGAUACAAUAGGUGGCCAAUAAGUUUCCUGAAAAGAGUAUUAUCAGGAAGUAAUUCCAUAGAAGCAUCUCGAGGGAUUUUGGUAGCCAUUGGAGUCUUAACAGGCUUGCAAUCUAAGAAACCAAAAUCAGACAAUAUGUCAAUAACAUAUUUUCGUUGACAAAGAUGAAUACCAGCAGAGCUUCGAGCAACCUCAAGUCCAAGAAAGUAUUUUAAAUCACCCAAGUCUUUGAUUCUAAAUGUAGAAUCCAAAAAAGCUUUAACUCUUGCUAUUUCAUCCAAAUGAUCACCAGCCAGGAUGACAUCACCGACAUAAAUCAAUAAUGCAGUGAAGGAAACAGCGUCCUUUUUAACGAACAAGGAGAAAUCAGAACUGGAUUGAAUAUAACCAAGAGAAGUAAGAGCAGAUGUGAGCUUAGAGAACCACUGUCUACUUGAUUGCUUUAGACCAUAUAAGGAUUUUUGUAACUUACAAACCUUAUUGGGAGUUGAUGGAUCAAAACCAUGAGGUAAAAGCAUAUAAACCUCUUCACUCAAAUCACCAUGCAAAAAAGCAUUGUUAACAUCAAGCUAGUGCAAAUACCAAUUCUUAGAAGUAGAAAUAGCAAGUAAAAAGCGAACAGUGGUGAUCUUGGCUAUAGGUGAAAAAGUAUCAAAAUAAUCGACACCCUCAGUUUGUGUGAACCCCUUUGCAACCAAACGAGCCUUGUAAUGUUCAAUGGAACCAUCGGCUCUAUGUUUCACUCAAAAACCCAUUUACAACCAAUUGCAGUCUUGCCUGGAGGUAAAUCCAUAAUGAUCCAGGUGUUAUUUUGUUCAAGAGCAGAAAUUUCAGCCUGCAUUGCUUCUCUACAAUGAAAAUGUUUACUAGCUUGUGAAUAUGUUUUAGGUAUAGAGGAAACACUAAUGGCAAGAGUGAAAUGUAAAUGGGUUGAAGAAAGGUUAGAGAAAGGUGUUGUACAUCGAAGAUGAUUGGUAGCUGCCUUGCUUAAAAAGCAAUGAUAUUGGUCUAAAUAAGAAGGUGGUUUCCGAAUACGAAGUGGCCUGGAAGAUUGUAAGGGAGAAGUCGGUUUAACUUGUGGCUGAGAUGGCAAAUCAUCAGUGGUGGAGGGAUCAAAAACCAGUUUUGGGGUGGACGAAUGAGAUGGUUGAUGAGAAAAAGGAAAGGUUGACUCAUGAAAGAUGACAUUUCUUGAAACAAAGAUGGCCUAGGACAACAGAUCAAAAAGGAUAUAUCCUUUAACAUUUGGUUGAAAUCCAAGAAAAAUACACUCAUGGGCUCGAGGAUCAAAUUAAUGACGAUAGGCAGUAAGGGUUGUAGCAAAACUAAGGCAACCAAGGACACGUAAAUGCUAAAAGUCAGGCUUGGUUUGGUAAAGUUUUUCAAAAGGAGUAAGAUUAGCCAAAAGGGGAGUUGGGGUACGGUUAAUAAGGAACAUAGAAUGAAGAACAACAUGUCCCCAAAAAUGCUUAGGUAAACUAGAAUGGAAUAAAAGAGCCCGUGAAACAUUAAGAAUAUGUUGAUGCUACGUUCAACAAGACCAUUUUGUUGUGGGGUUUCAACACAAGAAGUUUGAUGAAUGAUUCCUUUAGAAGCAUAUUGGAAUAUCAAACUUACGGCCAUUAUCAGUUUGAAAGACCUUAAUUUUGGAGGAAAAUUGAGUUUCAAUAACUGUGUAAAAAUUUUGAAUAUGAGUACGAACUUCAGAUUUGGCUUGCAAGAGAAUAAUCCAAGUAAAACGACUGAAAUCGUCAACAAUAGUUAGAAAAUAACAAUGACCAGUGACAGACACAACAUCAGUCGGACCCCAAAUAUCAAUGUGAAUAAGAUCAAAGAUUUUAUUAGAAACAGAAUUGCUUAGAGCAAAAGGAAGUUUCUUUUGUUUUGCCAAAUGACAAGCUUUACAAUCUGAAUUAUUUGCUAUGGACAAAGAAGGAAUAUAAUAAGAAAGUAACUUCAAUCUUGAAUCAGAAAGGUGACCAAGACGAUGGUGCCAAAUGUGACAUGAUGUGGUGGUGGCUGACAAGACAGUAGGAAUGGUAAUGGAGAAGGUUUGAGCUGGUGAGUCCCAAAAUAUAAAGACCAUGAAAAAUAUUAGCUGUACCAAUCAUCUUCAUAAAGGGAAGGGCCUGUAAGGAACAAUGAGUUUUAUGAAAAGUGAAUGAAUAAGGUAAGGUGGCAGUAAGUUUAGUAACAGAUAAGAGAUUGAAAGCAAACUGAGGAACAUAAAGGACAUUUGUAAUAUAAAGGUUAUCACUAAAAAUAAUUGUACCAGAAAAUCGAGCACAAACUUUGGUGCCAUUAGGAAGAGUGAUAUGCACAAAUUGAAUUGGAGUGAAAGAGGCAAACAAGGAUAAAGAAUGUGUAAUAUGAUCGGUCGCACCAUUAUCUAUAAUCCAAUGGUGUGAUUGAAAAGAAAAGAGGUUACCUGCAGAUGUAGAAGUCGUUUGGUGUAAGGAAGAGACAGUGUUGGUAACAUGAGGUGGUGAGGUAGAGUUUGAAGAUGGAAGCAAUGCGAGCAACUGUUGUAACUGUUCUUGUGUCAAAUUAACACAAGGAUCAAAUGGCAAGGUAGCAACAGACUGUGAAGAGUUCAAGGAUUGUGCAGCACCAUCAUCAAACACAGUGUGUGCAUAAGAAGUCCGACCACGAGACUUAUAACCAGGUGGAUAACCAUGCUUCGCAUAACAUGUAUCAACAGUGUGCCUAGAUUUGCCACAAAAAGUGCACUUCCGUGAAUCAGUAGAAGAUUUUGCCUGAGAUUUCUUGAAAGAAGAAUGUUGGCGCAUUGUGUUACUAACAAACACUUGAGAAGAUCCAAUAGUAAGAUGACGUUCCUGUUGAAUGACCAGAGAAAAGGCUUUAUUGAUCGUAGGCAAUGGAUCAAUGAGCAUAAUUUGAGAGCGAACACCAGCAAAUCGAUCAUGAAGACCUUUAAGAAAUCGAAUGACAUAGUCAUUAUCAUGAUAUUUCUAAAGAGUAGCAAAAACACCACAGGAACAAGGUGUGUGACAAGAACAGACGAGAAUCGGUCGAAAAUUCAACAACUCAUCCCAGAAAAUCUUCAACUCAGUAAAGUAAUCAGUGACCGAGCGAUCAUCUUGCUUGAAAGUAGAGAUCUCUUCUUGGAGAUCAGAAAUGCGAAAAACAUCUCCUUGAGAAAAACGUUCAUGGAGAUCGCGCCAAAUCUUAUAAGUAAAGUCUAGCCAAAGAAUACUAUUCAUGAUUGAAGGCAAGAUAGAGUGAUGCAGCCAAGAGAUCACCAUAGUAUUGCACCUUUCCCAAGCUAAAUAAAGAGGAUCUGUUCUGAUCGAAACUGGGAUUGUGCCAUCAACAAAUUUAAGCUUCUUCUUGGAUAAAAGCGCCAUUGUCAUUGCACGAGACCAAGAAUGAUAAUUCGAUCUUGAUAAGGCAAGAGAAACAAGAACUAAGGCUGGAUUUUCAUUUGGAUGAAAGUAAUAAGGACUGGAAGGUAGUGUAGGAUCAUGGAGUGCCAUUGGAAAGAAAUAAAACCAAUGAAAAUCAAAGAAACAGAGUGUUUGGGAAGCGAGAAAGUGCAGAAAAAUGCAAGAGAAUUGAAAGAGAAUUUUAGAUCUGAUACCAUGUAGAACAAAAAUAUAUGAAAACUGCUCAAAAUUAUUUACAAUACAAAGGCUCAGUUAUAUACAACUUACAAGAGAAAAGAAAAAUAAAAGAAUUGAGAACUUACAUAGGUGUAUCAAACUAACUGCUAUAUCUGCUAACUGACUAACAAUUAAAUUAGAUCUAUAUUACUAACACUACUCAAGUUGAUCUCCAGAACAAGUAGCAUUGGGGUCAUUAUACUUAAACAAAGUCUAAAAAGGGCUCUGUUAUAAUAUAAAUCCAAGAGCAUAUUCACCUUUAAAGGGAGUUUCCUCUCUCUUCCUGAAGGCAAACCCUUCUCCUUUAAAGACUCCAAUGACACCUCAUCUCCCUCUUGAAAUCCAAUUGUUUCGUUGUCUUUUAAGUUAACCGGUAUGUAUUUGGUAAUCUCGCAUGCAUACCUUGCAAUGUCAAAUGAAAAUAGCAUUAAUUUAAACACUAAGCAAAUAUAUAUAUUUAAGCAUGCAUGCAUGUAUGUUUGAUAUAUAUGUUAUACUAAAAGGCAAAAAAAAAUUAUUAAUGGAAGAGAUAAGUACAUAAGCUUUUUGUAAUAGUGGUGAGCAAAAACCAGUUAUAAUUUAUUCAAACCAAACCACAAUCUAUUUAUUUAAUUAUUUUUAUUUUAUUACAUAAAAAUAAAUCCUCUAUUUCUAAAUUAGCAAAAAUAUAAAAUAUUAAAAUAUAAUUCUUUUAGAACUUUAAAAACCAAUCAACCAAAUCACAAAUUUGGCCUCUUUUUAUCUUACUUUUAGCAAAUUAGAAUAUUGCAAAUUAACCACAACUUUUAUACAAGUUGAACCAAACCAUUGCCGAAUCUAGUCAUAACAAUGUUACAACUGUAAAAAUAAGAUUAAAGUUUUUUUGAGAUAAAUUAAGUCGUGUUUUGCAAAAUAAUUACUGUUUUUACAAGUUCAAACACUGUUUAAUAAGGCAAGCUUUCUGGUGUUUUCGGGUGGUCAAUGUAACUUCCAGGAUCCAAUCAUAACGUUUAGGUUGGGUAUGGGGUGUUACACAAGGUCUAUGUUCAUAUAGCCAAGCACUAUAUGUCACAUCCCAAAAACUAGAUUAGUGGGCAGAUAGUGGUCACACCCUAUUUUUAGAUAAGUGUUGUAAGUUUGUGUAAAGUGAAUUGGUUUGCUUUAGCGGUUAAGUGUUGUUCUUGUGUGUAAGAGGUCUUAUGUACAAAUCCCUUCUCUUGAGUUUUAUUAUUUUUAUUCCUACACUUGACUGGUCACAAGUAGGUUAUAUUUUAUUCUUGUUAGUAGUUGACAAGAAAGACUUUAUUGAUUCAGUGGUAAGAUUUUAACUUACCUAGGGUUCUCGUGUUUGAAUCUUCCUGUGUGUAAUGGUGGAUUUCUUUUUGUUUCCCCUCUGCUAUGCAGUCCAUGACUCAAGAAAUGGGUCAAUUUUCAAACACUUUGAGAUCUAUAGGAUAACAAAUAGUCCUAAAAGAAUCUCUCCCACUUUUCAAUCAACCGUCCCACACUUCCACUCUCUCUUUUACUGCCCUCUUCUUCCCAUUUUUCUCUCCAUCUUUGGGUUUUCUUUAGUUUCUUUCCUUCUCUUUUCUUUUUCUCUUUUUGUUUGGCUAUACUCACAUUUUAUUUUUUUCGGUUACCAUAUUACACGUUUGCGACUCUUCUUGUUGUUCCUUUCAUUGUUUGAGCGUCGAUCUCAGGUUCUUCAUAUGUCAAUUGUGAGUGCAGAAGUGUUCAAUACUGUGGUCACAUCUAUGUGUAAGUGUUUUUAUUCCUUCUCCUUUAGGAAUGAAUGUUCCAUUUGGAUAGUGUGCGAAUGAGAGGUUUAGAUUAGUGUUGGUCGUUUAAUAAGUUUUAUGUCGGGUUUUUUAUUUUGUGUUUCUAUCUAAGUGCGACACUGGAAGUGCAUAACAACCUUUCGACAAAUUAAGGUUUUCGUUUGCACUACAUCAAGGGUAAGGGAUUGUGUAUCUUAGUUGGAGACUAUUUCGGCAUGUUUAGGCUGACUACUUUUUCAUUUUUUUUUGCCAAAUACUCUAAUCAAGUAAGGGCUGAGUUAUUAUUUUGGACUUGGUGUGGCUGUUAAUUAGUCAUUUUGGAUAUUGUUUUAGGGUCCUAGAAUUGCUGUUGUUGUGAAGGCAUCAAAAAACGACUAGGUGUGUGACUCGAUCUUAUAAAAAUAGUGAAUGGGGAAAGUUGAAAAACCUACUGUUGACGCCACACUAUCGUGAGGGCCACAUGGGAUGGGUUAAGCAGGUCGUGUCACAUCCCGAAAAUCGGGUUAGUAGAAAUGGACAUUAGAUUGUGGGCUCGAGAGAAAAAUCAGGUUUUGUGUCGUAGAAGCUAAAAUAGGAUAAAAUAAAUAAUAAGUUAAUAAUAAUUAAAUAAAAUAAUAAUGGUAUUAAUAAUUGGGGAAAUAGUAAAAAUUAAAAGAGACUAAUUUGGAAUAGUGGUUAAAGUAGAGGUUAAAUGUGUAAAUUAAAACUAGUAGUUAAAAAGGGAGUUAUUAGAACAAGGGAGAAAUAAGAGAGGACUUAGAGGGUAAAUAGCCCAAUUUUAAAAAAAUUAGUUGGAUACAAAAGCCACUUGCCGCCCAAGUUCUCACCAUACUUUUUUUCAUUUUAAAAAUUUGUUAGAUCUAAGAUUGAAAGUUUUAUUUCAAAUUUUCUGCACCUUUUAGAUUUUCUUGGCAUCCAAACACCUCUUAUUCCAUUAAUUUUGCAAGAAAAUCACUUUUUCUUCUUCAAUUUCUCACCUAAACUUAGCUCAUUUUUGCUCAAUUGUUACAAAUUCAUUGUUUCUUAUAUACUAAAUUUUUAUUAGGUGUUUUUAUUUGAAUUUUCAUAGAUCUAAGCAAAAAAUUUAAGAUCCAUAGUUUUAAAGUUAUCUUUUGCAUAAAAAUGGUGAAUCUCAUACUAAAGUGCUAAGAGAUGUUUUUAAAAUGAUUUUCAGUAUAUUUUGAAAAUAUUAAGAGGCUUUCUAAUUCAAUUUAUCAAAAUCUUUAAAUAAUUGCAUGAAUUAAAUAGUUUUCUUUUGAGAAUGAGGAUGAACAAUGUUUUUUCGAAAAAAAUUAAUUAAAGAAAUUGAGCAAAGUUAAAGAUCUAGAUCUAUAAUUAAACCUUAGUUAGGGGGCUAGGAGGUAGAAAUUAAAGUUUUAAUUAAGUUAAAGAAAGAAGAAAUUAAGCGAAAUGUAUUGUACAAAAUAAGUUGAAUAAGUAUGUGUGAGUGGAUAGCCAUUGUAUGAACACAAAGAGAUAAGUUAGAUUGUUUUUAAAUGCUUAGUAAUAUGUAUUUUUUUUUGUUAAGUAAAAAACGUGGGCGGAGCCUUAGCAAACCAAGAUAAAGGCAAGCAUAAAGUUGUCUCGUUCAACAAGCCGUGGUGAGCUACAGGUGAGUGCAUUUGUAUGCCAUAUUUUAGAAUGAAUUACAAGAUCUAAAUAGUCGAAGUGAGGCUUGCGAACCCCCACUUAUGAUAUGCGAACCUUUACUUUUCCCUAGUGCAAAUUCUUGCAAUUUUGUUUGAACUGAGUAUCCAUGUUGUGCAAAAUUAAAUGGUAUGUGUAUAUAUAUAAUAUAUACGUAUAGGGGUUUUGUUAUUUAUAUAUAAUAUAUGGGUUUUGGUGUUAUAUGUAUAAUAUAUUUACGUGGGUAUGCUAUUCACAUAGUACAUAUAUAUGCGUGGUUUUGCUAUACAUAAUAUAUAUGUGUGGGUUUUAUUAUAUAUAAUAAAUAUGCGGUUAUAGAUUUUGUAUUAUCUAAUAUACAUAAAUGUAUAUGGGACUUUUAAUGUAUGUUAAAAUUGAAGUGACAAAGGUCACUAAAUAGGUCUGUGUAUAUAUGUAAUAUAUAUUCGUAUAUGGUUAUAUAGUACUUACGAAUGGACAUAAAAAUAAAAUAAUGUAAUGCGGACUUUAUAAGAUGUCAAUUCUAUUGAUAGUGCACAUUUAUGCAUGCACGAACCUGUAAGUGAAUUAUGAGUUUUAUGAUAUUGUGAGUUUUGAUUAGUGUAAAAUUAUAUUAUUGUGAAAUGCUAAGUGCGACCUCAAUAGUAGUGAGAGCCAAUUAUAUUGUGGAAUGAAAUGUGGUUAAUUAGAUAUGUUGGCAAUGUGAACACUUGAAACCGUUGGAUAACAUUGGCAUGCCAUAAGAUUGUGAGUACUCACCAUUUUAUUAUAUGUUGAACAUUGUGGCCCGAAGAUAGCGUUGUAGAGAUAAGGGAAUGUUGAACAUAGCUCAAUUAAUCGUAGAUAGUGUGGUGUAUUUGGAGAGUGUGAGCAUACGUGCUACACUUAUAUGGAGAUAGCAUAGACUCUAUGGGCCAUGUGGUGUGUUUUGGAAAUCUGUUUAUCCAAUGAGUAUAUAAUUUGCCCAUGUUUCAUAUUCAUGAAUGGCCAAUAUAUCACUGUGUUGAGUAUGUAAUUUGUGUUAUAUGUGAAUUGUUAAAGUAUGUCUAAAUCCUAACAUGUAUGAUGUGUAUAUUUGUGUUGUAUGCAUGUGUACUCACUGAGCUUCUCCAAGCUCACACUCCUUACUUUACAUUGAAGAUAAAUAGUUCGUAGGUUAGCGAAUAGGGUGGCAAAUCGGUGAUCCAUUACAAGCCAUUUUUUAAAGGAUGUGUGUGAGCUUUUAAACUCCGAAGUGAAGGCAAUGUGGGUUUCUCAAAGGGUUUAGUACUAGAAUUAGACUUGGACUUUUUAAAUAAAAUUUUUCACUGGUUGUAAACGAACAUUACAGACUUUUUUUUGGGAUUUUUUAAUGUUAUAAUUGCUUGCUUGAUUGCUUAUCUUAUCUAGAUGGUUCUAAGUACUUGUUGAUGAUAAUUAAAUAAACUAAUAAUUUUUUGCAGGUAAGGGAGACCACUAGGUAUUAAGGUACGCCUUAUACUUUCUGUUUGUGUGAAUGCAAUGAUUAAUUUAAAAAAGCAUGCAUUUAGGUCUAAUUUACUAUAUGAAAUAUUCUACAAAUGUGUGGUGUGUAUGGUUGGUGUGGUUCGUAAAGUUUUAAAUAGAAAGACACUUUGGUGGCUAAUGUGACGUUUAAACUUCGGGCCAGAUCGUUUCAGUCGGGUUUAGGGUAUCACAUUUAAUGGUAUCAGAGCCAGGUUUAUAAAAACACAGACCGAGAUACAAUUUCGACAAAUUAGCAUAUUUGAAAAUAUAAAUACAUUGAAUUUAGAAUAAAAUUGGAAAUGCUUAAACCUUUGUGAAAAAGUAACCUUGUAUGAAAAUUAGUUGUCAAUAGGGUAGGAAUGGGAACACAUUGACUUCUUUGAAAGUGUUUUCUUGAAAAAUUUCCUAGGAUAACUUGUCACUUGUCACUUUCCCGUUUUAUUUAAUUUUAUGUAAAUAGUAGAUAAAAUGCCUCCUAGUCCCAGCUAUCCGGCUAAGAAUGCACCAGUGGAACCACCCCCAAGGCAAGCUGCACCUGGAACUGGUUUCGAGCCCUUGGUUCAAGCGAUGAGUGGGGCGUUUCAAAGGAUAGCUGGUGGGAACCCUGCCGCAGCUACGAAAGGGUUGUCACUCGAACAACUCUGAGCUUUGGGUGGUAAAGAAUUUUGACGAGCUAAAUGAGCUGAUCCGACCAUUGUUCAAAAUUAGUUGGAGAGUGUUGAAAAGAUCCUUGAGCAAAUGGGAUGCUUGAAUAAUGAGAAGUUGGGUUGUACCAUAUCCUUACUAAACGGUGAAGCUCAUCGCUGGUGGAAUACAGUAAAGAGAGAGAUCAUUGAUGAUCACCUGUCUUGGGAGUUCUUUUUGGAGUUUUUCUUAAAUAAGUAAUUGGGAUAGUAGUAACUAGAUGCUAGAAGUAAGGAGUUUCUAGAUCUAGUCCAAGGAAAUAUGUCUGUGGCUAUGUAUGAGUUCGAGUUUGUGCGACUCAACCAGUAUGUUCCAGAGAUGGUAUUCUUUGAAAAGGAGAGGUGUAAUAGGCUAAAUCGAGACAUUCGAGUAUAUCUAGUAGCACAGAAGACUGAGGCCUUCGAUGAUUUGGUAGAGAAGGCUAAGGAAGUAGAGGAGACACUAAUCGAGCCACUGAGACUAGUUGUAUCUAAAUCCAAAAAGAGGGGCUCCAAUCAGUCAAGAUCGUCGAGAAGGCCAAGCAAGAAAGGUCGUGAUUUUCGAAAUUUUGAUGGGUGUUUGACGAGACUCUCAACCAAGCCAGACUGUACCACAGAGCACUACAGUAGUUUCUGAGAAUGGAUCAGCUGAGGUGGCAACUUGUGAGCAUUGUGGACGUGGGCACUCGAUAGUGUUUUGGAGAGUGUCGGGGGCGCAUCUACAUUGUGGGUUAAUGGAGCAUCGACUACAAGACUGCUUAAAGAGAUUUGAGUUGUCUCAAACUAUCGCACUUAUUAAAGGCCAAGGCUUUGGUGGUAACGGGAGAUCGAUGGGUCAGAGGACAGUUGGCAAUAUAGUAGUUGUAUUGACUGAGUUUUGUGGACCCACUCGUGUUUACGCUGUUAAAGAGCCGCAGAACCGUGAGGCAAUAGAUAUGAUUGUAGGUGCAUUCAUAUUGCAACCUUUUUCUUUAUUUUUGUUAGUAGAUUUGGGUUUCACCCAUUCGUAUAUUGUGAGUUAUCUGGUUGGUGAGUUGGGGAUUGUAACAACCCAUUUUCAGUGAAAUCAGAAUAGUGGUUUUGAGACCACAAAUCUGAUAAGUAAAUUAUUAUUUUAUUAUUUUAAUGUCUAUGGGAUGUUAUUAAAGUCGUAUUAAAAUUUCGUUAAAAAAUUUUGAUGUUUGUAUACUUAAUUAAGUGAAAAGGACUAAAUCAUAAAAAAAAGUACAAAAGUGGAGCUCUAUUAGUUAAAAGUGUCAAAUAGCUAUGAAACUUUAAACUGAAAGGGCUUAGGUGGUAAUUAGAUCAUUCAUGAAGUUAGUGGAUGUGCAUGGCGUGAUUUUGAUGAAAUUAUGAAUGUUUUUAAAGGACAAUAUCGUAAAUAAGUAAUUAAAGGUUAAAUUAAAUAAAUAAAGACUUAUCUUCUUCAUAUCAUCAAAAAUCAACCAGAAAUCACCAUUAGAGAGGGGUUAAGUAUUUGGCCAAGCUCUCCUAUUGCAUGUAAGUGAUUUUUGAGCUCGUUUUUAAUCAUUUUUAUAUUUUCGGGAUUGUUGUAGCUUAACCUAGCUAGCUCGAGGAUCAAUUUGUAAAAUUGUUAAAGAUUUAGGGUUAUUCCAUGCAUGUUCUUGCAUGAUUCUUGAUCUUUAAUGAUAGAUUAUGAGACGUUGUUAAUAAAUAAACAAGUUUUGUAAAGUGAUUUUUGAUGAAAAUGACAUUUAGGGACUUUUUUGUAAAAAGGAUAAAGUGUUUAAAAUGUUAAGGACUAAAGUGUAAAAUGUUAAAAUAUUAGGGGAAAAUUAAUAAUUUUGCAAAAAUGUGAAAUAUGGACUAAAUUGAAUGUUAGGAUUAUUAAAUGGAUUAAUAUUGUCUAUUUAGAUCAAGACAGACCAUGUACGGAUCUAGAUCGGGGAAAAGUGAAAGCCUCAGAUUAGUCUAUCUCUUUCUCACGCCCUAGUCGUCGAGGUAAGUUCGUAUGAUUAAACAUCGUUUUAAUGUUAUAUCAAUUUAUAUGUGUUAAUUGAUAUGAAAUUAAAUUAUGUUGAUCCAUAGUAAUGUUAUGAUAAUUAUCGAGUCCCGGUUGAACCUUAAGAAUUCGUAGGAUACAAAUGACAUGUCUCUAGGGAUUUCAUGUUUCGAGUGCUGGUCUUGAAUGUCCUACCGAUGGUUGAGGUUUUUCAUUUUUUGCGAUACUCCACAGCUCGUGUAAGCAGCAUCAUGUAGCUUACAUUCUGACGCACAUCUCUUGUGCGCAGGCCCAUUUUACAACUCGUGUGAGCAAUGAUGUAUAGGAAAGGUUACAAUUAUAUGUUUAAGUACACUUUGUGUGAGCUUUCCCGAGUAUCUGAUAAUAUUCUAGAUGAUUCAACGGGCAAUGAAAAGGAUUGAAAAGGUAAGUUCCUCAAGUGGAAUUAUGCAUAUGUUCAUGAAAAGAUGAAUGAAUCAAGUGAUAUAUGUUCACAUGGAAAUGAAUUUUGUCAAAAGGACUAAAUCGUGUAAAGUGCUAAAGUUGUGUUCUAUUAGAUAAAUGUGUUAAUUAGCUAUAGAACUUAAGAGUUGAGGUCCUUAUUGAGUAAUUAGACCAUUAAAAGAGAAAGUGGAUGCACAUGGAGUGUAAUUAUGAUGUUGGAUGGGUUUGGUUGGUAUUAGGUUAUUAUAUAAUACAAUAAACAAAAAGGAAUAAAAAUAUUAUUUUUAUUUCUUUGCUUAUCUUCUUCCACCGUCUUUCACCAAGAGAAUAGCCAUUGGAGAACUCAAAUUUUUAGCAAACUUAAACCCUUGCAUGUAAGUGAAAUUUAUGUUUGUUUUUGUUGAUUUAUAUGUUUUUGGAACCCUUGAAUCUUAAGCUAGCUAAAUAGGGGACUAAUUUGCAAGAUGAUUGAAAGGCUAGGGUUUUGGGCCAUAAAAGCAUGAUAGUUGAUUGUGAAGUUUAAUGGAGGAAAAUGAAACCUUGUUGUGUGUUGAACAUUUAUUGUUAAGUGAUUUUUAUUGUAAAAUGCUAUUAUGGGUUAAUUUGUAAAGUAUGAAGAUUUUGAGUUAUAUGAGUGAAAUUGGGGAUUAUAUGGGCUGCUAUGAGCACCUAAAUAAUUCAGUUAGUCUUUGAUGGGGAUGAAAUUCCAUAAAUUUUGUUUUAUGAGCCUAGGGACUGAUUUGUAAAUAUGUGAAAGUUUAGGGGCAAAACUAUAAUUUUGCCAAAGUAUGAAUUGUGGACUGAUUUGAAUAAUGUGACUAAUAAUUAAGCUAAACGUGAUAUUAUAGAUCAAAGAAAACGAGGUUUGGACCUAAAAUGGGGGGAACUAAGAAUUGACGGUUAUGUCCCUUUUUUCGCAUUUGGUGUCGAGGUAAGUUUGUAUGUAAAUAAUAUAUCGUUUUUACGUAUGUUAUAAUGUUUUUUUAUAUUACAUGAGAUGUGGUUGUAUAUUGAAUGAUUAUUUGAUGUAAAUUAUGAAUUGAGAUUGACUAUGGAUGAAAUUGACAAAGUGAGAAUAAGUGAGAAAUUUCCCGGUUGAACUUUAGAAUAAAAAAGGAUACAAAGGACGUCAUGAGAACUCAUGUGUAGUACUAUGUGUAGGCUACUAUGAGUAUAAGAUAGUUAUGGUCACAUGUGUAGUACUAAGUGCAGGCUACUAUGUGUACCAGAUAGCUUUGGUCAAGUAUGUAGUACUAUGUGCAGGCUACUACGUGUACCGGAUGGUAUUGGUCACGUGUGUAGUACUAAGUGUAGGCUACUAUGUGUACCAAAUAGCAUUGAUCAUAAGGGUGGUACUAUGUGCAGAACCACCAUGUAUCUAUUAUUAUUCCGAAGUGUUUAUCGGGAAAAUCGACUAAGUGAAAUUAUGUGUGACUAUGUGGUGAUAAGUGCAAGUAUAUGUAUGUGUAUACUCAUGAGCAAUGUGUUCGGUACGUGAUGAAAAUGUGGUAAAGUUGCAAAGAAGUGAAGUGAUAAAGUCUUGUAUCAUGCAUGCAAGUUGAAUUAUGUUAUUGAAUGUUGAGCAUAUUGUUAUGAUGUUUCAUGAAAGAGUGAAAUUUGAAAUAAAACAGUUUUUGACAACAACAGUUGUGUGAUUUUAAAAUAUCACCAAAAAUGGUGGAAAUUGAAUUAGAGGUUGAAUGAGAUGUGAAAUUAAAACUUAUUGGAUCUAAUUUCACAUAAAAGAAACAGAGUAGGCAAAAGAAUUUCAUAUUAUGAGAUAUUUUAAUUUUAGUGAGACAGAGUCAGAAUGAUUUUGGAAUCCCCUGUUCUAACUUUGGAAAAUUAUUAAAAAUUUUACAAAAAUAGUUAUGGCUUAGAAUUUAUAUGUUUAAAAUCCUAAAUGAGUUUAUUUUCAAGAGACAUAAAUGGGAACAUCAUCCAAAUUCUGUACGGGAAGAUAAUUAAUUUUUAGUGCAGAAAGGUUGAAACUGUCAAACAGCAGAAUAGGGGAAUUUUAAAGAAUAAAUUGUACUUAUUAGCGAGUCUAGUUUCAGGGAAAAUUUGUGAAACUUAAUUUGGAGUUUUGUAACUUACGAUAUAAAUAAUUUAGUGACUAUAACUUGAGUAGACAGUUAUAUACGAACUUGAGUAAAUAUUGGAACUUUGUGCUUUUAUGAUUGUAUUAUUUGGAGAACAUAUUGUGAACAUUGAUAAAAGCAUAUUAAUAAAUUGUUUAUUAUUUAUAUAUUAACUUACUAAGCUUUAUAGCUUACUCAUUUUCCUUUCUCUCAUCUUAUAGGUUUAUAUAGCUAGCUCGGGUUGGAGAUUGCCGAAGAUGCUAUCACACUAUCAAAUUAUCAUUUGGGUAUAAGUGAAUGCAAGUAUUUUAAGCUUAUGGCAUGUAUAGGGACUUUGUCUUUUGAAUUUUUUUGUCAUUGUUAAUGAGGCCAAAUGUGUUGGCCUAAUAUAGUUUAUGGUUCAAUUGGUAUACAACUAUGAAUGAUGGCUUAUGUUGAUUAUAAGCUUAUGCAUAUGUUAAUGCCUUGUGUGAAUGUGAAGCUAAUAUUUUUUUUAUAAUGAUCUAAAUAGGAUGAUUAAGACAAAUGAUGAUAUGAGGAUGAUAUGUUAUUAUCUUAUUUAUGGUCAUUUGCUUGCCUAAGUAUGCUAUGUGUGACCACACGGCCUACCCACAUGGGCAUGUCUCAAACCACACGGGCGUGUGGCCCUGUUUCAUGAUGAAAUUUUCUAAGUUUCCUAAAAGACCUCAAAGUUCUCUGUUUAGUCCCGAACUACUUCCAAUGUAUGUUUUGGGCCCGUGUAAGGGACGAUAUGAUUAUUUUUGAAUGGUUUUAAUGUAGAUUAAUUUUCAUGACUCGGAAUAGUAUGAUUUCUUGUGUUUAAGUCCUGUAACGCCUCAAACUCUGUUCAAGCAUUGAAUACGGGUAAGGGGUGUUACAAAAAUUCUUGCACACGAGGAAUAACAGUGUAACACCUUAUACCCGGCCUGGUUGCCAAGCCUAAAUAUCAGGAUUCCACACCAUUGUCUUAUGUCGUUCUCAUAAUAAAUUGACACAUUAUUAAGAAAUCAUCCUCUUUAUCAUUGGUCUUAUAAAUUUUUAGUCAAACAUAUAUCAAUUAUCAUUAGCACAUGCCGAACAUACUUUAAAUAAUCUUGUAAUAAUAAUUAAACAUGCAUAAGGUCUGUUUAGCAAAAUCUCAAAAUUGACCACGUAGGUAUCGAUAUUGAAGGUGAGAUAUAGAUAAUUCUCCCAAGUGGUGUCGAUAUCGCUUGAAAAAUCGGUACCAAAACUGCUUAUUGUUUCUUGUUUAAAAAACCAAACCUCGAAAAUUAUCGGUACCUUUGCCAAAGUAUUGAUAUUUCUAUCCCGAGUAUCGCUUGGAAACCACACCGCUUACACUGACACACUACUAAUCUACAAUGGUUUAAGAUGGGAGUGGGUGAGCUUAACAAGCUCAGUGAAUGCCUAGAACAACUACCAUGCAAGUAAUUCAUCAAGCAUCAAUGAAACAACUAUGUAGAACAACCUCAACAGUUCCAACACUAGUAUCAUAAUAUACUUAGUCGUGCAUUAUUACUAGUUCAUUUUGAUGGUAAUCAUAUUCACUUUUAAGCAUAUAUCACAUUACACAUAUAAUCACAUAACAUUUAAGCAAAUAUCACAAUACUCAUAUAAUCACAUAAAAUUUAAGCAUAUAUCACAAUACUCAUAUAAUCACAUAACAUUCAAGUAUAUAUCACAAUACACAUAACAUGUUUAUAGAUAAAUUGUAUAAUGGUCACAUGUACUAUAAACACACAUCACAAUACACACAUAUUCAUAAUUUAAGAUAAUUUGACACUUGAACUAUGAAACAUAAAAGUGAGCUCUAUCAUCACUCAUCGAGUACAUGAAUCUCCAACACACCACAUAGACUCAUAGAGUUAAACAUGUCCUAAAAUUGAAGCAUAAAACUAACACUCUCUUUAUUUCCCCUCACAUGUCUCGUUGAAUGGAGCUUAGCUCACAUUCCCUUAUUCUUCCAAGUGUGAAUGCCCAAAAUCACUGUACAUAUAGGUGAGUACUCACAAUCCUAUGGAAUGCCAACUAUAUCCAAUGGUUUCAAGAUCACAAGGCCAAAAUAUCCAAAACAAACAUAUAUCAAUUACCAAUUAUCCGUGCACUAUCACUGCAUAUUUGCAUUUUUAGCAAAACACUAUCACUAACAUUUAUCAUAUACAUAACAUGUACACAGUUGCACUUUCACAAUAGUUAUCAUAUCCACAUAUCACAUGCUAUAGCAUCUCAUCCAAAUUCAAAUAUUCACAUUCGCAUAAGUACAUAAUUCAUAAGAUAAACAUAAUUAUGAGAAAACUUACACUCAGAAUUUAGAGUAAGGGUUUAGGCUACUACUAAAUUUCCAAAUAGCGCAUUGAAUCAUGUCCACAAAUAAUUAUUCCAAACACUCACCAAUACACUUUCACCGAAAUACCAAAAGUUGAAACUAGUUUUUCCUUGCCUUUAUCUCUACUCGUAGAAGGUCCUAUCGAUUCCAAUGCUUCAACAAAGUAAAUCACACAACAACAUAAUGAACAAUCAGCCAAAGACUCACAUCAAACAAUCCAAACACACAAUCCUAAGCUAGGUUCUCUUUUGACCGAAACCUUCGACAUAGAAAACUUAAAAUUCGAAUAUCACCGGCUAUACUUAAUCUUUUUGCCUAAAACCAAUUCCGUUCACCUUAUAACUCGACCAUGGCUAAUGGCUAAUUCCAAACCUUUAAACUACGCAAAACUACUCAAUUCAUAGUAUCGACUUUUCCAACAUGUCUUAUGGCUAUUUUUUGAAAAUUCAUUAAAAUUCAUGAAAUCUUUAAUGAAACUUCAAAGUAAGUUUAGAAACCUUCUAAAUACAUCAAAACUAAUUGAAAAACACUUUGAAAACAUGUUUUUACUCAAAAUCUCGAAAUCCAUCAUUAACCACCCAAUUUUUUACUUCAAAAGAUGUGAUUUAAUGGCUAAUAUUUCAAUUUAAAGGACUAAAUAACAUUUAAAACUAACUAGAAGUUGAAUCGCUACCUUAGAUGAUGAAAAUCUAAGUGUUUGAUCGAAAAUCUGAAAGCUUGAUAAUGGAGAAAUCAAUAGUGUUUUCGGGUGUUUUUCUUAACUUCUAUGGAGGUUUAUGACUAGGAGGAUGAUAGAAAUCAAAAGAAUAGAGUUUAGGAAUCAAAAUCGAUUGAGAGAGGCUUCUUCAAACAAGGGACGAUAGCACACAAUAUUGGGGAAGAGACUAACGUAAAAUUUAUAGGUGGGAGAUGAUUUGAGGUUGAUUUUUAAAUUUUGGCUUAAUUUCCUCUUAAAAACUCACAAUUUUGACUCUUUUACAAAUCAGUUCUUUUUCUAAAAUUAAAGGUUUCUAAAACACUUUUUCAAAAAUUGAUUUGACCUUUGAAAAACCAUAAUAAAAAAAACAUUACCGAUAUACCAUGUCGCAAAAUUUCGAACACUCUAAGGCUAAAAUUCCUAAAAUACCCUUGAAACUCCUAGGCCCUAUUUUGGGGUGUUACAACUCUCCCCUCUAAAAAGAAUUUCGUCCUUGAAAUUUUACCUACUGACACUUCACUUGCUUAAUAACAAAAUAUGCUACUUCUACUUUUAAACUAACUAUCACACUUUCGCUGCGCACUCUGAUUCCUAUUAUCUCUAACUUACUAUUUUUCUUAAUGAUUCUAUUCAUUACCACACACUAUUCUACACUAACUUUCCGAACAAUUCCCUUUACUCACUACAACACUCUCGUCUAAAGGACUCGUAACCAUUUUUCCAAAUUCACUAGUCUCUAUCAGGAUUCUCUACUUAUUAGCUAAUUCACUUAAAUUUUAUGAAGGCAUAAAACCUAAUUCUAUUAACGAGAAUAAAAUAUGUGAUUACAAGGAAAAAAUACCCUCAAUCUCAACAUUCGAAUCUUGAUCCUUUGGUUCCUUAAUUGCAUAAACCCAAGCUAGACCUCUAGACUCAACCCGCGUGGCAAAAGUAUGAUUAACAACUCACUAUCCAUUCGAUCUCCCAUUACUUCUACCAUGACCACGACCUCUAGCAGGUGUAGAUAGUAGCGCAAAACUCUGAGUCUGUGAGACCUUAAAUCUGUUUAGGAAAUCCCUCAGAAAAUGUUCUUUCAAACCACACUUAAAACAACCACUUGACAAUUGAUGGCACUCAACUGAAUGCCUACGCUCACCAUGUACAAAAAGUGGCCAUCCAAAACCACCCGUUGAACCACCAAUACCUACUACAAUGCUAUCUUGCUACACAAAGCUGCCAUCCAAAACCACUCGUCGAACCACCAGUACUGAGAUGCCAACAAAAUUCAAUUAGGCAAUCAUGUUAUUGGUUGCCAACAUGUGGAGCUACCGGGAUUGCACCCGCAUUAAAUGUUUCUAACAUUAAUAUCUUUCGAACUAUUUUGUUAUAUGGCAUUUUGCAGAGUAAACAUAUUUGUGCAGGACGGUGGAUUGUCAAAGAAAUGAAACGCUAUGUUUAAAGCCAAAAAAUUGGACUUUACUUCCCUCAUUUAGUGACAGUAUUAUGUAGAAAAGCCAAAGUUCCAAAAAGCGAGAGCAAACAAUUCAUGAAGCCAACAAAGUGCAUAAUUAGCGACACAUUAUAUAGGCAAUAUGCUGAAAUUCAACGAAAGAAAAUAACAGAAUGGAACCAACGGAGAAAAGAAAAGAUGGAUGUUUCGGUAUCGCUCAAAAGGAAAGAGAAGACCAUGGUUCGAAGAGGAAGUAGAGGGAACAUGAAGGAGAAGUUGGAUGGGAUGAUUCGGUGGAUGUAGGAAAAAGUCCCGUGCUCUAAGAAUUUACAAAGAUGAACGGGUUACGCACUCUGAAUUGUCCCCCAGAUAUGUUUAGGGUGACUCCAACUCACUUGGAUGAGGGGGCUAUUCUUUAGGAGGAAGGUGCUGCUCGGUAGUAUCUUAGAAUGAAGGAUGAAUACGAAGCGACAUUUCAGUUGCAAUUUUCUAAAGUAAAUGGGCCUGCCAUACAAAGCCUAACUCACCUUGCGCCUUCAACGGGUGAGAGCUCUCACCAAACACAUGUCAAAGGAAAGGGCAAAGCUCCAAUGGAUAUUAGACGAUCACCAUAUUGGGAUGAGGAGGCGAAUGGCUGAGCAUUUUUUUUCGAAAGACUUGUAUUAAUGAUUCUAAUUUAGACUUUGUAGGAGUAUGAUUAAUAAGUAAUUUUUUUUAAUUCUGCUGCAUUUUGCGUUUAAGUUUUCCAUGUAGGAAUCCAACAUGAAGGUGACACAAAUAGUUCAAACUUUAUAUGAGCAAAGGAGGAAGCAACCACUAAUAAGUGCUGAAGCGACCACGAUCAAUCGGGUAACUUCCUUCCUUAUCUUUUUAAGGGCUACACAUUGAGGACAAUGUGUCAACUAAAGUGUGGGGGUAACAAAAUUUUUUUUAAAAUUUUUUCAUUGAUUUUCCUUGUCUUUUGUGUGCUUGAGCUUGUAGAAACACAAGUGAUUAGUUAUGAGUAUGUACAUAGGUUGCUUAUGUUUAUGAAUAAAUUUAGAAUGAUGAUAGGGUAUUUUAAAUUUUUUGUUAUUAGACUACUAAUGUUCUAUAUGUUACAUUGUAAAUAGGCAUUAAGUAAUCAACUGUACCAAGUAAUAUAGAAAAUAAAAGGAAACAAGUAUGCUAGUAUGAAUGAUAAAUGGUUGAAUUUGAGUUUGUUUGGUUGACAAAAUUUGUGCAUGUUGAGAUAUUUAGGGAUGACCUAAGGCAUUGUUUGGAACUCAUCCAAAGUGAAAAAUUCAACCUAUUAAUGUUCACCUUUAGUACAAAUUUUUGAGCCUAUUGACACUUCUUAAUAAACCUUAUUACAAACCUCAAGCCUAAAAAUGUUAAUUUGUAUUUGCCUUUUUUUGUUUGGUCCUGCAUUGCACGAUUAUAAAUGUCUAGCCAUACGUAUUGAAGGUUAAGAAGAUAGAUUAAGGCAGAGUUUAUAAAAACAGAGUGAAAUAGGAAGGAUUAGUGUGAUAUGGGGACUAUAGGUUAGCAUGAAAAGUGCAAAAUAAAAGAAAAUUCUGAAAAAAAAAAACAAAAGUAACACAAGUAGAAAAAGUUCUCAAAAAAUAAAAAGCAUUCUUGAGUGAGAUGAGCUGAAAAAGAAAGCGAUAAAGUCACAAAAGAAAAAGAAACUCAUUCAUUAGUGCACAGAAACUCGUAGGCUAGCUAUAGUUACUAUGUCUCUCUAUGAUUUUCUCUACAUGGAGAGACAAGGAAGGUGAGGGAAGGAGAAAUAAGGCAGUGAGUGGGUAAGUUUCACUAAGGGGGAAGAAUAGGGAUCAAUACAAUAUGCCAAACUAUUUUUAUGUUUGUAACCCUUUUGAUGCUCACUAUUUUUGAAUUCCAUACCUAUCUUAAGCCUCAAAACGCUACAACCUGAAAUGUCCUAUGUGACCUAAUAUCCUUAUACAUGAAUGGACAUCAUACUGAACAUAUGCAUAAAGUGACUAUUUGUAUUCUACUUGGAUAAUCAAAGUACUCGUAAGAUUUAUUGAUGGAGCCCUACAGGUGAGACCCUCAAUGCUUGUAUAUUUUGUAAUAUACUGAACUUGGAUGUUUGUGAUCAAAACUGGUAAGUCAAUUAUUCAUCUUGUUAAAGUUGUUAGUAAGCAUAAUAUGCCUAAGUCAUAUGUUGCGACUUCAAUACCUGUAUCAUAUUCACUUAAGGGUCAUCAUUUUUAUUUGUAAUUUUUUAUGUUGCUUGAGGACAAGUAAUGACUUAAGUGUGGGGGAGUUUGAUUUGCUCUAAUUUGGUGCAGUAGAUUAAAAUAGUUUUCACAUUUAAGGAGCUUGAAUACAAGAAUUUUUGUGAUGUUUAAUUUAAGGUUUCUUAGUUUUAUUUAUAUUCAAUAAAAUGUACAAACUGAGUCUUUUAUUGACCUUAGCGGCCGAAUGAAGCCUAAGGGAGAGCUAACACACUUUGUAAGUGUGCAGGAGACUUUUAGAAGUAGUAUUAAACCGAUACUAGUUGAUAUGUCACCAUACAGGAUGUUCGAUGUCGCAACAUAGGGAGUAGAAUAGAGAAAGUUGAAGACUGCCUUCGAUUUCGUGACACAGGCUGAGGGUGUCGUGACAUACCCCUGCAAAUAGCUGAAGAGGAGUAUAUUGAUUGCUAUUUCACGACACAGGCCCCUAUAUGUCGAGACAUCGACUCUGUGAUGAAAAUUAAACAUGAACCAAGAGCGUUUUGGUCUGCACAAUCAAACUUAAAUCUCGGGAGCAUCAACUAACCUAGGGUUAAGGACGACGACCACCUGAAGGCUAUAAAUAGGAUCAUUUGUCACUUGUUAUGGACACCAUUCCUUUAGCUUAGAUUCUCUAUGCAAAAUUUAGUUUAGUAUUUUCUUUCAUUCAUAGGUUUCAAAUUUAUUUUAAUUGUUCUUGUUGAUUUUAAGAGAUCUGAAUUGUAGAAGCAUUUGAACUUUGUGGAUUCACGAUUAAUCUCAAUACAAUCAGGCUAUUUCAUUUAAUCUAUCUUGUCGAUUUAAUUAGCAUGGUUUCUCUUUACAUCGAUUAUAUAUUUGCUAUGAAAACCUUGAGGAACUAAUCCUCUAUGGGGGAUUAGGGAGUGGAGGUAUGAUCUGUUAACUGUUUUGUAGGCUUACUUCACAGAUCAGCUGUUUGGGAAAGGAAGAAUGUGAAACAAACCCUAGGCUUGACAACCCCGGGAAGUCAUCAAGGUGGGAAUUAACCCAAAAUUGGUAUGACCCAUCUAUGAACACCUUUACCCCAAGCCAGUUUGGAAUAUGAGGUCUGAAGAUAAGUAGUUCUUGCUGACUCGUUAUGUUAGUAGAAGAUCGUAAGAUCCUGCUAGGAUAGCGACUAGUUGAUUGGCAAGGAACACGAAACAACAGUUGAUGGAGAUUAUCGAAGUGAGCCAAUCACCCAUAAUUAAGAUUUGAUUUAUUCUCCAUUUUCUAUCUCUGGAAGUCAAUUUCGUUUAUGUUACUUUGCCUUUAUUAUUAUAGAAACCCUAAAAAGCUUUUUCUUUAUAUUUUCGUACUAUAAAUAAUUUAAAAGUAUUAAUUAGAUAUUUUAGUGUUUAGUUUAUAAUUAGUCUGGCAUUUACUUCCUUUAGGUACAAUCCUCGGAGUACUCACCUACUUCAUUGUAAACCUAUAUUACAACUCGACCCGUAUACUUGUGGAAACCGCCUUGUUUUUUUAUAUUUUAUUGUAUUAUUCACACUUUGGACGUUAGCAUGUUCGGAGGCGGUCACUGAUCUUGUUGGUGACCACAUUUAAAAAUUUCAGUUUCACCAUUAAUCUUCAUGGUUAAUUCAUUUUUUCCAGGUUAAUGGUGGAUUUUGACGUUACGAAGAAUGGUCUGCCUAACAAGAUGGGUAUCUCACGAUCUUCUUCAAAAUUGAGCAUUACAAAAUCUACUGGGAUGAUGAAGCUAUGCACUUUGACUAACACAUCUUCCGAUACUUCUUUUGGAUGUAUGGAAGAUUUGUUUGCCAAUUGUAAUGUGAUUAAAGUGUUCUUGAGGUCCCCAAACUCGAGUUUUUUGGAUAUAGAUAAAGGCAUUAGAUUUAUACUAGCUUCCAAAUCACAUAAAGCUUUACUAAAAUGAAUAUCCCCUAGCUCCAAAAUCAUAUAAAACUUCUCAGAUCUUUUAGUUUUUAUGGAACCCGUCUAGAUAUAUCACACUAUAUGAGGUGUUUAUAUUAACUUGCUUUCAUGUUUUAAUUUUCCUACACCUAAUCAUAGUUUCUUUUAAGAAUUUAGCAUAUUUAGGGACUUUUUUGAUUAAAUCAAUAAGAGGCAAGUUAACAUUUAGAAUUUUCAAUAAGUUCAAGAAACUUACAAAUUCAUCUUCAUCCCAACUUUGUUUUUCCUCCAACCGUGAAGGGAAUGGUAUUGUUGUCAUUGCAAGUUUUUCGAUGGACUUAUCUUUCGGCUCAACUGCUGAUUUGGUUAUCUCCUUUGGUUCUGGUUAUUCGUCAACUUGUUGGGGGCUUCUCGAAGAUUUUCAACAUUCUCUUUGGUUCCCUCGUGUGUCAGGGUAUCUAGGCUACUCAGUAUUUUGUCCGAACUGCGCAUAAUUGCUUUCACAUGCUCUUUCCCUUCCUUCAAGGAUUAUCUUUAGUAUUACUAGGAAUGUCAAUGUAAAUUUGUAUCUUAAUAUCUCCCAUCAUACUCAUCAAUUGUCUUAUCUAACCUUCUAGUUUAGUCAAUGUUUUUGCAGAAUUGGUGCACUUAGAUUGCACCUGUUUCACGUUUGUCCUCGUUGACUACAUUUCCCUAUCAAUUCGUUCCAAGCAUUGACCACAUACAAUAUGGUCAUUUUGGUUUGCCCUAUCCUAAGGCUUUUGUAAUUAAGGAGGUUGAUAAUUAGCAUUUUUAACUUGGUUAAGAUUAUUACCUCCUCCCUGGUUUCCGCCCCAUCUCAGGUUUAAGUGAUCUCUCCAUAUGGGAUUAUAAGUAUUUGAAUAAAGAUUUCCACCCCUAUUCUCGGUGUAAUUCACACCCUCAGUAGAAUUAUUAAUGUAAUGGAAUAGAGGUUUUUCUCCCCCAUAUAUAAAUGAUGCACUGAAUGAAGAUUCUAUACAGUUUAACCUAUCCACCGUCUGUUGGUAUAUAUCAUCAUUUUAAAUCGCUUUGACUGUAGAUGGCUUUUGGUCGUAUGUGUAACGUUCAGUUGGCUACUGGUAGGAAUUCAUCGCCAUGUUCUCUAUUAAUUCAUAUGCAUUAUCAUCUGUCCUAUUCAUUAAGGCUCCUUUUGUGGCUUCAUCCAAUCUUAGUCGUGUGUGUGCAUCCAACCUGUUAUAGAACAUUUGCAACCUAUGGUGUAGGCAUCUCUAAAUUAACGUUUCAAAAUGCUUAUAGGCUUCGUGAAAACUUUCUCCUUCCAAUUGUUUAAACGUUGCAAUCUCUCUCCUUAGUUGGAUCGUUUUGCUGAUAUGGAAGAACUUCUGUAAGAAUUUUCCUGUAAGUUCAUCCCAUGUCGUAAUAAAUGCUGGUGCUUGUGAAUCUAUCCAAGAGAAAGCUUUAUCUAUUAAGGAGAAGGGGAACAACCAGAUACAAAUAGCGCCAUCGGUGACCUUGUUGUAUUUAAAUGUAUUACAAAGUUGAAGGAACCAUUUUAAAUACUGAUUUGGGUCAUUCGUCAUUGUGACUCUAAACUGCAAAUUGUUCUGGAUCAUCUGAAUCAUUGCUAUUUUGAUCUCAAAAUUAUUAGCUGUGAUGGCUGGCCUUGUUUUGCUUCCUUGAACCAUCUCCAGACUUCGUAGCGCAUAAUUCCUUAGGGUUCUUUUGUUGUGUCAUAUGUAUAUUAGCGAGUAACUGUGGUGGUGGUAGAUCUUCUGAGUUAUUAUUGUUAACUUCAUCAAACAACGAAUUAUCUCGUGGUAGUAAAUUACCUAUAGUAGGUGACGAUUCUUACGAAUUAUUCUUUCUGCAUCUGUGGUUGGGUCUAUACGUGUUCCCCUACUACGAGUCGUACACUAAACCCAAAGAAAGAAAUAAAGAAGUUAGCAAACAUAAGAGAAUAAAAUUUUAUCUAUAAUUUAGGAAUUUCCUAAUUAUUCUAUUAACUACACAAAUUAAAAUCAAUCUAUUGAUGCUGCCUCCCCGGCAAUAGCAUCAACAACUUGAUUGCCUUCGGACGUAAGAAUGUUUGAAGUAUAAAUCCUGCACAAAAUAUGUUAAAUAGGUGGUAUCCGUAAGUAUAUAGGUCAUGUUGUAAUAUAGUUACAACGAAGUAGGUAAGUACUCCGAGGAUCAUACCCAAAGGAGGAGAGCACUAAAUUAAUUCAAACUUAAACAAAAGUAAUUUUAAUUAGUACUUUAAAAAAUUAUAUUACGACUAAACAUAAAGAAAGAGUUUUUUAAUAGCUAAAGAAAUAAAAUAAUAUAAAUUGAAAACGUAGGGAAAUUUGCUAUGGAAACUUAAUCAGAUCUGAGCAUGGGUGACUAGCUCGCCUCGAUAAUCAUAACUAACUAUUGCUUUGAUUUUCCUAUUCAAUCAACUAGUCGUUACCCUAGCUGGAUCUCUCAAUCUUCCACUAGAGCAAGAACUACUUAUCUCUUGACCUCACGGGUCCAGACUAGUUAGUGGUUAAGGUGUUCACGGAUAAACCGUACCAAUUUUGGGUUAAUUCCCACCUAAAUGGCUUCCUAAGGUCGUCAAACCUGGGGUUUAAAUUCUUACUUUCCCAAACAAUUGAUCCACUUAAGAAAGCCCUACACAACAAUCAAUUAAUCAUACCUCCAUUCACUAAUCCCCCACAAGAGGAUUAGUUCCUCAGGGAUAUUGAAAACAUAAUAAACUUGAUGUAAAAGAUGAACAUUAAUAAUAAAAAAAUCAACAGAUUAAGGUUUAAAAGAAGCCUGAGUUGUAUUUAAAUGAAGCACGAAAUCCACAAAAAUUUGAUCAAGAUCCAAAAAUCAAAUCUCCCAACAAAUGUAAAACUGAAAGUAUCUUAAAGUCUAAGAAAAGAGAAAUACUAAAAAUUGAAAUUAUGAGGAAAAUUAUACAAUAUGAAAAGCUGUCUCCAACAAGUGUUAAAUGAGCCUAUUUAUAGAGUUAGGGUUGUCGUCAUCCUCAAACCUAGGUCAGAAGACGCUCUCGUGUUUAAUAUUUGAAUGUGCAGACCAAAAUGCCCCCGUUUCUUAAGUAUUUCUCAUACAAGAUUAGUGUUGCGACAUCGAAGGCAGUAUGUUCGUACUGAGGGGUGUGUCACGACAUCCCUUGGUAGUGUCGAGACACUGAAGGCGGUCUUGGAAUUCUUGCUCUUUACUCCCUAUGUUGCGACACAGUGACCAGUAUUGAGUUGGCACUCCUUCUAAUGGUCUCCUGCAUACUCACAAAGUAUUUUAGCUCACCCCUAGGCUUCAUUCAGCCCCUAAGUCAAUAAAAUAUUCAAAUUACACUUUUUAUUAAAUAUAAAUGAAUUUUAGGAAACUUAAUUAAAACAUAAUAAAAUGCUUGUAUCCAAGCUCCUCAAGUGCCAAAACUAGUUUAAUCUACUACAUUGAAUUACAACAGAAAAGACACACUUAGGGGAGAAAAUCAAGGAUUCCCUUGUUAAAAAUAACAAUAGAGGUUGGGAGUUAGAGGCUAUAAAAUGAGGCUUCAUUUUCAUUCAUGACACAUCAUUGAGCACACAACAUUCGACAUCAUUUUUCUACUAAGUGUUCUUACCUUUCUCAUAGCUUGCUAAACACUUGAUUCCAUAAAUUAAGACAACACUUGCUGAAAUAAGAGUAGCUGGGAAGGAUGACUUGAAGGCAUUUACAUGAUUUAUCAUAAAGACAAGGAAGAGAGCUACCAUGGGAAGCCAUAAGGAGAGUCACAUAUAACCUCCUGCAGUCAACUGUUUCCUCUUCUUAUUGUGAAAUGGUUGUGGAUAAACCCUUCGACUACUCUUUCUUUCCUAUCUAUUUACUGUUAAUUAUUGUUUUAUGUGUCGAAAGAUAAGAGUACAUCUCAUCUUUAUGUUUUCACAUGACUUAAUUUUUUUAUUCAGAAUGAAUAUGAAUCUUGAUUUUAGUUAACUCGUUUUUGUUUUUUGAGUAUUUUGUGCAAAUGAUUAUUUUAUUCAUUUAGAUUUGAUUCAUGAUUAUACUUGUAAAUGUGUGACCAACAUUUGUAGGUUAAUGAAUUAAUUGUUUAAUCUGAGAAGAGGUAAUAGUUAGUUUACAAAAGACCUAAAUAGUGCAUAUCAUGUUGAUAUCAAAAGAUGAUUAUUGUAUGCAUAAACUGUGUAAAUGCCCUAUAGGGUGAUUUCUAGGUUAGUUUUGACAUAGACAUAUGCUGAUUAACUUAGGGAUAUAAUAGUACUUCUGAAGAAGCUUAUGAAUUAAUUAAGAUAGGGUUUAAUGAAUUUUAAUAUUGCCAUGAUCCUUUCAUGAUAUUCUUUUUAUAAAAGCCAAUAAACUCUUGUUAAGUGAAAUAUUUAUUUUAGUCUAUUCAUGUUUUUUUAUAUUAAAUCUUGUAUUUAUCUCGCCGUUGUGAUUAUUUGUCUGUAAGAUGUGUUGUUUUGUAGGUAUUUUACUUCUGAUUACAUUCCUUAACUUAAAUUUUGACUCUCAUCUGUAAUAUUCUUUUUUAUUUGUUUUCUUCCAAAUGGAUUAUAGCUGAAUUUACAAAUAAUUUACACAACAGUCAUUGUGGAGACGAUACUCUUUACUUACUACUACUUAUUAAUUGUACAAUUGUGUACACUUGCACGUAAUCAUGCAAUACACUCAUACCCGGAUUCAAUGUUCGGGUCGAGUAAAGGUGUUAAAGAAGGUUUGCAACAAGUCAAUUAGUUCAUCGAUUGUUAAACUUUCAUGAUCCAUAGCCUCCUCUAUAGUAGUGACCUUGAUGGAGAAUUUUUCUAGAAGAGAUCUUAAAACCUUCCUAAUCAAUUUAGUGUUGGAAUAGUCUUCCCGCAGAGCAAUUGCCUGGUUUGACAGAUCAUAGAGUUUUGAAUAAAACUCACUUUGUAACACACCAAACCUAGCCUAGAUGUUACGAUCGAAUCUUGAGAAAUUACAUAGACUCGCUUUAAACUCUAAUUUUUUGAACUCGAAAACAUGUGCCUUUCCAACAUUAAUUUUGGUAAAUCACUUUCCAGGUUUUAGAAAAGUACUCGUUAAAACUAUUUAUUUCAUUACAGAAAAACACUUAAGUGAUUAAUUUAUUUUGUAGUGAAAAUUUCUAGGUUAUUAAAUUUUUGAAAAUCAUGAUUUAUAAAAACCAAUAAUUUUUCGGUUUAAAAAUAAUAAUUACUAAAUCAACAAAGGAAAAUAAAAAAAAACAAAGUCCCACAAUAGUUUAUAGACCAAAAAGCCCAAAAAAAUAUAGAAUAGUUUGAAACAUAAAGCGUCUUAUUAUUAACAAAAAAGCACUCCGAGCUCCUAUGCGCUGCCCGAUCCUAGAUUUGCUGAUUACAUGAGAAGUCAAAAAUAAAGGGUGAGCUAACAAGCUUAGUGUGUAACUUAGCCCAUAAAAGCAUAACAUAUAGCACAAUUCACACAGAAGUCAGAUACUGAACAAAAUACACAACAUGGCAUAUGAUACAAUGUAACAUAAUUAUCAGAUCAGAUAUGGAUGGCAUGGCAUAUCAUGCGAUGCAACACUUAAUACAAAACAAAUAUAAAUUCUACCCCUAUCCACUACACACCAUCUAUGUCCAUCCCUACACACCAAUUAGGGUAAUAAAUACUUAUUCAACCCUUACACACCUAUGAGUGAACGUAUGUCACUUUUCAGAAUAGUGUAAUCAAGUUACCAAAAAUAGUGUGGUAAUCUGCCAUAAUUAGAUAAAUGUGGUCAAGUCACAAUAAUAUAUAUGUGGUUAAAACCACCACAUAAGGAAGAUCAUUAAACUGUCAACACUUCCUCCAUCACAUCAUUAUCCCACCCCAACGCACAUGUAAACACUAACUAGACAAUCAGGUACACAUAUAUCAUACAUGUUUUACACAUCAAUACAUGCUAACAUGCUUGUAGAAGUCAUACAUUCAGAACUAGAAUAUCAUAUUUCAAGUAUCAAAAUCGUAUUUAUCGCCUAACAAACCCUACGAAAUAGUUAACCUCAAUACCAACUUCAAAUUACAGCCAUAAUUAGAGUUUUCUAAAAAUGGGCCCACACACUCUUGUGGCCUAUACGACCUACUUGGACCAGCCCGUGCGGCCCACACGAUCUGGCACACAGCCUAAUAAAUGCCCAUGUGGCUUACACGGCCUACUUAACCUAGUCCGUGAGGCCCACACGGCCUGACAUAUAGUUGUGUGAGUGUAACAUCAACAGUGGGUUUCUUAGUUUCACAAUGUUCAUUGGUUUUUACGAGUUCAAGUCACACAGUUGGUCACUUUUUUAUGCCAACACAACAACCAUAAUUCCAGCACCUAAAAAUGACAUUCAGCUUAAUGAAUUAGCAAAUAAAACGAGAAUCGAUUAAGAGGAAAUGAAUUUUGUUUCCUAAAAUUUUAGCCAAAACAAUAGGGCAUUUGACUCUAACAACCAAAAUAUCCCCUAAUUGGGCAUUCGAUUACUUACUCUUGACAGAACAACAACUUCCAAUAGAAUCUAGAUCGCUAGAGGUUCAGACGUCUCAUGAUCUUCACCUAGAAAACCAAACACAGUUAAAAAGCAAAGUUCAUAGAAGACAAAAAUGUCAAUUGUGCACAAGAAAAACUAAAAACUUUAUCAUUGGAAAAACAACAAUACUUAAACUAAGAUUUAAUUACGACCAACUCUAUUGAAACACCACACAAACAAUCGCAAAAAGAGACAACAGUACAAAAAGGAAAAAAACAAUGGCAGAAAGGAAAAUAAUAGAAGAACAAGAAGAAAAGAGAAGGAAAAAAUUAACGUAAGAGGAAGAAUGGAAAAGUGGGAAGGUAAGUUGGGAGAGAGAGGGAAAGUAGGAUAGAUUUUCGGGGAGGAAUUAUCUCAAAAAAUUAAAUAAAAUUUAAAAACAAAAUCCUAAACUACCAGAUUUUUUGCUAACUUAACAAUUUAAGUAGAGUUUGAAUUUGGCCCAAUUACUAACCACAUGGGUAGCACAGACAGGAAAUAGUAAGAAGAAUCUCAUUUUUGCAUACAUAGGAUUAGAACACGAGACCUCUGGGUAAGCUAAAGCCUUACCACUGAACUAGUAGACUCAUUCUUGCUAACAGUUGAGCAAAAUUAAUGUAUAAGCCAGAAAUUCAAAUAUAGGGGCUGGAAUAAAAAUAAAUAAAAUUCAAGGGAAAGGAUUCGAACAAAGGAGCUUAGGCAUAUAAAUAGAACUCUCAACCACCAGAAUAGAUUAAUUUACUUGACAUAAUUUAACAAUUCCAAAAAUAAAAAUUUUGGUGAGUUAUGUACUUAUGGUUUCAGCUUCUUGCACUUCUACAAGCAUUUUGAUAACACAAAACAAAAUAGGGGACAGUCCUAAAAUUGUGAUACUAUAAAAAUAGUAAUAAAUCAAGAUGAUUUACAAUUGAUUUCUCGAUAAAGUAAAAUAAGGAAAUGAAAGUGAUAAAAGAUAAGAUUGAAAGUAUGUUGUGGUAUACUAAAGUAAAGUAAGGACUAAAUCGCAAAGAUGUAAAAAAUUUUAAGGUUCAAGUACAAUAAUUUGAAAUUUGAAGGGUUGAGCAUAAAUAUGAGAAAGUUGAACGACCAAAAGUGAAAAUAACCCAAUUUCUUAUAACAAUAGAUUGGUGUGCAGGGAUCAAAUUGAAUAAGUGGAGAAAUAAAAUGGACUAAAUUAAAAUUUUACCAAAAGUGAAUAGUGAUUCAAGGAUGGAAUUUUGAAGAAAAAGGGUAAAAUGGUCAUUACCUAGAUUAGAUAAUUAUAUGGUGUAAUAAAUAAGGAAGAAAAGUAUUGAAAUAUGAUUGAUUGAAUAUUUUAUAAGAUAUUUAUUAAUAUUUUAUUUAAUUAAAAUUAGUAUAAAAAGAAAGAAAGAUAAAUAAAAUUCUUCAUACUUUCACCAUGCUUCUAACGUCCAUGAAAGAGAGAAACAAAGAAAGAAAGUUUUGCUUUCUUUACAAUUUAGUUAUUUGUCAUCAAAAUUCACCUUUUUCACUCAAAAAUGUUAAAAAUUUUCAUAGCCAUCAAAAAGAAAAAGUAAAGUAGAGACACUGGAGAGUUAUAACAUCAUCUUGGAAGAAAGAAAUUAGAAGUGAAAGUGGAGAAGUUGAGGAAAAGGUGUGGAGAUUAAAGAGACAAGGUAAGAAAUUGAAGCAUUUCUUAUAGAAUUUAUGUUUAAUUAAAGUAGAGACAUAAGAAAGUAAUUUUAGUAUGAGUUUUAAUUAUGUAUUUGAUAUGUUCAUGAAGUAGAAAAAAAGAGAAGAAAUUAUGGAAGUGUUAGAAACAAAGUGGAGAUGAUGACAAAAGUAAGGAAAAAAGAGAAUUAAAGGCAAAAUAGUGAAAUUCUAACAAAAGAAAGGUAAGUACUUCAAGAAUUUUACUUUGGUUUAAUUUUAAUCUAAGUAUGAAUUAUGUUAGAAUAGUUAAUCUGAAUUAAAAUAUGUUAAUAUUAUGUUUACAAAUUUUUAAUAAGUAGUGAAAAAUAUAGUUUGAAUUUUAAUUAUGUGAUGAAUUGUUUUGAUAUAUUGAAAUAAUAGUAAAAAUGACUAAAUUUUAAAGUGUACAAAAUUUUAUGUAUGAAUUAAAAUAUUAUCAUAGAGAGCUUAAAAGUGAUGUUAAGGUGAAAUGAUAAUAAAUAAUGAAUUUUCAUUAUGCUAAGGACUAAAUCAUAAACUUGCAAAAAUUAAAAUUUAAAUAAGAGAAGUAAAGUGAAGUGCAUAAAAAUACGAUAUGUGAAGUAAGAUAAUAUAAUGAAUUGUUUGAUUAAAGUGUUAUGAGAUAGUGAAAUUGAAUGAAAAGUGACAUUAGAAGGAUAAUUAUAAUAAGUAUUGAAUUUUUAUAAUAUUAAAGACUAGAUUGCAAGAUAUUUAGAAGUGAUUAAAAAUAUUAAAAACGUUAGAAAUAAUUAUUCAAAUGAAGUCCUACAUGGAAGAGAAUUGAUUUAAAAUGAUUAUGUAGUAAAAUAAAUAAAUAAAUUUCAUACUGAAAAUGACCAUAUUGUAAAAUAUACAAAAGUUAUUAAGGGUAUUAAGAUUUUGAAACAACAUAUUCAAGUUUAAAGGUAUAUGGAAGUGAAGUGAAUACUAAGAAAGAAUAUGGUGAUUAAUGAAAAUAUAUGCUGCCAGGGACUAAAUCAAAAAGAUUAUAAAGUAAGUGAUGUUUAUGCAAAGAAGACUAGAUAGCAAAGUAUCCAAAAAUAUGUGUAAAUAAGUAUUUAUAGAUAAUUUUAGUGAAGUGUUUAUGAUAGUGAAUUUAAUUUUAAGCAAUAUUAAAGCGUUAAUUUAAUAAACAAUGAUUUUCUUGAAAAAUAAGGACUAAAUUGUAAUAAGUGUGAAGUUUUGCAUGCCAUUAAUUGAUAAAUGAUAGUGAUGAAAACUGGCAAUACAAAUGUCGUAGGGGACAAGAUAUGAACAUGUUGGAUAUGAAUGAAAAGUGGAACUUUAAUGCAAUACAGUGAAAAGUGGCACUUUGAUGCAACUGACAGUGGCACUAUGGUACGAUAGUGAUUUAGUAAAUGAAAAAUGAUAAGAUUGAAAAUGAAGAUGAACAAUUAAUUAUUAUUUAAAUAAAUUUAUUAUGUUAUAUUUAAAGUUUUGAUAUGUUAGAUUUAAUUACGAUAAUGGUAGGUUUAAUUUCUGAUGUACUUACGAAGCUUAUAUAAGCUUAAUGCAUUACUUUUCAACGCGUGGUAAAAGGUAGUUUGAGGUACUAGAUCGAAGGUCAACAUUAGCUCACCUCAUCAUGUCCCAAGGUUGAAAGAAAGUAUGGUUUGAAUAUUUUGAUUCUAGUUAUGACAUGUACAUAGGUAAAAUCAAGUUGUGAACUAUAAUCCCUUUUUAUGGACCUAAUUGUAGAAUUUGUAAUCUUUUGCUAAUCUUAUAAUCUUGGUCAUAAAUGAAUGAGUUGUGGUAAGUUAUAUGAUUCUUGAGUUUAGAUUUGAACUUAUAUGAAUAAUACAUUGGUUGAUUUGGAUGGAAUAUGUAAAUUAAAAACAACUUAGGUGGUAAAAAAUUGAAAUAUUGAAAAUGGAUGAAAUAGGGUGCACGUCGCAAUGUCAAAUGUACCAUGUCACGAUGAGACUAAGUCAGAGAGUGAAGUUGGGAUGAAGGGCCCCUGACGUCACGAAUUUAGCCCGAAACAAUAGAAAUCUUAUAAUUUAGUCCUUGUUCUACCUUAGACCACUAAAAGAGUUGUCGUAAGCUCCUAUAUGAUCAAAUAUGUAUUCGAAACAUGUUGUAUUACUUAAUGAUCUUAAUAUUUCAAAUGAAACGAUAAAUGAAAUCGAAAUUAAAUUGAUGUUGCUUCAGCAACAAAUGUAGCAUUUUGAUAUCCUGACCCGACGAUUGGGUCGGGUACGGGAGUGUUACAUCUACAGAGCCUAGCUUAGUGAGAAGAAUCCACUAUCUUUCAACAAUUACAAGUAGUGAACCUAAAUCUAUCACACCCUAGUGAUGAUUCCUAACUAUUGUACCUUCAAAGACUAAACCUCCACCACUAAAUUCUCCACCUAAGAACUUAUUCUAUGAAACCACUACACAAAGGUUUUACAAUCUCAAAUUCAUUCUCACAAAUAAUGUUGUUCACUUGAGCAAAUUAAGUGCCCUCAAUUAUCAGUACAUCAACCUAUACAAGUCUCACAAUUAUAUAGAAUUUUCAAGACUUGCUAACAUAAUGAAGAUCAUUCAUGAUCCCUUCUAAAAGGUAGCUAAAGUAGCUUAAUAUAAUAUAAUAAUAACAGUCAAGGUAAUUUGGACAAUUGGCAGAUAAGAUACUAAAUUUUCGAUUCGAUCCAACUUCCUUGAUAUAAGAGAUUAGAUAGACUUUGUUCGAUCCGAUUCUCCAAAUGUUUCUCCAAGUGAUAUGAUCUUCAUUGAUGGGCAUAGUUAUUAGUUUAAUUUCGGAUUGAAGUUAUCAUCCAAUCGCACAAUUCAGCUCGAGUUCGAUUUUUUCACAUGGGAUUUGUUUUAUCCAAAUCAAAUUGAAUGAAAAAAAAUCUAUAUUUAAAGGAAUAGUCCUAAUAGAAUAAUAAAUUGAUCAUUUCAAUGUCUACAUGGACUAAUUCAUUUAAUUGUAUUAUUAUUAUUAUUAUUAUUAUUAUUAUUAUUAUUAUUAUUAAAAACUAGAUAUGACCAUACAAAAAGUUAAAGUUAUAGAAAUAUUUCAUAAAAAAAGUUAUGAAAGUGUAGCUUUGUAUUAGAAUAAGUUGAUCGUUUCUUAAAUAUAAUAAUUAUAAUUAUAAGCAUAAUUCUAAAUUUAGGGAAAUAGUUUAUUAAAUUUUAUAAUAUUUUCUUUAUAAAAGAAACAAUUAUAAACAAGUUGUCAAUUAUAUAUAUUUGAUAGUUAUGAAUUUAAUCACUUAUAUUGGCAUAUUGUAAUGACUCGGUUUUUUAAGGAAUGUAAUAACUCAAUUAUAACUAAUUAAAGUUAGCAUCUAAUUAAAGAAAUGACACAACAAAACACUAUGUACGUAAGUGAUUUAUGUAUUAGCUUUUCUUUUAAUAUCUUUAAACGAUUUAUAAACUUAAUAGACUAACUUAAAAUGCUUUUUAAAAGAUCUUAUGGAUGAUUGUGGUAUUAAUUUAAUUAUUUUAUUCACUUUAUAAAUGUAUAAAUGAAACUAGAGUAUAUAUUAUGAUUGGUGUGAAAAAAAAAAUCAAGAAUUGCAAUAUUAGAUUUUUUUUGGGCCCAAAACAAGGUGACAAUUUUUUUGACAAAACACAAAUUUUUUAAAAGUUGUUGUACCGAACCACAAUUUUCAGUUUCAGAUUUUUCAACUUUUAUUCCAUAUGAUUUCGGUUUCAAAUGUUAAAAAUCGAAUAGAGUAAUUCGAUUCAAAAAUCGAACUGAACCGAAUAUACCCCUAGGCAAGAUAUAAUCCACGAUCUUGGCUCAGCACAAAAGAUAUGGUUCAAUAAAUUGUCAAUCUCCUAAAUAUGACAAGUUGUUGAUUGUAUCAGUAAUGACGGAAGUGGGCAAUUCCUCAAGUACGUAUCAGCAACUCUAAAUAUUUCAACAGUAAUUAAUAUUGUCUAGAAAAAUAUAAAUUAUAUAAUUGUGUAAUUACAAUUUAUAAUACCAAACAUGACAUAGAAAAUUAUGAUAUAAUUAUAGUUUGUUAGUCGAACACGUCUAAUAAUUACAAUUUCAACCAAUUACGUAGUGUCAAUCCUAAAUACGUAAAAAAAUUCAAAUCUUCUAGGAUCUUUGUAAUUUAGUGAAAUUACUUUUACACUUAAAAAAAGGCUAAAAAUAAUUAUUUAACACACCGAAAUGCUUUCCAAAUCAUAAAAAUAAAUUGGAUAAAACUUCAAAUAUAUGCCAUGCUGUAUACAAAAUCAUAUGUAUCAUGAUGCAAGUUUGGAAAAUAUUCAUUAGUACUUUGAAUCGAUCACACAAGGUGCUAAAUGCAACACCUAGGCUACAUGGGUGAUUCCUUAUCCAACUGAGUACCAUGGAGCCUGAAGAGACAUGCCACUCUGGUUUGGUCUGCUACUUUUCUCUAUUAUUUCUUAUUUCUCUAAGUUUAUAUAUCAAAAUUUAUGUUAACACAAAUUAACCUAUCAAAUUUCAAUAUUUUAAAUAUGUGAGUAUGAUACAUAAAGAUGUGGAUUGAGAAAUUAGGAAGAAAUAGUUAGAUGAAAGUGAAAGAGAGAGUGAAAGGAGUGCGCGGUGAUAUGACGAGGAACCUGAUCCCUUUUGGGUUCUUGAAAUUCCAUUCUCCAUUAGGAUACCAACAAUAAUAUAUGGACCAAUUCAUAGGAAUGGGAUGCUACAUUCCAUUUGAAAGAUCAACAGUGCAGCACAAAUGCUUUUGUUUUUCAGGCCCCAUCAUUCUUGGGCCCAUUCUUCUCCAUCUAUUCCUAUCUAUACCCUCACAAACUAUUUUUCUCAUGAGUAUUUCAAAAGAAAAUUUGAAAAGUUCAGUGUUAUUGAAUUAUGCCAUCAGUUAAGAAAUCAGUUAACAAAUUAUACCAUCUUUUUCUACUCAACUUCUUUCCAAUAUUUGGAUUUCAUGUUUUAUCUGAGUUUUUUUUAUUAUAGAGGUUCAUCCAAUAUUAACUAUUUUACACAAAGUAUAUAGAAAAAAUGAAGUUAUUGAUAAGAAAAAUAAUACAUAGGUUUUGAAAUGGGAUGAGAAAGGAAUUGAAGUCAAUGAUUAAGAAAAAGGAAAAGAAGCUUGUUGAAAUGUGUGUUUUUUCAUCAAAUUAGGAUUUGGAUGAGUUUUUGAUGAGUUCUUGAAUUUUGUAUCAUUGGAAUUCUUGGGUAAAGAACAAACUAAAAGAAUAUAUUUAUAUUUAAAAGAAAUACUUAAGAAAAUAAUCUUUAACUUUUUUUGAAUUUUUUAAAUUAAAAAUUACCACGUGUCAUAAAAUAAGACUUAGGAAAUAAAGUAUAAUUUAGGAAUCACUUUGAAUAAUAAAACAUAUUUUAAGUAUCACUUGUGACAAAAAAAUUUUAAAUAACAACUUAAGAAAAUAACAUAAAUUUUUUAGUUCAAUAAAAAAAUAUAAUUUAAUUACCACUUUAAACAAUAAAAUAUCACUUGUUACAACAUAAGAAAAAGACAUGUUCUUUGAACUGAUGCAUUGCAAAGAAGGUUAAGUUAGAUGAAGUCUGAUCCCUAAACUUAGAAGCCAACCUUAAAUAGACAUUUGUCACUAUAAGCCAAAAAAUUAUCAUUACUUGCAUCUAUCUUUACAUAGACUGAGUGUAACGUAAUUUAGAUCAGUUGAAGCGUUAGAAAUGUUCUCACUUAAAUUUAUAACAAUGAUUUUUACGAAUAUAAAUAAAAUUAAUUAAAAAUCGUUUAAAUCAAUAUGAACCUUAAUGAUUGAAAGCAUUAAAAGGAAUCCCAGUGACCCAGUAGCCCUCCCUGGGUUCUCCAAAAAGAUGAAUACAAAGUAAUUCUCUUCACUGCUCUCAACAUUUUAUCAAAACAGAGCAGAUCAAUUACAUGCCAUUCAUGCAGAAGUGGGGCCGGAUGAUGAUGCAGCCCUCUUCUUGGCCAAGUAUUCCUCAGCUCGAGCAAGGUUCUUUGCAACUGAAGGCUUAACCCACUUCUUGCGCCCAGGCAGUACAGUGAGAGAGCAACUGGCAGCCUCAAGCUUUUCCUUUGCAGAUGCUUAAAGGGCACGGGCCUUCAUGUUCAGCUUUACCUUCAGCUCCCCGUCACCGAGAAUCUAAAUCAACACGAUUAUUGCAAUUACAAUUCUCUCAGUCUUUGCAUGAGAGAACUGAUUAAGAAGGUAGAAUUCCAUUGUUAUUACAAAUACAAUUCCAUUGUUAUUUCCAUUAAUAAUUAAGCAGGUCGGGAUUAAUGCUUCAUGCAUGAGAGAAACACAAUUUCCUACUCAAGUUGUUCUCCAGAACAAGUAGCAUUGGGGUCAUUAUACUUAAACAAAGUCUGGAAGGGGCUCUGUUAUAAUAAAAAUCCAAGAGCAUAUUCACCUUCAAAGGGAGUUUCCUCUCUCUUCCUUAAGGGUUGAUCAAACCCUUCUCCUUUAAAGUCUCCAACGACACCUCAUCUCCGUCUUGAAAUCCAGCUGUUUCGAUGUCUUUUAAGUUAACCGCUAUGUAUUUUGGUAAUCCCGCAUGCAUACCUUGCAAUGUCAAAUGAAAAUAGCUUUAAUUUAAACACUAAGUUAUUAUAGAAAAAAUUAAUAAAACAAUAAUAAUAAGUAAAAUAGGGGAGAAUUUUUAUUAUUUAAUUUUCACUUACAAUGUGCUAUUUAUAAGCUUCUUUACAUUCAAUUAAUAAAUGUAUUACAUUCAAUCAAUAAAUGUGAAUUAAGUUUUCUUAAUUACUCUAUUUAAUCAUCUCAUGGUUAUAAAUGAAGUAAAGAGUUUUAUCUCAUUACUUUAAUAAAUGUAUAAAUGGAUUAUAGACAUCCAUUUAAUGUAUUUACAACACUUCUCCUUGGAUGUCUUUUAACUAAAAAUGUGACUCAUUAAAACCUUUACUAGAAAAAACCUUGCGGGAUAAAAAACCUAAUUAAGGAAAAAGAGUGCACAAUCUCCUAUUACAAUUUGUCUUAUUAAAAACAUUUACUAGGAAAAUCCAGUGGGACAAAACCUUGGUUAAAAGAAAAGAGUACAACGUGUUUUAAACUCUCCCUAAUGGCAACAUCACAUUAUAUAUUUGAGUCGACACAUUCCAAUCUUGUCUCGUAGUCUUUCCAAUGUUGAAGUUGACAAUGUAUUGGUAAAAAGAUCUGAUAAAUCAUCACUAGAGCGAAUUCGUUGAACUUUUAUGUCACAUUUCUUCUCAAGAUCAUGAGUGAAGAACAAUUUUGGUGAAAUAUGUUUCACUCUGUCACCUUUGAUGUAACCACCCUUCAAUUGGGCUAUACAUGCUGCAUUAUCUUCGUAUAAGAUAGUUAGCAUCUUUUCCUAUAAAGGCAAAUUACAUAUCUUUUAGAUAUGUUGGGUUAAUAACCUUAGUCAAACACACUCUCGGUUUGUCUCAUGCAUUGCAAUUAUUUCAGCAUGAUUUGAAGAGGCAGCAGCUAAUGUCUGCUUUGUUGAACGUCAUGAUAUGACAGUACCUCCACAUGUAAAUAAAUAUCCCGUUUGAGAUCGACCUUUAUGUGGAUUCAAUAAAUAUCCAGCAUUAGCAUAGCCGACUAAUUGUAACGCCCCAAGAAUUUAAGAGUUUAAUUGGGAGAAUCUACAAUAAUUAAAAUUUGGUAUAUGUGGUUCUGUGCUCUACUUUUGCGUUUAAGGUCGGUAGUUCGAGUUGCAUUGUUAAAAUUUUUGUUAUUUUUUAAAACAACAUUUAUCCAUGUGUUAUGUAGUUAAGUGCAAUUCUAGGUAAAUCGGUGUCAAGAAUGAGCCUGUUGGUUCACUGGUUAAGCAUCUGUCUGUAUUCUGUCUAGUUCCUAGUUCAAGUCUCAUCGUGUGCGUUAGGAAAUAUAUUUUUGCAAAUGCCGAAAAGUAGGAUGGUGGUUAAUUUAAAACAUUCUGAAGAGUUCUAUCGUCCUUUUCUUUUUUCUUUUUUUAAAUUUUAGUUCAUUGCUUUCUUGUUCUUCUUUUCUUUUAUUUUUCUUCUUACUGCAAUUGAUUUUACGUGAAUUGGGAAUUCUUACGUGAAUUGGGAAUUCUUUGUUGCCUGUGAGGUUAAUAUUAUAUAAGUUCCAUUGUUAUUCCAUUUCGUUUUGCGAAUUCUGUUGUGUUAACACUAUUCUGUCGAAACGAGAUUUUGCUCGUUUGCUUGACAUUCUGUUAAACACUCGAUUGGUUACUUUUUAGGUGAGGAUAUUACAAGAGACGUGACUUCGUCGUGUUAGUCUGAUUCCUUCUGUUUCGUAGAAGGUAAGUAUGCGAUUUGAGUUGGGGUUGCGUCGAAAUUUUCGACAUGAUCUUGUCAGUAGGUGAUUUUAGUGAAAUCUUGAAAAUGAGGGUGUAAUUGAUUAUUGAAUGGUUAAUUAGGUUCUAGGUAGUCUUCACAUUGUUUUCUUUGGUCAAACGAAACUAGGUGCGUAUCAAAAACCUUAAUUUUUGUAAGUUUCGAUCAUCGAAAAUGGUGGAUGUCGACGCCACACGGCCAGGCACAUGGGCGCAUGUCCAGGCCAUGUGGUUGGCGGUGUAACUAACUGUUUAUCAAUUUGGGGUAACACGGGCAGGGACACGGGCGUGUGUCUAGGCCGUGUGUGGCCAUAUUAGUGCAGGGUUCACACAGGUAGCGGACACAGGCGUGUGUCAGGGCCGUGUAACUCACUAUUUAUGGAAUAAAACCACACGGCCAGGGACACGACGUGUACCUAGGCUGUGUAAGUCACACUGGCAAGAAGAAGGACGUGUGUCCAAGUCGUAUAACUCAAUUUUUAUGCUUUGAAACCACACGAGCAAGGCACAUGGGCAUGUGACCAAGCCGUAUGGCAUGUUAUUGGGGCCCAAACCUUUUUUCGAGGCCGUGAAUGUUAUUUAACACUGAUACUAGUAUUCUUGUUGUAUGAAUUUGAUUAUAUGGGAACUGUCUUAUAUUCUGAGACUGAAGUGGAAAUAACAUAGUUGUAUAAAUAUUAAUAUACUUAUUCUGGAAAUGAACUGUCUUAUCUAUUUGUGAAAUAAACUAGAAUGAUUGAAUAUAUUAUACAGGUAAUUGUGCUCUGCAUUUGCAUGGAUAGGGAUAUUGUGACAAAGGAAGUAGUCUGUUCUGAAUCAGUGGUUAUGCCACUAUACGUAUAAAUCUGAUUCUAGCGAUUUGUCGUAAUCUGGUCUAGCAACUAUGCUGCGUAUCUGUAAAGUGUCAAACGGACACUCUAAGGUGUGCAGGGUUAGUUUGGCAUUGAAUGUCCUUAACAGUGUGUUGGGAUGGCUGAAGACGGUGCGUAGCGGAUGGGGGUAGAAAUAUUGCAUCUAAAUCUGAUAUGUAUCAUAUAUGAAACCAGAAUUGCGUAUAUGUAUGUGUAACUAACCUACUCUGAAUCUGAACUGAAAUAUCUUUUGUGUUGAACCGAAUCUCUGAAUUCAGAACUAUUUUAUAAGUGAGCAUUUAUUGAAAAACUUCUUUUACGCACUGAGUUCAUAACUUAUUCUGUCAUUGCUUGGAUUUCAAGUGGUUCGUAGACUUGAACGGGUCGGUGUUGCGGGAGCUCGGUCGAGCCAUUAGCUUUCUAUAAAAUAUUUCGGUAAGAGUUUCGAUAAAUUAGAAUAGUAUGACUUUGGAAGAUUAUAUACUUAACUAAUUUUUGUGUUGAAUUUUAUGUGAAUCAUGGUUUGGUAUUAUUGUGUUUUGCAUAGUAUUUGAGUAUUCAUAAUGUAACUCUCUAAACUUGGACUGGACGGCUAAGCUGGGUCUAGGGUGUUACAUUUAGUGGUAUCAGAGCCAAGCUUGUCAACACUGGGACUAUGUUUGGGCUCAUAAUGUGUGAGAAAAAUAGCUUAGUGAUAAUUUAGUAUCUAAAUUAAUAUAGAAACACUGAAACUUUAGUGAACGACCAAGCCUCCGAUGCUGACCCUGUAAGUAUUUCGGUUCUAUUAUAAAGAUUAUAAUACUUAAACUGUUGUGGGUAAAAUGUUUUGAUGUGAACUGGCAAAAUCAUCCUCUUGAACGUCUAAACUAAUUUGUGUACUCUGAUAUUGUAGCUAGAUUGCCAUAAUAAGUUCGGACAGUAGUAUGAACGUGGUAUGCUGGGGCAUCGAGCAUAUCGAGGAGGAGCUCAAGCAGAGUCAUCCUUUACGAGUAGUAUGCCCAACCUUGAGACCAGUGAGACUGUUGGUACUCCCACUGGUAAGGCGGAGUCCCAAACUUCGACGGUUGGGGACGACGCACUACCCCAAGCCAUGAUUCGAGCACUGAAGAGGGUCGUAGGGACCUAUUCGAGAUCGAGAUGGCUAGGGUCAGUUACUGGAUAACUCCGAUCGAAUUGGGCUAAUUAUUUAGGGGCGUUAUAGAAGUCGCUUCCACUAUUGCUGAAUAUUGGCUCGAGGCCACUGAGCAUAUUAUGACAGAUCUUGACUGUACUUCUACUCAAAAAUUAAGGGAUGCUGUGUCCCUAUUCCAGGACAAAGCUUAUCAGUGGUGGUUGAUAGUUGAGCAAGGUGUUCAGCCUGAACAGGUGAACUGAGACUAUUUCAAGAACACCUUCUAAGGUAAGUAUGUGAGGGCAAAUUAUGUUGAGGCUCACCGAUACGAGUCCAUGAGCCUAGUUCAAGGCGACCGAUCGGUGGCCAAAUAGGAAGUUGAGUUUUUACGACUGAGUAGGUAUGUAUGGACUCUAGUAGCGUCUAAUUAUGAAAAGUGUGUAAAGUUUGAGGGGUGUUGUUUCCUUAUUUCGGGACGAAGCUUAUCAGUGGUGGUUGACAGUUGAACAAAGUGUUCAGCCUGAAUAGGUGAACUGGGACUAUUUCAAGAACACAUUCCAAGGUUAGUAUGUGAGGGCAAAUUAUGUUGAAGCUCACCGAUACGAGUUCAUGAGCCUAGUUCAGGGCAACCGAUCGGUGGCCAAAUAUGAAGCCAAGUUUUUACAACUAAGUAGGUAUGCAUGGACUCUAGUAGCGUCUGAUUACGAUAAGUGUGUGAGGUUUGAGGGAUUAAGAUAUGAUCUGCAAGUUUUGAUAGCUCCUCAGAGGGAGCGAAUUUUUGCUGUUCUAGUUAACAAAGAAAAAAUAGUGGAAGAACUGAAGCGUACUAAGCGUAAGUGGCGUGAUCGUGAGAAGGAUCAGAAUAAGAUUAAGAAGGAUUCGAGUCCCUCUGGUUGUAGUCAGCGUCUUAAAAAGCGGACGACAUUUGAUAGGCCCCCGAGGGCCGAUGCACCAGUUGUAGUGACUGAGAUUCAACUGUGUAGUGAUUGUGGGAACUGCCAUCCGAGCGAGUGCUAGAGGAAGUUAGGAGUAUGCAUCCAUUGCGGUUCAAUGGAGCAUCGAGUUAGGGAUUGCCCCCGUUGACCAGAUCUAGUGUUAGCUACGGCACGGGCUCUGGCUCCAAAUUAUGUUUGGCCUCCAAAAGAGGUUCAGCAACCAUUCAGAGGUUGUGGUACUGAUAGGGGUGGUAAUAGAUCUGGGAGAGGACAAAGAGCAUCGGGUAGAGGUGUAGGUCAGGCUAAGGCUUGUCAGCCGGCACUAGUUUAUGCAGCAAGAUUCCGUGAGGAGAGCAAUGAUGCUAAUGUCAUUGCAGGUACCUUCUUUAUUCAUUCUGUUCCGUAUUAUGCUCUCAUUUAUAUAGGCUCUACUCAUUCGUACAUAGCUAGUGUUAUUUCUGUAAAUCUGGGUUUAACCGCUCAGAAUACUCCUAGAGAGUUUUCUGUAAUCAGUCCUUUGGGUCAGUCAAUUUGAGUUGAUAGGGUAUACAAGCGGGUACCCCUUGAGUUCCAGGGUAUGGUAUUUCCAGUUGAUUUAAUGGAAUUACCUUUUAAUGAUUUUGAUUUAAUUUUGGGAAUAGAUUGUCUCAUUGAGUAUCUGGUCAGUCUAGACUGUACAACUAAGAGAGUUAUUCUGCAAUCGAAUAAGAAUGACAAGGUGGUCAUGGUUGGUGAGCGACGGGAUUACCUCUCUAAUUUAAUCUCCACUGUUGUAGCAGAAAAGUUAGCUCAAAAAGGGUGUGAGGCAUACCUUGCUUACGUCUUCGAUUAUAUUUUUGCAAAACAUUCGGUGGGGGAUAUCCGUACUGUGAAGGAGUUCCCAGAUGUAUUUCUAGAGGAAUUGCUAAGAGUACCUCCUGAUAGAGAGAUCGAGUUUGGAAUUGUUCUAUUACCAGGUACUGCUCCAGUGUCCAUUGCGCCUUACUGCAUGGCACCGAAAGAGCUGACCGAGUUAAAAGCGUAGCUUCAAGAACUCCUUGAUAGAGGAUUUAUUCGAGCAAGUGUGUCUCCAUGGGGGCACCAGUAUUGUUUGUUAAGAAGAAAGACGGGUCGAUGAGAAUGUGCAUAGAUUAUAGACAGUUGAACAAGUUGACAAUCAAGAAUAAGUACCCGUUACUGAGGAUCGAUAACUUUUUCGACUAGUUUCAAAAAGCAUCUGUCUUUUCUAAAAUUGAUCUACGCUCUGGUUACCAUCAGCUCAAGGUCAAAGAGACUGAUGUGUACAAAACUACCUUCAAGACUCGUUACAGACAUUACGAGUUCCUGGUAAUGCCUUUUGGUUUAACGAAUGCCCCGAUAGCAUUUAUGGAUUUAAUGAAUCGAGUGUUUCAAUCGUACUUGGAUCAAUUUUUAGUGGUUUUUAUUGAUGAUAUCCUGAUCUACACUAAAACUGAAAUUGAGCAUGAUGAUCAUCUUCAUAUUGUGCUUUAGAUACUCUAAGAAAAAUAGUUGUAUGCCAAGUUCAGUAAGUGCAAGUUUUGGUUACAGGAAGUCACUUUUCUAGGUCAUGUAGUGACGGUGGAGGGGAUCCGAGUUGAUGCCAAGAAGAUAGCAGCUAUUGUUGAGUGGAAACAACUGAAAAAUAUAUAUGAGCUUUAUAGCUUCUUAGGUUUAGUCGGUUACUAUUGAAGGUUCAUCGAAAGAUUUUCUCUGAUUACGUCUCCUCUGACGAAACUGUUCCGUAAGAAUGCUCCAUUCGUGUGGCCUGGGGCACAAUAGUCUAGUUUCGAUAAGCUCAAGUCUGUUCUGGCACAGGCUCCUGUGUUAGUUCAACCGAAAUCGGGUCGGGAGUUUGUAGUAUACAGUGAUGCUUCACAUGUUGGGUUAGGAUGUGUGCUUAUGCAAUACGGUAAGAUGGUCGUUUAUGCGUCACGAUAGCUUAAAAUAAAUAAGGGUAACUACCCUACACACGAUCUUGAGUUAGCUGCGGUUGUGUUUGCUUUGAAAAUCGGGAGAUACUAUCUGUAUGGUGAAAUGUGUAUUAUAUAUACUGAUCACAAGAGUCUCAAAUAUUUGCUAACCCAAAAAGAAUUAAAUCUUCGGUAGCGUCGAUGGGUUGAAUUACUUAAAGAUUAUGAUUGCACAAUAGAGUACCAUCCGGGUAAGGCUAAUAUGGUAGCUGGCGCCCUUAGCCAUAGAGCCAUGACUGAUUUGAGAGUAAUGUUAGCUUGUUUGAGUUUGGUCAAGGAUAGAAGGCUGUUGACUGAAUUAUAGGUAAAACCGAUUUGGGUGGAGUAGAUUAGAGCUAAACAGUUGAGCGAUGAGUCCUUAGUUUGGCAUCUAUAACAUGUUGAUUCGAACGAGACUUCUAAUUUUAGCUUGAACAACAACAACGUGUUGUGCUUUAAAGGUUAGAUCUGUGUACUUAAUGACAGAGAGUUGAGGCAUUCAAUCCUUUAGGAGGCGCAUAGUAGUCCCUAUGCUAUGCAUCUUGGUGCGAACAAAAUGUAUCGGGAUUUCUGAGAACUCUACUGGUGGCCCAAACUGAAAUAGGAGAUACUCGCUUUUGUGUUCCACUGUUUGACGUACCAAAAGGUUAAGGCGGAACAUUAGCUGCCAUCCAGGUUGCUUGAACUAGUUAAAAUUCCUUAGUGGAAAUGGGAGAAAAUAAUGAUGAAUUUUGUUAGUGGGUUGCCUUUAACCCCUACUAAGAAAGAUUCAAUUUGGGUCAUCGUUGAUCGAUUGACCAAAUCAGCCCACUUCAUACCCAUCUAGACAGAUUACUCCUUACAGAAGUUGGCUAAACUGUACAUCGCCAAAAUUGUGAGGCUACACGGAAUUCUGAUCUCAAUCAUCUCUGAAAGAGAUUUGCGAUUUAUGUCUCGGUUCUAGAAGAAACUCCAUGAGGCUUUAGGCACUUAACUUAAUUUCAGGACUGUGUACCACCCUCAGACUGACGGGCAGUCGGAGCGAGUCAUUCAGAUCCUAGCGUUGGGGUUGUGUGUUAGACUUCAUUGGUAGUUGGGAGGAGUAACUAGCAUUGGCAGAGUUCGUAUAUAAUAACAGCUUCCUGUCUAGUAUUCAAAUGUCACCAUACGAAGCUUUGUAUGGUCAUAGGUGCCGUACUCCGUUAUAUGGGACAGAAAUAAGCGAACGUCGACUUCUGGGUCUUGAGUUAGUUUCUAAAACUGAAAACACUAUGAAAGUAAUUUGGGACCAUCUAAAAGCCGCAUCUAAUCAACAGAAGUCUUAUGUUGAUUUAAAAAAAGAAAGACAUCGAGUUUUCUAUUGGUGAUUAAAUUUUAUUGAGAGUAUCACCGUGGAAAAAGGUACUCCGAUUUGGACGCAAAGGCAAGAUAAGCCCAAGGUUCAUUGGGCCUUACCAAAUCUUGAAGCGUGUCGGACCUGUUGCUUACCAAUUAGAAUUACCAUCGGAGUUGGAUCGGAUUCAUGACAUGUUUCAUGUCUCGAUGUUGAGAUGGUAUCUGUUAGAUUUGUUGCAUAUUGUUCUUAUCGACGAGAUCGAGUUGCGAUCGGAUUUAACAUUCGAAGAGGAACCUGUCCAGAUUUUGGAACGUGAUGUUAAGGUACUGAGGAAGAAAAAUGUUCCUCUAGUGAAAGUUUUAUGGCGGAACCACGGUAUUGAGAAAGCCACGUGGGAACUUGAAGAAGCGAUCUGACGGCUGUAUCUGUAUCUGUAUUUGUUUGAGUCAGGUAAAAUUUUAAGGCCGAAAUUUCUUUUAGGGGGAGAGAGUUGUAAUGCCCCCAAAAUUUAAAAGUUUAAUUGUGAGAAUCUGCAUUAAUUAAAAUUCUGUAUCUGUGGUUUUGUGCUCUGCUUUUGUGUUUAAGGUCGGGAGUUCGAGUUGCAUUGUUAAAAGUUUUGUUAUUUUUUAAAACAACUUUUAUCCAUGUGUUAUGUAGUUUAGUGCAAUUCUGGGUAAAUCGGUGUCUAGAAUGAGCCUGCUGGUUCACUGGUUAAGCAUCUGUCUAUAUUCUGUCUAGUUCUGAGUUCAAGUCCCAUCAUGUGUGUUAGGAAAUUUAUUUUUGCAAAUACCGAAAGGUGGGAUAGGUUAAUUUAAAACAUUCUGAAGAGUUCCUUGUUUUCCUUUUUUUUUCUUUUUCUAAAUUUUAGUUCCUUAUUUUCCUGUUCUUCUUUUCUUUUGUUUUCUUUUUCUUCUUACUCCAAUUGAUUUUGCAUGAAUGGGGAAUUCUUCAUUGCCUGUGAGGUUGAUAUUGUGUAAGUUUCGUUGUUAUUCCUUUUCAUUUUGCGAAUUUUGUUAUGUUAACACUAUUCUGUCGAAACGAGAUUUUGCUCGUUUGCUUGACGUUCUAUUAAACACUCGAUUGGUUACUUUUUAGGCAAGGAUAUUACAAGAGAUGUGACUUCACCAUGUUAGUCUGAUUCCUUCUGUUUCGCACAAUAUAAGUUUGUGAUUUGAGUUGGGGUUGCGUCAAAAUGUUUGGCAUGAUCUUGACGUAGGUGAUUUUAGUAAAAUAUUGAAAAUGAGGGUGUAAUUGAUUAUUGAAUGGUUAAUUAGGUUCUAGGUAGUCUUCGCAUUGUUUUUUUUCGUCAAAAAAACUAGGUGUGUAUUAGAACCUUAAUUUUUGCAAGUUUCGGUCACCGAAAAUGGUGGUUGUCAAUGCCACAUGGCCAGGUACACGAGCGUGUGUCCAGGCUGUGUGAGCCAUACAUUCGUGUGGCUGGCCGUGGAACUUACUGUUUAUCAAUUUGAGGCCACACGAGUAGGACACGGGCGUGUGUCUAGGCCGUGUGUGGCCAUAUUAGUGUAAGGUUCACAUGGGUAACGGACACGGGCGUGUGUUGAGACCGUGUAACUCACUGUUUAUGGUAUAAGACCAUACGGGCAAAGCACACGGGCGUGUGUCUUGGCCGUGUAACUCACUGUUUAUGGAAUAAAACUACACGACAAGGGAAACGAGCGUGUACCCUAGUCGUGUGAGUCACAAGAGCAGGAACACGGACGUGUGUCCAGGCCGUGUAACUCACUGUUUAUGUUUCAGAACCACACUGGCAAGGCACAUAGGCGUGUGACCAGGCCGUGUGGCAUGUUAUUGGGGCCCGAAACUUAUUUUUGAGGCUAUGAAUGUUAUUUAACACUGAUACUAGUAUUUUCGUUGUAUGAAUUUGAUUAUAUGGAACUGUUUGAUAUUUUGAGAUUGAAGUGGAAAUAACAUAGUUGUAUAAAUAUUAAGAUACUUAUUCUGGAAUUGAACCGUCUUAUCUAUUUGUCAAAUAAACUAGAAUGACUGAAUACAUGAUACGGGUAAUUGUGCUCUACAUCUAUAUUUCCAUUUUUUCAAUCUGUAGGCUAAGAUAAAACUUUGUUUUUCCAAGAUCUUUCAUCUCAAAUUCUUUCUUUAAAUAAUUUAUUGCAUUUUGAAGCUCUUCAAGAGUUCCAAUAAUAUUUAGAUCAUCAAUAUAAAUAAAAAUUAUCAUAAAGUUUGAACCACAGCUUUUUAUAAAAACACAUGGAUAGAUUGGAUCGUUUCUAUAACAUUUUUUAACAAAUAUUCACUAAGACGAUUGUACCACAUACGUCCAAAUUGUUUUAGUCCAUAUAAACUUUUCUUUAAUCUGAUUGAGCAAUUUUCCUGAAAAACCCUAUAUCCUUCAGGGAUUUUCAUAUAAAUUUCACUAUCAAGUGUAUCAUACAAAUAGGCCGUCCAUUAGAUGCAUGUCAAGUAUUUCACAUACUGUCAGACUAAUAAGGUAUCUAAACGUGAUUGCAUCCACCAUAGGAGAAUAUGUCUCUUCGUAAUCAAUGUUAAACUUUUGUGAAAAUUCUUAUGCUACAAGUUAUGCUUUAUAUGUUACGACAUCAUUUUUCUCAUUUCGUUUUUGCAUAAAUAUCCAUUUAUAUCUUACCAGCUUUACAUAUUUAGGUGUUUGGACUAUAGGUCAAAAAACCUCACGUUUAGAAAGUGAAUUUAAGUCUCUUGAAUUGUGCCUUUCCAUUUUGGUCAAUCUUUUCUAUUUCUAUAUUUCUCAAUAGAUUUAGGCUCAGGAUCCUCAUUUUCUUUUGAUAUUUCAAUAGCAACAUUAUAAGAAAAAAUGUUGUUGACAACUAUAUUUUUCUAGUUCCAUCUUUUUCCUAAAGUAACAUAACUUAUUAAGAUCUCUUCGUCAUCACCAUUUUUAGGUACCUGAACCUCUUAUGGGGUUUUUUGAUUAGUUAUAUAUUUGGUCACUUCUUGGGCACUUACCUCCAGAAUACAACCAUCUUAAAUAUUUGCUCAUUUCCUUUUACGAUGAUUUUUAUAUUUGGAACCGACUGGUCUUCCACGCUUUUGGCGUGAAUUACUUUCUUUUACACUAAUAGUUUUCCCUAUUGGGACAACAAUUCGUAUUAGAGCAUUUUCAGCUGGUAUGUGAGAUUUUGUAAUUGUCUUUAGGUCAGUAAAUGAAUCUGGCAAUUGAUUGGCAAUGUUUUGCAAAUGUAUGAUCCUUUGAACUUCUUGUUCACAUUGACUUGUACGAUGACCUAAUUGAGAUAAUGAUGAUCCAUUCCAUGUAAUUUCUUUUAUCAGUUGUAUUUUCUCUCCCCUUUAAUGUUGGGAAUGUUGUUUCAUCACAAUGAUAAUCAAUAAAUCAUGCAGUAAAUAAAUCUUCAGUUAAUGGUUUAACAUACUUAAUUAUAGAAGGAGAUUCAUAACCAACAUAUAUUCUCAACCUCCUUUGAGGACCUAUCUUUGUUCGUUGUGGUGGAGUAAUUGGAACAUAUACUGCACAUCCAAAAAUUCUAAGAUGGUAAAUGUUUGGUUCCUAACCAAAAGCAAAUUGUAAUGGGGAGUAUUUAUUAUGACUUGUUGCCUUGAAGCGCACAAGUGCUAAGUGCUGCUGCAUGCAAAAUAGCAUAUUCCCAAGCUGUAGCAGAGAGUUUUGUUCUCAUAAGCAAUGGCCUAGCUAUUAGUUGGAGGUGUUUGAUAAAUGAUUUAGCUAAACCACUUUAUGUGUGAACAUGAGCUACAGGAUGUUCAAUUUUUAUCUCAAUUGACAUACAAUAAUCAUUAAAAGCUUGGGACGUAAACUCACCAGCAUUAUCAAGAUGAAUAGUUUUGAAUCCAUAAUUUGGUAAUUGUGCUCUUAAUAGAAUUAUUUGAGCAAGUUGUCUCGUAAACGCAAGGUUGCGAGUCAAUAAUAAACACACAUGUGACCACCUGUAAUAUCCCUAAAUCGAGUCUAGUAGUUUCGGGUAUAUUUUUUGGGUUCUGAGUGUGAAACUAAGAAUUUAUAGGGUUUCUAGUAAUUUUUAAUUUAAUUUAAUUUAGGAGUUUAAUUUCAUCUAAAAUCGAUUAAAAAAUAAUCCAAAAAAUAUAAAAUAUAUUUUCAAAAAAUUAAUUUUAAAGAUUUUAAAUAAUUAUUAGUGAAAAUAAUCAAUUUGGGUUGAAAAAGAAUUUUAAAAUAAUUUUUAUUUGGUGUAAUUUGAGUAAAAUUUAAAUAAUAAUUAAAUAGGAUUUAAUUGUAGAACAAUGGCAAAUUUAGAGUAUUUAUAUGGGAAAUAAACCUUAAAAUUCAGAAUUUUGGAGGAAGAGGACUUAAAAUUCGGAAUUUUGGAGGGAAAGGAUUAAAUAGUAAAGUAAGAGAAAUGUGGGAGUAGUCAUUAAGAAAAUUUCCCAAUUUUUAAAUUUCUAGUGGGUGGUUUCAAUUUUAAAACUAAUAUAUCUAGCCCACUUUUUACACAUUUUACAUCAGAUUAGAGAGCUUUAAAAUUCGUUUUCUUUGCAUGAUUUUAAAGAUUUAUCAUUAGAGAAUAGAUCCAACCAAUUUCCUUCUCAAAAUACUCUCAAUUCACCUUAAAUUAUGCUCAAAAGUAGCAAAAAAUAUUCUGAAAGUUCUCAAGUUUCUUGAAUCAAGAUUUUCAAUUAAUGAAUUUAGAGCGAAUGAAAGGUAAUCUUCAAUCCUGAACUUAUUUUUAUGAUGAUUAGAAAUAUUUUUACAUGAUUUGAGAGUCAAUUAAAUGAUUUUUAUCAAUGUCAUCUUCUUCUAAGAACACAUGGUUCUUUAAUGGUGGAUCUUGAAUUUUGAGAGGAAAUCCACAAAUCAAUGGAUGUUCUAACUCAAAAUGGAUCUAUUAAAAGGUUUUUUAUCUUAUUUAUCAAGAUUAAACAUGAUUUGUCAGGUAAUUUAAAGAAAUUUGAAUUUCAUCAUCUUCAUGAACCAAUUUUUCAGAAUUUUGUAAAAUUGAUUUAAAGAUGAAAUUGAUACUUAGUAUAAGUGUAUUUGAUAUAGUAUUGAUGACUGAAAGUGUUUAGGAGGGUUGGAGAGAUCGGUUUUGUGAGGAAUCGAGUUUUCGACUUGAUGUUAUAAAUCUGAUAAGGUAUCUUUAUGAGAGGAUUUCGACUAGUAUAGUUAAUUAAAAUUUGUGUUUAUUAUAGCAUUGGAAACGUGGUAAUGUCUAUUUUACCUUUGUUGAAGCUCCGAAUCUUGAAGAGGACUGAGCUAACUGGAAUUGAAGCUUGGAUUUGCUAGGUUGAUCACUUGUUUGUGGUAGAAUAAAUUGUGUGGUGAGUGUUUCGAAGGGCAAUUUGGUAAAUUCACCCUCAUUUAUGUUUAAUUACUAGCUUAAUUGAUGAUUUCAAUUGAUUAAUUAUGUUUGAAUGGCUUGUUUUUUCAAGAUUGAUAUUAUAUGUGCAAGAGUUGAUUUUUUAUUGAAUAAUGGUAAGUAAGAAUUUAGGUGGUUUUGUGCAAUUUAAUUAGGCUAAUUAUAUUGAUGAUUAGAGCAUGGUUACUGGAGUUUUUUUAUUAUGAUAUAUUGGUGUUACAAUUGGUAAUUGAACAUUGGAAAAUGACAAAUGAAAUGCUUGGUUUAAUUGGAUGUUAAAUGGCUAUGUUACAUGUUACACAUAAACAUUUUGUCACAUUAAAUUAAACACAAUAAUGAUUUAUUUAUAUGCUAUGUUUGACUGAAUAUAUUGGCAACAUGCAUGGUGGAUCCAUUGGAUAUAGUUGGCAUGCCAUAGGAUUUUUGAGUACUCACCUUUAUUUGUGACAUUGUGAGCAUAUGGCUCUAGGUGGACUGAUUUGUUUGGAGUAGAUAAGGGAGUGUUGAGCAUGAGUUUCCACUUAUUGGGUUAUUUGAGGCACUAUAAGGGAGUGUGUGCUUCAACCCGUUCAACUCGGUGAACUGUAUUUAAUAUUUGUGAGAGUUCAAAGAUCCACUUAUCCAAUGUAUGAUCACCCAAUUAAGCCAUGAGAAGUGUAUGCCAAUAUAUUUAUUUGUGAUUAUUGUUAUAUCAUUCGAUGUUUGUAAGCCAUGAAUAAUUGAUUCUUGAUAUUGAUAAAGCAUAUGGAAAGUAAAUUGACAUGUUUUAUUAUUAUGGAUAAUAAUUGGUGAUUGAUUGAAUGUGAUUUAAGCAUGGUUUGGAUGAUGAUUUACUAGGUUUUUAUUAACAUUCACUGAGCUUUUUAAAACUCACACCCUCACAAUUUGUGCAGAUAAUCAUCGGACUUGAGGAGCUGAGGAGCCGAGCAUGAGAGUUCCAAGAGAUUAAGGCUUGGUAGAGACUUUAUUUCAAGUUUUAGAUAUUGUAAUCGGGCAUUGUGGAACUCCCCUAAGUUAGUUUAAUUUUGGUUGUAAUUGGACAUUGGACAUUUUAUUUUGGAUAGUUUUAUAAUAAUUUUGAGGCUUGCUUGAGUUUAAUUAUUAAAUGAUUUAUGGUGUAUUGUUGCUUGAUAACACGAUGAUUGAUAAUACGGUGUGUGAGACAUGAAAUUUAUACUAAUGAUUGUUUAAAUGAAGCUUCCAUGGAGUGGUUUACUAGCGACUAAGGUAUGCCACUUGUUUGAUUUAUCCAAUGUUUGUUAUGCAUGAAAUUGAUUGCCUAAUUCUAUAUAAUUGAGGCUUAAUUGAUGUCAAUAAAUUCAAUUGAAGGUGUAUGUACAUGUAUGUUAAUUAAUCAUAGUUAAAUUGGUUUAAUUGGCCAUUAAAAUAUACAAAAUCAGGUUUUAAAAUUAUUUUUUCACAAAAAUAGGUGUAGUGGUUUCCACACGGGCGUGUGAGGGGCUGCACACGGGCAUGUGGAGACUAGAGCUAUCACACAUGGGCAUGUAGGAUUUCCACACGGAUGUGUGCAAUCGGUCUAAAAGUUUUUCACAAUGUGAAUACGGUCGUUUAAUGACACACCGUCUGGGGGACACGGCCAUUUGGGUUUUGGGGGGUUUGAACUUUUUUCUUUUUAAAUUUUUAUUCUAACUUGUUUAAGUUGCAAUUUAGUAUUGAAAAUUGAUUAGUCUAAUUAGAGCCUUAGAUGAUAAGAAAACUUGGUAAAAUUUUAGGUUUAGUUUCAUAAUGGGUAAAAUUCGAUAGAAACACAGUUAAUUUAUAAUUCAGAAUAGGUCCUAGUAGUUUGUAAUUGUUACAAUUUAGUCCCUAAUAAUAAAACUUAAAUUAGACAUAGUAAAUGAACUCAAAUUAAGAUAAAAUUUUUAGCCUUGCAUAAUUUGACUAAAAGAAGGGUGGUAAACACUUAGAUCUAAAAUCAGGUUAGUUUUACCAUAAGUGGUAAAAUGACGAAAAUGCCCUUAGGUUAAAUUACCUAGGAAAAGUUUAAAAUUGGCUCAUAAUUUGCUUCUGUAUUAAUAAAUAACUAAUAAUUAGAUAAUAUUGAGGUGUUAUAAGGUCGGGGUGUGUCCUGGGUGGUCGUUAGUCGGAGAGUCACUUAGGUGGCUAAUGUAAUGCUUCGAAUUUGGGUUGGUCCGUCCUGAUUAGGUUUGGGCUGUCAUACCACCUACUAGAUGCAUUUAUCAAUACCAUAAAAUAUCUGAAUAGUCCACGUGAUGGAUGAAUGGGCCCAUAUAUAUCACGUUAAAUACGUUCUAGAAAUGCGAGAGAUUCAAUCCCAACUUUAGCUGGUGAUGGUCUAAUAAUCAAUUUUCCUUGAGAUUAAGCAACAUAAGAUAAAUCCUUGAAUUCAAGAAUCUUCUAGUUUUUUAAUAGGUGUCCAAUUGAAUUCUCGAUUAUUCUUUGCAUCAUAAUAGAUCUGGGAUGGCCUAAUCAGUCAUGGUAAAUACUAAAAGUAUGUGGUUCUACAAACUUCUGGUUUGUAGUAACAUGUGUCUCAAUUGCACUAAUAUGUGUAUAAUAUAAAUCUGAUGAAAAAUCAGGUAGUCUUUCCAAAACAUAUUUCUUUUCAUAUUCAACAUUUGUAAUAUAUAGAUAUCCAAUAUUUUUCUCAUUCAUAGUAUCAAUAUGAUAUCCAUUAAGAUGAAUAUCUUUAAAAUUCAAUAAAUUUCUUUGAGACUUAGUGAAAUGUAUAGCAUCAUUAAUGACAAAUUUUGUGCCUUUAGGUAAUAAUAUAAUAGCUCUCCCAAAGCCUUCAAUAAGUUUUGAACUACCCGAUAUUGUAUUAACAUGGCCAUCACUUAUUGUCAAAUGAGAAAAUUAUUUUUUAUCUUUGAGUAUCGUAUGUGUUGUAGCACUAUCAGCAAGACACAUGUCUCCAUUAAUUUUGGGUCCAACGAAAUUCUAUUGACUAUUCAUAUUCUUCAUAAAAAUAAACAAAAUAUAAUAUGAGAAAUGUUGCAAAUAUUUAUUAAAUAUAUAAUUUAUUCUUUAUGGAAGAAAUUAAAGCAAACUUAAAACAAAAUAAAAAUGUCAAAAUAACAUCAACUUUUCUAAUGAUUCUCAAAGAAAUCUACCACAUCUAGGUGAGUUAUAUUAUUAAGGUCAUGAAAUUUAUCACCAUCAUAGGCAUGGUCAGUUUUAGUAUCAUAGUGAAUAUGUUCAUUUUUUGCCUCCAUUUCAUCAUUUUGGGAUAUAAAAUUUUUCUUCAUAUUCUUUCCCUUCUUUAUAAUGGAUGCUUGAUAAAGUUUCACUAAAUACUCAAACGUACGACAGGUACAUGACCAAUGGCCCUUCAUACCACAUCGGUAGCAUAAAUUCUUAAUAAUCUUUGAAGGAUUAUUUUGACCACCUCUUUCUUGUCCUUCAUUGUUGUUCUUUUUCUAAUGGUUAGAAGUAUCACUGUUAUGACCACCAUGAUAACGAUUACUAGUAUGUCCUCGACCACGUCCCCCACUACAUCCACGACCGCGACCUCUAUAUUUUCCAUUUUCAUAAUUAUUGUGUACUGCUACAUUUAUUUUAGGGAAUGGUGCAGAACCAAUAGGACGAAUUUCAUGAUUUUUCAUUAACAACUCAUUAUUUUGUUGAGGCACCAAAAGGCAUGAAAUCAAUUUAGAAUACCUUUUAAAACCUUUUUCACGGUAUUGUUGCUACAGGAGCACAAUUAGUAUCAUAAAAGGUUCAAAAUGUUUUCUCUAACAAGUCCUCAUUAGUUAUGUUUUCUCCAUAUAAUUUUAGUUGAGAACUAAUUUUGAAAAGUUCUAAAUUGUAUUCACUUACAGUCUUAAAAUCUUGCAACCGUAAAUGCAUCCAAUCAUAACAAGCUUUAGGGAGUAUAAUCGUUUUCUGAUGGUCAAAUUGUUCUUUCAAAUUAUUUCACAACACAAGAGGGUCUUUCACAAUGAAAUAUUUCACUUUUAAUCCUUCAUGUAGAUGAUGACAGAUGAAAAUCAUUACUUUUGCCUUGUUUUGAUUAGAUGCUUCUUCAUAUGCUAAUAUAGUAUUUCCUAGACCUUUAGCAUCUGGGUGAAUUUUAACAUCUAACACCCAUGACAAAUAAUUCUUGCCUAAGAUGUCUAAAGCCACAAAAUCAAGUUUGGCAAGAUUUAACAUUAUAAUCACUUAAACCAAAAUAAAAAAAUUAGUAAAAUAAUAUGCAUUCUCAAACGUAAAAUAAUCCAAUUAUAUAUACCAAAUUUGCGAAAUAAUAAUAUGUACGUCAAAUAUUGGCAUAGAGAGGAAUAAUCAUAAUAAUAACUUAAAACAAAUUGCAUUAAUUGAAAUUUCUUUUAGUAAAAAAAAUUAUAUAUGAUUGUCAUUAUAACAUUUGAGUUGUAAAAAUAAAUGUGCAAAUGUUACCCAAAGCAAAUAUUUCAUCUAGAAAGUAAAAUAAAAUAAUGAUAAAAAUAUGUAUACAAUAUAUAGUUUAACGGGAGUUAUAGGGCAAAUUAUAUAAAGGUGAAAUGACGUGAAACUCACUAUGAACUUGUAGAAGCUCGUGCUAAUAACAUGUUAUAGAAAAAUUAAUAAAACAAUAAUAAUAAGUAAAAGGUGGAUGAAAAAUACAUGAGAAUUUUCAUUACUUAAUUUUCUCUUACAACAUGCUAUUUAUAAGCUCCUUUACAUUCAAUUAAUAAAUGUAUUACAUUCAAUCAAUAAAUGUGAAUUAAGUUUUCUUAAUUACUCCAUUUAAUCAUCUCAUAGUUAUAAAUGAAGUAGAGAAUUUUACAUCAUUACUUUAAUAAAUGUUUAAAGGGACAUAAGAAAAUAUAUAUAAAUAUUUAAGCAUGCAUGCAUGUAUAGUUGAUAUAUAUGUUAUACUAAAAGGCAAAAUAAUUUUAUUAAUGGAAGAGAUGAGUACAGAUGCUUUUUGUAAUAGUGGUGAGAAAAAACCAAUUAUAAUUUAUUCAAACCAAACCACAAUCUAUUUAUUUAAUUAUUUUUAUUUCAUUACAUAAAAAUAAAUCCUCUAUUUCUAAAUUAGCAAAAAUAUAAAAUAUUAAAAUAUAAUUCUUGCAGAACUUUAAAAACCAAUCAACCAAAUCACAAAUUUGGCCUGCUUUUUAUCUUGUUUUUAGAAAAUUAGAAUAUUGCAAAUUAACCACAACUUUUAUACAAAGUUGAACCAAAUCAUCGCCACCCGUAAAAUACACACCCAUCAAACGAAUCUAGCCACAACACCACCUAAAAACAUUUACUCCCCCAAUGCAAAACCUUCUUUAAUUCUUAGCAGAAACAACAAAAACUUCAUUGCCACAGUAUAUCAACCACCAUGAAAGCCAAAGAGGUGCCCAAAUCUUGUAUAUAAGAUCAAACAUGGUUAAGUGAUUAGAUAAACACUUUUAACUGCCUAGGAACUGUGCCAUGAUUAUUAGACCGCUAUGAAGAUGAGAGCUGAAGGGAAUGGGCCAGCUUGCAGGCUGUUUAAUGAAGCAAAGAAGGACUACACUGGUGAGCUAAGAACAGACAGUACUGCUGAGCUGGAAGAGAUGGACGGCAAAGGAAUUUAGCUAAGAACUCAGUUAUGAACGUGGACAAUUGAAUUGGUUUACAGCUGUAACUCUAUUAUUACUUUUUAGAGAUUGCCCACGGCAUAUGUCCAGUGAACUAUGAAUUUUCAUAUGUUUUCGGAAUGAAAUAAUCUUUCUUACCUCAGUUCCCUACUCUAUCUGAUCUACAUUCACUCCGGGAAAGAGUAAAACUCAGCAAUACAAAUGGUGGAAGGCACGAAACUAAAUACACUGCAGGAGCAGAUUCAAAGUUUGAAGAGGCAGAUGGAAGCAAUGGGAGCUGCAGAGAACACUGUGCCUAAAUGGUGGGAGGAGCUGCGCAUUGGUAUUGAAGCCAAGCUUCGGAAGAACCAGACUUACAUGACCAAGAUGUUGAUUUUUUGGAUGAAAAAUUUUAAAAUACUAAAUCUUAUAUGAUUAAUUAAAUUUAAUAUUUUGAAUGAUACAAAUUAAAAUCAUUGAUUGUGAACUCAAAUUUAAUUUAAUAAAAUAUGUAGGAAAUGGAUGUUUCAAAUGCAUAUAUUUAAUUUCCUAUUUCCGUUUUUUACCGUUAGUUAGUUUUUUGUUUUUGGUUACUAGAAAACAUAUUUCAUGAAUCAUGCAAUCUAUUUGCAAACUUAGAACAUCAUUAACAUUUAUUUAUGAAUUAUGUACUUCUAAAUGUUCACUAUCUCAUUGUCUUAAACUCAAAUGAGACAUUGCAAGUUAGCAUUUUUCCCUUAACGCAGAAGUUUUAUUGAAACUCAAAUAUCUCCGGAAAAAAAUUAGCUCAAAAAUGAAAAGAGACAAAAAUAUAAAAGUACAUAAAUAUUUCUAUACUUACAAAUAAAAGCAUAGUAUACAUUUUUUCAUUAGAACACAAAUAAAAGCAUAGAAUACAUUGAAUUUUAACAUAAUUAAAUAGACAAACAUGAAGAAAAUACAAAGCUCCCUCCCCUUGACUGCAUAUUGAUCUAAACAUACAUAUUCAUAUCAAAAUACAUGAAAGGAAGCUGUCACUUUAUUCAUUAAAUAGAUGCUUCAAGUAGCGAUAACAAUAGCAGCAUGCGAUAUUGUUUAGUUUGCUUGGAUGAGGUGGGCGUCAAUGUCUUUGGAGAUAUCUUGAACCAAUUGCAGUAGAGUCUCGGGGUCCGCAAUCCCAUCGUGCAGCUUCUCGUAUUCCAAAGUCCAGUGCACUACGCUGCCACUAUCCUCGCUCUUGGGCGAAACUAGAAUCGUGGCUACGAAGCUCUUGUACUCUUCCAUUAGAUCUCCUUCGAUCACUCUGAAAGUGAUCAAAUUCUUAUCAGGGUCUACCGCUUCCACUACUUCCUUUGCCUUUUUAGCCUUUCCAUCUAAACAAACAACCUUUUUUCUUUAACAAAACAAAAAGAGCAACAAAUCAAGUGAUAAGCAUGAAAAGAAAUUGGGUUUAUUAUGUUAUAUCAUACCAUGCACAUAACUCCAAUGGACAAUGGUACCGACUUUCCCCCAUUUACCUUCAUGUAGAUCGCAUCCUUGAAUCUUGUCAUAGCAAGUAUGGUGCACGUGAUGUGGUUUGUGGGCGAACAUUUCAUGAAACUGCUCGGGAGAAGCCUUAAUAUCUACAUCUGCCUCAAGCUUACCUGUAAGAGUUGAAGAUGCCAUCGUAUCACCAACAAUGUUUGAUGUGGGAGUGGUUUGUUUGAUGUUUAGGCUAGGCAUUAUUUAUAGACCGAUGUCAAUGUCUAAAGCAAUAAUCCUCUCCAUAUGAUACUACUCAAUUUCCUAUUCGUUCACCAAUUAUCAUUUAACAUAUAUUUAAUUUUGCACACUUGGUUUACUUAUUGAAUCUUCUUUGAACCAAAAAUAUAAAAGUUUUAUUUUACUCAAAUUUUAUUCAUGAAUAUUUAAAAUAUUGAAUCUUGAAUUCUCUUAUUUGAUUCUUUUUUUAUGCUUUUCAUAUCCGUUUUACAAAUUAUGUUCAGGGUUUAUGACUACUCUUUCCAACAAUGUCAUUUUCGAGAUUCAAAUCUACAUUCUCUUGGGAGUAUAAUGUGAUUUACCACUGUGCCCAAUAUUUGAUUUAAUGAACAUAAAUAAUUAACGUUUUAAUAAAUGGAAAAAAUAUUUUAUGUAAAUAAAUAAGUUUGAACAUGGUACCAACAUUAUACUAAACAUAAUAAAAACAAUGGGCAACAUGGAAAAUUUCAAAAAAUUUAAAAAAAAAAAAACACAACAUUAUACAUUAUACAUUGCAUUAUCAAAAUAUGUUAAAUUCAAAAUUUAUAUAAAUUUGUGAUACCUAAUUGUACAAAUUGAUCAUAUGGACUAAUUCAUUUAACUGUAUUAUUAUUAUUAUUAUUAUUAUUAUUAUUAUUAUUAUUAUUAUUAUUAUUAACUAGAUGAUCAUACAAAAAGUUAAAGUUAUAGAAAUAUUUCAUAAAAAAAGUUAUAAAAGUGUAGUUUUGUAUUAGAAUAAGUUGAUUAUUUCUUAAAUAUAAUAAUUAUAAGCAUAAGCAUAAUGUAGCACUUUGCAGUUUUUUAUUUUGAAAUUGUUAAAUUAUGUUAAGUGAAUUGAUUUGGUUCAGUGGUUUAGUGUUAUGUUUGUGUGCGAGAGAUUUUGUGUUUGAUUCAUUUCCCUUGAAUUUUGAUUAUUUUUAUCCCAACCCCUGACUUAGAAUAUCUGGCUUAUCUUUAAUUAUUGAGUAGUUUUUGACAAGAAUAAGCUUGUUGGUUUAAUGGUAAGGCUUUAGCUUACCCAUGAGUCUUGUGGUCAAAUCUUAAGUGCUCAAAGUAGAAAUAUUUUUGCUCUCUUUGUUGUGCUCUCUGUUUUCCAUUUUUCUUUUUGGUUUUCCUCAAUUCUAUUUGUGUUCCUAAAACUUUCUUUCUCUAUCGUUUAUCUUUUGCGAUUAUUCUUUCAUUUAUUUUUGUCAUUAAUCAUCUUGUUUGGUCUUUUACCGUCACUCUGUCUUUCCAUUGAUUAAACCAUUAUUUACGCUCCUUAUUUCUCUGUCUCUCUAUUUUAUGCUCUUUUUCUUACGUAUUGGUCGUGUGUGAUUGGUGUGUUAAGUUUCUGUGUGGAAAUAUCUAGUAAGUAAGAUUUAUUUUCAGUUGGUGAUUUCUGUUUUGAUGCGAUUUCUCGUGGAUGGUUAGUAUUCUGUGCUGUUGUUAAUUGGAGUGGUCUGAUUAUGUCAAUGUUUUUGAUAGGAGAAGAUCGUGAGACACACCCUCCUCCCGCGAGUUGAGGGCCUUUGAACUGCUCCUUCUUGGGGUAAGUGUUUGAAUGCUGAGUUAUUGACUAAUUUCGGCUAGGGUCGAAUACCCUAUUGUUUAGGCUGAACAAGUGAUUUAGUUUCAGUACAUUGUUACUAAUUGAUUUGUUUUAGAUGUCAUUCAUAGGGUUUAGAAGAGUGUUGUUGUGUCCCUGUUCAGAAAAUCAUCAGGUGUGUGACUCAAACUCCACUAAAUUGUGAAACUGCGUGAAACCAAAUUUGCCAAUCAACGACACAUGGUCAUGUGUCUAGCCAUGUAAGCCACGCGAGCGUGUGUCUGGCUGUGUGCCAGGCUGUGUGGGUCACACGGGCUGGAUACUUAAGGCGUGUAAGCCCAUUUUGUAGGUUAAUGUGUCUAAAUUUGUGAUUCGUAAAAUUUUGUAACGGUUAAGUGGCCAUAUCUGAAAUCGGUUAAAACCAUUAGGUAAUGCAUGAUGAUUAAAUGCAAACAUUUUGUGAGUACAAGCAAUAUGUUAAAAUCGUAUAUUUGUUUUAUGAGUAUUUGAGUAAGCAUGUCUUUAUAUUGUAUCUCUGAUUUUGUUGUUGUGCAUAAUUUUGGCCUGUGAAACUGUAUGCUUUAAAAGCACAUCUCUGAUAUGAUAAGCUUAUAAAUGAGCAUGUAUAGUCUGAAUAAAUAUGUGCAUAUGGUAUGUUUUUACAUGUGCAUUGGGGUGGGAUGCGAUAUGUGACGGAGGAAGUUCCGGCAUUGUAACGCUCUAAACCCAACCUAGACAUUAUGGCCGAAUCUAAAUUAGAACUCGUUUGGUUAUAUAAGAUCCCCUAGUAANNNNNNNNNNNNNNNNNNNNNNNNNNNNNNNNNNNNNNNNNNNNNNNNNNNNNNNNNNNNNNNNNNNNNNNNNNNNNNNNNNNNNNNNNNNNNNNNNNNNUACAUAACAGAACAUGUAACAGCCCAAUUUUAGGCCUAGUCGGAAUAGUUGUUUCGGGACCAAAAAUUUAUUUUUUAUUAUAUUUUUAUGGUCUAAAAUUUCACAGAAUGAUUUCAUGAAAAUUUCAUUCAAAAGUUUCGACGUUUGGGCACUCAAUUUAGCCAAAAGGACUAAAUUGUAAAAGGUGUAAAAGUUGAGUUCUACAUGUUAGAAGUGUCCAAUUGUUAUGAAAUUUUAAAUUGGAGGUCCUUAAAUGGUAAUUAGACCAUUGGUUAACUUUUUGGACAAAAAUGGACAAGAGAUAAGUGAAAUAGGAAAUUUUUAAGUUGGGGGAAUUUUGGUCAUUUAGUAAUUAAAAGAAUUAAAAAGGCCAAAAUAGCCAAAAAUUUGUCCAUAUUCUCCAUGGUGAACGAAAUAAGCAAGGGGGAAGCCAUAUUGAGGGUUUUCAAGCUUCCAAGCUCCAUAGUAAGUGAUUCCAAGCCCCGUUUUUAAUGUUCUUUACGUUUUUGGAGUCCCGGUAACUUGAUUUAGCUUAUUCUAGCAAUAAUUUAACCUAGGGUUCAUAUUUUGAAAAAUACCCAUAGGUGAAAUGUAUUUAUUUUGAUGUUUUAUGGUAGAAUAUGAAGCUUAAAAUUAUGUUAAAUAACUUCUACUAGCCGAUUUUAAGUGAAAACGAGUAAAUUGACAUAAUCGGUAAAAAUACCUAAUGUUCAUAAGUGUUAGAGUGAGAAUUUGAUGUUUCCAUAGAAGGGAAAAAUGUUUAGCAUGUCAUAAAACAUAAUAAAAAGGAAUAAAUUUUAAUUUCCGAGCCUAGGGGCAAAAUCAUAAUUUUGUGAAACUUUAGGGGCAAAAAUGUAAUUUUUCCAAAAUGUGAUUUUUGGACUGGAUUGAAUAAUUUGAGUGUUAAAUAAGUUAAAUGUGUUAUUAUAAGUCAAGAAAGACAAGGAAUUAACUUUGAUUAGUGAAAAAGAAAAAAAUGAGAAAAAUUGAGAAAUUUCCCGAUUGAACAAUCGGAAUAAAAAGGGAUACGAAUGAAGUGAUAGAAAUGAUCACAUGUGUGGCAUGGACUGUGUGUAGGCCACUAUGUGAAAGUGAAAGUGAUAGUCACGUGUGUAGUACUAUGUGCAGGCUACUACGUGUAUCAGAAUGAUAGGUCGCAUGUGUAGUACUAUGUGCAGGCUACUAUGCGUACCGGAUAGCUUCGAUCACAUGUGUAGUACUAUGUGCAGGCCACUACGUGUAUCGGAUAGUGAUGGUCACAUGUGUAGUACUAUGUGCAUGCUACUAUGUGAACCGGUAUCAUUAAUUAUAAGGUGGUUGCUAUGUGCUGAUCCCACCGGAUAUCAUUGAUUACAAAGGGUGGUUGCUGUGUGCUGAAUCCACCAUGUAUCUAUUAUUAUUUUGAAGUGUUCAUUGGGAAAUUGGCUAAGUGAAAAUACAUGAGAUCAUGUAACGAUUAAGUGUGAUUGAAUGAUGAAUAUAUGUGUGGAAUUGAAUUGAAUAAUGAUUGAAAGUGAAAAAGUGAAAUUAUGAAAAAGUAAAAUUACCAACAAAACAGUUUUGGACAGUAACAAUAGUGUGACUUUGAAAAAUCACCAAAAAUGAUGGAAAUUGAAUUAGAGAGUGAAUAAGAUAUGAAAUUAAAUAUUAAUGAGUCUAUUUUUACAUAAAAGAAACAGAGUAAGCAAAAGAGUUAUAUAUUUUAGAUAUGUGGNNNNNNNNNNNNNNNNNNNNNNNNNNNNNNNNNNNNNNNNNNNNNNNNNNNNNNNNNNNNNNNNNNNNNNNNNNNNNNNNNNNNNNNNNNNNNNNNNNNNNNNNNNNNNNNNNNNNNNNNNNNNNNNNNNNNNNNNNNNNNNNNNNNNNNNNNNNNNNNNNNNNNNNNNNNNNNNNNNNNNNNNNNNNNNNNNNNNNNNNNNNNNNNNNNNNNNNNNNNNNNNNNNNNNNNNNNNNNNNNNNNNNNNNNNNNNNNNNNNNNNNNNNNNNNNNNNNNNNNNNNNNNNNNNNNNNNNNNNNNNNNNNNNNNNNNNNNNNNNNNNNNNNNNNNNNNNNNNNNNNNNNNNNNNNNNNNNNNNNNNNNNNNNNNNNNNNNNNNNNNNNNNNNNNNNNNNNNNNNNNNNNNNNNNNNNNNNNNNNNNNNNNNNNNNNNNNNNNNNNNNNNNNNNNNNNNNNNNNNNNNNNNNNNNNNNNNNNNNNNNNNNNNNNNNNNNNNNNNNNNNNNNNNNNNNNNNNNNNNNNNNNNNNNNNNNNNNNNNNNNNNNNNNNNNNNNNNNNNNNNNNNNNNNNNNNNNNNNNNNNNNNNNNNNNNNNNNNNNNNNNNNNNNNNNNNNNNNNNNNNNNNNNNNNNNNNNNNNNNNNNNNNNNNNNNNNNNNNNNNNNNNNNNNNNNNNNNNNNNNNNNNNNNNNNNNNNNNNNNNNNNNNNNNNNNNNNNNNNNNNNNNNNNNNNNNNNNNNNNNNNNNNNNNNNNNNNNNNNNNNNNNNNNNNNNNNNNNNNNNNNNNNNNNNNNNNNNNNNNNNNNNNNNNNNNNNNNNNNNNNNNNNNNNNNNNNNNNNNNNNNNNNNNNNNNNNNNNNNNNNNNNNNNNNNNNNNNNNNNNNNNNNNNNNNNNNNNNNNNNNNNNNNNNNNNNNNNNNNNNNNNNNNNNNNNNNNNNNNNNNNNNNNNNNNNNNNNNNNNNNNNNNNNNNNNNNNNNNNNNNNNNNNNNNNNNNNNNNNNNNNNNNNNNNNNNNNNNNNNNNNNNNNNNNNNNNNNNNNNNNNNNNNNNNNNNNNNNNNNNNNNNNNNNNNNNNNNNNNNNNNNNNNNNNNNNNNNNNNNNNNNNNNNNNNNNNNNNNNNNNNNNNNNNNNNNNNNNNNNNNNNNNNNNNNNNNNNNNNNNNNNNNNNNNNNNNNNNNNNNNNNNNNNNNNNNNNNNNNNNNNNNNNNNNNNNNNNNNNNNNNNNNNNNNNNNNNNNNNNNNNNNNNNNNNNNNNNNNNNNNNNNNNNNNNNNNNNNNNNNNNNNNNNNNNNNNNNNNNNNNNNNNNNNNNNNNNNNNNNNNNNNNNNNNNNNNNNNNNNNNNNNNNNNNNNNNNNNNNNNNNNNNNNNNNNNNNNNNNNNNNNNNNNNNNNNNNNNNNNNNNNNNNNNNNNNNNNNNNNNNNNNNNNNNNNNNNNNNNNNNNNNNNNNNNNNNNNNNNNNNNNNNNNNNNNNNNNNNNNNNNNNNNNNNNNNNNNNNNNNNNNNNNNNNNNNNNNNNNNNNNNNNNNNNNNNNNNNNNNNNNNNNNNNNNNNNNNNNNNNNNNNNNNNNNNNNNNNNNNNNNNNNNNNNNNNNNNNNNNNNNNNNNNNNNNNNNNNNNNNNNNNNNNNNNNNNNNNNNNNNNNNNNNNNNNNNNNNNNNNNNNNNNNNNNNNNNNNNNNNNNNNNNNNNNNNNNNNNNNNNNNNNNNNNNNNNNNNNNNNNNNNNNNNNNNNNNNNNNNNNNNNNNNNNNNNNNNNNNNNNNNNNNNNNNNNNNNNNNNNNNNNNNNNNNNNNNNNNNNNNNNNNNNNNNNNNNNNNNNNNNNNNNNNNNNNNNNNNNNNNNNNNNNNNNNNNNNNNNNNNNNNNNNNNNNNNNNNNNNNNNNNNNNNNNNNNNNNNNNNNNNNNNNNNNNNNNNNNNNNNNNNNNNNNNNNNNNNNNNNNNNNNNNNNNNNNNNNNNNNNNNNNNNNNNNNNNNNNNNNNNNNNNNNNNNNNNNNNNNNNNNNNNNNNNNNNNNNNNNNNNNNNNNNNNNNNNNNNNNNNNNNNNNNNNNNNNNNNNNNNNNNNNNNNNNNNNNNNNNNNNNNNNNNNNNNNNNNNNNNNNNNNNNNNNNNNNNNNNNNNNNNNNNNNNNNNNNNNNNNNNNNNNNNNNNNNNNNNNNNNNNNNNNNNNNNNNNNNNNNNNNNNNNNNNNNNNNNNNNNNNNNNNNNNNNNNNNNNNNNNNNNNNNNNNNNNNNNNNNNNNNNNNNNNNNNNNNNNNNNNNNNNNNNNNNNNNNNNNNNNNNNNNNNNNNNNNNNNNNNNNNNNNNNNNNNNNNNNNNNNNNNNNNNNNNNNNNNNNNNNNNNNNNNNNNNNNNNNNNNNNNNNNNNNNNNNNNNNNNNNNNNNNNNNNNNNNNNNNNNNNNNNNNNNNNNNNNNNNNNNNNNNNNNNNNNNNNNNNNNNNNNNNNNNNNNNNNNNNNNNNNNNNNNNNNNNNNNNNNNNNNNNNNNNNNNNNNNNNNNNNNNNNNNNNNNNNNNNNNNNNNNNNNNNNNNNNNNNNNNNNNNNNNNNNNNNNNNNNNNNNNNNNNNNNNNNNNNNNNNNNNNNNNNNNNNNNNNNNNNNNNNNNNNNNNNNNNNNNNNNNNNNNNNNNNNNNNNNNNNNNNNNNNNNNNNNNNNNNNNNNNNNNNNNNNNNNNNNNNNNNNNNNNNNNNNNNNNNNNNNNNNNNNNNNNNNNNNNNNNNNNNNNNNNNNNNNNNNNNNNNNNNNNNNNNNNNNNNNNNNNNNNNNNNNNNNNNNNNNNNNNNNNNNNNNNNNNNNNNNNNNNNNNNNNNNNNNNNNNNNNNNNNNNNNNNNNNNNNNNNNNNNNNNNNNNNNNNNNNNNNNNNNNNNNNNNNNNNNNNNNNNNNNNNNNNNNNNNNNNNNNNNNNNNNNNNNNNNNNNNNNNNNNNNNNNNNNNNNNNNNNNNNNNNNNNNNNNNNNNNNNNNNNNNNNNNNNNNNNNNNNNNNNNNNNNNNNNNNNNNNNNNNNNNNNNNNNNNNNNNNNNNNNNNNNNNNNNNNNNNNNNNNNNNNNNNNNNNNNNNNNNNNNNNNNNNNNNNNNNNNNNNNNNNNNNNNNNNNNNNNNNNNNNNNNNNNNNNNNNNNNNNNNNNNNNNNNNNNNNNNNNNNNNNNNNNNNNNNNNNNNNNNNNNNNNNNNNNNNNNNNNNNNNNNNNNNNNNNNNNNNNNNNNNNNNNNNNNNNNNNNNNNNNNNNNNNNNNNNNNNNNNNNNNNNNNNNNNNNNNNNNNNNNNNNNNNNNNNNNNNNNNNNNNNNNNNNNNNNNNNNNNNNNNNNNNNNNNNNNNNNNNNNNNNNNNNNNNNNNNNNNNNNNNNNNNNNNNNNNNNNNNNNNNNNNNNNNNNNNNNNNNNNNNNNNNNNNNNNNNNNNNNNNNNNNNNNNNNNNNNNNNNNNNNNNNNNNNNNNNNNNNNNNNNNNNNNNNNNNNNNNNNNNNNNNNNNNNNNNNNNNNNNNNNNNNNNNNNNNNNNNNNNNNNNNNNNNNNNNNNNNNNNNNNNNNNNNNNNNNNNNNNNNNNNNNNNNNNNNNNNNNNNNNNNNNNNNNNNNNNNNNNNNNNNNNNNNNNNNNNNNNNNNNNNNNNNNNNNNNNNNNNNNNNNNNNNNNNNNNNNNNNNNNNNNNNNNNNNNNNNNNNNNNNNNNNNNNNNNNNNNNNNNNNNNNNNNNNNNNNNNNNNNNNNNNNNNNNNNNNNNNNNNNNNNNNNNNNNNNNNNNNNNNNNNNNNNNNNNNNNNNNNNNNNNNNNNNNNNNNNNNNNNNNNNNNNNNNNNNNNNNNNNNNNNNNNNNNNNNNNNNNNNNNNNNNNNNNNNNNNNNNNNNNNNNNNNNNNNNNNNNNNNNNNNNNNNNNNNNNNNNNNNNNNNNNNNNNNNNNNNNNNNNNNNNNNNNNNNNNNNNNNNNNNNNNNNNNNNNNNNNNNNNNNNNNNNNNNNNNNNNNNNNNNNNNNNNNNNNNNNNNNNNNNNNNNNNNNNNNNNNNNNNNNNNNNNNNNNNNNNNNNNNNNNNNNNNNNNNNNNNNNNNNNNNNNNNNNNNNNNNNNNNNNNNNNNNNNNNNNNNNNNNNNNNNNNNNNNNNNNNNNNNNNNNNNNNNNNNNNNNNNNNNNNNNNNNNNNNNNNNNNNNNNNNNNNNNNNNNNNNNNNNNNNNNNNNNNNNNNNNNNNNNNNNNNNNNNNNNNNNNNNNNNNNNNNNNNNNNNNNNNNNNNNNNNNNNNNNNNNNNNNNNNNNNNNNNNNNNNNNNNNNNNNNNNNNNNNNNNNNNNNNNNNNNNNNNNNNNNNNNNNNNNNNNNNNNNNNNNNNNNNNNNNNNNNNNNNNNNNNNNNNNNNNNNNNNNNNNNNNNNNNNNNNNNNNNNNNNNNNNNNNNNNNNNNNNNNNNNNNNNNNNNNNNNNNNNNNNNNNNNNNNNNNNNNNNNNNNNNNNNNNNNNNNNNNNNNNNNNNNNNNNNNNNNNNNNNNNNNNNNNNNNNNNNNNNNNNNNNNNNNNNNNNNNNNNNNNNNNNNNNNNNNNNNNNNNNNNNNNNNNNNNNNNNNNNNNNNNNNNNNNNNNNNNNNNNNNNNNNNNNNNNNNNNNNNNNNNNNNNNNNNNNNNNNNNNNNNNNNNNNNNNNNNNNNNNNNNNNNNNNNNNNNNNNNNNNNNNNNNNNNNNNNNNNNNNNNNNNNNNNNNNNNNNNNNNNNNNNNNNNNNNNNNNNNNNNNNNNNNNNNNNNNNNNNNNNNNNNNNNNNNNNNNNNNNNNNNNNNNNNNNNNNNNNNNNNNNNNNNNNNNNNNNNNNNNNNNNNNNNNNNNNNNNNNNNNNNNNNNNNNNNNNNNNNNNNNNNNNNNNNNNNNNNNNNNNNNNNNNNNNNNNNNNNNNNNNNNNNNNNNNNNNNNNNNNNNNNNNNNNNNNNNNNNNNNNNNNNNNNNNNNNNNNNNNNNNNNNNNNNNNNNNNNNNNNNNNNNNNNNNNNNNNNNNNNNNNNNNNNNNNNNNNNNNNNNNNNNNNNNNNNNNNNNNNNNNNNNNNNNNNNNNNNNNNNNNNNNNNNNNNNNNNNNNNNNNNCAAUGCAUUUCUAUGAGAAAUUUGUGACAUGAUGCUCUAUCUCCUGACUGAAACACCUAAGCUGAAGCAGUUGAAUUAAGUAAUUAGCAGUAUUGUGAAAUUUGGUGAUCAAGUUCAACAUUGCUUAAAGGUCAUAAUGCUUGGCACUGGUUAAAUGUAUAAAUUAUAUAUCAUUAUUAAAUUAUAUUUAAUACUAAUUAUUUUAAAUUAUAUAAAUUCAUAUAAGAAAAUUUAUUAUCAAGAAUUUUAUGAAAUUAUAUAUCAUUAUUAAAUUAUAUUUAAUAUUAAUUAUUUUAAAUUAUAUAAAUUCAUAUAAGAAAAUUUAUUAUCAAGAAUUUUAUGAAAUUAUAUAUCAUUAUUAAAUUAUAUUUAAUAUUAAUUAUUUUAAAUUAUAUAAAUUCAUAAAAGAAAAUUUAUUAUCAAGAAUUUUAUGAAAUUAUAUAUUAUUAUUAAAUUAUAUUUAAUAAUAAUUAUUUUAAAUUAUACAAAUUCAUAUAAGAAAAUUUAUUAGUUAUAAUUAUUUUAAAUUUUAUUAAAUCAUAUAUUUUAUUAAGAAUAUUGAUUAUUAAGAAUUUUAUUAAAUUAUAUAAGAAUAUUGAUUAUUAAAAAUUUUAUUAAAUUAUAUAUUUUAAUUAUAAUAUAUUUAAUAAUAAUUAUGUUUAAAUAUGCUUAAAUUAUUUAUUAUUGAUAUUAAUAAUCUUAUUAAAUUUUAAAUAACAAUAACAAUAAUCAUUUAUCCAAACAAAUUUAUGCUAAGGGUAUUCUAGUCAUUUUAGUUUUUUCCAUUAUGCUAUUACAUCUCUAUUCCAUUCAACCAAACACAAGAAUACUAUUACACAUCUAUUCCAUUACAUUCAACCAAACAAUUGAUUUGCUAUUACGCCUCUAUUCCAUUACGCCUCUAUUCCAUUACGUCUCUAUUCCAUUACGCCUCUAUUCCAAUACAGCGAACCAAACGUGCUCUAAGUAUUCGAAUGACAUGGAUUUGAUGGUGAUAAGAUUCGAACAUUGAAUUCAUGAAGCACAGGUGAUGUAUUAUUGUUGUGUGAUAGCUUGGUUCGAGAAAUUGGUUAGGUAAAUGGUAAGUGAAAGCAUUUAUGGAUAUAUAAAAAAUUUGGACUGAAUAUGAAAUUUAACUCAAUUAAAUAAUUUCAUCAAUUAAACAUUGUGUAUACGAGAAUGUGUUAGUGAAUUACAUAUUCGUAAAUUGACAUUCGAAGUUCAGUUAGUGAUAUAUGAAAAUAACAUGAAAAGAUUUAUGAUUGUGAUUAAUAUUGAUUCUGACUUAAAGUGGAUUCUUCAAUAUUAGAUUGAUUUAACGGAUAUAUUGAGAAUAUAAAUGGGUAUGUAUUGGGCCUCAUAAACCCUAAUUAGCGACUCGAAGAUAAUAAUUUGAAAGUUUUUAAUUUGGAUGAAAUUUUAUAACUCGAUUUAAUAUGUUUAUAAGUGUAUUUAUUCUGGUAAUGCCUCUACCCUAUUCCAGCGUAGAAUACGGGUAAGGGGUGUUACAAUGUGACAUCACCAGAUUCGACCCUAAUGUUUAGGCCGGGUUUGGGGUGUUACAGAACAUAUCAUACAUAUCAUAUUACACAAUACCUAUAUAGAUGUUAUUUACAUCAAUUUCAUUCUAACAGAGUAGCAGAUUUCAUACUUUACGGCUUAUACCACACAUACUGAUCCUACAGAAGGCCCACAGUCGAUCGGGAUGACAUAUACGACCCUAGGGAAAAAUUUUGAAAUUUGGACCGACAUGCCCAUGUGGCUAGCCCGUGUGGGCCCAUAUGCCCAAAAUGGCUUAGCGCGUGUGGCCUACGUAGCUUGGCACAUGGCCCACACAAACCAAAAUGGCCUAGGCCAUGUGUCACACACGGUCUCGCACACGGCCUACCACACUGCUAGCCACAUGACUGUGUGGUGUCGACAGGCCUCAAUUUCAGCUUUUGCCGAUUGCCAUUUUUCGAGUUUCUCGUUAUACACCUAACUCAAUUUUGAAACGGAAACAACUACGAGACCACUAGUACUUCAAAUUUGACAAUAAACAUUUAAUUAGCCAUGUUUCCCCAAUUAACCAAAAUAAUACACUAGCCAUAACGAAAAUCUCAAACGUUUAAACACUUAUCCAACUUCGAGAACGAUACCUAGCACCACUAAUCACAAGGGGAUAGUUCGGUCCUCAUGAUUCACCGCUGUCAACAAGCCCAAGAUUAUAAUCAACAAAAUGAUAAUAACACCGAUUCCACAACGAACUUUGAGAUUACCCUUAAGCCGAACAAAACCCUAUAAACCCCACUUACCAAACCGCAAGAAGAAACAAAAGAAUCCAAGACACAUCGAUUCAAUUGAGCAGAAAGAUGUUAGAAUUGAAGAAAGUAAACCAAAAGAAGAGGCCAAAGGAAGACAGAAAAGAAAACGUUAGAGUAAUUUGGCAGAAAGACAAAACGUGGAAAAGAGGGAAUUUUUCAGGAAAAAUUAAAAUAAAAUUAAGAUAAUGCCCUCAAUUCCCCACUAUCCCCACUAACUACCCAAUCCCUCAAAAUUCUCCUCCAACUACCAUAGAAUUUCAAUUCCACCAAACCUCUACUACACCACCGGCAUACACCCAGAAGCAAAAAUAUUACUAAUUACUCUCUCGAGGAUUCGAACACAAGACCCUGGGAAAAGCUAGCACUUACCACUUAAACUAGCAGGCUCAUUCUAAUAUAAGCUAUCCAAAAUAUGAUAUAAUCAAGCCAUUAAAGACAAGGCUAGGAACAAAAAUAGCAAAUUUUCUAAAAGUGGGACUUGAACCCCAAACCUAAAGCACACAUACAAAUCACUUAACCACUGAAGUAAACACUUACUUAUGACAAAAAUCAUAAAACAGAGUUUAAUAAUUCAAGGCGUUACAAGCAUAUUAUGUUAUGCAAUUUCUGGCGGUAACACCGCAAAUUUCUAUAUAUGGCAAUUAAACACUACAUAGUUUUGAUUCUGGCAGUUUCCGCAUUAUAUCUUGCAGCUUGACUGCAUAUUUCUAUACAGUGAAAAACGAACACAAAUUUGGUGUGUGGGGUUGAAUGGGUAUUAAUUACCCUAUUUGGUGUGGUGGGUGGGACGAAGGUGAUGAGUAGCGGACGGGGGUAGGAUAUGUAUCUCAUUUGUGUAAUAUUUGCAUCGCAUGAUAUGGCAUGCCAUGCCAUUUGUAACUGAUCUGAUUGUUGUGCUACAUUGCCAUCUAUGUCUGUUCGGUUAUUAACUUUUGUAUGACUAUUUGUUAUUCAUUUUUGUAUAUGAUUUGAGUUGCACACUGAGCUUUUUUAACUCACCCAAUAAUUUAUCUUCUCAGGUAAUCAGUGAAGUUAGGAUCGGGCGACGUGCGGGAGCUCAGCUUGGAUUUUAGCUAAAUAAAAAAAGGUUUAUAAUUUUAAACUUAAUUCUGGACCUUCUGAACUUUAUAAUUGUUUUGGACCUUAUUCUUCAAGUUUUUUGAUUUUCUGCUAGAUUUUUGUUUCGUUAAAAUACAAAUUACAUGUUUUGACAUACUAGAAUCACGAUUUUCAAACUAACAACUCCUAAAUUUCUGUUGAAAAACUAAAUAACAAAUUAAGUAUUUUUUUGUAAAAUAAAUAAGUUCUACGCAUAUUUUCUAACAACUUGUAAGAGUUUUGUCAAAAUUAAAUAUUUUCGAAACACACACUUAUUUAAUUUAAAAUCUGGACUUUUAAAAUAAGUUCAUGUAAUUCCUCAAAAUCCGGACAUAACGUCUAGAUCAGACAUGGGGUGUUAUACAUAAUUCUAAAUUUAGGAAAAUAAUUUAUUAAACUUUAUGAUAUUUUAUUAACACUUAUUAACCUAUCAAAUUUCAAUAUUUUAAAUAUGUGAGUAUGGUACAUAAAGAUGCGGAUUGAGAAAUUAGGAAGAAAUAGUUAGAUGAAAGUGAAAGAGAGAGUGAAAGGAGUGGGCGGUGAUAUUACGAGGCAUCUAAUCACUUUUGGGUUCCUUAAUCCCAUUCUCCAUUAGGAUACCAACAAUAAUAUAUGGACCAAUGCACAGGAAUGGGAUGCUACAUUCCAUUUGAAAGAUCAGCAGUGAAGCAUAAAUGCUUUUGUUUUUUUGGCCCCAUCAUACUCAGGUCCAUUCCUUUCUCCAUCUAUUCCUAUCAAUACCCUCACAAAUUAUUUUUUUCCACACUAUUCCAAAAGAAAAAUUGAAAGUUCAGUGUUAUUGAAUUAUGCCAUCAGUUAGAAAUUAAUUAACAAAUUUGUUUUAUAAAUUAAUAAAUAAUAUGGUAAUGGUAAUUAUAUAUUUUAAAAUUUUUUAUAUAAUAUUUUAAAAGAGAAUAAACUAUUUAACCGUUUUUACGUUUCAUAGAAAUCACAAAAUGUUGCUUAAAUUAUACUAUUUUUCCAUGUUGGUAUUUAAACUAUACUUCAUCAUCUAAAGUGAUACCUAAAUUAUACUUCGUCUUCGCUACCAAAAUUACCCUAAUCAUUAAAAAAAUUUUAACAAAUCAUUUUUGUGACAUAUUAAACUUUUUAAAUAAAAAUAAAAAUAAUAUAACUAAAUUAAUUAUUAAAAAUAUCAAAUUGAAUUAAAUUAUAACUUUUCUAUUUUUUUAGACUCUUCCUCUCUCCAUGAUUGUUUUCUCUUUUAAUGCAUUUUCUUUAAUUGUUAGAUGAGUUUACUUUGCAACCCUCAAACCAUUUUUUUUCCUAUUCAACUUCUUUCUAAUAUUGGAAUUUUGUGCUUUAUCUCUGGUUUUUUUAUUAUAAAGGUUGAUCCAAUAUUAAUUAUUUUACACAAAGUAUAUAGAAAAAAAAGAAAUUAUUGAUAAGAAAAAUAAUACAUAAGUUUUGAAAUGGGAUGAGAAAGGAAUCAAAGUCCAUGUUUGAAAAAAAGGAAAAGAAGCUCAUUGGAAUAUGUGUUGUGUCAUCGAAAUAGGGUUUGGAUAUGAGUUUUUUUUACGGGUUCUUGAAUUUUCUGUCACCGGAAUUUUUAGGUAAAAAUAAAAUAGAUCAAUAUGUUUAUAUUAAAAAAAACUUAAGGAAAUAAUCUUUAACUUCUUUUGAAUUUUUUAAGUUAAAAAUUGUCAAGUGUCACGAAAUGAGGCUUGGAUAAUUUGAGUAACGAAAUAUAGUUUAGGAACUACUUUGAAUAACAAAAUAUAUUUUAAGUAUCACUUGUGAUAAAAAAGAAUUUAGUAGAAAAUAAUAUAAUUUUUUUAGUUCAAUAAAAAAAUAUAAUUUAAGUACUACUUUAAUUAAUAAAAUAUCACUUGUUACAACUUAAGAAGGAGACAUGUUCUUUGAAUUGAUGCACUGCAAAAAAGGUAAAGUUAGAUACAGUCUGAACCGUAAACUUAGAAGCCAACCUUAAACAGACAUUUGUCACUAGAAGCCAAAAAGUUUAUCAUUACUUGCAUCUAUCUUUACAUAGACUGAGUGUAACGUAAUUUAGAUUAAUUGAAACGUUAGAAAUGUUUUCUCACUUAAAUUUAUAAUAAUGAUUUUUGCGAAUAUAAAUAAAUAAUUAAAAAUCAUUUAAAUAAUAUGAACCUUAAUGAUUGAAAGCAUUAAAAGGAAUCCCAGGGAAUAUAGUAAGUGACCCAGUAACCUCCCUGGGGUCUCCAAAAAGAUGAAUACAGAGUAGUUUUCAUGCAGAAGUGUAGUCGGAUGAUGAUGCAGCCCUCUUCUUGGCAAAGUAUUCCUCAGCUUGAGCAAGGUUCUUUGCAACUGAAGGCUUAGCCCACUUCUUGCGCCCAGGCAGUACGGUGAGAGAGCAACCGGCAGCCUCAAGCUUUUCCUUUGAAGAUGUUGAAAAGGCACGGGCCUUCAAGUUCAGCUUUACAUUCAGCUCCCCGUCACCAAAAAUCUAAAUCAACAUGAUUUAUUAUCAAUAACAAUGAAUAUUUUGUUUUAAAAACAACAUGUUCGAUUAUUGCAAUUACAAUUCUUUCCGUCUUUGCAUGAGAGAACCAAUUAAAAAGGUAGAAUUGAAUUGUUAUUUCAAUUAAUAAUUAAGAAGGUCUGGAUUAAUGCUUCAUGCAUGAGAGAAACACAACUUCCGACUUGUAGAACAAAAAUAUAUGAAAACUGCUCAAAACAUAAAACAGACAAUAACCAGUCACAGAUCGGCCUGUCACAGGGCAACCAGCCCAGUCAGAAUCACUAAAAGCCUUCAGUACAAGUGAUGAAGAGGCAGAAAAGAAGAGACCAUAAGCAAGGCAGCCGUUGAAGUAAUGAAGAACACGAUGAGUAACUUGUAAAUGACUGACUGUAGGCCGGUCCAAGAAUUGACUCAGUUGUUGAAUUGUAAAAGCGAUAUUAGGUCUAAUAGAAACCAGAUACAAUAGGCGGCCAAUAAGUUUCCUGAAAAGAGUAUUAUCAGGAAGUAAUUCCAUAGAAGCAUCUCGAGGGAUUUUGGUAGCCAUUGGAGUCUUAACAGGCUUGCAAUCUAAGAAACCAAAAUCAGACAAUAUGUCAAUAACAUAUUUUCGUUGACAAAGAUGAAUACCAGCAGAGCUUCGAGCAACCUCAAGUCCAAGAAAGUAUUUUAAAUCACCCAAGUCUUUGAUUCUAAAUGUAGAAUCCAAAAAAGCUUUAACUCUUGCUAUUUCAUCCAAAUGAUCACCAGCCAGGAGGUAAAAGCAUAUAAACCUCUUCACUCAAAUCACCAUGCAAAAAAGCAUUGUUAACAUCAAGCUAGUGCAAAUACCAAUUCUUAGAAGUAGCAAUAGCAAGUAAAAAGCGAACAGUGGUGAUCUUGGCUAUAGGUGAAAAAGUAUCAAAAUAAUCGACACCCUCAGUUUGUGUGAACCUCUUUGCAACCAAACAAGCCUUGUAAUGUUCAAUGGAACCAUCGGCUCUAUGUUUCACUCAAUAAACCCAUUUACAACCAAUUGCAGUCUUGCCUGGAGGUAAAUCCAUAAUGAUCCAGGUGUUAUUUUGUUCAAGAGCAGAAAUUUCAGCCUGCAUUGCUUCUCUACAAUGAAAAUGUUUACUAGCUUGUGAAUAUGUUUUAGGUAUAGAGGAAACACUAAUGGCAAGAGUGAAAUGUAAAUGGGUUGAAGAAAGGUUAGAGAAAGGUGUUGUACAUCGAAGAUGAUUGGUAGCUGCCUUGCUUAAAAAGCAAUGAUAUUGGUCUAAAUAAGAAGGUGGUUUCCGAAUACGAAGUGGCCUGGAAGAUUGUAAGGGAGAAGUCGGUGUAACUUGUGGCUGAGAUGGCAAAUCAUCAGUGGUGGAGGGAUCAAAAACCAGUUUUGGGGUGGACGAAUGAGAUGGUUGAUGAGAAAAAGGAAAGGUUGACUCAUGAAAGAUGACAUUUCUUGAAACAAAGAUGGCCUAGGACAACAGAUCAAAAAGGAUAUAUCCUUUAACAUUUGGUUGAAAUCCAAGAAAAAUACACUCAUGGGCUCGAGGAUCAAAUUAAUGACGAUAGGCAGUAAGGGUUGUAGCAAAACUAAGGCAACCAAGGACACGUAAAUGCUAAAAGUCAGGCUUGGUUUGGUAAAGUUUUUCAAAAGGAGUAAGAUUAGCCAAAAGGGGAGUUGGGGUACGGUUAAUAAGGAACACAGAAUGAAGAACAACAUGUCCCCAAAAAUGCUUAGGCAAACUAGAAUGGAAUAAAAGAGCCCGUGAAACAUUAAGAAUAUGUUGAUGCUACGUUCAACAAGACCAUUUUGUUGUGGGGUUUCAACACAAGAAGUUUGAUGAAUGAUUCCUUUAGAAGCAUAUUGGAAUAUCAAACUUACGGCCAUUAUCAGUUUGAAAGACCUUAAUUUUGGAGGAAAAUUGAGUUUCAAUAACUGUGUAAAAAUUUUGAAUAUGAGUACGAACUUCAGAUUUGGCUUGCAAGAGAAUAAUCCAAGUAAAACGACUGAAAUCAUCAACAAUAGUUAGAAAAUAACAAUGACCAGUGACAGACACAACAUCAGUCGGACCCCAAAUAUCAAUGUGAAUAAGAUCAAAGAUUUUAUUAGAAACAGAAUUGCUUAGAGGAAAAGGAAGUUUCUUUUGUUUUGCCAAAUGACAAGCUUUACAAUCUGAAUUAUUUGCUAUGGACAAAGAAGGAAUAUAAUAAGAAAGUAACUUCAAUCUUGAAUCAGAAAGGUGACCAAGACGAUGGUGCCAAAUGUGACAUGAUGUGGUGGUGGCUGACAAGACAGUAGGAACAGUAAUGGAGAAGGUUUGAGCUGGUGAGUCCCAAAAUAUAAAGACCAUGAAAAAUAUUAGCUGUACCAAUCAUCUUCAUAAAGGGAAGGGCCUGUAAGGAACAAUGAGUUUUAUGAAAAGUGAAUGAAUAAGGUAAGGUGGCAGUAAGUUUAGUAACAGAUAAGAGAUUGAAAGCAAACUGAGGAACAUAAAGGACAUUUGUAAUAUAAAGGUUAUCACUAAAAAUAAUUGUACCAGAAAAUCGAGCACAAACUUUGGUGCCAUUAGGAAGAGUGAUAUGCACAAAUUGAAUUGGAGUGAAAGAGGCAAACAAGGAUAAAGAAUGUGUAAUAUGAUCGGUCGCACCAUUAUCUAUAAUCCAAUGGUGUGAUUGAAAAGAAAAGAGGUUACCUGCAGAUGUAGAAGUCGUUUGGUGUAAGGAAGAGACAGUGUUGGUAACAUGAGGUGGUGAGGUAGAGUUUGAAGAUGGAAGCAAUGCGAGCAACUGUUGUAACUGUUCUUGUGUCAAAUUAACACAAGGAUCAAAUGGCAAGGUAGCAACAGACUGUGAAGAGUUCAAGGAUUGUGCAGCACCAUCAUCAAACACAGUGUGUGCAUAAGAAGUCCGACCAUGAGACUUAUAACCAGGUGGAUAACCAUGCUUCGCAUAACAUGUAUCAACACUGUGCCUAGAUUUGCCACAAAAAGUGCACUUCCGUGAAUCAGUAGAAGAUUUUGCUUGAGAUUUCUUGAAAGAAGAAUGUUGGCGCAUUGUGUUACUAACAAACACUUGAGAAGAUCCAAUAGUAAGAUGACGUUCCUGUUGAAUGACCAAAGAAAAGGCUUUAUUGAUCGUAGGCAAUAGAUCAAUGAGCAUAAUUUGAGAGCGAACACCAGCAAAACGAUCAUGAAGACCUUUAAGAAAUCGAAUGACAUAGUCAUUAUCAUGAUAUUUCUAAAGAGUAGCGAAAACACCACAGGAACAAGGUGUGUGACAAGAACAGACGAGAAUCGGUCGAAAAUUCAACAACUCAUCCCAGAGAAUCUUCAACUCAAUAAAGUAAUCAGUGACCGAGCGAUCAUCUUGCUUGAAAGCAGAGAUCUCUUCUUGGAGAUCAGAAAUGCGAAAAACAUCUCCUUAAGAAAAACGUUCAUGGAGAUCACGCCAAAUCUUAUAAGUAAAGUCUAGCCAAAGAAUACUAUUCAUGAUUGAAGGCAAGAUAGAGUGAUGCAGCCAAGAAAUCACCAUAGUAUUGCACCUUUCCCAAGCUAAAUAAAGAGGAUCUGUUCUGAUCGAAACUGGGAUUGUGCCAUCAACAAAUUUAAGCUUCUUCUUGGAUAAAAGCGCCAUUGUCAUUGCACGAGACCAAGAAUGAUAAUUCGAUCUUGAUAAGGCAAGAGAAACAAGAACUAAGGCUGGAUUUUCAUUUGGAUGAAAGUAAUAAGGACUGGAAGGUAGUGUAGGAUCAUGGAGUGCCAUUGGAAAGAAAUAAAACCAAUGAAAAUCAAAGAAACAGAGUGUUUGGGAAGCGAGAAAGUGCAGAAAAAUGCAAGAGAAUUGAAAGAGAAUUUUAGAUCUGAUACCAUGUAGAACAAAAAUAUAUGAAAACUGCUCAAAAUUAUUUACAAUACAAAGGCUCAGUUAUAUACAACUUACAAGAGAAAAGAAAAAUAAAAGAAUUGAGAACUUACAUAGGUGUAUCAAACUAACUGCUAUAUCUGCUAACUGACUAACAAUUAAAUUAGAUCUAUAUUACUAACACUACUCAAGUUGAUCUCCAGAACAAGUAGCAUUGGGGUCAUUAUACUUAAACAAAGUCUAAAAAGGGCUCUGUUAUAAUAUAAAUCCAAGAGCAUAUUCACCUUUAAAGGGAGUUUCCUCUCUCUUCCUGAAGGCAAACCCUUCUCCUUUAAAGACUCCAAUGACACCUCAUCUCCCUCUUGAAAUCCAAUUGUUUCGUUGUCUUUUAAGUUAACCGGUAUGUAUUUGGUAAUCUCGCAUGCAUACCUUGCAAUGUCAAAUGAAAAUAGCAUUAAUUUAAACACUAAGCAAAUAUAUAUAUAUAUAUNNNNNNNNNNNNNNNNNNNNNNNNNNNNNNNNNNNNNNNNNNNNNNNNNNNNNNNNNNNNNNNNNNNNNNNNNNNNNNNNNNNNNNNNNNNNNNNNNNNNNNNNNNNNNNNNNNNNNNNNNNNNNNNNNNNNNNNNNNNNNNNNNNNNNNNNNNNNNNNNNNNNNNNNNNNNNNNNNNNNNNNNNNNNNNNNNNNNNNNNNNNNNNNNNNNNNNNNNNNNNNNNNNNNAUAAUUCUUGUAGAACUUUAAAAACCAAUCAACCAAAUCACAAAUUUGGCCUGCUUUUUAUCUUACUUUUAGCAAAUUAGAAUAUUGCAAAUUAACCACAACUUUUAUACAAGUUGAACCAAACCAUUGUCGAAUCUAGUCAUAACAAUGUUACAACUGUAAAAAUAAGAUUAAAGUUUUUUUGAGAUAAAUAAGUCGUGUUUGCAAAAUAAUUACUGUUUUUAGAAGUUCAAACACUGUUUAAUAAGGCAAGCUUUCUGGUGUUUUCGGGUGGUCAAUGUAACUUCCAGGAUCCAAUCAUAACGUUUAGGUUGGGUAUGGGGUGUUACACAAGGUCUAUGUUCAUACAGCCAAGCACUAUAUGUCACAUCCCAAAAACUAGAUUAGUGGGCAGAUAGUGGUCACACCCUAUUUUUAGAUAAGUGUUGUAAGUUUGUGUAAAGUGAAUUGGUUUGCUUUAGCGGUUAAGUGUUGUUCUUGUGUGUAAGAGGUCUUAUGUACAAAUCCCUUCUCUUGAGUUUUUAUUAUUUUUAUUCCUACACUUGACUGGUCACAAGUAGGUUAUAUUUUAUUCUUGUUAGUAGUUGACAAGAAAGACUUUAUUGAUUCAGUGGUAAGAUUUUAACUUACCUAGGGUUCUCGUGUUUGAAUCUUCUUGUGUGUAAUGGUGGAUUUCUUUUUGUUUCCCCUCUGCUAUGCCGUCCAUGACUCAAGAAAUAGGUCAAUUUUCAAACACUUUGAGAUCUAUAGGAUAACAAAUAGUAUCCUAAAAGAAUCUCUCCCACUUUUCAAUCAACCGUCCCACUCUUCCACUCUCUCUUUUACUGCCCUCUUCUUCCCAUUUUUCUCUCCAUCUUUGGGUUUUCUCUAGUUUCUUUCCUUCUCUUUUCUUUUUCUCUUUUUGUUUGGCUAUACUCACAUUUUAUUUUUUUUCGAUUACCAUAUUUCACGUUUGCGACUCUUCUUGUUGUUCCUUUCAUUGUUUGAGCGUCGAUCUCAGGUUCUUCAUAUGUCAAUUGUGAGUGCAGAAGUGUUCAGUACUGUGGUCACAUCUAUGUGUAAGUGUUUUUAUUCCUUCUCCUUUAGGAAUGAAUGUUCCAUUUGGAUAGUGUGCGAAUGAGAGGUUUUGAUUAGUGUUGGUCAUUUAAUAAGUUUUAUGUCGGGUUUUGUUAUUUUGUGUUUCUGUCUAGGUGCGACACUGGAAGUGCAUAACAACCUUUCGAAACUUUAAGGUUUUCGUUUGCACUACAUCAAGGGUAAGGGAUUGUGUACCUUAGUUGGAGACUAUUUCGGCAUGUUUAGGCUGACUACUUUUUCAUUUUUUUUUGCCAAAUACUCUAAUCAAGUAAGGGCUGAGUUAUUAUUUUGGACUUGGUGUGGUUGUUAAUUAGUCAUUUUGGAUAUUGUUUUAGGGUCCUAGAAUUGCUGUUGUUGUGAAGGCAUCAAAAAACGACUAGGUGUGUGACUCGAUCUUGUAAAAAUAGUGAAUGGGGAAAGUUGAAAAACCUACUGUUGAUGCCACACUGUCGUGAGGGCCACAUGGGAUGGGUUAAGCAGGUCGUGUCACAUCCCGAAAAUCGGGUUAGUAGAAAUGGACAUUAGAUUGUGGGCUCGAGAGAAAAAUCAGGUUUUGUGUCGUAGAAGCUAAAAUAGGAUAAAAUAAAUAAUAAGUUAAUAAUAAUUAAAUAAAAUAAUAAUGGUAUUAAUAAUUGGGGAAAUAGUAAAAAUUAAAAGAGACUAAUUUGGAAUAGUGGUUAAAGUAGAGGUUAAAUGUGUAAAUUAAAACUAGUAGUUAAAAGGGGAGUUAUUAGAACAAGGGAGAAAUAAGAGAGGACUUAGAUGGUAAAUAGCCCAAUUUUAAAAAAAUUAGUUGGAUACAAAAGCCACUUGCCGCCCAAGUUCUCACCAUACUUUUUUUCAUUUUAAAAAUUUGUUAGAUCUAAGAUUGAAAGUUUUAUUUCAAAUUUUCUGCACCUUUUAGAUUUUCUUGGCAUCCAAACACCUCUUAUUCCAUUAAUUUUGCAAGAAAAUCACUUUUUCUUCUUCAAUUUCUCACCUAAACUUAGCUCAUUUUUGCUCAAUUGUUACAAAUGCAUUGUUUUCUUAUGUACUAAAUUUUUAUUAGGUGUUUUAAUUUGAAUUUUCAUAGAUCUAAGCAAAAAAUUUAAGAUCCAUAGUUUUAAAGUUAUCUUUUGCAUAAAAAUGGUGAAUCUCAUACNNNNNNNNNNNNNNNNNNNNNNNNNNNNNNNNNNNNNNNNNNNNNNNNNNNNNNNNNNNNNNNNNNNNNNNNNNNNNNNNNNNNNNNNNNNNNNNNNNNNNNNNNNNNNNNNNNNNNNNNNNNNNNNNNNNGAACAAUGUUUUUACGAAAAAAAUAAUUAAAGAAAUUGAGCAAAGUUAAAGAUCUAGAUCUAUAAUUAAACCUUAGUUAGGGGGCUAGGAGGUAGAAAUUAAAGUUUUAAUUAAGUUAAAGAAAGAAGAAAUUAAGUGAAAUGUAUUGUACGAAAUAAGUUGAAUAAGUAUGUGUGAGUGGAUAGCCAUUGUAUGAACACAAAGAGAUAAGUUAGAUUGUUUUUAAAUGCUUAGUAAUAUGUAUUUUUUUUUGUGAAGUAAAAAAUGUGGGCGGAGCCUUAGCAAACCAAGGUAAAGGCAAGCAUAAAGUUGUCUAGUUCAACAAGCCAUGGUGAGCUACAGGUGANNNNNNNNNNNNNNNNNNNNNNNNNNNNNNNNNNNNNNNNNNNNNNNNNNNNNNNNNNNNNNNNNNNNNNNNNNNNNNNNNNNNNNNNNNNNNNNNNNNNAAUAGUCGAAGUGAGGCUUGCGAACCCCCACUUAUGGUAUGCGAACCUUUACUCUUCCCUAGUGCAAAUUCUUGCAAUUUUGUUUGAACUGAGUAUCCAUGUUGUGCAAAAUUAAAUGGUAUGUGUAUAUAUAUAAUAUAUACGUAUAGGGGUUUUGUUAUUUAUAUAUAAUAUAUGGGUUUUGGUGUUAUAUGUAUAAUAUAUUUACGUGGGUAUGCUAUUCACAUAGUACAUAUAUAUGCGUGGUUUUGCUAUACAUAAUAUAUAUGUGUGGGUUUUAUUAUAUAUAAUAAAUAUGCGGUUAUAGAUUUUGUAUUAUCUAAUAUACAUAAAUGUAUAUGGGACUUUUAAUGAAUGUUAAAAUUGAAGUGACAAAGGUCACUAAAUAGGUCUGUGUAUAUAUGUAAUAUAUAUUCGUAUAUGGUUAUAUAGUACUUGCGAAUGGACAUAAAAAUAAAANNNNNNNNNNNNNNNNNNNNNNNNNNNNNNNNNNNNNNNNNNNNNNNNNNNNNNNNNNNNNNNNNNNNNNNNNNNNNNNNNNNNNNNNNNNNNNNNNNNNUAUGCAUGCACGAACCUGUAAGUGAAUUAUGAGUUUUAUGAUAUUGUGAGUUUUGAUUAGUGUAAAAUUAUAUUAUUGUGAAAUGCUAAGUGCGACCUCAAUAGUAGUGCGAGCCAAUUAUAUUGUGGAAUGAAAUGUGGUUAAUUAGAUAUGUUGGCAAUGUGAACACUUGAAACCGUUGGAUAACAUUGGCAUGCCAUAAGAUUGUGAGUACUCACCAUUUUAUUAUGUGUUGAACAUUGUGGCCCGAAGAUAGCGUUGUAGAGAUAAGGGAAUGUCGAACAUAGCUCAAUUAAUCGUAGAUAGUGUGGUGUAUUUGGAGAGUGUGAGCAUACGUGCUACACUUAUAUGGAGAUAGCAUACGACUCUAUGGGCCAUGUGGUGUGUUUUGGAAAUCUGUUUAUCCAAUGAGUAUAUAAUUUGCCCAUGUUUCAUAUUCACGAAUUGCCAAUAUAUCACUUGUUGAGUAUGUAAUUUGUGUUAUAUGUGAAUGUUUAAAGUAUGUCUAAAUCCUAACAUGUAUGAUGUGUAUAUUUGUGUUGUAUGCAUGUGUACUCACUGAGCUUCUCCAAGCUCACACUCCUUACUUUACAUUGAAGAUAAAUAGUUCGUAGGUUAGCGAAUAGGGUGGCAAAUCAGUGAUCCAUUACAAGAUAUUUUUUAAAGGAUGUGUGUGAGCUUUUAAACUCCGAAGUGAAGGCAAUGCGGGUUUCUCAAAGGGUUUAGUACUAGAAUUAGACUUGGACUUUUUAAAUAAAAUUUUUCACUGGUUGUAAACGAACAUUACGGACUUUUUUUGGGGGAUUUUUUUAAUGUUAUAAUUGCUUGCUUGAUUGCUUAUCUAGAUGGUUCUAAGUACUUGUUUAAUGUGAUGAUAAUUAAAUAAACUAAUAAUUUUUUGCAAGUAAGGGAGACCACUAGGUAUUAAGGUACGCCUUAUACUUUCUGUUUGUGUGAAUGAAAUGAUUAAUUUAAAAAAGCAUGCAUUUAGGUCUAAUUUACUAUAUGAAAUAUUCUACAAAUGUGUAGUGUGUAUGGUUGGUGUGGUUCGUAAAGUUUUAAAUAGAAAGACACUUCGGUGGCUAAUGUGACGUUUAAACUUCGGGUUAGAUCGUUUCAGUCGGGUUUAGGGUAUCACAUUUAGUGGUAUCAGAGCCAGGUUUAUAAAAACACAGACCGAGCUACAAUUUUCGACAAAUUAGCAUUUUUGAAAAUAUAAAUACAUUGAAUUUAGAAUAAAAAUGGAAAUGCUUAAACCUUUGUGAAAAAGUAACCUUGUAUGAAAAUUAGUUGUCAAUAGGGUAGGAAUGGGAACACGUUGACUUCUUUGAAAGUGUUUUCUUGAAAAAUUUCCUAGGAUAACUUGUCACUUGUCACUUUCCCGUUUUAUUUAAUUUUAUGUAAAUAGUAGAUAAAAUGCCUCCUAGUCCCAGCUAUCCGGCUAAGAAUGCACCAGUGGAACCACCCCCAAGGCAAGCUGCACCUGGAACUGGUUUCGAGCCCUUGGUUCAAGCGAUGAGUGGGGCGUUUCAAAGGAUAGCUGGUGGGAACCCUGCCGCAGUUGCGAAAGGGUUGUCACCCGAACAACUCUGAGCUUUGGGUGGUAAAGAAUUUUGAGGAGCUAAAUGAGCUGAUCCGACCAUUGUUGAAAAUUAGUGGAGAGUGUUGAAAAGAUCCUUGAGCAAAUGGGAUGCUUGAAAAAUGAGAAGUUGGGUUGUACCAUAUCCUUACUAAACGGUGAAGCUCAUCGCUGGUGGAAUACAGUAAAGAGAGAGAUCAUUGCUGAUCACCUGUCUUGGGAGUUCUUUUUGGAGUUUUUCUUAAAUAAGUAAUUGGGAUAGUAGUAACUAGAUGCUAGAAAUAAGGAGUUUCUAGAUCUAGUCCAAGGAAAUAUGUCUGUGGCUAUGUAUGAGUUCGAGUUUGUGCGACUCAACCAGUAUGUUCCAGAGAUGGUAUUCUUUGAAAAGGAGAGGUGUAAUAGGCUAAAUCGAGACAUUCGAGUAUAUCUAGUAGCACAGAAGACUGAGGCCUUCGAUGAUUUGGUAGAGAAGGCUAAGGAAGUAGAGGAGACACUAAUCGAGCCACUGAGACUAGUUGUAUCUAAAUCCAAAAAGAGGGGCUCCAAUCAGUCAAGAUCGUCGAGAAGGCCAAGCAAGAGAGGUCGUGAUUUUCGAAAUUUUGAUGGGUGUUUGACGAGACUCUCAACCAAGCCAGACUGUACCACAGAGCACUACAGUAGUUUCUGAGAAUGGAUCAGCUGAGGUGGCGACUUGUGAGCAUUGUGGACGUGGGCACUCGAUAGUGUUUUGGAGAGUGUCGGGGGCGCAUCUACAUUGUGGGUUAAUGGAGCAUCGACUACAAGACUGCUUAAAGAGAGUUGAGUUGUCUCAAACUACCGCACUUAUUAAAGGCCAAGGCCUUGGUGGUAACGGGAGAUCGAUGGGUCAGAGGACAGUUGGCAAUAUAGUAGUUGUAUUGACUGAGUUUGGUGGACCCACUCGUGUUUACGCUGUUAAAGAGCCGCAGAACCGCGAGGCAAUAGAUAUGAUUGUAGGUGCAUUCAUAUUGUAACCUUUUUCUUUAUUUUUGUUAGUAGAUUUGGGUUUCACCCAUUCGUAUAUUGUGCGUGAUCUGGUUGGUGAGUUGGGGAUUGUAACAACCCAUUUUCAGUGAAAUCAGAAUAGUGGUUUUGAGACCACAAAUCUGAUAAGUAAAUUAUUAUUAUAUUAUUUUAAUGUCUAUGGGAUGUUAUUAAAGUCGUAUUAAAAUUUCGUUAAAAAAUUUUGAUGAUUGUAUACUUAAUUAAGUGAAAAGGACUAAAUCGUAAAAAAAAGUACAAAAGUGGAGCUCUAUUAGUUAAAAGUGUCAAAUAGCUAUGAAACUUUAAACUGAAAGGGCUUAGGUGGUAAUUAGAUCAUUCAUGAAGUUAGUGGAUGUGCAUGGUGUGAUUUUGAUGAAAUUAUGAAUGUUUUUAAAGGACAAUAUCGUAAAUAAGUAAUUAAAGGUUAAAUUAAAUAAAAAAAGACUUAUCUUCUUCAUUUCAUCAAAAAUCAACCAGAAAUCACCAUUAGAGAGGGGUUAAGUAUUUGGCCAAGCUCUCCUAUUACAUGUAAGUGAUUUUUGAGCUCGUUUUUAAUAAUUUUUAUAUUAUCGGGAUUGUUGUAGCUUAACCUAGCUAGCUCGAGGAUCAAUUUGUAAAAUUGUUAAAGAUUUAGGGUUAUUCCAUGCAUGUUCUUGCAUGAUUCUUGAUCUUUAAUGAUAGAUUAUGAGACGUUGUUAAUAAAUAAACAAGUUUUGUAAAGUGAUUUUUGAUGAAAAUGACAUUUAGGGACUUUUUUGUAAAAAGGAUAAAGUGUUUAAAAUGUUAAGGACUAAAGUGUAAAACGUUAAAAUAUUUGGGGAAAAAUAAUAAUUUUGCAAAAAUGUGAAAUGUGGACUAAAUUGAAUGUUAGGAUUCUUAAAUGGAUUAAUAUUGUCUAUUUAGAUCAAGACAGACCAUGUACGGAUCUAGAUCGGGGAAAAGUGAAAGCCUCAGAUUAGUCUAUCUCUUUCUCACGCCCUAGUCGUCGAGGUAAGUUCGUAUGAUUAAACAUCGUUUUAAUGUUAUAUCAAUUUAUAUGUGUUAAUUGCUAUGAAAUUAAAUUAUGUUGAUCCAUAGUAAUGUUAUGACAAUUAUCGAGUCCCGGUUGAACCUUAAGAAUUCAUAGGAUACAAAUGACAUGUCUCUAGGGAUUUCAUGUUUCGAGUGCUGGUCUUGAAUGUCCUACCGAUGGUUGAGGUUUUGCAUUUUUUGCGAUACUCCACAGCUCGUGUAAAUAGCAUCAUGUAGCUUACAUUCUGACCCACAUCUCUUGUGCGCAGGCCCAUUUUACAACUCGUGUGAGCAAUGAUGUAUAGGAAAGGUUACAAUUAUAUGUUUAAGUACACUUCGUGUGAGCUUUCCCGAGUAUCUGAUAAUAUUCUAGAUGAUUCAACGGGCAAUGAAAAGGAUUGAAAAGGUAAGUUCCUCAAGUGGAAUUAUGCAUAUGUUCAUGAAAGAUGAAUGAAUCAAGUGAUAUAUGUUCACAUGGAAAUGAAUUAUCUUAUGUUUAAUUCAAAUGAAUUAUGUAAGAAUGCACUGACUUGUGUAUUGAUGAUGGUGCUUAGGCUUGUGUCAAGCUUGUCGUUGGAUUGCAUUAUGCUUAAUGUUAAUGUUUUAUAAUGGAUGGUAAGUUAUAUUUCAUGUUUACGAACUUACUAAGCAUUAUAUGCUUAUAUAGUUUUCUUUCCUAUGUUUUGUAACACCCAAUACUCGGCUUGGUCGCCAAGCCCGAAUAUGGAAUGUCACACCACCGUCUUUUCUUUUUUACGAUAAACAGGAAGCUAGAUUCAAGUAAAUUGAACGUCUUUUCUUAAGUCGGUCAAGUAUUAAUAUGUCCAAAUGGUUAAUUAUCAUUAUUACAUGCAAUUCAUUCAUUAAACAAUCAUGCAUUCAAUUAGAAUUAUGCUUAAGGGCUAAUUAGCAAGAUUCCACAAAAAUGCCCGCAGGUAUCGAUACUGAUAUCCAUGUAUUGAUACCACUUGGAAAAACGAUACCAAUUGAACAUUUUGUUUCUCGAUAAAAAACCCAUUUAUCAGAAAAUAUCGGUACCACAGGAUAAAGUAUCGAUAUUUAUCCCCUAAGUAUCGAUACUCGAGCAAAGGUAUCGAUACCAACUCCAUAUUCUGUUUCCUGUACAUUUUAAUUCACAAAGGUAUCGAUUUUUAAAGUCCAAUAUCGACACCACAUAAACUCGUAGAGUCAAACAUGUCCCAAAAGUGAAGCGUAUAGCUAACACUCUCCUUAUUUCCCCUCACAUGUUCCAUUGAAUGGAGCUUAGCUCACAUUCCCUUAUCCUUCUAAACAUGUCCCAGGGCCUUAACGCCCAAAACCUCUACACAUAUAAGUGAGUACUCACAAUCCUAUGGCAUGCCAACUAUAUCCAGUGGUUCCAAGAUCACAAGGCCAAAAUAUCUUAAAAACAACGUAUUUUACUUACCAAUUACCCGUGCAUUAUCACUGCAUAUUAGCAUCUUUUGCAAAACACUAGCAUAACAUAUAUAAUGUACAUUUAUUACAUGUAUAUUACUACACUUUACACAAUAAGCACCAUAUCCACAUAUCAUAUAUCAUGCAUAUUAUAUAACCACAAGACAAGUAUAGUUCAAGAAAACUUACACGUGGAUUUUAGAGUAGGGGUUUAGGCUACCUCUAAAUUCCCAAUAACAUAUGACUCGUGUUUAUGAGUAGCAAUUCCAUACACUCACCACUUUAUGCUUUUGCCGAAAACUGAAAGCUCAACUAACUUUUUCCUAGCUCGUAGCAAGCUCUAAAGAAUCCGAAGCUUUACACAUAUAAAUCACACAAUAACCACAGUCAAACAUCAACCAAGAAUCCAUUCAAACCAACUAAAACAUAAGCUUCAAGCUAAAUUCUCAUGUGACUUAAACCAUUAACAUCGCAAACUUUAUAUACCAAUAUCUCAAUCUAUACUCAACCUUUUUUCUUAAAAUCAGUUCCGUCCAUCUACUUAAUCAUCUACACCCAAUUCAUAACCUUCAAACUAGACAAAUCUACUCGAUUCAUGGCAUCAACAUUUUUAACAUCUUUUAGGCAAUUUUCAUAAAAUUCAUAAAGAACAUUGGAAAUCAUUAAUGAAACUUUGAGAUGAGUUUAAAAACCUUCGAAUCAUGCUAAAAAGAGUUGAAAAACACUUUAAAACUAAGUUUUGACUCAAAAUCCUGAAAUCCACCAUUAAUGGUUCGAUUUUCGGCUUAUAUUUAAAAUAUGCGAUUCAAGGGCUAGUAAUUCAGCUCUAGAGUCUAAGUAAUGUUAAAAUCAAUGGUGACAUGAAUGAUUACCUUUGUUGAAGGAAUGAACGAGUUUUGACAAAAAUCUAGAAACCCAAGAAAUGAUGAAUUUAUGGAGUUUUUGGGUUUUUUUAAAGGUUUAAGAUGGAAAAUGGCUUAAGAAUGAUAGAAAAUCAAUGUAUUGUGAUUUAUGACCAAAAAUCGAUUGAAAAAGCAAGGGGAAUAGCAAGGGGCAGCAACUACAAGUUUGAAGAGCAACUAUCAUGAGUUUAGGUUGAAAGUUGGGGUUUUUAGGUUCAAUUUUAAAAACUGGUUUAAUUUCCAUAUAAAUGCUCACAGUUUUUACUAUGUUACAAUUCAGUCCUUUUUUAAAAUUAAGGGUUUUUAGAACAUUUUUUCAAAAAUUGAUUUGACAGUUAAGAAGCUAUAGUAAAAAACACUAGCAAGUACCAACCUUGCGAAAUUCUGAGCUCAUAUAAGUCAAAAUUUGUAAAAUAACUCUAAAAUUCCUAGGCCCUAUUUUGGGGUGUUACAUAUUUUAUAAAUAAUCGAAAGCUCAAUCAGUUUGGAAGCUCAUCGAAGAUCUAUCACACUAUCUAGUAAUUAUAUUGGUAAUUUUUGAUGUUUUGGUUAAUGUUAUAAUGGCAUGUAUCAAUGGACUUGUAUUGUUAUCUAGUUGAAUGGUAGUUGAUGAUUUUGGCAUGUAUAAGUUGUUUUGGUACCAUUUGAUGUUGGUUGGAUUGUGUCAUUUUGGUACAUGUUAUGCAUGAAUGGUAUGGCUCAAAUGGUAUGUUUAUAUUGAAGUGCUAAUGGUUAUGAUUAUGGUAUGAUUUGUUAGAAGAUGAAUUAUAUUUGAUGAUGGAAAUAUGACAAAAUAUGCAUGUUUAGGUAAGCUUUGAUGUUUGCUUGUCAGGUGCCUUGAAAUGUCAUAUUGAUUGAGCAAUUUUAGGACUAUUGAAUUAGUCAUUAUAUACAUGAUUUGGUAAGUUUUUCAUGCUUUGAGAAGAUGCACUAAAGGUCUUUAGGUGAAUGCAUGUGUUGGUGUUGGAAAUGGCUUGACUUUGGGUAAAUCAUGUCCACACAGCUUGAGACACGGUCAUGUGACUCACCCGUGUCUGACACACGGCCUGGCUACACGGUCGUGUGUCCCUUGCAGGUUUUAUUGCAUGCAAGUUAGGCAGUUACAUGACCUAACACUAGGCCUGGCACACGGGUGUGUGACUUGGCCGUGUGACCCUACUUAGAGAGUUACACGGGUGAGGACACAGGCUGGGACAUGACCGUGUGUCCCUAAUUUGAUUGUUACAUGACCUGAGACAUGGGCAUGUCUCUCAGCCGUGUGAACCCUACAGCUAAUUUUUUCUAACUUUUUCUUAUACUUUCCAAUUGUUUCCAAUUUGAUCCUGAAUUGUUUCUAAUGUAUUUUUAGGGCCUCGAGGGCUCAAUUUAGGGAUGAUAUGUAUGUGGAUGAUUUUCAUAUGAUAUGUUUAUAUUCAAGUAUGAGAUGUAUAUUAAAAUGAUUUGUUUGUUUGAUAAUACUCUAAAACUCUAGUCCGGUGACGGAUACGGGUUAGGGGUGUUACAGGGAUUCUGGUAUAGACCAUUAGGCAGGGCAUGAUAGUGACGAGUUUUCUGGGAGAGAGUGUUCUAGUUGAUCGGGCCUAUUGGAGGUAUCUGUUGAUAGUCCAGGUGUAUGUUUUUCUCGUAGAUUUGAGGGAUUUUCCAUUUCGUGGGUUUGAUGUGAUUCUCAAGAUGGAUUGGCUGAUUGAGCAUGGGGAAAAGAUAGAUUUUGAGAUGAAGCAACUUAGUUUCAGGAUUGAGGAUGGAUUUGAGAUUGUGAUCAUUGGGGAAAGACUCGAAUUUCUCUCCAAUAUGGUAUCAGCGACCAAGGAUGAAAAGUUGUUGAGUAAAGGUUGUGAAGCUUACCUAGCCUAUGUACUAAAUUUGAUAAGGAUUUGAGGGUUCAGGAUAUCCGCAUGUGAGGGAUUUUCCUGAUGUGUUUCUAGAGAAACUACCCAGUUUGCUGAUCUUCCAUAAUUCGGUGUAGCAAAUUAAACUAGUUGUCACAUUUAAGGAGCCUGAAUACAAGCCUUUUCGUUAUGUUUUAGUUAAUUUUUUAUAGUUUUAUUUACAUUCUAUAAUAUGUGCAAAUUGAGUCUUUUAUUGAUCUUAGGGGCCGAAUGAAGCCUAAGUGUAACACCCUUAACCCAUUUCUAUUAUCGGAAUAGGGUUACGAAGAAUUACCAUACAAUUCGUAAGAUAAAACAUUCAUUUCCAAACAUUAGAUAAACCAUAUCAUAAUUCAAUUAAAUUCAUGCAUAUCGUCCCUUAAUCGAGCGUUCAAGGCCUUAUGAAUAAUAGAAUCAAUCUGGGACUGAAUUAGAAAUAUUUGGAAAGUUUAGGAAAAAGUAGAAAAUUUUGGACUAUAGGGGUCACACGACCAUGUAGUCAGGUCGUGACUCACACGGCUGAGACAUGCGCUCAUGUCUCAGGCCGUGUAACUCACUAACUUGCAUGCCUUUAACCUACAGGGGACACACGGCCAUGUCGUAGGGCCGUGUGUCAAACACGGUUGGGACACACGCCCGUGUCUUAAGCCGCGUGGACCCAAAAUGAACCUUAAAACACAAGAUUAUCAUUUCAAGUUUGCUUGGACCUUAAGAAACUCAAACACCAACCAAAAUACCAAAUCAAAACGAUUUUAAUGGAGCCAAAAACACACCAAAACCAACCUAUUAAAUGCCUAACCAAUGUACCUUCAUUGGUACCACAAGUAUAUAUAAUUAUACAUCAAAAUAAUCAUCAAUUCAGCUCAUCAGCUCAUUCAAGCAAUGCUUAUCCAAAUUACUUAUCAAAGGUAUCUCAAUCACAACAUUUCUUUAAUACAUAUCAUUCACAUUAGCAUAGAAACUAUACCUCAUUCUCAUAUAUUAUAUAAGUCGACCAUUUACACAAAAGAUCAUCCAUAAUUUUUAUAUAAAUGAAAACAUUAACGAUAAUCACACAAGAGCCUAUACAUGCCAUAUAAUCUAAAUUAAACGUCCCAAAAACUACCGAACUGACCUGGAUAGUGUGACUUGAGUGCCGAUCCGAUCGUCUAACCUUCUGAGAAUCUACAAUGACAUUAAACAACACAAGUAAGCUUAAUGAAGCUUAGUAAGUUUGACGCAUUAAACGAUAAAUCUUACCGAAGUAAAUACAAUAGUUCAAACAAUAAUAAUCAACCAUGAGAAUUCCCUAUCAUCCACAAUUUCAACUGAUGAAUUCAUCUAAAUUUAGAUCAAUAUUCAAUAAAUAACAAAUCUUUCAAAUUCAUUAAACAAAUUACAUUAUCGAGAUUUUUCAUUCGUAGAACGACUUACAUAUAAGAGUACAUCGUCAGAUCAAUCGAACACACCAGACAGAAGCUCAUAAGAGGUAAUCCAAUCGAAACACACUAGACAGAAGCUCAUAACAGGUAAUCCAACCGAAACACGCCAGAUAAAAGCUCAUAAAAGCUAAUCCAAUCGAAACACACCAGACAGAGAGUAUAACACGAGAGUUCGCAACAAGUUCUACACCUCGAUUUACUCGAGUAAUAUAUAGAUAUCACCCUCCAAUACCAUCUCCACUCUAAACCCCCAAAACAGACCAAAUCACGAUUGUACUCUAUCCUACGUUCAAUCUAAACCGAGCAUCAAAUUCAAUAUUAUAUCUCAAAUUACCAUUAAUUAUCAACAAUUAAAAAUAAAUAUAUAAGUUGUACAAUGUUAAUCUACUCAACAAUUCAUAUUGAUGUUAAAUUCUAACUGGACGAACUUACCUGGACUGAAUGGCAGAAUUGUCAAAGUAUAGGGGCAUUUUGGUAAUUUUCCAAUCUCAUCGAUUUUCCACUCGAUCUUGAUCUAAAUUAAUAAUUUCAUUCAAUUUAUUAAUUUAGAUAGUAAAACAAUUUAUUUUAUGCAAUUUAAUCAUUUUUUACUUUUUUUACAAAAUUUCCCUUAAUAUUUUACUAUUAUUCAAUUUAGUUUUUGAGCCUAAAACAUGCAAAUUACUGAUUUUUAAUGCAAACUCAUGCCAAAGGAAUAUUCAUGGCAUCAAAUACAACCAAUUUUUGUAACAAUUUCACAUCAAAUCCUUAUAUUUUUACUAUUUCAACAAUUUAGUCCCUAAUCAUAAAAUUCAUUAAAAUUACUUAACAAAAUACUUUUAAAUAUCAACCAACAUUUAAAAUUCAUAAUUUAAUAAACAAAAUCACAUAGAUUCAUCAAUGACAAAAUUCAAUAUCUUUAACAGUUUCAAAAUCGAAGGUACGGACAAGUUGGACCUAGUUACAACGAUUUCAAAAAUAUAAAAAUUAAAAGAAAUGGGUGAAAAUAGCUUACCAAGCACCCGAAAAUAAAUUGGCUGAAUUGUUUUUCCUUCACCCACCAUAGCCAUUCGGUUGAAGCAAUUAAAUAUUGAAGAAGAUGAUAAUUUUAGGUUAAGUUAUUUUAGUUUAUAUUAAUUAAUUACUAUUAUAACCUUUAAAGUUUACAAGAUUUACCAUGCAACCUUCUUAUGAAUAUCCAAUCACAUUAAAUAUGGUUUAAUUACCAUCUAAGUCCAUGAAUUUACCUUUUCAUAGCUAUUAGAUCCAUUUAACUAAUAGCAUUCAAGUUUUGCACCUUUUCAAUUUAGUUCUUUUCACCUAAUUAACCUUUUAAACAUUAAAAUUACUUAACUAAACUUUAAUAAAACCUUAAUAACACUUCAUAAAUAUUUAUAAAAUUAUUUACAGCUCAGUUUAUAGAAACGAGGUCCCAAUACCUUAUUUUCUAAAACCACUUGACUUUAGGGUCUUACCACUUGAGCUUAAUUUAUCAUUUAUAUAACAUAAAUUACCAUAUUUGACUCGUAAAUAUUAAAUAAUAAUAUUUACAAACUUACUCGUCAAAUUUUUGGACCUUAAACCACUAUUUUUAAUACCACUAAAAAAUGGACUUUUACACUAAAGGUGAGCUAUCACACUUUGUGAGUGUGUAGGAGACCAUUAGAAGGUGCACUAAAUGGAUACUGGUCGCUAUGUCGCAACACAGAUAACUCGAUGUCGUAACAUAGAGAGCAGAAUGGAAAAAACUCAAGAUUGCCUUUGAUAUCAUGACACGGACUGAGGGUGUCGCGACAUACCCCUAAAGAUAGCUACAAAGGAGUAUACUAAUUGCUAUGUCGUGACACAGGUCCUGGUACAUCGACUUUGUGACAGAAAAUAACACACAAAGUAGGGGCGUUUUGGUUUGCAUAAUCAAACUUUAAGCUCGAGAAUGUCAGCUAACCUAGGGUUAAGGACGACGGCCACCUGAAGGUUAUAAAUAGGCUCAUUUUUCACUUGUUAUAGACAUCAUUCCUUUAGCCUAGAUUAUAUCUUGUAAAUAGGGUUUAGCUUUCUUUCUUUCUUUCUUAGGGUUUUAGAUUUAUUUCAAUUUUUCUUGUUGAUUUCAAUAGAUCUGAAUUAUGGAAGCAUUCAAACUCUGUGGAUUCGUGCUUAAUUUCAAUAUAAUCAGAAUCUUUCAUUUACUCUAUCUUUUCGAUUUAAUUAGCAUGCUUGUUAUUUACAUCGAUUAUAUUUUGUCUUUGGAAGCCAUGAAGAACUAAUCCCACUAUGGGGGAUUAAUGAGUGGAGGUAUGAUCUGUUAACUAUUUUGCAGAGUUACUCAACAAAUUAGCUAUUUGGGAAAGGAAGAAUGUGAAACAAACCCUAGGCCUAACAACUCCGGGAAUUCAUCAAUGUCAGAAUUAACCCAAAAUUGGCAUUGUCCAUCAGUGAACACCUUAACCCCAAACCGGUCUGAACUGUGAAGUCAAAAAAUAAGUAGUUCUUUCUGACUCAUUAUGUUAGUGGAAGAUCAAAAAAUCUUGCUAGGGUAGUGGCUAAUUGAUUGAUGACAAACCCAAAAUGACAGUUGAUGGAGAUUACCGAAGCAAGUUAAUCACCCAUAAUCAGAUUUGAUUUGUUCUCCAUUUUUAAUCUCUUGAAUUUUAUCUUUUUAUGUUAUUUUAUUUUUAUUACUAUUAUUAUAAAACCCAAAAAAUAAUUUAUUUCAUAUUUUUCGUACUAUAACUAAUUUAAAAGUAUUAAUUAGAUAUUUUAGUGUUUAGGUUAGAAUUGAUCUAGCACUCACCUCCCUUGGGUAAGAUCCUCGGAGUACUCACCUACUUUGUUGUAAAACUAUAUUACAACUUGACCCAUAUAUUUGUGGAUAUCGACUUAUCUUUCUAUAUUUUAUUGUAAUAUUCACAAUCUAAAUGUUAGUACGUUUGAAGGCAGUCGUUUUUUGCCAGAUUAGGAAGUUGAGUUCGGUAUUAAGGUUUAUCCAAGUACCGCACCAGUUUCUAUUGUACCUUAUCGCAUAACAUUGAAAGAACUUAAAGAGCUUAAGAUUCAAGUACAAUAGUUGUUGGAUGGAGGGUUUAUUCGACUGAGUGUGUUGCCUUGGUGUGCACUGGUGUUGUUUGUAAAGAAGAAAGAUGGUACCUUGAGGCUAUCUACCAAUUAUCGAUAAUUGAAAAGUUAACCAUGAAGAACAAGUAUCCAUUGCCUCGAAUUGAUUGAUUUGAGGUUUUGGUAUUAUCAACUCAAGGUGAAAGAGGCUGAUAUCCUGCAAAUUGUGUUUAAGACUUGGUAUGGGUAUUAUGAGUUUCUAGUUAUGCCGUUUGGGUUUACAAAUACACCAAUAGUAUUCAUAGACCUGAAGAAUCAGGUUUUCCACUCGUAUCUGGAUCACUUCGUAGUUGUCUUUAUAAAUGACAUUCUCGUAUAUUCUCGAACCCAGGAUGAUCAUGAUGUACAUUUACGGAUUGUUCUUCACAUUCUACGUAAGAAACAACUGUAUCUGAAGAUGAGUAAGUGUGAGUUCUGGCUUCGAGAGGUGAUGUUUCUCGGUCAUGUCGUAUCUUCUGAGGGGAUCCAUGUUGACCCAAAGAAGGUCGAGGCUAUUUUAGAAUGGAAGUUGUAACGACGAUAGUCAAGGGUGUCGAAAAGCACAUUCUCGAGACUCCGUUUCCUUAAAUCAGACUCGUAAAUAUUUUUAAUAAAUAUUUACGAAGCUAGUGGUGUAGUUAAUUAGGUUUCGAGUUUAGGGUUUAAGGUUCAGUGUUUAAGGAUUAAAUUGAUAUAUUUUUAAACUUGAGAUGAAAAAGGAUUAAAUUGUAGAAUAAAUUGUAAAUUUUGAGUAAUAGGGACUAAAUUGUGAAAAAUUUUAAAUUUAGGGGUUUAAGUGAAAAUAGGGACUAAAAUUUAGUUUAAAGUGAAAUUUGUAUAAAAAUAUAGAAUUAAUUGUAAAGAAUAAAAUUAGUCUCGAUUUAGGGACUAAAUUAAAAUUUAGGCAAAUAUUGAGUAAAAAUUUAAAUAUUCAAUAUGAAAUUGAAUUGAGUUGUAUUGAUAAAUUUUAAUUGUUUUAAUUUUGUAGCUAACGUCAUACCGGAAUCCUUGAAUAAAAAAGGGAAGGAUAAAAUUGACGUCGAAUAGCUCGGAAUUCACGAUUUGUAUUUCUAUAAUCUGAAUCUAGUUACUAAUUGUUGUAUUUUGAUUUAAUGCAUAUGGUAAGUGGUUGAGGUGAGUAUUUGACAUUUUGAUAUUGAAUUGAAUUAAAGUUGAUUGAAUUGGUAUAUAUAUUAUGAAUGUAUUGAUUAUUUGAAUUGAAAUGAAUAUAUAUGUGUAAAUGUGAUCAUGUACAAAUAUGAUAAUUGGAUAUUUGUUGUAUUUGGGAAGUGAAUUGGAGCCCUAUUAACUGUAUCAGGCUGAUUCGGAUAUAAAUGGUAUGCCAUAGGAUAGGAAAAGUUCAGGGAUUUCUUCGACUUUGAGUCGAUGAGGCACUAGGUGCCAAUUUACUUUGGUUUAAUCGAUGAGACACUGGGUGUCAAAUUUAUAUAGCGCUGGGCGCAGUUGCUACUUUGGAUUUAUCCGAUGAGGCACUAGGUGACAAAUUGCUGUGUUGGUUGGAUCUGUGUAUCCGUUUGAGUCUGAGUCGUGUUAAUAGGGGUAAUUAAAUUAAACUGUACUAUGAUUGAUAUUGGAUGAUAUUGUAUGAGAAUUGAAAAUGGGAUAGUGAUUUGAAACAUAAAAAUGAGAUAAGUUGUGAUUAAAUGAGAUACAUGAGUUAUGUACUCAUGGAGUAGAUAUGGAAUGGAUAAUGUCAUUGUUUAAAUGAAAUGUGAAUCAAAUUGUGAAAAGCUAUUUAUAUAACAAGUAUGAGAAUUGGGAUAUUUGUGAAACAAAUGAAAUAUGAUAGCAUAUGUAAGUUGAAAUGAGAAUUGGGAUAUUUGUGAAACAAAUGAAAUAUAAUAGCAUGUGUAAGUUGAAUAUAGUAUGAAAUGAUAUGCUAUUAUCUAUGAACUCAAAGAGUUAGCAUAUUGUAGUUAUGAUUUUUAAAUAUUAAUAUGUGUUUAUAUUUCAAUUAUACAUUUGCAAUCUCCUGUCUUUAAAUAUUCGGAUUAUAGAAAUAUCAUUGAGUUUUACUCAGCGUACGAUUUUGUUUUUCUAUAACACCCCAAACCCGGCUUAGGAGUUAUGGCCGAAUCUGGCGGUGUCACAUUGAGGUGUUUAGCGUAAAACUUGUUGUCGUUGAAAUCUUUAAAAUCAAUUAAUCAUUUUGUUAUUAAACAGUGAUUCCAAAACGAGUUGUUCAUUUCCAGGCAUGCAUCAUUAAAAGCUAAUCACUUUUAAAACAUUAUAAAUUUUCCAAAAUCUCAUUUUUUUUGCAGAAGUUUUUUUUUUUGGAAAUGUUACGAAAACGUGGUGUCUUUGAAAAUAGUUACCUUUUGAAAACCUGUCUUUUUCUACAACUAGCACUUUAUAUUAAACUAAAUAAAUAAAAUCCCCAAUUUAAAGUUUAUAACUUUAAAGAGGCCUUUUUACAUAAAAAUACCCAAAUUCAGUUACUUAUAAAUCAAAGGCUAAAAACGAAAGCUGAUGCGAUUGUGUGGCCAUCAUCGAGUCCCUCACAGCACCGACCCGCCUACAACUGAGAAUUACCUGUAUAGUUAAACAGAGGGGUGAGUUUAUAGAAACUCAGUGUAUAAUCCCCUAACAAGCAAACAAUCAAUUAAAUAGUAGAUAAAUGCAGUUUGGGCCUGAGCCCGUUACAGUAAGAGUCCAGUUCAGUGUGGGCUUAAGCUCUUUCCCAUAAUAGUAAACGAUUGGGCUUGAGCCCAUUACAAUGCCAGUAAUCAAUAGGGCCUUUGCCCAAUUUUAGUAAUAUUAUCAGUGAGGCCUUAGCCCAUAGCAGUAACAGAUAUCAGUCAUACAAUGAACAAUAUGUAAUAUCAUUAAUCGAUACAGUAACAACACAAAAUCAUUAAUCAGUGCAGAUAUGCAGUUAGAAAUCCUACCCAAUCCAGCCUCCACACACCACUCCUCCCUGCCAAACACACUAUGUGGGGAUAAAAUCGACCCACCCAGCCAGACACACCAAGAUUAGCACCGGUUGCGGCACUAAACAGUAUUGCGGCAAAGCUGCCAGUAAAAUAAAUGGCAUAUAGCCAUCAAUAGGUCCACAGUCGUCUUGGGCGACCUGUGCAACCUUAUCAGUACGGUACACUUCAUCCAAAUAUAAAAACUCAUCCCCAUGCAAUAUAUCGUGACAUAAUAUCAUAUGUGUAUGCAAAAUGUCAUGCUCAAUCAUAUCAUACAUAUCAUAGAGCAAAUCAGUCAUACAUAACAUAAAGCCAUAACAGUUAUUUCAUCUCUUAGGGGUAUAACAAUCAUUUUACCUUAUAGGGGUAUUUCGAUCAUUUUACCUUAUGAGGGUAUUUUGGUCAUUUACCCUAUGGGGGUAUUUCAGUCAUUCUACCUUAUGGGGGUAUUUGGGUCAUUUUACCCUAUGAGGGUAUUUCGGUUAUUCUACCCUAUGAGGGUAUUUCGGCCAUUUUACCCUAUGGGGGUAUUUUGGUCAUUCUACCCUAUGGGGAUAUUUCGGUCAUUCUACCCUAUGAGGGUAUUUCAGUCAUUUUACCCUAUGGGGUAUUUUACUGCAGGUAUCGACCUCUCGAAAGGUCCGCAGUCACCUCGAGUGACUCAGGUAACCUAAAUGGUCAUAACAGUGUAAAUGGGCCCAAGGCCCAUUACUCAGCGCAAGUGGGCCCACACGCUCGUGCGGCCCGCUCAGCCCAGAUUUUGCAACGGGUAUGAGAUCUACAUAGCUCAGUCCAGUAUUUGCCAUAAAUCGUGGAUUUCAUCCGUGUGGGGCUCACGACCCAUUGCGCCCACACGAUCCAUUUCGACCCAACGUGGCCCAUUAUGGCCUAAGCCCAUGAAAAUGCUAAUAGAGGCCCUACAGUCUAUCGCCCAUGAUUCGCAGGCUUGGCUUACCACAUGAGUGAUCACACGCUCGUGUGGUCUCAAACGUCAUAUUUCAACUUUUUCAGCUUUUUGGCUUUUGUCGUUCUACAGUUAUAGUGGGGUGGUUACACACUUGAUGCGAUUUGCAGAUUCCCUUCGUUCCGAACACUCUUAUUCUGAAAAUCAAUGCUCAUCGCACCCUUGGUUCCCAGGUAGUGUGCCAAUCAACCUCAACCACCACCAGUUAGGAAUAGAAGUAAUUCAGGUUGGAGAAAGCGACGAAAACCUUGAAAACCUCGCCGAUCUCCCUACAAGAACAAGGAACAAAUAAGAUGAUAUAUAUCUCUCCACAACAACAACCUCCCCAAAUCCCAAUAUUCUCUCCUCAAAUCUCUCUAAAUAUCCCUCCUCAAUCCUCUCUAUGACCAGUUCAAACUCCAUUUAGUAGUAUUUCAGUCCAACUCUACCACCUACACGAAUUAGGCAGCAAAAUAAAUACUCCCUUUUUGAUGCACCACCACUCGUACCUUAGACCCCAUGUACACUCCACAUUCCCCUUACCACCAGACCAACAACUCCUUUGUAUCAUAUUUUAACCACAAUAAUUUAAGAAUCUACUAUCUAGAUCCAAGGAUUUUAUUCACUUAAAAUAAAAAUUUUGCAUAAGUCAAGGCUUGAACCCUUGACUUUUCAAACACUUCCAAACACUCCUAAAUCACUUAACCACUGAAGCAGGCAUUCACUUAUGUCACUUCCUUGCAUAACUAAAUAUUUAUGUGCAGUCUCCUAACUGUUCCCUUGUUCAAAACCUAUUUUUUCUAGGCCCAAAAUUUGGGGUGUUACAAUUCACCCCUCCUUAAAAAAAAUUUGUCCUCCAAAUUUCCAAUUAUCAGAUCAGUCGCAUAACACAGACUCCACCACUACGCUUCUGCUGCGCACUCUAGUUCCAAAUUAGGUAUAUGUCCAAACGACAAGGACCCAACUCGAACACCUUUACGGCCUCUACCAUGGCCUAUUGUACCUCGUCCGUGUGUACCCCUUGUGCUCAUAUCAAAUAACGUAUUAUCAGCCUAAGAAAUUUUACGAAUCAGUUUAUAAUUCUAGUAAUUAUUAACAGAUUUCUUAUGAAAAGUAGUAAUCAGAGCUUUGUUUUCGCAAAUCAAGGUCUCCUUACAGUUUCCAGUUUCCUACAGUCUCAGUUUACUCUAACUAAUGAGUUUCAGUAUAGUCCUACUAUCUACAGUAGUCUCUCAGUGUAUUUCAGUUCAAGUAGUCUACAGUAUAAAGAAAACUUACAGAUUCGGCGCUGAAGACUCGGUGUGCCACACUUGUAAACCUUCCAAAACACUUCAAGAACAGUUUUCUAAAAAUUUUAAAUAUUUUCAAAACCCAUUCCACAGUCGAGUUUUGUAACUCAGCUCUGAUAUCACUAAAUGUAACUCCCUAAACUCAGUCUAGGAGUUAUGGCCGAAUCUGGCGAUGUCACAUUGAGGUUUUUAGCGUAAAACUUGUUGUCGUUGAAAUCUUUAAAAUCAAUUAAUCAUUUUGUUAUUAAACAGUAAUUCUAAAACGGGUUGUUCAUUUUCAGGCCUGCAUUAUUAAAAGCUAAUCACUUUUCAAACGUUAUAAAUUUUGCAAAAUCUCAUUUUUUUGCGAAAUUUUUUUUUUGGAAAUGUUGCAAAAACGUGGUGUCUUUGAAAACAAUUACCUUUUGAACACCUAUCUUUUUCUACAACUAGCAGUUUAUAUCAAACUAAAUUAAUAAAAUCCCCAAUUUAAAGUUUAUAACUUUAAAGAGGCCUUUUUACAUAAAAAUACCCAAAUUCAGUUACUUAUAAAUCAAAGGCUAAAAACGAAAGCUGAUGCGGUUGCGUGGCCAUCAUCGAGUCCAUCGCAGCACUGACCUGCUUAUAAUUGAGGAUUACCUGUACAGUUAAACAGAGGGGGGAGUUUACAAAAACUCAGUGUGUAAUCCCCUAACAAGUAAACAGUCAAUUAAACAGUAGAUAAAUGCAGUUUGGGCCUGAGCCCGUUACAGUAACAGUCCAGUUCAGUAUGGGCCUUAAGCCUUUUCCCGUAAAAAUAAACAAUUGGGCUUAAGCCCAUCACAAUGCCAGUAAUCAGUAGGGCCUUAGCCCAUAGCAGUAACAGAUAUCAGUCAUACAAUGAACAAUAUGUAAUAUCAUUAAUCGAUGUAAUAACAGCACAAAAUCAUUAAUCAGUGCAGAUAUGCAGUUAGAAAUCCUACCCAAUCCAGCCUCUGUACACCACUCCGUCCUGCCAAACACACCAUGUGGGGAUAAAAUCGACCCACUUGCCAGACACACCAAGAUUAGCACCAGUUUUGGCACUAAACAGUAUUGCAGCAAAGCUACCAGUAAAAUAAACGACAUAUAGCCAUUAGUAGGUCCACAGUCAUCUUGGGCGACCCGUGUUACCUUAUCAGUAUGGUACACUUCCUCCAAAUAUAACAACCCAUCCCCAUGCAAUAUAUCGUGACAUAAUAUCAUACGUGUACGCAAAAUGUCAUGUUCAAUCAUAGUCAUACAUAUCAUAGAGCAAAUCAGUCAUACAUAAUAUAAAGCCAUAACAGUUAUUUCAUAUCCUAGGGGUAUAACAGUCAUUUUACCCUAUAGGGGUAUUUCGAUCAUUUUACCCUAUGGGGGUAUUUUGGUCAUUCUACCCUAUAAGGGUAUUUUAGUCAUUCUACCCUAUAGGGUAUUUCGAUCAUUCUACCUUUUGAGGGUAUUUCGGUCAUUUUACCCUAUGGGGGUAUUUUGGUCAUUCUACCCUAUAAGGGUAUUUUAGUCAUUCUACCCUAUAGGGUAUUUCGAUCAUUCUACCUUUUGAGGGUAUUUCGAUCAUUUUACCCUAUAGGGGUAUUUCGGUCAUUCUACCAUAUGGAGGUAUUUCGGUCAUUUUAUCCUAUGGGGGUAUUUCGGUUACUUUACCCUAUAGGGGUAUUUCGGUCAUUCUACCCUAUGAGAGUAUUUCAGUUAUUUUACCCUAUAGGGGUAUUUCGGUCAUUUUACCUUAUAGGGGUAUUUUGGUGCAGCUAUCGACCUCUUGAAAGGUCCGCAGUCGCCUCGAGCGACUCAGGAAACCUAAAUGGUCAUAACAGUAUAAAUGGGCCUAAUGCCCAUUAUUCGGCCCAUGUGGGCCCGCACGCUUGUGCGACCCGCUCAACCUAGAUUUUGCCACGGUUAUGAGAUCUACAUAGACCAGUCCAGUAUUUGUCACAAAUCGUGGAUUUCAUUCGUGUAGGGCCCACAAGCACAUUGAUCCCACACGACCCAUUUCGGCCCAACGUGGCCCAUUAUGGCCUAAGCCUAUGAAAAUGCUCAUGGAGGCCCCUACAGUCUAUCGCCCAUGAUUCGCAGGUUUGGCUUACCACACGAUCGACCGCACGCUCGUGUGGUCUCAAACGUCGUAUUUCAGCUUUUCGGCUUUUUGGCUUUUGCUUUUCUACAAUUACAGUGGGGUGGUUACACACUUGAUGCAAUUUGUAGAUUCCCUUCGUUCCGAACACUCUUAUUCCGAAAAUAAUGAUCAUUGCACCCUUGGUUCCCAGGUAAUGUCCCAAUUGACCUCGACCACCACUAGUUACGAAUGGAAGUAAUGCAGGUUGGAGAAAGCAACGAAAACCUUUAAAACCUCGCUGAUCUCCCAUCGAGAACAAGGAACAAAUGAGAUGAUAUAUAUCUCUCCACAACAACAACCUCCCCAAAUCCUAAUAUUCUCUCCUCAAAUCUCUCCAAAUAUCUCCCCUCAAUUCUCUCUAUGACCAGUUCAAACUCUAUUUAUCAGUAUUUCAGUCAAACCAUACCACCCAUACGAAUUAGGCAGCAAAAUAAAUACUCCCUUUUUGAUGCGCCACCACUCAAACCUUAGACCCCAUGUACACUCCACACACCCCUUACCACUAGACCAACAACUCUUUUAUAUCAUAUUUUCACCACAAUAAUUUAAGAACCUACUAUCUAGAUCCAAGGAUUUUAUUCACUUAAAAUAAAAAUUUUGCAUAACUCAAGACUUGAACCCCUGACUUCUCAGACACUUCCAAACACUCAUAAAUCACUUAACCACUGAAGUAGACAUUCACUUAUGUCACUUCCUUGCACAACUAAAUAUUUAUAUGCAGUCUCCUAACUGUUCCCUUGUUCAAAACCUAUUUCUUCUAGGCCCAAAAUUCAGGGUGUUACAUUUUUCGUGCGCAGCUUAGGUACUUCUCUUUUGAUCACCGAUUCAACAUCCAACAACGAUCCCAAACUAAAAUAUGGUGAUGUUUAUCUUUUGUCUCGGCAUGUACCAAGACGUCUAAAUGAUAGUUAUUUUGUGGAUGGAUUGUAAAUGAGGUUAUAAAUGUAAUGUUGGUUUGGUAUAUACAUACAAACAUGUGUUUGUGUUUGAAGCCAUAUUAUGGCACGGUAAUUUGAAUCAAAUCUAGAUAUGUGAAUGUGGAUUUAAGUUAAUGUUUUAGGUAGAUUUGAAUUAGGCUAAAUUGAUGAAUUUUGGCAUGUUUAUAAUUUUAAUUUGGUUGAUGUUUUGAUGAUAUAAAUGUUUUACCAAUAAGGGUUCAUUGGUUAGGCACUUAGGAUGAUUGUUUUGGCAUGUUUUGAAUGUGUUUGAUCGUGUUUUGAACAGGUUAAACGAAUGGUUUUUGAGUUGUUUAAUAUCCAAGCUUGUAGAAAAUGGUAAAUUUUUUGUUUAAGGCACAUUUUAGGUCCACAUGGCUAGGCACACGGGUGUGUGACUUGGUCGUGUGAGACACACGGCUAACACACGGGCAUGCGAAGCCAUUUCGAAUGGUACACGGCCUAGUACACGGGCGUGUGACUUGGCCAUGUGACCCAAGUCAGAGAGUUACACAGGCACAGACAUGGGCUGAGACAUGGCCGUGUGUCCCUACUUCGACUGCCCACAUGACCAACCACACGGGCGUGUGACUUGGCUAUGUAAGUCACACGACCUGACCCCAUGACCGUGUGAACCCUAUAGUUAAUUUUUUUAACCUUUUCCUAAAAUUUUUAAAUGUUUUUUAUUUAGUCUCAAAUUAUUUCUAAAGUGAUUUCAAACCCUCAAAGGCUUUAAUAAGAGACUCUAUGCAUGUUAAUGAUGAAUCAUUUUAUAAUUUUUGAAAUGUUUAGAUUACGAUUACUAUGAAAUGCUUCAAAACCCUAUUCUGGUGACGGAUAUUGGUUAGUUGUGUUACAAAAGCAGUCGAGGAAUGUUACUGAGAUCUGAAGUUUUCUGGGAUUAGCUGGUUAUUACCGUAGAUUCAUUGAGGGAUUCUCCAUCAUAGUUGCACCUUUAAUGAAGCUACUUUAGAAGAAUGUGCCAUUUGAGUGGACCAAAGAGAGGCAAAGUGCUUUGAGAAACUUAAGAUAGUGUUGAAUCAGGCAUUAGUGUUGGUUCAACCAGAGUUCGAGAAAGAGUAUGUGGUUUACAGUGAUGAGUCAUAUACGAGACUCAGGUGUGUUUUAAUGCAGGAUGGGAAGGUGUAGCAUGUGCUUCGAGGUAGUUGGGCACAUGAGUGUAAUUACUUGACCCACGAUUUGGAGUUAGUUGUUGUGGUCUUUGCGCUCAAGAUUUGGCGUCACUAUCUGUAUGGUGAGAGAUGUGUUAUCUACACUGAUCACAAUAGUCUUAAGUAUUUCCUAUCCUAGAAGGAGUUAAACUUGAGAUAGAGGCACUAGAUUGAGUUACUGAAAUAUUAUGACUGCGUGAUUGAGUAUCAUUCUGGCAAAGGGAAUGUGGUUGCUGAUGCUUUGAGCCAGAAGUCAAUGGUUGAGUUACGAGCCAUGUUUGGACAGUUGAGUUUAACCAGUGAUAGUGGUUUGUUGGCCGAACAUCAGGUGAAGUCGGCUCUAUCAUGUCAGAUAAAAGAGAGGUAGUUGGUUGAUGAGUUUUUGGCCAAAAAAAUCCUGCAGGUUGAAGAUGGUAAUGGUGGAAAAUUUGAGUUGAAUCGCGAUGGUAUCUUAAGUUUUCGUGGGAGACUAUGUGUGCCUAUUGAUGUGGAGCUUAGGCACAAGAUUCUUACCGAAGCAAUUAUUCUAUGCACAAGAAAAUCACUAUUUCUUCUCCAAUUUCUCACCUAAAUUUAGUUUGUUUUUGCUCAAUUGGUACAAAUUUGUUGAGGUUUUCUAUCUAAAGGUAAAUCUAUUAUUUUCUUAUGUAUUAAAUUUUUAAUAGGUGUUUUUAAUUUGAAUUUUCAUAGAUCUAAGCAAGAAAAUUAAAGAUCCACUGUUUUAAAGCUAUCUUUUGCACAAAAAUGGUGAAUCUCAUAAUAACGAGCUAAGAGAUGUUUUUAAAAUGAUUUUCAGUAUAUUUUGACGAGAUUAAGAGGUUUACAAAUUCAAUUUAUCAAAAUCUUUAAGUAAUUGCAUGAAUUAAAUGGUUUUAUUUUGAGAAUGAAGAUGAAUAAUGUUUUUCCAAAAAAAUAUUAAUUAAAGAAAUUAAGCAAAGUUAAAGAUCUAGAUCUAUAAUUAAACCUUAGUUAGGGGGUUAGAAGGUAGAAAUUAAGGAUUUAAAGAAGCAAUUAAGCAAAAUAGAUUGUACGAAAUAAGUCGAAUAAUUAUGUGUGAGUGAAGAGUCGUUGUAUGAACACAAAGAGAUAAGUUAGAUUGUUUUUGAAUGCUUAGUAAUAUGUAUAUUUUUGUGCGAAGCUAAAAAUGUUCGUGUAGCCUCAACAAACCAAGAUAAAGGCAAGCAUAAAGUUAUCUAGUUCGAUGAGUUGUGGUGAGCUACAUGUGAGUGCAUUUGUAUAUUGUAUUUUAGCAUGAAUUACGAGAUCUAGUGAGUCAACUUGAGGCUUGUGAAUCCCCACUUAUAGUAUGCGAACUUCAGCUUUUUCCUGGUGCCAAUUCUUGAAAUUUUGUGUGAAUUUUUUAGUAUCCAUGUUAUGCAAAUUUAAAAGGUAUGUGUAUAUAUAAUAUAUACGAAUAGGGGUUUUUUUUUAUUUAUAUAUAAUAUAUAUGGGUUUUAGUGUUAUAUAUAAUAUAUAUUUAUAUGCAUGGGUGUUAUAUGUAUAAUAUAUUUACGUGGGUCUACUACACACAUAGUACAUAUAUAUGCGUGAUUCUACUAUACAUAAUAUAUAUGUGUGGGUUUUAUUAUAUAUAAUAUAUAUGUGUUUAUAGGUUUUGUAUGAUCUAAUAUACAUAUAUGUAUAUGAGACUUUUAGUUUAGGCUAAAGUUGAUGUGACAAAGGUCAUUAAAUAGGUAUGUAUAUAUAUGUAAUAUAUAUUCGCAUAUGGUUAUGUAGUACUUGCAAAUAGACAUAAAAAUAAAUAAUAUAAUGCAGAAUUUUAUAACAUGUGAAUUCUAUUGAUAGUGCACAUUUAUGCAUGCACGAACCCAUAAGUGAAUUAUGAGUUUUAUGAUAUUGUGAGUUUUGAUUAGUGCAAAAUUAUAUUAUUAUGAAAUGCUAAGUGUGAGCUCAAUAGUAGUGCGAACCUAUUCUAUUAUGGAAUGAAAUGUGAUUAAUUAGAUAUGUUAGCAAUGUGAACACUUGAAACCAUUAGAUAACAUUGGCAUGCCAUUGGAAUGUCAGUACUCACCCUUUUAUUAUGUGUUGGGCAUUGUGGCCCGAAGAUAGCGUUGGAGAGAUAAGGGGAUGUCGAUUAUAGAUCCAUUAACUAUAGAUAGCGUGGUGUAUUUGGAGAGUGUGAGUAUACGUGCUACACUUACUUGGAGAUAGCGUACGACUUUACGGGUCAUGUGGUGUGUUUUUGAAAUAUGUUUAUCCAAUAAGUAUAUAAUUUGACCAUGUUUCAUAUUCACGAAUUGCCAAUAUAUCACUGUGUUGAGUAUGUAAUUUGUGUUAUAUGUGAAUUUUUAAAGUAUGUUUAAACCCUAACAUGUAUGAUGUGUAUAUUUGUGUUGUAUGCAUGUGUACUCACUGAGCUUCUCCAAGCUCACACUACUUACUUUACAUUGAAGAUAAAUAGUUCGCGGGUUAGUAAGAAGGGUGGCAAAUUGGUGAUCCAUCGCAAGGUAUUUUUUUAAAGUAUGUGUAUGAGCUUUUAAACUCGAAGUGAAAGUAAUGUGGGUCGCUCCAAGGGUUUAGUACUAGAAUUAAACUUCGACUUUUUAAAUAAAAUUUUCCAUCGGUUGUAAAUGGACAUUACGGACUAUUUGUUUUUUUUGGAGGGGGAUUUUUGAACGUUAUAAUUGCUUGCUUGAUUGCUUAUCUGAAUGGUUCUAAUUACUUGUUUAAUGUGAUGAUAAUUAGAUGAUCUAACAAUUUUUUGCAGCUAAGGGAGACUGCCGAGUAUUAAUGUACACCUUAUACCUUCUGUUUGUGUGAAUGAAAUGACUAAUUUAGAAAAACAUGCACUUAGGUCUAAUUUCCUAUAUGAAAUUUCUGCAAAUGUGUGGUGUGUAUGGUUGGUUGGUGUGGUUCGUAAAGUUUUAAAUGGAGAGUCAUUUUGGUGGCUAAUGUGGCGUUCGAAAUUUGGGUCGGAUCGUCCUGGCUAGGUUGGGGACGUCACAGGCCGUGUGGGCCACACUGGCUAGGCUAGUUAGGCGUGUGGGCCACAUGGGUUGGGCCAAUUAGGCUGUGUGGGCCACAUAGGAGUAUGGGCCUAUUUUUUUUGUAAAUUUUAGCCAGGAUUGUGUUUUGAAGUAUGUUUUGAGGCCAAUGAUUCUAUAGGUUUAAUAAGUGAUAUGCAUGAUGUUUGUUAAAAGAAAAUUGUUGUUCUUAUAUAAUUGUAUAAAUUCUGGAGGUAUGUUGUCGUAUACAAUGUGGUUCUGAUAUGUAAAUUUGUGAGCAUCAUUAGCAUGUUUCUGAUUAGUUAAGUAUAUACAAUUAUUGAUAAGUUAUGUUUUGUUCAAUUCAUAUAGCAUGUGACUUUGUGGCUAUUCUAAUUAAAGUGAUUCGUAAUUAUUGAAAUAUGAUAUAUUUGUUUUGCAUAGCAUGAAAUCACAUGCUUACUAGUCUCUGUUAAAAAUACGAAUGUAUAUUCAACAUGCUUACUAUUCUGAUUCUGUAUUUGCAUGUAUUGUAACAUUGCAUGGGGUUGGGAUAAUAUGGUAAGGAGGAGGUUCUGACAGUUUAAUGAUUUGCACUAUUUGGUGGUUCAACCACAUAUCUGUUUUGGUAGCUUGACUACAAUUAUAGUGGCUUGACCACAUAUGUCUAUUCUGGCAGCUUGGCUGCAAUAUUAUUGUUUGACCACAUAUAUAUUUUAUAUGGCAGUUUAACUACAACUCUGGUGGUAUUGUCCACAAUUAUCUAUUGGCGUGUUUUGGGGUAGAAAAGUUCUAGGGAACUUUAAUUUAGUUUGUAACGUAGUCGGGUAGGAAGUUUUUUGAAAAAUUUGCAUUACGUUUUCUGAAAAUAUUGCAUCGACAUAACCAUGCAUGCACAAUUUUGCCUAUUUGAAUUUGAUGAAACUCUCUGUGUUCUUUUGAUCUGUUUAUUGUGUUAUUUGUGUUUUUGUUUGAGUUAAGUUACACACUGAGCUUAAUAGCUCAUCCCUUUCAUGUCACCAUUUUGGGUAAUCGACAAAAUUAGGACUAGGUAGUGUUUGGGAACUCGAAUUGGUUUUCUCACAUAAGUGGUUUGAAUUAUUAAUAAUUAAAAUUUUUGGACUUUUAGUUUUUAGACUAAUUUCAGAUUAAUUUCGAUUUCGGGUUUUUGCUAUUUAGUUAAAGGUUUCUACAUGAUUUCUGUCAAUUAUAAUAAAUUCUUGGUUUUCAAAAUUAAACAACCUAAAGAUUUUUCGCUACAAAUUGUAAAUGAGUUUAAUGAAAGUUUCAAAAUAUACUCAAUCGGCAAAAUUAUACGUUUUCAAUUAUCGAAAUCACGAUUUUCAAAUUAUCAACUCCGAAAUUUCUGCUGCAAAACUAAGUAUGAAUUUAAGCAUUUUUCUGUAAAAUGAAUAAGUAUUGUGCAUGGUUUCCUAAAAACAUGUAAGUGUAUUGCCAAAAAAUAAUAUGUUCAAAUCACACAAUUUCCAAAGCUAGACUUAACUCAGGUUUUCAAACGGGAAGUGUAAUACCUCAAGAUCUGGCCAUAACAUCUAGGCUGGGUGUGGGGUGUUACACCAUAAGUAAACAAUAAGUGUAUAUAAUUGAUGUUAAUAGAUAUUGUGGCAAUAAAAGAUGAACUAGCUGAAUAUAGAACAAAAUAAAUAAAUAAAAACAGUAAACAAUAAAUUCAAGAUAACGAUUAAUCCCAUCUCAAGAUAUCAAACACAUCAUUAAUAUCAUGUCUUUGGACAGUAUUAUAAAUAGUAAGUAGUACUCUUGUUGUAGCAAUUUAACAAUAAAUUAUGUCAAACAAUGAAUUAAUCUUUGGACUGACAUAUUGCUCACAUAAAGUACCUUAUAAUUGUCACACAUUUAUCACCGCAGAUUUAGUUGAAAUUCUGCCAAAUAUUAACUAACCUUUGGGUCAAUUAACUAAUGCAUGAAUCACAAAAAACAUAUAAUCAUCUUGAUAUUUUAAAUAAACUAAUCUACGCAAAAGAGGUCACUUUGAUGGCAUUUUAUUUCAACUAAUCUAUUUAAAAUAUUAGACACACUACAACAAAAAAGGUUUUUAGCAGCAUUUUUAGCGGCGUUUGGAUAAAAAACGCCGCUGAAAAUCGAGAAUUAGAGGCGCUUUAUGGAAAACGCCGCUAAAGAUCAAGCAUUUGCGGCACUUUUUGGAACACGCCGUUGAAAAUGAGCAUUAGCGGCGUUUUUCCAAAAACCGCCGCAAAAGACCUAAGCCCAACAGCGUCGUUUUUUGACCUUUCGGGGCUUUAGCGGCGUUUUUGAAAAAGCACCGCUAAUGCUCGAGGCUUUAGCGACGUUUCUAAAAAGGCACCGCUAAUGCUCGGGGCUUUAGCGGCGUUUCUGAAAAAGUGCCGCUAAUACUCGGGGCUUUAGCGGCGUUUCUGAAAAAGCGCCGCUAAUGCUCAGGGCUUUAGCGGUGUUUUUGAGAAAGCGCCGCUAAUUCUCGGGGCUUUAGCGGCGCUUUUUAAAAAGAGCCGCAAAAAACAUUUUAUCUGUCUAUUUAUUAUUUAAUUGGUUUAUUUAUAUUAUUUAAAAUCUUCAAUUUAUUUUUAAAUGAAUAUUUAAAAUCUUCAGAAAAAAAUAAUGACACGUAGAAAUAAUUUGAAAUAAAAAACAUAGAAAAAUAUUUGUUAAAAAUGGAAAAAUUAAAAUUCUAUUAUUUAAAAUAAUUUUAAAGUUUUUUAGGUACAUUACUGAUUAUUUUUUAAUUUAUAUAUUAAAUAAUUUCUUAUAUAAUCAUAAAAGAGAUAGUAUUAAUUUUAAAAUAUUAAAUUAAUUAUCAUUAUAUAUAGUUUAGGGUUUAAGGUUUAGGAAUUACUAUCUUAAGGUUUAUGGAUUAUGGGUUUAGGGAUUAUGAUAUAUGAUUUAAGGGUUAGGGUUUAAGGUUUAGGGGUUAGGGGUUUAUGAUUUAGGGUGUAAGGGAUAAGCGAUAGGGUUUUAGGGUUUAGAUAAAUUAGUGUUUUUUAAUUUAUAUAUUAAAUAAUUUCUUACAUAAUAGUAAAAGAGAUAGUAUUAAUUUUAAAAUAUUGAAUUAAUUAUCAUUAUAGUUUAGGGUUUAAGAUUUAAGAGUUACUAUCUUAAGGUUUAUGGAUUAUGGAUUAUGGUUUAAGAGUUGGGGUUUAAGGUUUAGGGGUUAAGGGUUUAGAGGAUAGGGGUUAAGGGUUUAGGGUUUAGAUUUAUUAGUAUUUUUUAAUUUAUAUAUUAAAUAAUUUCUUAUAUAAUUGUAAAAGAGAUAAUAUAAAUUUUAUUAUAUUAACAUUAUGAUUAUAGUUUAAUUUAUUUAAGAAAUAAUAGAUAAACUUGAUAUAUAUUAAAUGGUUUAGAAUUUAAGGUUUACUUGAGAUUUGUUAAAUGAUAAAAUUUAUACAAUCAAUUAAUGCUUUUAUAUUUAAAAAUAUUUAAUCUAAACCAUUUGAUAUAUUUAAAUAUUAGAUUAUAAAAAAAACAUUGAUAAAUAAAUAAAUAAAAAGUAACAGAUUGAUAUGGAUAAGUAACUAUCUAUUUUAGAUACGACCAAAUUAUAACAAAUAAAAAUGAAAUACAAAAACUAAAAAUUAUAAUUUUAUCUAAUUCUUUUAAAUAUUACUUAAAAUUUAAAAAAUUAUUUAUUUAAAAUUCAUAUGAAAGAUGCAAUAAUUUAAUAUAAAAAUUAAAAAAAAGUAGAGCUUUAGCAGCGUUUAUGAAAAAACGCAACAAAAAAUAAGAAAUAGCAGCGUUUAAAAAAAAGUAAUAGUGACGUUUUUCUUCUAAAAGCUACUAAUAUUUUUGCAACACAACUUGUUUUUGUGUUUAUACUUUUUUUUUUAUCCCAAAAUUUCAAAUGAAAUAUUCUUCCCCCCCCCCUCCCUUUUUUUUUCCCAAAAUCGAUUCCCCCAUCCCCAGAAAUCUCUUUUCUUUUUUCCCCAUUUUAUUUUUCCGAAACCACUUCUCCCCUACCCCGAUUCCCUUUAUUUUCCCCCCAAUUUCCCCAAAUCGGCAGCCCUCUGGAUCUCCUCAAAGGGUUGUAGCAGAAGGAGGUCUCGAACUAGCAGGUCAAGUGGUACAGAUUCAUGGAGUCCUUACGGAUACUCCACGCCACCACAAUCUGCAUAUCCUCAACAAAUUACGGAAUCCCUGUCGGAUCGUGUCGGGUACUGCAUCCCAAAUUGCUGAGUUCGGGAAACGAAGGAUAUAUCAUUCAUCUCAACCUUAUUGUAUAAAUUAACUAUGAGUAGGUUUGCUAGUAGUCUUGCCGCUUCACUUUCAGUAUCUUGUUCAUGUACAAGUAUCAAUUUAGGGUUUGGAGGUGAAAUUUUUAGAUGACCUGAUUAUUUUGGUUUUCUUCUACUUAGCUAUGUUUUGUGUGACUUUGGAUAGCAAUUUGUCUUUUAAGUAGUGCUUUUUGUGCUCUUAUUCAGCUUUCAUAGUAAUAAUUGCUCCUCCGUGUACGGUCUGUUCUGAUGGUUUUGUUCUUGAGAGUACUUUCACUGCUCUGUUUUCCCUGAUAUCUUACCAUGACCCAUGAUUCUAUUCAAUUCUCUCUUUGUCUAGAAAAAGAGAAAAAAAAGUACAAUAUCCCUUGGAAAUUGAAGUCAACAAGGUAAAAUAUCCUCUAUUCUAUUUUUAUUCUUGCUUUUCUUAAGGUGCUUUACCACAGCUUAAUUUCUUUCUGCGGUUCUACUUAUUUGGCAUGCUUCUUAUACUGUAUUCACAAAUAUUGUUAUCUGUAGGCAAUACAGGGAGUACAUGGAGAAUUUGCUGGAGUAUCUUAUUUACUUCUUUCAGAGGACUGAACCACUGCAAGAUCUUGACGGAAUCUUUUCCAAGGUUUCAUAUUAUUUACAUCAAAAGUUAAUUGAAUAUCUUUAUCCAAAAAUAGUUCUUAAACUUUAGGAUGCUAUGAUGCUAAACUCGAACCUGUUUUGUAACACGGGGUUAUUGAUUUUUUAGAAAAAGAAUUGACAUGAGUGAUGAGUCUUACGUGAGCUAUAAAUAAAAUGGUUCUGAUAAAUUGAAAUACAUUUAUGGUAAUUUUGGCUUUGUUUGAUCUGUUGUACUUUUAACUCUCACUUUAUAGCCAUUUCGUUAGCCUAAAAGGGAACCAGUUGCUGCACAGAUGCUGACCAUGAUUCUUUAGAAGUUCUAAUGCAAGGUUCACUGGUAUUUGCAGCUAUACUCAGGUCUUAGUUCUCGACCUGGGAUGAUUAAUCACCUCCCUGAUGGCUUUUCUUGGACACUUCUUAAAUGUAUUCAUGAAGAUCCGUUAUCUUCAACAUUACGGGUUUGGCUUUUACAUAUCUACACAACAUUUUCCUCCUCUUUAGUGUCAUCCAGUUCUUAGACAUGUUUCAUUCUACCCUGCUGAUUAUUUUUUAUUUCCUGCUUGCAAGGCUGCUUAUAAUUUGUGAUCCUUUUGUUGUUUAAAUGAUCAGGUCAGAUUUUGCACGCCUUAAUUUUUUUGGAUUUUAUUCUCUUGUCUUGGAGAAGGAUGACGUGCUGAUAUCUGUAGCAUCUAUCAGGUAGUAUUAAUGUUCUUUAGACGUACUCAAUAUUUCAAUAAUUUCUUUAACAACUGUAAACAACUCAGUAUGCUAUGUUAUCCCUUGUUUCUUUCCGAAUAUAAUAUGCAUCAAAGCUUUUACGAGGAAUACCUUUUUUUUCUAGAUAUAUUUUUCUUGGUGUUUGAAUGGUUAGCAUCUAUAGUAUUUUGUUAUGAUGGUUUAAGAAAUAGAAUGCAUUUUGGAGUCAAAAGAUACAAUUAUAAACAAGUUUAAUGGAAUUCUUUACUAGCAAAAAUAUGGUUAUCAAUUAUGUUGCUCUCUCUGACUCUUUAUUUUUCUUGAUUAUUACAGUACAGUUGAAGAGCUUAUGGAAGUGGGUCCAGAAAAGUUAAAGGAGGUAAUUUUGGUUCGCUUUGAUUAUGUUCAUCAUUGCUAGACAUUUUUUUGUUGUAGUGACUCCAACCUCUUCAGUUCAGUGCUUAGAAAUGUGUGUUUUCCAUUUCUUUUAGGCAAAUGCAUGACCAAGUUGUAUUAAAGAGUGAAAAAUGAAGAAACAUGUUGCUAUUGUAUCAUCUGAUGUUGUCACUGUAAACAUCUUAUCUUGCUGGUUACUUUCAAAGUAAUUAGUUAUUUUGAGAAUGAAAAAUAUUAUGUGGUUCUGGCUAUAAAUUCUUAUGCUGUGAUUGUGUUCAUUUAUGCUAUGUUUGGAAACAUAAAUUUGAAAAUUUAGAUUUGGAAUUCAUUUGUAACCUCAGAGUACUCUUCUGUUUUAAUUGCUGUAAUGUGGGUUUUAAGAUCCAUUGCAAUUACAUGUCAAGCUUUUCACUUUGCCAGAACCCCAAAGGCAUUAUUGUUUGAGAUUUUUGAGGGAAUUAUUUGAUAUGUACUUGAAAUAUUUUGCUAACAGCCUAAAAGUUAAAAAUGAAUUAUUUGCUAACAUUUUGCAAAAGGCUCAUACGGACCUCGACAAAAUGGGUCUACUGCAGUUUCACAAGACAUUAAGAGGGCGUUUGGUUCAGUGUAUUACCUAAUACAAUACAGGCCGAAUACGCGCGUAUUACAUGACGCCUCUAAUCCGGCGUUUGGUUCGCUGUAAUAGGCAUUACGGGCGUAAACCAAUCCCGACCUAAUCCCCUUUUUCGCUGCUUUUGUAAUCCCUUCCCAAAUCCCUGUAAUACCUAUUACGUCCGCCUUCCGUCCCCUGCUCUCUGUUUUACCCUCCCUCCCUACCCGACCCUCUCCUAUUCUGUCCUCAAAAUUUCUCCUUCCAUCUCCCACCGUUUUUGUUUAUUAUUCUGUCCUCAUCGUUUCUUCAGUCUCUGUCUCCUCCCAUUUCCUCCCAACCCUAUCUGCAACUCUCUACUGUUCUUCAAUAUUUUCACAAAAUUAGAAAUACCUGAUAGCUGAAUCCAUUGAAAACAGAGUGAAGCGUUUUUCGGGUCAUCACCUCUAAUCCAAGAUCGGGUGAGUUUUAAUUCUGACCCAAAUUAAUCUGCCAAUUCUUUUGUUCGACAAUCUUUUAUCAAAUAUUUUGCAUGGUUAUGAAUCUUUAGUCUUCAGUAGUUUCUGUUGAAAUUGCUAUUUUAUUUUAUGAAAUUGUUGCUGAUUUCAUUGGAAUUAUUGUAUAAUUGCACUUGUGGCUUUUUAUUCUUUAGUAGUUUAAUGCUGAUUUCAUGGUUAUGAAUCUUUUACUCUUCUGUAGUUUUAGUUAACGAAAGUUUUUCUGGGUUUAAUAUCCCUUGCUUUCUGAUGGUGAUUUCAUAUAAAUUAUGUGCGGUGUAAUUUAUAAAUCCUGAUUUAUUCAAAGAGCAACAUCAAAAAGUUUAAAGCAUUUACUUCUUUCAGUAAAUCAUAUUUCCAUUUUCGUAUGACGAAUUUUGCAUUCAUGAGUUGAGUUUCUAUUUUCCUCAUUGCAGCCAAAGAUGGCACAUUAUUCCGUGCAAUAUUUUUAUGUUUUGUUAAAGUUCCAGUAAUUCAGUAAUAUGAUUUAGAGAGAGUAGAUAUCUUGUUUAUAUUUGUCAAAUUCACAAACACUCUGCAAGCAGAUAUGUGAAAACUGGUGAAGUCCAUGAAAAUCAAAGAGAAGCUUUUGUUGUAUUAGUGAAAAUUCUGUGUGGUUUUCUUUGUUGUUUAAUUGUUUAUGGUGCGUUGUUUUUUUUUUUAAUUUCUUGUAUAUCAGUUUAAUAUUAUGGUUAAUAGUUUCUGGUUGUGGUAAGGUUGUAAAAACGUUAUUAAUUUACUCUGUAAGUGAUUAUACAUUUUAGUGUCAGCCUUUGUCAUUUACUUGGUUUUGAACUGCUCUUUUGAUUUUGUUCUUAAAUUUUUGGAAGCUUACUUUGUUCGAUGCUAAGCUUUGUCUUAACUAUGAACCUCUAGAAUCUAGAUAAUUGCAUGCUAUUGCUCAUGCUAUGAACUAGAAAUUUUUGGUCAUGUUUGAUGAUUGCAUAUCUAAAGCAAAUGAUGUUUCUCCUACAUUCUUCAGCCAAAUCAUUGGCUAAAUUAGCUUAUCAAUUGUUGUUGUCUCCUUUUGAAAUUAGGUUUGAUGGAUAAAUUAUGAGCAUCAAAUCACUUUUGAAGUUAGUUUGAAUCUUUUUGCUCGGUUGAUGAUACAUAUGCCUGCAUUGUGUUGUUUGCUAAUGGGGAUGAAUGUGGGGGAAUUAGAGGCCAGUGGUUUGUUAUGUAUUAACUGAGUGCAACUUACUACAUGUAGGAUGUUAGGCACUGAAUUUACUUAAUAUGGUUGGUUUUAUGGUUGUGCCAUGACUGCUUCCAGCAUUCUUGAAAAACAAAAGAAAAAUUAUUAUCUAGUCGUCUCAUAUUGUAAUGAAAAGAGGACACUUGCUGGUUCGGCCUUUUAUUAGGAAGAAAAGGGAGNNNNNNNNNNNNNNNNNNNNNNNNNNNNNNNNNNNNNNNNNNNNNNNNNNNNNNNNNNNNNNNNNNNNNNNNNNNNNNNNNNNNNNNNNNNNNNNNNNNNNNNNNNNNNNNNNNNNNNNNNNNNNNNNNNNNNNNNNNNNNNNNNNNNNNNNNNNNNNNNNNNNNNNNNNNNNNNNNNNNNNNNNNNNNNNNNNNNNNNNNNNNNNNNNNNNNNNNNNNNNNNNNNNNNNNNNNNNNNNNNNNNNNNNNNNNNNNNNNNNNNNNNNNNNNNNNNNNNNNNNNNNNNNNNNNNNNNNNNNNNNNNNNNNNNNNNNNNNNNNNNNNNNNNNNNNNNNNNNNNNNNNNNNNNNNNNNNNNNNNNNNNNNNNNNNNNNNNNNNNNNNNNNNNNNNNNNNNNNNNNNNNNNNNNNNNNNNNNNNNNNNNNNNNNNNNNNNNNNNNNNNNNNNNNNNNNNNNNNNNNNNNNNNNNNNNNNNNNNNNNNNNNNNNNNNNNNNNNNNNNNNNNNNNNNNNNNNNNNNNNNNNNNNNNNNNNNNNNNNNNNNNNNNNNNNNNNNNNNNNNNNNNNNNNNNNNNNNNNNNNNNNNNNNNNNNNNNNNNNNNNNNNNNNNNNNNNNNNNNNNNNNNNNNNNNNNNNNNNNNNNNNNNNNNNNNNNNNNNNNNNNNNNNNCGGAGCCACCCCGGCACUUAUCGGUGAGAUGCCACAGGAUAGGGAAAUGAGGAGGCAGUUCAGUGUAGGUUAUUGAACUUGGAAUUGGGUUUAAUGGUUUGUCGCUUGGUAUCAUACAGAACAAAGAAAAUCCAGUGAAUCCUUUGAAAGCUAUGCAAUUGGAUUUAAUAGUUUCAUAGUUCCCUCUUUUUGUGUUCCUGCUUAUCAGUAUCUGCUAUAAGCCUAUAACCAGUGGCUAAAUGUUUUAUUUUUCUUAUGUUUUUGCAGUAAGAGAGAGGUUAAUAAGAAAGUUCUCAAAGUUCCUGGAAUAGAGCAGAAGGUAAGACUACUCUAGAAAGUUAACGGUCCAUUUAAGUACUUAAAAGGUGAUUGUUGCAUAAUUGUAAGUAUUGAUGAUUGGUAGGCAAGGGGAUUUAAUAAACUAUCUAGAUACUGUUUUGAUCGAUAUCAUAUUUAAAAUAUGGCUCAUGGAUGAUGAUUGGUGUAUGGUUGUUCUGUGCUUUGAUAUACUAUAUUUAGCUAUAGCAUAAAUAUUUUCCCCAAAAAAAAAAAGGUUGAUCCGAGCACUUUUCUCAUUACAGGUAACAUUUUUCCAACACUUCCACAUCGCAGUCGUCCCAGAUUUGAGCAUUACAGGUUAGUAUUGAUGUAGCAGGUUCUGUUGUUUCCCAAAUGAAUAUGGUUUUGUUUGUAUGUUUGUAAUGCUCAUUAAAGCUUUUGUUUGUAUGGUUAUGGUUAUUGUUGCAUGACCAUUGUUCUUUUUGAAUUUAUCAGCCAAGUUAUAUGUUUUUACUAUUAGGUAACAUUUUUUUUAAAGAGCAUUAUGCCUACAAAUAAUGGGCUUCAAAUCACAAUUAUUUGUACAUGUAAAUACAAUACUGUUAAUAAUAAAUUUGUACAUGUAAAUGAGAUAAAAGUUAUAUAUUUUUUAUGAAAUUAUAUUACCAUUUAAAAUGUUAUUAUCUAGUUUUAAAACUUCAAUUUCAUUAUUAAACUAAAUCUUCAUUCUUCAUUUUAUUUAUUUUGAAAUUAGAAAACCUUAACUAAACUAAUCAUCAAUAAAAAAAUUUUUCAAUGAUCAAACUUUGAACAUGCUUUAAGUAACUAAUCAAUAUAUUUAUACGAUAUCAUUUUAGGUCAAUUAAUUUGGGUGAUUUUAAUUAACUAAUCAAUAUAUUUAAAUGUCCAAAUUAUAAUGAGUUUAGUUAUAAUCUAACAAAUACCAACCUUCAAAUUUUACCUCAAUUAAUUUUACCUCAAUUAUACAUAAUAUAUUAAAAUUUAAUAUAAGUUUUUGAAGAAAUUAAAUGCUCAUGGAUUAUAAUUAACCUUUUAUGCAUGCAAUACAUGUUAUUUAAAACAAAUGUUAAUUGAUUCAAACAUUAUUUUUCCCCUAUAAUGGAAAUAAUGUUAUCUUAAUUAUAAAAAUGGAUAAAUGGACUGAAAUUUAUUAUUGUCUAAUUCUAUCUUAAAUUUUAAGUCAAUUACAUUAUACAUAAAAUAUUCCUCAUUCAUAAUAUGAUUUCCCUAUAAUACAUAAAUUAUAAUUGUGAAAGUGUAAGGAAGUUUUUAAAAUUAACGUAUAUAUAAUAUNNNNNNNNNNNNNNNNNNNNNNNNNNNNNNNNNNNNNNNNNNNNNNNNNNNNNNNNNNNNNNNNNNNNNNNNNNNNNNNNNNNNNNNNNNNNNNNNNNNNNNNNNNNNNNNNNNNNNNNNNNNNNNNNNNNNNNNNNNNNNNNNNNNNNNNNNNNNNNNNNNNNNNNNNNNNNNNNNNNNNNNNNNNNNNNNNNNNNNNNNNNNNNNNNNNNNNNNNNNNNNNNNNNNNNNNNNNNNNNNNNNNNNNNNNNNNNNNNNNNNNNNNNNNNNNNNNNNNNNNNNNNNNNNNNNNNNNNNNNNNNNNNNNNNNNNNNNNNNNNNNNNNNNNNNNNNNNNNNNNNNNNNNNNNNNNNNNNNNNNNNNNNNNNNNNNNNNNNNNNNNNNNNNNNNNNNNNNNNNNNNNNNNNNNNNNNNNNNNNNNNNNNNNNNNNNNNNNNNNNNNNNNNNNNNNNNNNNNNNNNNNNNNNNNNNNNNNNNNNNNNNNNNNNNNNNNNNNNNNNNNNNNNNNNNNNNNNNNNNNNNNNNNNNNNNNNNNNNNNNNNNNNNNNNNNNNNNNNNNNNNNNNNNNNNNNNNNNNNNNNNNNNNNNNNNNNNNNNNNNNNNNNNNNNNNNNNNNNNNNNNNNNNNNNNNNNNNNNNNNNNNNNNNNNNNNNNNNNNNNNNNNNNNNNNNNNNNNNNNNNNNNNNNNNNNNNNNNNNNNNNNNNNNNNNNNNNNNNNNNNNNNNNNNNNNNNNNNNNNNNNNNNNNNNNNNNNNNNNNNNNNNNNNNNNNNNNNNNNNNNNNNNNNNNNNNNNNNNNNNNNNNNNNNNNNNNNNNNNNNNNNNNNNNNNNNNNNNNNNNNNNNNNNNNNNNNNNNNNNNNNNNNNNNNNNNNNNNNNNNNNNNNNNNNNNNNNNNNNNNNNNNNNNNNNNNNNNNNNNNNNNNNNNNNNNNNNNNNNNNNNNNNNNNNNNNNNNNNNNNNNNNNNNNNNNNNNNNNNNNNNNNNNNNNNNNNNNNNNNNNNNNNNNNNNNNNNNNNNNNNNNNNNNNNNNNNNNNNNNNNNNNNNNNNNNNNNNNNNNNNNNNNNNNNNNNNNNNNNNNNNNNNNNNNNNNNNNNNNNNNNNNNNNNNNNNNNNNNNNNNNNNNNNNNNNNNNNNNNNNNNNNNNNNNNNNNNNNNNNNNNNNNNNNNNNNNNNNNNNNNNNNNNNNNNNNNNNNNNNNNNNNNNNNNNNNNNNNNNNNNNNNNNNNNNNNNNNNNNNNNNNNNNNNNNNNNNNNNNNNNNNNNNNNNNNNNNNNNNNNNNNNNNNNNNNNNNNNNNNNNNNNNNNNNNNNNNNNNNNNNNNNNNNNNNNNNNNNNNNNNNNNNNNNNNNNNNNNNNNNNNNNNNNNNNNNNNNNNNNNNNNNNNNNNNNNNNNNNNNNNNNNNNNNNNNNNNNNNNNNNNNNNNNNNNNNNNNNNNNNNNNNNNNNNNNNNNNNNNNNNNNNNNNNNNNNNNNNNNNNNNNNNNNNNNNNNNNNNNNNNNNNNNNNNNNNNNNNNNNNNNNNNNNNNNNNNNNNNNNNNNNNNNNNNNNNNNNNNNNNNNNNNNNNNNNNNNNNNNNNNNNNNNNNNNNNNNNNNNNNNNNNNNNNNNNNNNNNNNNNNNNNNNNNNNNNNNNNNNNNNNNNNNNNNNNNNNNNNNNNNNNNNNNNNNNNNNNNNNNNNNNNNNNNNNNNNNNNNNNNNNNNNNNNNNNNNNNNNNNNNNNNNNNNNNNNNNNNNNNNNNNNNNNNNNNNNNNNNNNNNNNNNNNNNNNNNNNNNNNNNNNNNNNNNNNNNNNNNNNNNNNNNNNNNNNNNNNNNNNNNNNNNNNNNNNNNNNNNNNNNNNNNNNNNNNNNNNNNNNNNNNNNNNNNNNNNNNNNNNNNNNNNNNNNNNNNNNNNNNNNNNNNNNNNNNNNNNNNNNNNNNNNNNNNNNNNNNNNNNNNNNNNNNNNNNNNNNNNNNNNNNNNNNNNNNNNNNNNNNNNNNNNNNNNNNNNNNNNNNNNNNNNNNNNNNNNNNNNNNNNNNNNNNNNNNNNNNNNNNNNNNNNNNNNNNNNNNNNNNNNNNNNNNNNNNNNNNNNNNNNNNNNNNNNNNNNNNNNNNNNNNNNNNNNNNNNNNNNNNNNNNNNNNNNNNNNNNNNNNNNNNNNNNNNNNNNNNNNNNNNNNNNNNNNNNNNNNNNNNNNNNNNNNNNNNNNNNNNNNNNNNNNNNNNNNNNNNNNNNNNNNNNNNNNNNNNNNNNNNNNNNNNNNNNNNNNNNNNNNNNNNNNNNNNNNNNNNNNNNNNNNNNNNNNNNNNNNNNNNNNNNNNNNNNNNNNNNNNNNNNNNNNNNNNNNNNNNNNNNNNNNNNNNNNNNNNNNNNNNNNNNNNNNNNNNNNNNNNNNNNNNNNNNNNNNNNNNNNNNNNNNNNNNNNNNNNNNNNNNNNNNNNNNNNNNNNNNNNNNNNNNNNNNNNNNNNNNNNNNNNNNNNNNNNNNNNNNNNNNNNNNNNNNNNNNNNNNNNNNNNNNNNNNNNNNNNNNNNNNNNNNNNNNNNNNNNNNNNNNNNNNNNNNNNNNNNNNNNNNNNNNNNNNNNNNNNNNNNNNNNNNNNNNNNNNNNNNNNNNNNNNNNNNNNNNNNNNNNNNNNNNNNNNNNNNNNNNNNNNNNNNNNNNNNNNNNNNNNNNNNNNNNNNNNNNNNNNNNNNNNNNNNNNNNNNNNNNNNNNNNNNNNNNNNNNNNNNNNNNNNNNNNNNNNNNNNNNNNNNNNNNNNNNNNNNNNNNNNNNNNNNNNNNNNNNNNNNNNNNNNNNNNNNNNNNNNNNNNNNNNNNNNNNNNNNNNNNNNNNNNNNNNNNNNNNNNNNNNNNNNNNNNNNNNNNNNNNNNNNNNNNNNNNNNNNNNNNNNNNNNNNNNNNNNNNNNNNNNNNNNNNNNNNNNNNNNNNNNNNNNNNNNNNNNNNNNNNNNNNNNNNNNNNNNNNNNNNNNNNNNNNNNNNNNNNNNNNNNNNNNNNNNNNNNNNNNNNNNNNNNNNNNNNNNNNNNNNNNNNNNNNNNNNNNNNNNNNNNNNNNNNNNNNNNNNNNNNNNNNNNNNNNNNNNNNNNNNNNNNNNNNNNNNNNNNNNNNNNNNNNNNNNNNNNNNNNNNNNNNNNNNNNNNNNNNNNNNNNNNNNNNNNNNNNNNNNNNNNNNNNNNNNNNNNNNNNNNNNNNNNNNNNNNNNNNNNNNNNNNNNNNNNNNCAGUUGAUUUGCUAUUACACAGCUUUUCCAUUACACCUCUAUUCCAUUACACCUCUAAUCCAAUACAGCGAACCAAACGUGCUGUAACAGUCUGAAACAUAUUGCAUUGAUGGAGGCCAAGAUGAAAAAACUCUGAUUUACUGAGUAAGGUUAGUUGGUUGCUUACUUUGCCCUUAACUGUCUUUGAUAAAAAUGUGAAACAUGAGCGAAAGCCUUUGCAAAAGUAUGUCGCUGCUGUUUGUAGUCCAGAUAUGGUAACUAUAGUGGAUGGUUUUAACUACUAUUUCUGUGAUCUUUUACAGACAAUUGAACAAACAAAAGAAAAUGUGGUAAAGAAGCAAGCAUUGACGUAUGAGGAAAUGGAACAAGAAUGUAAGGAGGUAAGUUAAUCUCUUGGCAUAGUAAUUCAAGUGUAUCUAAUACUAGAACAAAAUCCAUUGCUUAUAUUGUGAUGGUAUGAUUAUAGUUCACUAACCCUGGCCCUAAGCACCUUGUAUGGAUGGCUGUAGGUAGAGUUUUGAAUGCUGGGGCCUGUUUGGACCAAUCAACCAGGUGUCAACCUUAUUUCAGGUCUGCAGGUCUCACUCUCGGGCUUAAUUGGGCAGUUUAUUUCUGCAUUUUUACUUAAAUCUUACUUAAAUCUAAAGGACACAAUUUAAAUGGAAGAAAUUAGGAAUUUUAGUUUUUUACAUAAUUCUUAUGAACAUAUAUCAGGCCAAACAAAUAGAGGGGAUGAAAUAUCUUUGAUCAAAUUAACUGAUCAAAUGAUGGCAUAUUAGUUCUAUCCCCUAAAUUUGCUUGGCACUUUUACAUUUUAAAUUAUCUGUAACACCUUACUGUUUUCUUCUUCCUAUGGAUACCAUUACAGCUUGCAGUGGAAUGUUUCUUUUAGGUAUUUCUGCCUCCAAUUCGCCGUACAAUUUAUGAUUGUUUUUUGGUUUCUCCUCUCCACAAACUGUCUAAUGUAUUUGGCAGAAUGAGAUGAUGUUAUUUAUGCCUAUACAUGCAUUUCUCUCUGUCGAAUUGAUUGCAAUGAGAAUCAAUAGUCUGAUCAAUUUAAUUAUUAUGGCGUUCUUCUUCUUUUUUCUGUGCCUUAGUUCUCUUUUAUGCUAUAUAAGACAUUUCUAUAUAACGUUAAACAACGGUAGUGCAGCAUGUUUCUGUUAUGCUUUUUGCAAAUUAAUACUGUUGUUCCUUGUUAAAAAAUUGAAUAGUUUAGACAAUCAUUAGAAAGAAUGCCUAUUUGUGACACAUGGAAGAGCUAUGAUUGAGAUUGUUUGUUAGUAUGGUUCAACCUGCUACUAAAGUUGCACAUAAUUGUUUGUUAUAUAUUUUUUUGAGCCUUAAUGGCUAUAUAUAUUUUUUAUUUUUAACAUCUCUGUUGUUUACCAAGUUUGUUGGUUUAUCUGAUCAUUUGGUUUUGCAUCCUUUAGAUAUUGAAGGUGUAGUAGAGGAUUCAAUCUCUUCAAGCUGGAAAAGCCAAGGCUUAGCACUUCUUCAAGUAGAUUGUUAUUUAAUGUUGUAUUCCAUGGUCGUUUAUCUUAGUCGGAACUUGAAUUUGGUGUUAUUGAAACAGGGUUUUGUAGCUACCUUGUGUACUAGCUUCUUUAGCCAUGAUUGUUAAUUAUUACGUGUUUUGUAGCUUCUUUUAUAUUUGGCCGAGUUACUAUAGAUCAGAUGAGUUGUGAGGUAGAUUGCUCAUUUAUUUAAACAUAAUAUUUUAACAUAAUAUUUUAAUUCUAAAUUUAAAUUCAUUAAUUUUUAUAUUUAGCUUUAAAGUUAAAAUUUUUAUAGAAAAUUUAAUUUAAUUAAUAUUUUUUAUCCUUAAAAGUAUAUAGUUUAAAGUUUAAAUUUCAAAAAUAAAACAUAAUAUAAUAUUUAUCAUAGAAAUAAAUAUUAUUUAAUUAAAAUAUUUUAAUGAAAGUUAUGUUUUUAGUGGCUUUUGUGAAAAAAGUCCUUAUUUAUAGCGGUGUUUGUAGUAGAAGCGCUGCUAAAGAUCAUGAUCUUUAGCGGCGUUUGUGGUAGAAGCGUUGCUAAAGGUCAUAGCGGCGUUUGUGGGAAAAGUGCUACUAAAUGUCAUGAUCUUUAACGGCGUUUGUGUGAAAAGCGCCGCUAAAGGUCUUGUUCUAUAGCGGUGUUACUUUUAGCGGCGCUAAAGGCCAAAAAAAACGCCGCUAAAAGCCUGUUAUGCUUAAUUAAAUUUCAAAGCCAAAAUCUGAAUUUAUUUGUUUCAAAACAUUUUAAAUUUAAACCAAAAUAAUUUGAAUAAAGGUAAAUAUGAUGUCAAGAUGGACAAAAUAUUAACUUGUAAGUGAUUUUUUGGUGUAAUAGUCAAACACUAACAAUAAGAACAUGUUGAACAAUAAAUCUUCCUUUGGGCCGAUUUAUUGUUCACAUGUAAAACCGAAUAAUUAUUACAUGUUUAUUACCAUAGUUUCACAUGUAAUUUUGUUAAAUAUUAACCUUCCUUUGGGCCGAUCAAUAUUAACGUAGCUUAAGUUACAUGCACACAGCAUUUUACAUUUUAAAACAAAAUAAUUUCAAUAUUAAAGGUUACUUUGGCAACUUAUUAUUUCAAUUAAGUUAUUUUAAAAUAUAUAUCAAUAUAUCAAUAUUCAAAUUUAAAAUUUACCUAAUAGUCAAAAGGUCAAAACUAAAAUUUAUGGCUGCACUACAGUUUCCGAAAUAACCCAAAAUAAGGUUGUCCAAAUAGUACAAUAAAAAAAAGUGAAAACCGUAAUAUUUGACUAAUUUCUUUUUUCAAAACCAUAUAUGUAAAAAACAAACAAAAAUAAUGUAAUGAUUCAAGACCAAAUAAUUAACAAGCACAUGUAUACAUAAUUUUGACAUAGACAAAACACCAAACAAUUCACACAUAUACAUGCAUUUAAAAUCAAAUAGAAAAACUCACUUUGCUUAUGUCAUGUAAAUCCAAACAUGUAUUUAUGAUUAAACAGGGAUUCGUAUGAAUAAUUGAAAAAUAUUUUCAAAUCAAUAAAUCUCAAAAAUAAAAUCGUAAUAAUUGACAUAUCCCAUAAUUCAUACCAUAAACCAUAUCAACAUAAUUCGACCAAAUAUUUGGAACCAUAAAACUCCAAAAUCUAAUAAUAUAAAAUUAAACUUAAAAUCAAAUUUUUUUAAAAAUAUAUUAUGAUUCAAAAUUAAUAACUCAACAACCAAUCCGUAGAACCAAUUCAACAGACUUGACAACAAUAUUACAAGCUUAGAGUAGCUCCAAAACAUUGAGCGUAUCCUCUGAAUGUAUUGCAAAACCCUUGAUAAGUUAGAAUAGAAUGAGAAUGAUAAUAACAAAGCAUAUUGUCAAGAAUAUGUGCAGACAAUUGACGACAUCGGUCGAUACUUUACAAAACAACUUGAAUUGAUUAACAGUUGGAUCACUUGAUCCUUGCUCAUAUUUUAAUAGACAUAUCUAAAUAAAAGCAAGAGUAAAUUGAGACCUCCAAAUUUCAUUAUUUCCAAACCCAAUUGCACUUGAAAUCAAGAAAAUCGUAUUGAUCAUUGGCUUAACAGGUAAGAUUGACAAUGUACUGUAGGUCUGUAACUCUAUGAGAUAUAACACAUGGUUUAAGCCACAAGGAUAAACAUGCAUAUAAAUUCUACAAUAUGUAUUGUCAAUGGCAUAAAAGUUGCAGAGAAAAAUAUGCGAAAAACUUAAAAGUUGAUUUUAUUAAAAUCUGUAUAGAUCAUGCCAACUCAACGUACAUCAGGUAAUACAAAGCAAUAAUACAUUGCAUGAGUUAGUAUAAAACGCAAUGAUCUUACAAAUUUAAAUCAAUAACAGAAUAAAUUAUAAAUUUCGAUUCUUCGAAUAGCAUAUGCAAAUUUAAAUUAAUUUAUAUUUAUAAAACCCUAAAACUUUAAUAUAAAGUUUCAAAACUUAAAACUUUUUAUCAAGAAUCUCAAAGAUUCAACUAGUAUAUAAUCGAAAUAUUAAAUACAUAAAAUUUGAAAAAUGAAUCAAUCCAAAAAUAAUUGAAAAUCAAUUCAUUUUUAAUGAUUCAACACUACGAGACUCGGAUGCCACUUGUUAGAACCGAAAAAAAUAUUAUAUAAAACAUUAUUAAAUAGAAUUUAUCAUGUCAAAUCAUUAAGAAUAAAAAUAAAUGUAGAAAUGCACUUGAAUUCAUCGAUUCUUGAAAUCUUCGAAUCUUAUAGUUUUGAGAAGAUGGCUAUCUCUUUUCUGAAAAUGAAAUAAUAGAAAAGUUACAUUAUCUAAAUUUUGGAGACCAUAACCCUAAUUUAUAUAACUUUUGCACAUUAACCCUAAUUUCUAAUUAACCAUCAUUAAAUAGAAAUUAGUUACUAUAGUAUCUACACAUAUUUGACUCAUACUUUAUUUAAUAAUUAAAGCCCAAUAAACCUAAACCAAAUUAGAUCAAUUUUUAUUUAAUUUAAUCUUUUAUGAUAAUAAAUAAUAACAUGUAAUUAAUAUUAUUAUAUAUGUGAUAUCUAUAUUUUCCAACAAUACCUAAAAACAUUUAACACCCCAAUGUAAAACCUUCUUAAUUCUUAGCAGAAACAACAAAAACUUCAUUGCCACAAUAUAUCAACCACCUUGAAAGCAUGAUCAAAGAGGUGCCCAAAUCUUGUAUAUAAUAUCAGACAUGGUUAAAUGAUUAGAUAAAGACUUUUAACUGCCUAGGAACCGUGCCAUGAUUAUUAGACUGCUAUGAAGAUGAGAGCUGAAGGGAAUGGGCCAGCUUGUACGCUGUUUAAUGAAGCAAAGGACUACACUGGUGAGCUAAGAAUAGACAGUACUGCUGAGCUGGGAGAGAUGGACGGCAAAGGAAUUUAGCUAAGAACUCAGUUAUGAACGUGGACCAAUGAAUUGGUUCACAGCUGUAACUCUGUUAUUACUUUUUAGAGAUUGCCCACGGCAUAUGUCCAGUGAACUACGAAUUUUCAUAUGUUUUUGGAAUGAAAUAAUCUUUCUUACCUCAUUUCUCUACUCUAUCUGAUCUACAUUCACUGUGGGAAAGCGUAAAACUCGGCAACAAAUGGUGGAAGGCACGAAACUUAAUACACUGCCGGAGCAGAUUCAAAUUUUGAAGAGGCAGAUGGAAGCAAUGAGAGCUGCAGAGAACACUGUGCCUAAAUGGUGGGAGGAGCAGCGCAUUGGUAUUGAAGCCAAGUUUUAGGAGAACCUGGCUUACAUGAUCAAGAUGUAUGACAAAAAAAAAAUAAUUAACUACGUAAAUGAUUCUAGUUUAAAAACAAUCACUCAAAUAAUUAAAAAUGAAUAAUAAACUUGGGUUAGGGUAAUAAAUAGUUGGUAUUGUGUCGGGUGUUAAAAAAAUAUUUUUUUUGGAUGCUGGGACUAGAUGAUUGACACCCUUGAAUUUUUUUCACCCUGUAUCAUACUGGUAUACAUUUAUACCAAUAUUUGAAAAAAAAUUUUGGGAUGUUAGCACACUGAUGGUCGGCACCCCUUUACCAGAUAAAUCUUUUUAGCACACUGAUGGCCGGCACCCCUUUACCAGAUAAAUUUUUUUUGGGUGCUGACACACCAAUGACCGACACCCAUUUUAAAAUUAAAAAAAUUGGGUGCUAAGACACUGAUGGCCGGCACCCCAGUAUCAAAUUUUAAAAAAAUUGGGGUACUGGAACAUUGAUGAUAGGCACCUUUGUACCAAAAUUUUAAAAAAUUUUGGGUGCUAGGACAAUGAUGGCCGGCACAUCAGUACCAUAUUUAAAAAAUAUAUUUUGAGGUGCUGAGACACUGAUGGCCGGCACCCCAAUACUAGAUUAAAAAAAAAAAGGAUGUUAGAACACUGAUGGUCAGCACCCUUUUAGUCUAUAUAUAUGGAAGUUGUUUGGGUUGUGGUAUUGUAAUUGAAUGGAAAAAAAAGGUUGAGAGUACCAUCAAAUGAGAGUGUUUGGGAGUCUACCAUCAAAUGGGAAUACCAUAUUGGAGAGUGUAUCAUCAAAUGGGUGUGAUAUAGUGGAUUGCAGAUGGGAGUCUAUAAUCGAAUUUUGAGGUUGAAUUAUAUAUGGUCAUGUUUUAACGGAGUUGAAUUAUAUACUGUCACAUGAACUGUAAAUGUUAUGCCAUCAAAGGUCGGAUGACUUUCUUCAACAUAGAUGGCGAACUGUGUAGGUCAGUUACGGUUAAAGAAUAUGGUGGGUGAAUAUGGUCAAAAUUACUAAAUGCAACCUAGACUUGAUUCAAGUAGAAGACGACUAACUGUGGAGAAACUACUAUUCAAAAUGGUUGUAUUAUUUUUGUAUAUGUAAAUCAAUUUUAGUCCGUAUUAUUUGUUGGUCGAAUUUUAUAUUUUCGUAUAUCAGUUUUGUAAAAUGUUUGUAUUAUUUUUGGAUCUGUAAAAAUAUUUUAGUCCGUAUUUUUUAUUGGUCAAAUUUUAUAUUUUCAUAUAUCAAUUUUCUAGAAUGUUCGUAAUAAUUUUGGAUCUAUGCAAAAAAAUAUGUACAAAAAAAUAUUUAUGUUGAAAAAUAUUUACAAAUAUUUUGUAUUCAUCUAUGCAAACAAAUAAUUAUGUUAAAAAUUCAAUUUUUGUUUUGGAAGAAUAAUUACAAAGUAAAUAUUUACAAAAAAGAAUCAAAAUUGUCUAGAUCUUAGCGAUGUCCCCAGCCCCAGAAUGUACUGAUCUGGUUGCCUCUGUCUGCCAAGGGGUGCACUUGCAUGUGGGGAUUAGUAAAUGCUCGGGUUGGUCUUCGGUGUUUGUACCGGUGUACUAAAAAAGUGGAAUAAUUGUAUGCCUCACCAUCGAGUGUGACGGGGUAUUGCGAAACCGGAGGGGCUAAGCCAAAAAUAUCCUCCGCGAUAGGUGUAUAUAGUUACCCUUGAAGGUCCAGGUAGUGUGAGGACAACCUAGAGUGUGCUGAAUGUUCAGGCUCGAAGUCGUCGCCAAAUAUCUCUUCGAGUGAAUGAGGUUAUUGUUGUUAGGGAUGGGAGGUAUGCGAUGAGGAUCUGAAUGAUUCAUAUUGUGGCUUAGGGUCGGGGUUUGAGACAAAUUAUAUAUUUUCGAAUGGUGGAACUCGGUUACGGUGCGGUCGUGUGUUCAUCCGUUACCAUUGAGAAGAUUUCGGUUGUGCGUGUUCCGAGAGCACUAUGUAUCGACCUUGGAAUAUGAAGGGCAUCUUAUUUGCCACGUACCAAGCUACGUACUUGCGCAAAGGAAAGAACCAUGUCUUUAAGACAAACAAGGGGGCCCACCUCUUACGUCAGGCAUUCUAUAGAAUAAUGUACGGAGCAUGUUGGUUUGCCCAAUUUAUGCAUCCCUACCUUUUUUGUCUAUAUCGUGGAGGGUCUGAGAUAGGUUGCAUGCAUCCGAACUGUCUCAAAACCCGAGCCACUAUUGUAGUCGGAUGUCCGAUACAUUGUGCACUAUUUGGGUUCGCCCAUCUCCCUGACAUCCAUAUCAUUUUGAAUCCUCGUUGAAUGUUCUUGACCUUUAGGAUGUCUACGGAGACUACAGUUCGGUAACAUCUCGAAAGCAGGUGGUGGAAAUUCUCAUUUUGAGACAUUUGACAUUACGGGAAAUUCGUUUCCUCAGAUAUGCAAUGUGCGUUGCAGUGUGUAUACCUCAUCUAGGAAUUGUUUGACGUCUAGAUUUGCAUGCGCACACGCUGCAUGAACAUGCGUUCACGGAUAUCGAAGAGUUUGGAACUUCCCACACCUGCAACGCCUAUUUCGCAGAUCAACUACGUACGACUUGGGUGGAAGACCUGAGCGACGAUCGACGUACUCUUGAACCCAGAAAGUUUCCAAGUCAUGCCAAUACAAUGUUGUGUUCAUUCUCUGUGCCCCCUCCCCCCGCGUUUACUGUCAUGGCCUUUUGGACGGCCUCAACGUACUCGUGCCCGUGCGCUAUCUGUUUUACUUGUCUCAGCCCUAUCCUUUGCAUCAAUGUAGCCAGCCUAUAGAAUGUUACCGGGAAAACAACAAAAAUUGGCAGAUGACGUGUACGCCUCAAGACUGAGUUCACCUCUUUUACGAGGUUGGUCGUCAUCUGACCAUACUAAAACCAAUCAUCAUAACUUUGACUCCACUGGCAGUUCUUCAUUCUACCCAACCACUACCAGAGAUGGCGAUUUUCGAGUAACGAUGUCAUCUGAACUUCAAGUCUUGCGAACCUUUACCUGAAUCUUUGGAAUUCUAACUCAUACCUUGCGUAUGCAUUUCGAACCAAUAUUUUAAAAAAUUAUAGAGUUAUAAAUUUAGAAAAAAAAUUUAAAAAAUACAAACUGAUAAAUCUUGAAAAUAAUAAAAAAAGAUUCUAAAAAUAAAAUAUGAACAAAUCAAUUUUGGAACAAAUUUUUUUACCCAUGUUCACGAUUUCUCUGCGCCAUUCUUUAUUCUUGUAAUUUUUGUGGAAGUUUACUGCGAUGUGUCAGAUGCAAUAAACAAACCUCCGCGGAACCCCCGAACGCAUUAUUACAGGAAACAGUCCCUUCGAUCUGUCCAGGAUGAGGCAAAUGUUGUCUUGCCUGACAACGUACCUCCGUAUAUUUCUUAAAAAAAAUUCCAAUGACUCGAAGGUCUCACCCUCCACGAUGGCGAAAGUGAUAGAAAGUACAUUCUAGUUUUCGUCUUGUGCAAUCACGAUCAGAAGUAUUUGCGUGUAUUUUUCGUAGAGCCUGGUUCCGUCCACCUGCACCAACGACUUGUAGUGAGGGAAAGCUCUAACACACAACUCAAACGUCUAAAACAAUCGGUGGAAAACUUGUUUCCUCGAUUCUAUCUUGCCUCCUGGGCCUCUAUGCGACAGCUUUUGCAAAUCAAUCACCGUUCCCGGUACAGACUCCCGCAUGCGGCUACCUACCCUUGAAAUUCGUUGUUUGGCGUAUCCCAGCCACCAUACAACUGUUGCAUCGCCAUUUACUUCGCCCAUCAUGCCUUCCUAUAGGAAACCCUGUAUUUGAAUCGAGCUUGCAUGUCUGCAAUAAAGGUCGAUACUGAGAUGGUAGGCAUGUCUUUCACCAAUGGAAUGAUGUAGUUGCAUAUGGUUUUUUCAUCUAUUUUUCGAUGGUCUUGUGACAUAUGAGCGACCUUGCAUGUGUAAGGACCUUCUAUUUUCUUAAUUGUCCACAUCUGAGUCCACUGCAUUAAUGCAGCUCAAACACGCCAUUCACAGACCCUUGAGGCUUUCCAACAUUCUCCCACAUAUAAAGACUGCGUUGACUUCGUGACUUUGUAGUCGAAAAAAUAGCUUUAAGCUGUACUGUUUUAUUGUAUGUAAGCAGUCUUUCUUAUUAUUGAAUUGUUGUCCUACGAACAACUCUUUAGCUUUCGAUUCUUCAUCCAGUAGAUGAGCUGACACUAUUUUUGGAUAUUCGGAGAACUCACAUGCAACCGUCGCAUCAGGAUGUACAUCAGUCAUGAAGGCCCCGGGAUUAUUACGGAUAACUAUAUCGAAUCCCAUGUUCCCGGCUGAAUAGGGGUGUAUAUCUUCACCCUCCAUCGCGCAUUGAUCGUCUAUGUCUUUACAGAUGUCAUCCAAAUCAGGGUCACUGAAAUCUUCAUUACCAUGGUAGGAUUGCUCUUCAUUAUCGAACCCUUCAUCACCAUCUUCUAUGGUGGCCAACACCUCUGGAUUAAUCUCUAGAUAAGGACACGAGAUUAGGAUGUUAUACGAAUAUCCAUCGUAGUUUGGAUUUUUGGGAGUUUGCAGUGACUGAUCUUUCCAGCUCCAUUUCUGAGAACUUGAGCAGAUCUGUUGAAAUCGAAAUUUGUAAAAUAAUAUCAACAUUUGCUUCCCGCAACGAGUAGCUUUCUUUGUACUAAUCUUCUGUUUCAAAUCCUCCAGUAGAACACGCUUGUUGAUCUCAUUCUGAUUUUUUGCCGGCUUUGAAAGACACAACCUUCUUCAGCUGUAUUUACCAUUUCUCCAUUGAAAUGAAUAUAAACAAACAAAAUUUGGAAACUUAUCUUCAACAAUUUCUGCUUGCUCCUCAACAAACAAAACACGGAUAUUCUUAAUAUCAAUUUUCAACUGAUAAAGUAAACAAAAAGCUCAAAUGGAGGACAAAACACCUCUAUAUAUUGAAGGGGUGCCGGCCAUUAGUGUCUCAGCACCCAAUUUUUUUUAAAUCUGGUACCAAGGUGUCGACCAUUAGUGUCCCAGCACCCAAAUUUUUUAUUUUUUUAAAAAAAUCGGGUAUAAGGGUGCCGACCAUUAGUGUCCUAACACCCAUUUGUUUUUUAAUUUUAAAAUGGGUGCCAGCCAUUGGUGUGUCAGUAACCAAAAAAAAGUAUUUUUUUAAUCUGGUAAAGGGGUGCCGGCAAUCAGUGUGUCAUCACCCAAAUUUGUUUUUUCAAAUACUGCUAUAAACGUAUAUCAAUAUAAUACGGGGUGAAAAAAAAUAUAAGGGUGCCGCCCAUCUAGUCCCCAACACCAAAAGAAUUAUCUUUUUAACACCUGACACAAUAAUUAGGCAAUAAUUAGUCCCCAACCCAACUUUAUUAUUCGUUUUAAAUUAUUUGGGUGAUUGUUUUUAAACCAGGGUAUUUACAUAAUUAAUUAUUAUUUUUAAGUCAUUUAGGUAAAAUAGCCCCAAAUCUUGUAUAUAAUAUCAAACAUGGUUAAAUGAUUAGAUAAAGACUUUAAACUGCCUAGGAACCGUGCCAUGAUUAUUAGACUGCUAUGAAGAUGAGAGCUGAAGGGAAUGGGCCGGCUUGUAGGCUGUUUAAUGAAGCAGAGAAGGACUACUCUGGUGAGCUAAGAACAGACAGUACUGCUGAGCUGGGAGAGAUGGACGGCAAAGGAAUUUAGCUAAGAAUUCAGUUAUGAACGUGGAAAAAUGAAUUGGUUUACAGCUGUAACUCUUUUAUUACUUUUUAGAAAUUGCCCACAGUAUAUGUCCAGUGAACUAUGAAUUUUCAUAUGUUUUUGGAAUGAAAUAACCUUUCUUACCUCAUUUCUCUACUCUAUGUUAUCUACAUUCACUCUGGGAAAGCGUAAAACUCAGCAACAAAUGGUGGACGGCACGAAACUUAAUACACUGCCGGAGCAGAUUCAAAGUUUGCAGAGGCAGAUGGAAGCAAUGAGAACUGCAGAGAACACUGUGCCUAAAUGGUGGGAGGAGCAGGGCAUUGGUAGUCAAGUUUCAGGAGAACCAGGCUUAUAUUAUCAAGAUGUAUGACCCAAAAAAAAAUUAAUUAUGUAAAUGAUCUUAGUUUAAAAACAAUCAUCACAAUUUAAUGAUUGAUUGUGAAAUUUAUAGUUAAUAAAAUACGUAGGAAAUGAAUGUUUCAAAUGCAUAUAUAUAAUUUCCAAUUGAAUUUUUUACGGUAAAUUAAUUUUUUGUUUUUGGUUACUAGAAAACAUAUUUCACGAAAUCUAUUUGCAAACUUAGAACUUCAUUAACAUUUAUUUAUGAAUUAAAUACUUCUAAAUGUUCACUAUCUCAUUGUCUUAAUCUCAAAUGAGACAUUGCAAGUUAGCAUUUUUCCCCAAAAGUUUUAUUGAAACCCAAAUAUCUUCGAAAAAUAAUAGCUCAAAAAUGAAAAGAGAGAGUGGAAAUAGAUUUCCAAAUCAUACUUACAUAUAUUCAUUAGAACACAAAUAAAAGCAUAGGAUACAUUGAAUUUUAACAUAAUUAAAUAGACAAACAUGCAAGAAAUACAAAGCUCCCUCCCCUUGACUGCAUAUUGAUCUAAACAUACAUAUUCAUAUCAAAAUACAUGAGAAAGGAAGCUGUCACUUUAUUCAUUAAAUAGAUGAGUAGUGCUUCAAGUAGCGGUAACAAUAGCAAUAUGCGAUAUUGUUUAGUUUGCUUGGAUGAGGUGGGCGUCAAUGUCUUUGGAGAUAUCUUGAACCAAUUGCAGUAGAGUCUCGGGGUGCGCAAUCCCAUCGUGCAGCUUCUCGUAUUCCAAAGUCCAGUGCACUAUGCUGCCACUAUCCUCGCUCUUGGGCGAAACUAGAAUCGUGGCUGCAAAGCUCUUGUACUCUUCCAUUAGAUCUCCUUCGAUCACUCUGAAAGUGAUCAAAUUCUUAUCAGGGUCUACCGCUUCCACUACUUCCUUUGCCUUUUUAGCCUUUCCAUCUAAACAAACAACCAUUUUUCUUUAACAAAACAAAAAUAGCAACCAAUCAAGUGAUAAGCAUGAAAAGAAAUUGGGUUUGUUAUGUUAUAUCAUACCAUGCACAUAACUCCAGUGGACAAUGCUACCGACUUUCCCCCAUUCACCUUCAUGUAGAUCGCAUCCUUGAAUCUUGUCAUAGCAAGUAUGGUGCACGUGAUGUGGUUUGUGGGCGAACAAUUCAUGGAACUGCUCGGGAGAAGCCUUAAUAUCUACAUCUGCCUCAAGCUUACCUGUAAGAGUUGAAGAUGCCAUUGUAUCACCAACAAUGUUUGAUGUGGGAGUGGUUUGUUUGAUGUUUAGGCUAGGCAUUAUUUAUAGACCGAUGUCAAUGUCUAAAGCAAUAAUCCUCUCCAAAUGAUACUACUCAAUUUCCUAUUCGUUCACCAAUUAUCAUUUAACAUAUAUUUAAUUUUGUAAACUUGGUUUACUUAUUGAAUCUUCUUUGAACCAAAAAUAUAAAAGUUUGAUUUUACUCAAAUUUUAUUCAUGAAUAUUUAAAAUAUUAAAUCUUGGAUUCACUUAUUUGAUUCUUUUUUUAUGCUUUUCAUAUCCAUUUUACGAUUUAUGUUCAGCGUUUAUGACUACUCUUUCCAACAAUGUCAUUUUCGAGAUUCAAAUCUACAUUCUCUUGGGAGUAUAAUGUGCUUUACCACUGUACCCAAUACUUAAUUUGAUGAACAUAAAAAAUUAACGUUUUAAUAAAUGGAAAAAAAAUAUUUUAUGUAAAUAAAUAAGUUUGAACAUGGUACCAACAUUAUACUAAACAUAAUAAAAACAAAGGACAACAUGGCACAAUUCAAAAAAUUAAAGAAAACACAACAUUAUAUAUUGCAUUAUCAAAAUAUGUUAAAUUCUAAAUUUAUAUAAAUUUGUGACACCUAAUUGUACAAAUUGAUCAUUUUAAUGUCUAUAUGGGCUAAUUCAUUUAACUGUAUUAUUAUUAUUAUUAUUAAAAACUAGAUGAUCAUACAAAAAGUUAAAGUUAUAGAAAUAUUUCAUAAAAAAAGUUAUAAAAGUGUAGUUUUGUAUUAGAAUAAGUUGAUUAUUUCUUAAAUAUAAUAAUUAUAAGCAUAAGCAUAAUGUAGCACCUUGCAAUUUUUUAUUUUGAAAUUGUUAAAUUCAGUUAAAUGAAUUAAUUUGGUUCAGUGAUUUAGUGUUGUGUUUGUGUGCGAGAGGUUUUGUGUUUGAUUCAUUUCCCUUAAAUUUUGAUUAUUUUUGUCCCAACCCCUGACUUAGAAUAUCUGGCUUAUUGUAACACCCCUUACUCGUGUCCGACACUGGAACAGGGUACGAGACAUUACCGGACUUAAACACAUGAUCAACCAUUUCAAACUAAAACAUGUAUAGUUCAAUAUCUACCACAACCAUCACACUCAGAUUUACUUUGCAUACUUAAUCAUUCAUACUAUUAUUUUAUUACUUCAACCCCUAUACAUGCCAUAUAAAUCAAAAAGAUGUUUAACAAAAUCUAUCGGAGUAAAUCUGGAUAGUGUGAUCCUUGAUGUAGAUCCGAUCCUCCAAACAUAUAUAUACGUCAAUCUACAAGAAACAAUAAACACACACAAGUAAGCUUACAGAAAGCUUAGUAAGUUCAUAGGCUCAUAAUAAAAUCUCACCAAAAUUUCACUAAAAAUUAUAAUAUACAAGUAUAAUACAACAGUUCCUGCCAACCACAAUCUCAAACAAUGAAUUUACUCAAUCGAGCUCAAUAUCAAAUAUCAACUUAUAUUCCAACAUUUAACUUCAAUUGUACUUACAAAUACUUGUCAAAUUAAGGAUUGUCUUACGGAUUUGAGUACAUCGUUUGCCCAGUGCUAUGAUUUGUUUGAAUCCUUUACAAUGCUAUAACUCAGUAUGGUUUUCUUCACUGAAAUACCAUACCUACUUUUCACAACUCAAUAUGGUUUUCGUUGCUGAAAUACCAUACCUACGUUUCACAACUCAGUAUGGUUUUCUUUACUGAAUUACCAUACCUAUGUUCCACACUUUGCCAUGGAUCCACCAUGGACUUAUUCGUUAAUUCAUUACUAGUUACUGAACGUAAGUACUCAAUCCUGCGUAUCUCUUAAUUUGAACUUACAAUUUGAUUUUCACAUUUUUACAGUAAUCAUAAUUCAACAACAAUACACGAAUAAUAUAUUAUAUAAUUCCCACAUUAGCAAUUAGUCAUAAAAUUUCAGCCGUGUGAACUUACCUGGGCCAAUUUGUAGGAGUUGUAAAAGUUCAUGGACUAGUUUAAUAUUUUCUCUUUUCCGCGUUUAUCUUUAGAUUCCUGAUCUAUAAUAUAAAUUUUCUCAUUCAUUAACAUCUAACACAAUACUAAUUCACUUCGCAAUUUAUGCCCUUCAAUUUUCAAAAUUACACUUUUACCCCAAAAUUUAUAGUUUUUACAAUUUAGUCCCUACUCAAUUAACACUUUAAUUGAACUAAUUAUUCCUUAAAUAACACUUUAUCUAAUGAUUUUAGGCUAUUAUGCAGCCUUUGAUAUUCAUAAUUUCAGUACAAAACCCCAAUUCCUAGCUUUUUCACAAUUAAGUCCUAAAAAUCAUUUUCUACUAAAAUCACUUAAUAAAAUCAUAAUAUAAUGAAAUUAGGGCUUAAAAUAUAUGAUAAUUCAUCAUAAAAUUCCAGUACUUCUUCAUGGAAACUUACAAAAUCAUCCAUGGAAUCAAAAACUAAUGAAUUCAAUAGUUGGACCUAGUUGUAAAAGUCUCAAAACAUAAAAUUUCAAAGAAAAAGCAAGAAUUGAACUCACAUGGUAUAAAAAUAUGAGAAACCAGCUUGUUUCAGACCUCCUAUGGCGUAUUUGCUGAUGAAUUAUGAAGAAAUCUCUAGAUUUUUCAAUUUUGUCUUUGUUUUAUAUGUUUAAUUUGCAAAAUUUCCAAUUUUGCCCUUGUUUCUCCUUAUUUUCCUGCUGCUUUUCUUACCCAAACCGUCCAGCCCAUAUAAUUUGGGCCUAAUUGCCUUUUAAAUCCCUCCUUAUUAGUCACUUAAGCUAUUUAAUCAUAAUUUAACAAAUUUUGCACUAUUCUCAAUUUUGUUCUUUUUAAUUAAUUGACCAUCCAAACAUUAGAAUUUUCUAACGAAACUUUAAUACCAACUCUAUGACACUCUAUAAAUAUUUCUAAAAAUAUUUAUGGCUCGGUUUAUGAGUUUGAGGUUUUAAUUUGAUACCUCGUUUUAGACCCAAUUUACUUUUUAAUUUCUUUUUAAAUCACAAAAUUCACUAAUCCAAAAUUCUUCUAUAAUCACACUUGACUCAUAUGUAUUUAUUUAUUAAAUUUUAAAACUCACUAGUCGGAUUUAGUGAUCUCGGAUCACUAUUUCCGACACCACUUAAAAUUAGGCUUUUACACUUAUUUUUAAUUAUUGAGUAGUUUUUAACAAGAAUGAGCUUGUUAGUUUAAUGCUAAGGCUUUAGCUUACCCAUAAGUCUUGUGUUCAAAUCUUAAGUGUGUAAAGUAGAAAUAUUUUUGCUAUCUUUGUUGUGCUCUCUAUUUUCCAUUUUUCUUUUUGGUUUUCCUCAAUUCUUUUUGUGUUACUGAAAGUUUCUUUCUCUGUCAUUUAUCUUUUGCGAUUAUUCUUUCAUUUAUUUUUGUCAUUAAUCAUCUUGUUUGGUCUUUUACCAUCACUUUGUCUUUCCAUUGAUUAAACCAUUAUUUACGCACCCUUAUUCUCUGUCUCUCUAUUUUAUGCUCCUUUUCUUACGUGCUGGUCGUGUGUGAUUGGAGUGUUAAGUUUCUGUGUUGAAAUAUCUAGUAAGUAAGAUUGAUUUUCAAUUGGUGAUUUCUGUUUUGAUGCAAUUUCUCGCGGAUGGUUAGUAUUCUGUGUUGUUGUUGAUUGGAGUGGUCUGAUUAUAUCAGUGUUUCUAAAAGGAGAAGAUCGUGAGGCGCAUCCUCCUCCCGCGAGUUGAGGGCCCUUGAACUGCUUCUUCUUGGGGUAAGUGUUCGAAUGCUGAGUUAUUGACUAAUUUCGGCUAGGGCCAAAUACCCUAUUGUUUAGGCCGAACAAGUGAUUUAGUUUCAGUACAUUGUUACUAAUCGGUUUGUUUUAGAUGCCAUUCAUAGGGUCUAGAAGUGUGUUGUUGUGUCGCUGUUCAGAAAAAUCCCAUCGUGCAUCUUCUCGUAUUCCAAAGUCCAGUGCAUUAUGCUGCCAUUACCCUCGCACUUGGGCGAAACUUGAAUCGUGACUAUGGAGCUCUUGUACUCUUUCAUUAGAUCUCCUUCGAUCAUUUUGAAAGUGACCAAAUUCUUAUUAGAGUCUACCGCUUCCUCUAUUACCUUUGCAUUUUUAGCCUUUUCAUCUAAACAAACAAUAUUUUUUCUUUAACAAAACAAAAAGAGCAACAAAUCAAGCAAUAAGCAUGAAAAGAAAUUGGGUUUGUUAUGUUAUAUCAUACCAUUCACAUAACUCUAGUGGAUAAUGCUACCGACUUUCUCCCAUUCACCUUUAUGUAAAUCACAUCCUUGAACCUUGUCAUAGCAAGUAUGGUGCACAUGGUGCAGUUUGUGGGCGAACAUUUCACAGAACUGCUCGGGAGAAGCCUUAAUCUCUACAUCUACCUCAAGGUUACCAAUAAGAGUUGAAGACGCCAUUGUCUCACCAGCAAUGUUUGAUGUGGGACUGGUUUGUUUGAUGUUUAGACUAGGCAUUAUUUAUAGACCGGUGUCAAUGUUUAGGGCAAUAAUCCUUUCCAAAUGAUACUACUCAAUUCCCUAUUCAUUCACCAAUUGUCAUUAAUCAUAUUUUGAAUUUCGCACACUUGGUUUACUUAUUGAAUCUUCGUUGAACCAAGAAUAUAAAAGUUUGAUUUUACUCAAAAUUUAUUCACAAAUAUUUAAAAUAAUAAAUCUUGCAUUCACUUAUUAGGUUUUUUUUUUUAUACUUUUCAUAUGCUAAGGGUUUAUGGCUACUCUUUUCAACAAUGUCAUCUUCAAUAUUCAAAUCUACAUUCACUUGAGAGUAUAAUGUGCUUUACUACUAUACCUGAUACUUAAUUUGAUGAACAUAAAAAAUCAUUUUUUUAAUAAAUGGAAAAAAAUAUUUUAUGUAAAUAAAUAAGUUUAAACAUGGUACCAACAUUAUAAUAAACAUAAUAAAAACAAAGUACAACAUGAUAAAAUUCGAAAAAUUAAAGUUGCAUCAUCAAAAUAUGUUAGAUUCAAAAUUUACAUAAAUUUGUGACACCUAAUUGUAGCAUUUGGGAGUAUACCUAACAAGAUAUAAAUAUAUCAACUAUUGGAUAUUAUUUUAUUUUUUAUGAGAUGAGUUCUGUAUCUAUGUAAAACCAAAUCAAUUUAUUCAUAUUAUCAAUAAAUAUUAUAUUUAAUAUUAAAUCAUUUACUAGUUUCUAGUUCGAUGAAUUUUUUAAUUCCACUCAACUAUAUGGAAAAUAAAUAUAUAUACCUCUUUAUUAAUUUGAUUUUAAAUUAUUGAGUACCAUUAGUAAGUGCGGAGACGCGAGACCAACCAGCUAAGCAAUAUGUUAAAGUUAGGAACGUGGCUGAAUAAAACUUUUGCUAUUAACAAUAUCCAACUUAUAAAAUUUGCUUUUUGGCUGAUUUUAAUAUAUAAUCCAAUUUACUGCUAAUUAAUUGCAAUUUCCAAAACCCAUUUCUGAAAAAAAAAAAAAACCAAUUGUCACCUUAUUGAAUUUUGCUAAUAACAUUAAUAUUAGUUGAGAUGAAUAUUAAAUUUUUUUGUUUUAACUUGUUUUUCAAGAAAAGAGUUUUCAAAAUUUUAAGUAUUUUGUAAAAUAGUGAGAAAUAAAUGAUAGUUUUCUAAAUUAAAUGGUAUGCAAAUAUUAGAGUCACUAUUAAAUGUCAAACAUAAAAUAAAUAAGCGAACAAAUCUCAAACCUAAGAUAUUAAAGCCAGAAAAUGCUUAAUAAUUACAAACCCAAAAAUAAACGAUUAAGGAAAUUUUUUAAUGAAACUAUUAAACAAAAUAAGCUGCUAAUCUGAGAUUCCUCUGACGCCAUUCGGAGUCCUAGUUUUCUGCGCUACUUGAAAGGUAAAAAAAAGGGGGCAAUGAAUUUACAACGACUCAAUGUGAGACUAACCUUGUAAUGCCCCAAAUUUUUUUUUUAGAUUUUUAAGUGUGUAUGUUUGUUAAGUAAUUUGGUUUGGUAUGGUGGUUAAGCGUCGUAGAUGUUUGCCUCUGAUAUUGUGUUUGAAUCCUGUGCAAGUGUGGAAUAUGUUUCUGGGGGCCAGAGUUUUAUUUAAAUUCUAUAAAAUAUCUGGGGGUUGUAUUGGGAUUAAAUCUUUUAUUUUUUAUUUUAUUUUAUUAAUCAAAUCCCAAUUUUUUUUCCUUUUGGCAACCGUCAAAACCACCCUCUCUUUGGCUGCACAUUUAUUUCCCUUCUUUCAACUUUGUUUUACACUUUUCUUUUUUAUUAUUUUCCUUCUUUUUCCCUUUGCUAAAGCGAGAAAGGAUUGUAUGAAACUGUGAUUCCACGUCAUCCCUAUCUCUUUCCAAUAGGAGAAUGACAAAUCAGAUUUUUCCUCCUAUUUUCAAUAUUUUUAGUUGAAUUUGAAUUUUUUUAGGAGGAAAAAACUGAUUAGGGUUACGAAGCAUGACCGUACAAUUGGAAGCAUUUAAACAUCAUAACAUUCAGUAAUAUAAAUAUAUCAAAAACCAUUCAUUCUCAUACAUUUCAUCCCUAAAUCGAGCCCACGAUGCUCUAAAAAUAGAUUGGGAGCAAUUCGAGACUAAUUUGAAACAAAACAGGAAGUUUAGGGAAAAGUAACAAAAUUUUAAAACAUAGGCCACACGGUCGUGUAGCCAGGUUGUGUGGAAUCACCCUAGGCCGUGUCAAUUUUGAACAAGGGGCACACGGUCAUGUCCCAGCCUGUGUCCUCACCAGUGUAACUCUCUAAUUAGGGUCACACGCCCGUGUCACACGCCCGUGUACCGGGUUGUGUCACACGCCCGUGUGCCAGGCCGUGUAACUUUCUGAGUUGCCCCACAUGCCCGUGUGCCAGUUCAUGUGUUAGGCCGUGUAACUUACUGACUUGGAUACUAAGGAACUCUCAAAUGACACAUGGUUGUGACGCUAGGACGUGUGCCUCACACAACUAAGUCACAUGCUUGUGUCUCGGCCCGUGUGAACCUAAAAUUCACCUAGAAUCAAACCAUUUCAAUAUCAUAUCAUGCAUAACUCCUCAAACCAUUUAAGCACACAUUCAAGGGGUUCAUACACCAUUUAAACUUGCAUAAACAUACCAUUCCAAGCAUCCUAAAUCACCUAACGAAUAUGCCAUUCAAAGGCACGACAAUUAUAGCAAAACAACAUUCACUAAAACAUGAUAACCUUACCUAAUUCCAUGCAUAAACUGUAACAGCCCGAUUCUAGGCCUAGUCGGAAGAGUGGUUUCGGGACCACAAAUCCGACAAGGGAAAAUAUGAUUAUUAUUAUAUUUUUAUGGUCUAUAAUUUUACGGAAAAAAUUCAUAAAAAUUUCGUUCAAAAAUUUCGACGUUUGGGCACUCAAUUUAGUGAAAAGGACUAAAUUGUAAAAAGUGCCAAAGUUGAAUUCUACAUGUUAGAAGUGUCUAAUUGUUAUGAGAUUAUAAUUUGGGGGUCCUUAUGUGGUAAUUAGACCAUUAGUUAAUUGAUGGACAAAAAUAGACAUAAGAAAUGGGUGAAAUAGAUUUUUUUUAAAUGGGGGCAUUUUAGUCAUUUGGUAAUAAAAAGAAAUAAAAUGGGAAAAAGAUGAAGAAAUGGUGUCAUCUUCUCCAUAGUUGCUUCCAAAUUUUGGAAGACACCAUAGCUAGGGUUUCUUUUCUUUCUCAAGCUCAUAGUAAGUGCAUCUUAGCCCCGUUUUUAAUGUUCUUUGCAUUUUUGAAAUCCUCGUAGCUCAGUUUAGAUUAUUUUAUCAAUAAUUCAUGUUAGGGUUUAUAUUUGGAAAAAUACCCAUAGGUGAAAAGUGUUUAUUUUUCUGUUUUAUGGUGGUAUAUGAAGCUAGAAAUUAUGUUAAACAACUUUUGCUAAGCGAUUUUAAACGAAAACGGGUAAAUUGACAUAAUCGAUAAAAAUUGUUAAUGUUAAAAAGUAUGUGCUAGAGUGAGAAUUUGAUGUUUCCAUAGAAGGGAAAAAUGUUCAGCAUGUCAUAAAACAUAAGAAUAAGUGAUGAAUUUUAAUUUCCAAGCUUGGAGACAAAAGUGUAAUUAUGUAAAAUUUUGGGGGCAAAAUUGUAAUUUUUCAAAAAGUUGAGUGGUGGAUUAUUUCAAUAAAUGUGAACAUUAAAUGAGUUAAAUUUGCCAUUAUAGAUCAAGAAAAACGAGAAGACUACCUCAAACGGGGAAAAGAGAAGAUAGUGGAGUAAAUUGCAAAAUUUCGAUAUUUUGCACCGAGGUAAGUAAACAUGUGAAAUAAUGCAUUAUUUUCAUAUUAUUUGAUAUGUGUUGAGAUUUAUUUGAACAUAGAAUAAAUAUUUGGCAAAGAUUCUAAAAAAAAAUGUGGCUAAGUGGGGAAAGGUGGUAAAGUGUUGAAAAAUACGGUUUCCGGUUGAACACUCGGAAUAGGCCACCGUAUUUUAAAUUUUAAGGGGGUUGCUAAGUGCUGAUUCCCCCAAGGGGUUGCUAAGUGUUGAUUCCCCGACUCAUUGGUGGUUGCUAAGUGCUGAUUCCACCGUAUUUUAAAUAUGAAGGGGGUUGCUAAGUGCUGAUUCCCCCAAGGGGUUGCUAAGUGCUGAUUCCCCGACUCAUUGGUGGUUGCUAAGUGCUGAUUCCACCGUAUUUUAAAUUUUAAGGGGGUUGCUAAGUGCUGAUUCCCCCAAGGGGUUGCUAAGUGUUGAUUCCCCGACUCAUUGGUGGUUGCUAAGUGCUGAUUCCACCGUAUUUUAAAUUUGAAGGGGGUUGCUAAGUGCUGAUUCCCCGACUCAUUGGUGGUUGCUAAGUGUUGAUUCCACCGUAUCUUAAAUGUGAAGGGGGUUGCUAAGUGCUGAUUCCCCGAAUCAUUGGUGGUUGCUAAGUGCUGAACCCACCGUAUCUUAAAUGUGAAAGGGGUUGCUAAGUGCUGAUUCCCCCACUCAUUGGUGGUUGCUAAGUGCUGAAUCCACCGAUAACGGUUAACAUUCCGAGUGUUCAAUGAGUAAAUUGGGAAGGUGAAUAUUUAUAUGUGGUGGACAAGUUUAUGGGAGGAAUAUUGGGUUUGAUACUAAAUCGACCCAUGUAUAAGGUGAGAGGAAGUAUCAAAAACUACAAAAGAGCAAAUUAAAUAUAAAACUAUUUUGAACAACAGCAGUUGGGCAAAUUUGAAAAAUCACCAUAAAUGGUGGAAAAUGAAUUGGAGGUUGAAUAAUAUAUGAAAUUAAAGAUGAGUGAGUCUAUUUUCAUAUGAAAUAAAGAGAGAAAACAAAAGAGUUGUAUAUUUGGGAAUAUUUGAAUUUAUUUGAGACAGGGCUGGAUUGAUUUCGAAAUCCCCUGUUCCAAAUUUGGAAAAUCACCAAAAAUUGUACAAAAAUAAUUAUGGCCUGAAAUUUAUAUGCUUGGAUUACUUAUUGAAUUUAUUUUUAAUAGAAACAAACGAUACCAUUUUUUGAAUUUUUUACGGAGAGUUAAGUAAAUUUUAGUAAAGGGAGGUCAGAACCGUCGGGCAGUGAAACAGGGGAAUCUUUAAAGAAUAAAUUGUACUAAUUUGCUACAUAAAAAAUUCUAAAAAUUUUAUGGUAGAAAGUUAUAUGAGUCUAGUUUCGGGGAAAAUUUACGAAACUUAAUUUGGAGUUCUCUAGCGUCAGAAAAAAAAAUUAGCAUCGGUGACGCAGAAAGAUAAUUUGCUGGAAAUUAAACGAACCCUGAAAUUUAUGUGAUUAAAAUUAUGUUGCUAUGAAAUCAUGUGAGAAAUUUAUUUAUUUGUCAUAUGUUUACUUACUAAGCUAUAUGCUUACUCGUUUUUAUUUUCCCUUGAUUGUAGUGACAUCAGCCAUUUUGGAAUUUGGACGAAGUCAGGAAAUCAUCCACACUAUCAUCAACUUUUUGGGUAUUUUGUAAUUAAUAGUUUGAAAUAUGGCAUUUAUAGAUGACUUUAUGUGAAGUGGUGCAAAUAUAUAUAUAGUGUUGUUCGGUUGAAUAUGUUGGUGAUUAUUAAUGGAAAAAUUAUGUCUGAACAUAUAUCUGUAAUUGGUUGGAAAUAUUAAAGUUGUUUGAAAUUAUUUUUGGAAAGUUGCAGGGGGUUUUAUGUAAAAACAAGCAGAAAUGCUGCCAAAAUUUUUUUUAAAAAAUUAUAAGUGUUUAAGUUCUAAUAAUACCUCAUACUCUGUUUCGGCAAGGAACACGGGUAAGGGGUGUUACAUUUUAGUGGUAUCAGAGCUACGGUUUAAUCGGUUCUUGGACUAAUAAAAUAUGUGUGAAAGUCAAUCUAUACAUGCCAUAAUUAUAUUGUUAUAGUGUGACGAUUUCUGACAAUUUAAAAUUUUGUUUUAUAUAGUAAAUGGAUCCUGACCGAAGUGUGACAGAUGAUGUUGAAAGUAACGCGUCGGCUCCCACACAAGGGACCGCGCAUGAAGAAAGUAGACAUGAGAUGCAUAGUCAGGAUGAGGCUCGAGAAGCCUUCCUUCGAAUGAUGAGUAAUUGAUACAUAGAAUUUGUUCGUGCAAAUCUGAAUGUUCAACCUCAUUCACCCCCUCCUAUUCCUCAAUCGGUCCCCGUAGCUCUACAAAGUGUUGAUUCCCGUUGAUAAAAUCCGAAAGCAUGGGGCUGAAGAUUUCAGGGCUAAUGUUGAUGAUGAUUUGGAAAAAGUAGAGUUUUGGCUUGAAAACACUAUUCGGGUAUUAGAUGAACUAUCUUGUGCUCCUGAUGAAUGUUUGAAAUGUGCUGUGUCUUUACUGAAGGAUUCAGCAUACCGUUGGUGGAAAACAUUAAUAUUGGUGGUUCCGAAAGAAAGAGUUACUUGGGACUUCUUUCAGGAGGAAUUCAGAAAGAAAUAUAUAAGCCAAUGGUUUAUUGAUCAGAAACGUAAGGAGUUUCUUGAGUUGAAGCAGGGCUGGAUGUCUGUGGCAGAAUAUGAAAGGGAGUUUGUCAGGCUCAGCAAAUAUGCCCAAGAAUGUGUGCCCAUGGAGGCCAUUAUGUGUAAAAGAUUCGAAGAGGGGUUAAAUGAAGAUAUCAGAUUGUAUGUUGGGGUUUUAGAGUUGAAAGAAUUUGUAGUGUUGGUUGACCGAGCCUGUAAGGCUGAAGAAUUGAGUAAAGAAAAGAGAAGAGCAGAGAUGAAAGCUCGAGAUGUAAGAAAAAGGUCAAUGAGCAGAACAUUUCAAUCCCAACCAAAGAAGCUUAAAGGGAUGGAUCCACGACCAACUGGUUCAGUUGGGUAUUCACGUAAAGACCGAGGGAGGUCAUACUCUGGAGCUAAAACUCAAGCUACCUCAGUGGCAAGUGUGGGCAAUGUGGGGAAUACUAGACCCGUGUGUCAACAGUGUGGCAUGUGACAUGCUGGUGAGUGUUGGGGAUUUAAACGAGCUUGUUUUAGGUGUGGUUCUCAAGAGCACUAUAUAAAAGACUGCCCUGAGAGAAUAGAGGAAGAAAGACUGCAGAGAGCUGGAUCGGGUGAUAUUGUUAGUAGAGGUAGACCAUCGAGGAAUACUGGGAGCAAAGUCAGUGGUAAAAGUGUGGCGAAAGAUACAGCUGGGAGAUCAGAAACUAGAGCGCCUGCCAGAACUUAUGCCAUACGUGCUCUUGAGGACGCAUCAUCUCCCGACGUGAUUACUGGUACAUUUUCUCUUCAUGAUAUUGAUGUUGUUGCUUUGAUUGACCCUGGGUCUACUCAUUCAUAUGUAUGUGUGCAUUUAGUAUCUAGUAAGAAAUUGCCUGUUGAAAAUACUAAAUUUGUGGUUAAGGUAUCAUAUCCUUUAGGCAAAUAUGUCUUAGUCGAUAAGGUUUGCAAGAAUUGUCCUUUGAUGAUUCGAGGUCACUGUUUCCCGGCUAAUUUGAUGUUGUUACCAUUUGAUGAGUUUGAUGUUAUUUUGGGGAUGGAUUGGUUGAUAUUGCAUGACGCCAAGGUAAAUUGUAGACAGAAAAUCCUUGAAUUGAAGUGUGAAAAUAGUGAAAUUCUUCGGGUUGAGGCAAAGGAGCCGAAUAAACUACCUAUGGUGAUUUCGCAUAUAUCUGCUCAGAAAUACAUGAGAAAAGGAUUUGAGGCUUAUCUUGCUUAUGUGUUGAUUACUGGUAUAACCGGGUCGAAGCUUGAAUCAGUGCCAGUAGUCUGUGAAUUUCCAGACGUAUUUCCAGAGGAGCUGCCUGGGUUACCCCCGAUCAGAGAAGUGGAGUUUGCUAUUGACUUGUUACCUGGUACUGCGCCGAUUUCUAUUGCUCCGUAUCGGAUGGCUCCAACUGAGUUGAAAGAAUUAAAAGCUCAAUUACAAGAGUUGACAGAUAAAGGAUUUGUAAGACCGAGUUUUUCUCCCUGGGGUGCUCCUGUAUUAUUUGUGAAAAAGAAGGACGGCUCUAUGAGACUUUGUAUUGACUAUUGUCAGCUCAACAAAGUGACUAUAAAGAACAAGUAUCCUUUGCCUAGAAUUGAUGAUUUGUUUGACCAACUAAAAGGGGCAACAAUAUUUUCAAAGAUUGAUCUGAGGUCUGGUUACUAUCAAUUGAGAGUUAGGGAGUCCGAUGUGCCAAAGACUGCUUUCAGAACGAGGUAUGGACAUUAUGAAUUUCUGGUAAUGCCUUUUGGGUUAACUAAUGCUCCGGCUAUUUUUAUGGAUUUAAUGAACCAAAUUUUUCGGCCGUAUUUGGAUAAGUUCGUGGUGGUGUUUAUAGAUGAUAUUUUAAUUUAUUCUCGGGAUAAAUUCGAGCAUGCAGAACAUUUGAGAACUGUGUUGCAGAUUCCGAGGAAGAAGAAAUUGUAUGCUAAAUUCAGCAAAAGUGAGUUUUGGCUUCGUGAGGUCGGAUUCUUGGGACAUAUAGUUUCAAGUGAAGGUAUUCGGGUUGAUCCAAGCAAAAUUUCAGCAAUUGUUGAUUGGGAGCCACCAAAGAAUGUGACCGAGGGUAGAAGCUUUCUGGGCUUAGCCGGGUAUUACAGACGGUUUGUCAAGGGAUUCUCGAUGAUUGCUUCUCCUAUGACUAAGUUACUGCAGAAGAAUGUCAAGUUUGAAUGGACCGAUAAAUGUCAACAGAGUUUUGAGAAAUUGAAGGCAUUAUUGACUGAGGCGCCAGUGUUGGUGCAACCUGAGUCUGAGAAGGAGUUUGUAAUUUACAGUGAUGCAUCGUUGAAUGGUCUUGGGUGUGUGUUAAUGCAAGAGGGCAAAGUAAUAGCUUAUGCUUCGAGACAGCUGAAACCACAUGAGAAGAAUUAUCCGACGCAUGAUUUAGAAUUGGCUGCCAUUGUUUUUGCUUUAAAAAUUUGGCGUCAUUAUUUGUAUGGUGAGAAGUGCCGAAUCUUCACUGAUCAUAAGAGCUUAAAGUAUUUAAUGAAUCAGAAAGACUUGAAUUUGCGACAACGAAGAUGGCUCGAACUAAUUAAAGAUUAUGAGCUAGUGAUUGAUUAUCACCCUGGGAAAGCUAAUGUGGUUGCUGAUGCCUUGAGCAGAAAAUCUUUAUUUGCUUUGAGAGCUAUGAGUACAAGGUUAGCUUAUUCUGAUGAUGGUUCAAUUUUGGCUGAAUUGAGGGCUAAACCGUUAUUUCUUCAGCAAAUUCAGGAAGCUCAAAAGAUUGACAAUGAAUUGCAAGCCAGGAGAGCUCAGUGUGAAGCAAGUGUUGACUCAGAUUUUCGAAUUGGUUCAGAUGAUUGCCUGAUGUUCCGGGAUAGAGUAUGUGUACCGAGAAAUAAUGAGUUAAUUCGGACCAUUUUAGGUGAGGCACAUAGUGGUGAUUUGUCAGUUCACCCGGGUAGUGUGAAAAUGCAUAAUGAUUUGAAGAAAUUGUAUUGGUGGCCGGGCAUGAAAAAGGAUAUCUCAAAAUUUGUAUCAAAGUGUUUAAUUUGUCAACAAGUGAAAGCUGAGCAUCAAGUACCAUCGGGUUUACUUCAGCCAGUAAUGAUUCCAGAGUGGAAGUGGGACAGUAUCACGAUGGAUUUUGUGAUAGUAUUGCCUUUGACUCCAAGAAGAAGGAUGCUAUUUGGGUAAUUGUUGAUAGACUGACAAAGUCAGCCCAUUUCAUUCCAGUACGCAUUGAUUACUCACUUGACAAGUUGGCGGAGUUAUAUGUUGCUGAAAUAGUGAAAUUACACGGGGUGCCUAAGUCUAUUAUAUCGGAUAGAGAUCCGAGAUUCACUUCGAGGUUUUGGAUAAAGUUGCACGAAGCUUUGGGUACAAAAUUGAACUUUAGUACCGCAUUUCAUCCGCAAACUGACGGGCAAUCGGAAAGAGUGAUUCAAGUUCUUGAAGAUAUGCUCCGGUGUUGUAUUUUAGAAUUUGAAGGCAGUUGAGAGAAAUAUCUACCAUUGGUUGAAUUUGCUUACAACAAUAGCUAUCAGUCAAGUAUACGAAUGGCACCGUAUGAAGCAUUAUAUGGGCGUAAGUGUAGAACUCCUUUGUAUUGGACUGAGCUCGGUGAGAACCGGAUUCAUGGAGUUGAUUUGGUGAAAGAAAUUGAAGAAAAAGUGAAAAUAAUCCGUGACUGCUUAAAGGCUGCUUCAGAUCGGCAAAAGUCAUAUGCGGAUUUAAAGAGGAAAGUGAUUGAGUUUCAAGUGGGUGAUAGAGUGUUUUUGAAAGUAUCUCCAUGGAAGAAGAUUCUAAGAUUUGGCCGUAAAGGCAAAUUGAGUCCACGUUUUAUUGGACCAUAUGAAGUUAUUGAAAGAAUUGGACCUGUAGCUUAUCGGUUAGCUUUGCUGGCAGAGUUAGAAAGGAUACAUAAUGUAUUUCAUGUAUCAAUGUUGCGACGCUAUCGUUCUGAUCCUUCACAUAUAGUUUCUCCUACAGAAAUUAAAGUUCGACCGAAUAUGACUUAUGAGGAGGAACCGAUAAAGAUUCUGGCUCGAGAGGUCAAACAGUUGAGAAAUAAAAGUAUAGCCUUAAUGAAAGUGUUGUGGCAAAAACAUGGAAUGGAAGAGGCUACGUGGGAACCGGAAGAAGUUAUGAGGAAACAGUACCCAAACCUCUUUUCCGGUAAGAUUUUCGGGGACGAAAAUCCCUAAGGGGGGAGAAUUGUAACAGCUCUUCUAGGCCUAGUCGGAAGAGUGGUUUCGGGACCACAAAUCCGACAAGGGAAAAUAUGAUUAUUAUUAUAUUUUUAUGGUCCACAAUUUUACCGAAAAAAUUCAUAAAAAUUUCGUUCGAAAAUUUCGACGUUUGGGCACUCAAUUUAGUGAAAAGGACUAAAUUGUAAAAAGUGCCAAAGUUGAAUUCUACAUGUUAGAAGUGUCUAAUUGUUAUGAGAUUAUAAUUUGGGGGUCCUUAUGUGGUAAUUAGACCAUUAGUCAAUUGAUGGACAAAAAUAGACAUAAGAAAUGGGUGAAAUAUAUUUUUUUUAAAUGGGGGCAUUUUAGUCAUUUGGUAAUAAAAAGAAAUAAAAUGGGAAAAAGAUGGAGAAAUGGUGUCAUCUUCUCCAUAGUUGCUUCCAAAUUUUGGAAGACACCAUAGCUAGGGUUUCUUUGCUUUCUCAAGCUCAUAGUAAGUGCACCUUAGCCCCGUUUUUAAUGUUAUUUGCAUUUUUGAAAUCCUCGUAGCUCGGUUUAGAUUAUUUUAUCAAUAAUUCAUGUUAGGGUUUAUAUUUGGAAAAAUACCCAUAGGUGAAAAGUGUUUAUUUUUCUGUUUUAUGGUGGUAUAUGAAGCUAGAAAUUAUGUUAAACAACUUUUGCUAAGCGAUUUAACGAACGGUAAUUGACAUAAUCGGUAAAAAUUGUUAAUGUUCAAAAGUAUGUGCUAGAGUGAGACCCCUGAUGUUGCCAUAGAAGGAAAAAAUGUUCAGCAUGUCAUAAAACAUAAGAAUAAGUGAUGAAGUUUAAUUUCCGAGCUUGGGGACAAAAGUGUAAUUAUGCAAAAGUUUGGGGGCAAAAUUGUAAUUUUUCAAAAAGUUGAGUGGUGGAUUAUUUCAAUAAAUGUGAACAUUAAAUGAGUUAAAUUUGCCAUUAUAGAUCAAGAAAAACGAGAAGACUACCUCAAACGGGGAAAAGAGAAGAUAGUGGAGUAAAUUGCAAAAUUUCGAUAUUUUGCACCGAGGUAAGUAAACAUGUGAAAUAAUGCAUUAUUUUGAUAUUAUUUGAUAUGUGUUGAGAUUUAUUUGAACAUAGAAUAAAUAUUUGACAAAGAUUCUGAAACAAAAUGUGGCUAAGUGGGGAAAGGUGGUAAAGUGUUGAAAAACACGGUUUCCGGUUGACCACUCGGAAUAGGCCGGAUUACAUUGAAUAAAAAGGGGGUUGCUAAGUGCUGAUUCCCCCAAGGGGUUGCUAAGUGCUGAUUCCCCUAUUCAUUGGUGGAUGCUAAGUGCUGAUUCGACCGUAUUUUAAAUAUGAAGGGGGUUGCUAAGUGCUGAUUCCCCCAAGGGGUUGCUAAGUGCUGAUUCCCCGACUCAUUGGUGGUUGCUAAGUGCUGAUUCCACCGUAUUUUAAAUUAAAAGGGGGUUGCUAAGUGCUGAUUCCCCCAAGGGGUUGCUAAGUGCUGAUUCCCCUAUUCAUUGGUGGUUGCUAAGUGCUGAUUCCACCGUAUUUUAAAUUUGAAGGGGGUUGCUAAGUGCUGAUUCCCCCAAGGGGUUGCUAAGUGCUGAUUCCCCGACUCAUUGGUGGUUGCUAAGUGUUGAUUCCACCGUAUCUUAAAUGUGAAGGGGGUUGCUUAGUGCUGAUUCCCCCGAGGGGUUGCUAAGUGCUGAUUCCCCUAAUCAUUGGUGGUUGCUAAGUGAUGAACCCACCGUAUCUUAAAUGUGAAAGGGGUUGCUAAGUGCUGAUUCCCCCACUCAUUGGUGGUUGCUAAGUGCUGAAUCCACCGAUAACGGUUAACAUUCCGAGUGUUCAAUGAGUAAAUUGGGAAGGUGAAUAUUUAUAUGUGGUGGACAAGUUUAUGGGAGGAAUAUUGGGUUUGAUACUAAAUUGACCCAUGUAUAAGGUGAGAGGAAGUAUCAAAAACUACAAAAGAGCAAAUUAAAUAUAAAACUGUUUUGAACAACAGCAGUUGGGCAAAUUUGAAAAAUCACCAUAAAUGGUGGAAAAUGAAUUGGAGGUUGAAUAAUAUAUGAAAUUAAAGAUGAGUGAGUCUAUUUUCAUAUGAAAGAAAAAUAGAAAACAAAAGAGUUGUAUAUUUGGGAAUAUUUGAAUUUAUUUGAGACAGGGCUGGAUUGAUUUUUGAAAUCCCCUGUUCCAAAUUUGGAAAAUCACAAAAAAUUUUACAAAAAUAAUUAUUGCCUUAAAUUUAUAUGCUUGGAUUCAUUAUUGAAUCUAUUUUUAAUAGAAACAAACGGUAGCAUUUUUUGAAUUUUUUACAGAGAGUUAAGUAAAUUUUAGUAAAGGGAGGUCAGAACCGUCGGGCAGUGAAACAAGGGAAUCUUUAAAGAAUAAAUUGUACUAAUUGGAUACAUCAAAAAUUCUAAAAAUUUUAUGGUAGAAAGUUAUAUGAGUCGAGUUUCGGGGAAAAUUUACGAAAAUUAAUUUGGAGUUCUGUAACGUCAGGUAAAAAUAAAUUAGCGUCGGUGAUGCAGAAAGAUAGUUUGCUGGAAAUUCAACGAACCCUGAAAUUUAUGUGAUUAAAAUUAUGUUGCUAUGAAAUAAUGUGAGAAAUUUAUUUAUUUGUCAUAUGUUUACUUACUAAGCUAUAUGCUUACUCGUUCUUAUUUUCUCUUGAUUGUAGUGACAUCAGCCAGUUUGGAAUUUGGACGAAGUCAGGAAAUCAUCCACACUAUCAUCAACUUUUUGGGUAUUUUGUAAUUAAUAUUUUGAAAUAUGGCAUGUAUAGAUGACUUUAUGUGAAGUGGUACAAAUAUAUAUAUAGUGUUGUUCGGUUUAAUAUGUUGGUGAUUAUUAAUGGAAAAAUUAUGUCUGAACAUAUAUCUGUAAUUGGUUGGAAAUUUGAAGUUGUUUGAAAUUAUUUUUGGAAAGUUGCAGGGGGUUUUAUGUAAAAACAAGCAGAAAUGCUGCCGAAAUUUUUUAUAAAAAAAAUUUAUAAGUGUUUAAGUUCUAGUAAUACCUCAUACUCUGUUUCGGCAAGGAACACGGGUAAGGGGUGUUACAUAAACACCUCAUUCUAUUAUGUGCCUACAACACUUCAUAAUUGACCAUUUACAAACCAACAUCUUAUACCAAAAUGCCAUAUACGUUGAUCAUCAAAAAGUGACCAAAAGAACUUACCUAAACAAGCAUUAUAAGUCCAUCAACCAUACAUAAACAUCAAGGCACAAACAUACCAAAUUACCAUUUACAUAUUCAUCAAAACACCAUUAUAAACUACCCUAUACUUGCCAUUAUAAACCUUGGCCAAAAUGCCCAACAACUAUCGAAUAAAAUGCUAGAUAGUAUGAUAGAUCUCCGACGAGCUUCCAACCAAAUCAAGCUUCCGAUGACCUAAAGAACAUUGAAAAGAAAAUACGUAAACAACGAGUGCUUAGUAAGCUGGUAUAAACUUAAACUAAAUUUACCAUGUCACUUUUAACAAUUCAAAGGUCAAACAAAAAUCAUCACCAAUGCCAUAAGCUUAGUAAAAGCAUAUGUAACAUCACCACAUCACAAGUUAGUGUACUUGCCUAUGAUACAAAUGAAAUCAACCAUAAAAUAUGUAAAUUCCAUAAGUAAAUGCAUCAUUUAGCUCAUAGUUCAUUUUUAUAAGUCAUGAAUCAAUCCAUUUACAUACUUACCCUUUUAGUUCCCUUUUCUUGCCCGUUGAACUAUUUAGAAUUACAUUGGAUACUCGAGAUCCUUUACAUCAUUGCUCACACGAGAUGUGAAAUGGGCCUGCUCACACGAGCUGUGGGUUUGAAUGUAAGCUACAUGAUGCUUCUCACACGAAUUGUGGAGUAUCCGCAACAACUACAGGACCUUAGCCAUCGAUGGGACAUUCAAGACCAGCACCCAAAACAUGAAAUCCCUAAUGACAUGUCAUUUGUAUCCUAAGAAUUCCUAAGGUUCAACUGGGACUCAAUAUCUUUCAAUUCUUCAUAUCAUUGAUACAUCUGUAUAUCGAUUAAUUUACAUUAAAACAACACAAUAAGCAUUCAAUUUAAACUGAAUAUAGUUCAUACGAACUUACCUCGAUGACUAUGGCGUAGAAGUUAGAUCGAAUUAAUCCGAAGCUUUAGCUUUUCCUCGAUCUAAGUCUAAACGUGGUUUAUUUUGAUCUAAAGAGGUAAUUUCAAUCAAUUAAAUAUUUCUAGUAUUUAAUUUAAUCCACAUUUCAUAUUUAUGCAAAAUUACCAAUUUUCCCCUAACAUUUUAACUUUUCACAAUUUAGUCAUUAACCUUAUAACUUAAAAUCUAACCAUUUCAACUUAAAUCCAACUUAACCACAUUUACAAGGGACCUUGAAUUAACCUAUAUUUAUCAAUUUUUCACAGCAAAACAUAUAGUUUCACAUCUUUAACAAAUUAAUCCCUAAUUGCUAUUUUCAUCAAAAAUCACAUAACAAAACUUGUUUAUUUUUCAACAAGGAUUCAUAAUAUACCAAUUAACAUCAAAACCUGUUCAAAAGCAUGCAUGACAUAACCCAACCUUUAACAGUUUUACAAAUUAACCCUUGGGCUAGCUAAAUUAAGCUAAAACGAAUUCAAAAACAUAAAAAUCAUUAAAAACAGGCUUGAAAAUUCACCAUGCAAUGAAUUAUCCCUAACCAAUUUCUCCAAGCUCCUUUAAUGGUGUUUUUAGGUUUUUUGAGUGAAAGAAUAAGAAAGAUGAUAUUUGUCUCAUGUUUUCUUUACUUAUUUUUUUCAUUUAAUUAUUAAAUUACCAUAUUAACCUUUAAUAACUAAAAAAUUUCAUUAAAACCUUGUCCAUAAAUAUCCACUACCCUUUAAAUGGCCUAUUUUCCAUUCAAGUCCUUUAUUUUAAAAUUUCAUAGACAUUAGACCCUUUAACUAAUAGAGCUCAACUUUUAAAUUUUUUUUGAUUUAGUUCUUUUUACAUAAUUAACUAUUUAAACAUCAAAACUUCUUAACGAAAUUUUAAUACAACCUUAAUAUAGCCUCAUAGACCUAUAAUAUAUAAUAAAAUAAUAAUUUAUUCACCAAAAUUUUGGUCCCAAAACCACUAUUUUUUACAUCACUAAAAUCGGGUUGUUACACAAAAACUCCUCCCAACUACCUUGGAAGUCGAUAACACAAGUUCGUAAUAUAUCCUCUAGUAUUUGAAUCAUCCUCUCAGAUUGUCCAUCUAUCUCAGGAUAUAAUGUAGUACUGAAGUCCAACCUAGUACCCAAAGCUUCAUGAAGCUUUCUCCAAAACCAAAAAGUGAAGUGAAGAUCUUUAUCAGAAAUAAUCGAGACUGGAACUCCAUGAAGUCUAAAUCUCAGAAACAUACAACUUAUCCAACUUUUGAAGGGUGUAAUUUAUCUUUACAUGGAAAAUGGGCAAACUUGGUCAAACAAUCCAUGAUGACCCAAACAUAAUCCUUCUUAGUAAGUGUUAAGGGUAGCCCACUAACGAAAUCCAUAGUCAUCUGUUCUCAUUUCCAAAGAGAAAUCUUAACGGGCUGAAGCAAACCUGAAGGCAGUUGAUGCUCAGCCCUAACUUGCUGACACGUCUGUUCUCAUUUACCUCUUCAGUCCUCUCCAACAUAGUCUUAAGACUCUCUUCAAGACUCCCAACAUAGACUAGGUCAAUGAAUAAAUACCAGUCUCUGAAUUAUCGCCACCAGUAGCUGGCGCAACCAUAGCAACCUCUAUCUCCUAAGUAGACACAUGCCCCGGAGAGACUGAAGACUCAUCUAAAGUCCCACUAAGCUAAUCCUCACGAUUAUUCUUAUCACCAGAUUCUAUAAUAACCUCAUGCUUUAAAUAUUAAAAUAUCUACAAUUACAUAACGAAAAAAUUAGAUAUGAUAAUCUAAAACCUUACAGUUCUAAUCUUACAACCUCAGAGUUCCCUACGAACCAACACUGAAGUCUCAGACACUUUGUUUGAAGAAAAGCAAUUUCUAAAACACUGUGGUAUGGUUUUAUCAAAAUACCUCUUUCUAAAUCCAUAAAUACAAACUUGACUAUGAUACCACAAAAUGUAACACCCCAAAACCCAACCCAAAAGUUUUGAUCAGAUUUUGGAGGUCACAUUGGCCACUGGAAUGUCCCGCAACAAAAUACUGAUCAAAUUCCUUGGUUUCAUUUUGAAAAUCUCUUUUUCUCGUGCUUAACGAAAACAAUAUUAAGCUUAUCUUAUGUUUAUCAACAUUAACUUAAUCACCGUAUUGAUUAAUUUAAAACCAAAUCUAUAUUUCCUUAUUAGGCUUGCAAAACAUUUCAGAUUUAGCAAAAUGUCAAUCGAAAUUUCAAAAUCAGUUUUGCAAUGGAGAUUUUGACAUUUAUCUACUAAUUGAAGUUUAUAAAAUUAUGCAUUUAAAAAUUUGACUAAAAAAUAGGAAAACUGUUAUUUGACCAAAAUCCAUGCAUGAAAUUAUUAAUCUAACUCAAAACGGAAAGCCCUCAACUUUACGAGUCCAAAAUCAAAACCCACAACACAGUUCAUAUAAACUUAUUUAUAAUCUGAUUAAAUUAAUUUAUUAAAUCUUAAGAAAAACUUAUAAAGCCAAGCAAAAAAUGAGAAACUCAGAGAACCCCGAUUCACUGAGCCCGAGACCUAACCUCGCGAAUUACCUGAAAAGGGAAAACUAAAGGGGUGAGAUACAAAGCUUAGUGUGAGUCUAAAAAAAUGUAAUUAAACCAAGCCGAACAAAACAUAGUAACACACAGUCACUCAAACUUACAAAAGCAAAAUUCGGAUCACAAACAGAUAUCAUAUCAGAGUAAAGCAUCACAAAGCUUAAACAUUAAUCAGAUGUACAAAUAUAAUAUAAAAAUGCAAUAUGGCACAAACUCCAACCUAUCCAACUGCUACACACCAACUUCAUCACCCAUGUCACACCAAUAAGGGUAUACUAGACCCUUUUGCAACGUCUACACACCAAUAUUGGGUUAUGAUGGACCUAUCCAACUGAAACACACCUUAAUAUGGUCAUUUUCCACUUGAACUAUUACAAAUUUACCACCAAAUUAUAAUAAUUCAAUGAAAUUGCUAAAUCGAUCUUUCUUUUCUUCAUAACCAAAUCCUAACCACAAAUACAAUGCAGAUGAAAAUGGUAUUAUGCAUACGAACAAACAGAAUUGGACAUACUCAUUUUUAUUUUCCAUAAUCAAUAUACAUAUUUACAGCCAGUUUAGUUUAGCUAAAAUCAGAACCAGAGAAACUCGUAUUUAAUUACUAAGUAGCGGUAACAGAAAUAUACACAACUUCCAUUUAUCACAUAAUAUAAGCACUUAAGCGAACAAUGAAAUUUAAUCUUAUAAAUACACAAACCUGAAUAAAUUCAAGCUGUAAUUGUAUCCCAAACACUUCUAUAAAGGCUUAGAUGCGCAAGAAAUCAACCAGUGACUAAAAUGAAUCACUUAAUGAACAAGGACUAAAAACUGCAAAAACAAAACCACACGGCCGUAUGGCUGAGAGACAUGCGUGUGUGACUGAAAUACAAGUUUGUGAGGGUAAAUUGUGUAAUUCUUUGACCCCAUGUAACAAAAUUCACAAUUACAAGCAAGAAAGAUACGACCGUGUGGCUGAAAGGCACACCCGUGCAACUAAGGCAUACAACCGUGUGGCUGAGAGACACGUCCGUUUGCAACCUACAAAAUUCCUAAUAGAGGUCACACGGCCGUGUGGUCGGCCCAUGUGAGGCACUCCAAGCCAUGUGACAAAAAAAUUAGCCUAAUUUCUAAAGUGACACACGACCAUGUGGUUCAAAAACCACCCCAAAUCCUACAACAAUUCAUGAAAAUCAGCAUUAAAAAACCCCAAAUUAAAUGUGUUUAAGAACACACGCCUGAAAUGCGCUUCCAAAAUACUAUGAAUCGACCGAAACACCUCCAUAAAACUAAUCUAAAACUCGAUUAUACAAAUAUACAAAGACUAAGAAAGUUACCGAUCGUAAUAGGAUAGAAAGAUACAAAAACAAUUUACUAGAACUCAAAUAAUAGUACGUACCCUUUCCUCCCUUAAAAUCCUGAUUAAACAAAGGCCAAAGAGUAAGCAAAGCCUUAAAAAGCGGUGAUUGACGACAAUGUUGGAACAAAUGAAGCAGCACCAAAAUUAUUAGAGCUUUAGAGUAUGGUCACAGUAGGACAAAGAGAAACACAAAAUAAAAGAAAUAAGGAAGAUGGUGAAGGAGUAAAUGCAGUAGCAACAAGAGUCCAAAAAAUAGAAAUGAAGACAAAAUGUGAAGUGUAAGAUUGACGUGAGAGAAACUAGGAAACAAAGUGAGAGAAUUUUGGGUAAAAUUUAUAAAAUUAGAAUUCCCAGUCAACCUACUAACCCUAAAUUCAAUUUCAAUUAAAUUCAACCACUUAACUACGCAUUAGAAAGGAACAAAAAGAAUAAUCCCCGAUUACAUGCGUAGGGAUUUGAACAUUGGACUAUGGGCUAAGCUAACACACAUCUUACCACCGAACCAGCAAGCUCAUUCUAUUCUUAAAAUGCAAAAAUUAACUUAAAAGUUCAUCCAAGCCACUAACCCAACCAACAAACCUUAAUACUUCUCACCCCAAAUUAUGGAUGUCACAAUAAAUAAUAAUAGAAAUUGUAUAAAAGAAUAAUUGAAUUAAGUGGAUCAAUCAUCUGAUUUUAUGGAUAUUGAUUUAUCUAAUAAAUAAUUUAUUUGGAUUGGCAAGAUAAUUGAUAACUCUUGAAAAGGUUUAUAUUUUGAACCUCUAAGCUUGAUUAAAUACCUCUACUUAAGUAGAUAUAUUUGCAUUUUUAGGUUAUUUUUACAACAUUGUAUAAUACCACUUGGAUUGUGCCUUAAAUGUCAUUUUAUGCUACUUUUACUGUUGGGAAGGGAAUUGGCUGUUCUAUGCAAUAGGUGUAGGAAAGAUGAAGAAAAGGAGAAAAAGGAGGAAGAGAAUGAAGAAAGUGAAAUAUUGCCAUGGCAAAAGGUUGGAUGGAUUGCCAACACAAAUGCCAUGGCAAUUUCAAGAAAAUACUGACGCAACACUCAGUCCUCGUCACUCACAACCAACAAGGCGUGUACCAGAUAAAUCCACCUGAAAAAGAGGGAGAAAAGUAUGUGCUGAGAGAGAGGGACCUACCCAAUAAAAGGGAAGAAAAAAUAAUAAAAAAAGAUAAGGAUUUUAGAAAAGGAUUUUGGAGGGGGAUUUGGAGAGCAGUUUUCUCCCCGGAAAAACUCGUGAAAAUUUUUAGAGAAAAGGGAGAGGUAGAAGCUUGAGAGGAGAGAAGAGAUGUAAGGAAAGGGACAAGCAAUCAGCCUUAGGUCCUGCACGAUUCUACAACGUCGAAGUGAAAGAUGGAGUGGCGAAAGCUUCCUGCAAUUCUACCUGCAUUCUGUUACUUAAUUUCUAUGAUUUCUAAACUGUUAAUCAUGAUGUUGAAUGUUAUUCUGAUUUUGGAUUUUAAAUCCCAACCCAUGAACUAAUUUCAUUUGGGUUGGAAUUACUGGAUCUAUCUUGAUAUCUUUAAUGAUCAUGGUGAUAUUUUGAAUAGAUCUGCUGUUUUAUUUGGUUUGGUUUAUUUUAAAUAUAUGCUUGCAAGCUUUAUAAAUAGAUGAAUGCAUGGUAUAUCAUUAGAAUUUAUUUAAUUCUAAAAAUUUUAAAUAAGUUAUAUCGUAAUCGAAUGAUACAAGCGAGUACUCGAGCGAAUACUCGUAGCACUCUAAACAUAGAGUUGUGAUCUGUACAAAGUAAGGAAGAAUAUUGUUAGGUAUUGUUCUUGAGACAUGUAGACAUACAAAGACAUAGAAUGAUAGCUUUAAUUCUAGCUCUCGAAAGAAGCAAAAUGCAGUAGUUAUACUCUGAACAAUAAUUUGGUCAAGAUUUAGCCAUGACAUUAUUAUGUUAUUAAGAUAUAAUCCAAGUAAUUCCAGCCUUCCCAUUCAACAGCAUCAAUCCUAUCAACUUUGUCUCAUAGAAUUACCACUGUAUUUUAUUCAUUAUUUGAUUUUAUUAAUUCAUACAUUAAUACUUCACUUCAAAUCAUUAUUCUGUUUACUUUGCCAUAAGCCUAAUUAGUAUAGUUUAUAGUAAUAACUUAACCAUAUUUUUACCUAUUUCGAUCCUUGUGGAGACAAUCUCACUUGUCACUUUAUUACUUGAUUCACUUUAUUUUUACCUAUUCGCAUUAGAUACUCACACAUGACAAGUUUUUGGCGCCGUUGCCAGGGAUUGGCAAAUUGGUGAAUUUUGAAUUGUUAUUAUUGAUUUAAUUUUUUUUAGUUUUAGCUUACUUAGUUGUUUUUUAUUCUUUUUCAGGUUUGUUGUUAGUUUAUGAAUAAAGGCAUUUUCGAGAAUGAAGAGUAUUAUUUUGAUCAUGAACUUGAGAGAACCUUGAGAAGAAGGAAAAAGAAUUGCGAUAAAUGGUAAUGAUUGGAAUUGAUCCAAGCAAAGAAGAUCCAUUACAUUUGAAUGGUAGGAAUGUUGAUAUUUCUCGUGUGAUAGAUGAUAGAGAUAGACCUAUUAGAGAACAUGUAGUGCCUAUUUUGGAAUAUUUAAAUCCAGGGAUUGUCAGGCCACAUAUUCAAGCUUAGCAUUUCAAGUUGAAAUCGGUGAUGUUUCAAAUGCUACAAUCAGUAGGACAGUUCAGUGGAUUACCUACUGAAGAUUCACAGUUGCAUUUAAGACUCUUUUUGGAGGUCCAUGAUUCAUUCAGGCAAUAGGGUGUUCCUAAAAAUUCCUUGAGACUCAAGUUAUUUUCUUACUCAUUACGAGAUCGUGCCAGAGCAUGGUUGAAUGCUUUGUCGUCAGGAAUGGGGGCAUCUUGGAAUGAAAUUUGUCAGAGGUUUUGUUGCAAUAGAAUCCUCCAAACAUUAAUGCCAAAUUAAGGAAUGAUAUUACCUCUUUUUGGCAAUCUGAAGAUGAGACAUUGUAUGAAGCUUGGGAGCGAUUCAAGGAAUUGAUUAGAAAAUGCCCGAUGCAUGGUUUUCAACAUUAGACACAAAUGAAAAUGUUUUACAAUGGAUUAAAUACACAUACACGAAUGGUAGUUGAUGCAUCUACCAAUGAGACUUUGCUAGAUAAAUCAUAAAAUGAGGCAUAUUAAAUUCUGGAAAGGAUUGGAUUAUUUUAAAUAUAUGCACGCAAGCUCUAGACAUAAAUGAAUACAUGGUAUAUCCUUAGGCUUGAUUUAAUUCUGAAAAGGUUAAAUAAGUUGGAUCGUAAUCGAAUGAUACAAGCGAGUACUCGAGCGAAUAAUCGUAGCACUCUAGAUUUAGACUUGUGACCUGUACAGAGCAAGGAAGAAUAUUGUUAGGUAUUGUCCUUGAGACUUCUAUACAUACAAAGACAUAGAAUGAUAGCUUUAAUUCUAGCUCUCGAAAGAAGCAGAAUGCAGUAGUUAUACUCUGAACAAUAAUUUGGUCAAGAUUUUUCCAUGACAUUAUUAUGUUAUUAAGAUAUAAUCCAAGUAAUUCCAACCUUCCCACUCAACAACAUCAAUCCUCUAAACUUUGUCUCGUAGAAUUGCCAUGGCAUUUUAUUCAUUAUUUGAUUUUAUUAUUUCAUGCAUUAAUACUUCACUUCAAAUCAUUAUUCUGUUUACUUUGCCAUAAGCCUAAUUAGUAUAGUUUAUAGUAAUAACUCAUCCAUAUUUUUUCCUAUUCUGAUUCCUAUGGAGACGAUCUCACUUAUCACUUUAUUACUUGAUUCGACGUGUAUACUUACACAUUCGCAUUACAUAUUCACACGUGACAAUAAUUGAGACUUUCUUCAAUUCAGACACAAUUUCAUACCAAUAUAAAAACAAACUCUAUUAUAUCUUAUCUGAUUAUACAUCAAUCAUACCUUAUUCACCAAAAAAAGAAAAAUAUCAAUCAUUGUUAACAUAAAAAUUAUUUUGUUACUUACUAAUUUUAGUUAUUUUUAACAAAUUGUUAUUUCUCUUUGUCUUCAUCAUUCUUUUUAAGCUUAAAAGAUGUAAAAAGUCCUCAAACUUUUUCUAAAAAAGAAGUAAUUACGCCCCUAGUUUCUUUUCACUCAAUUGGGUACUUAAUCUUUCAAAAUGCAUAAAAAAUCCCUCAAACUUAAAAAAAAAAAACACACAAUUAAACCUCUGCAUUUUUUUUUGCACUUAACUGGGUACUUGAAUUCCCAAAAUGCAUCAUAAAGGCCCUUUGAAUAUUAAUUUUAACAGUUGACUGUUAAAGUCAACCACCCCUAAUUUUUUCCAGUUAAACCCACCAUGUGUUACAACCACAACGUAACAUGUGACAAAAAAUGAUAAAAAAAUAAAAUUCAAUAAAAUUUAUUAAAUUUUAAUAAAAAUUAUAAAAAUCAAAAAAUUGAAAAAUUUUAUAAAAAAUAAAAUAUAUAGAAAUAUAGAAAAAAAUUAUAAAAUUUUAUAAAGUAGUGAGAAAAUUAUAGAAAAAUUGUAAAGAACUAUAAAAUUCGUAAAAAAAAUUAUAAAAAUUAUCGUAUCAAAAGAAGCACUCUAUAAUUUUUCUAUAGCUUUUAUUGAUUAUUAUUUUUUUUAUAAUUUUCACCACAUGCCAUGCUGUGUUGCGACAUGUGAUGGCUUUAACUUAAAUGGUAUCUAACCCUACUUUGAUAAUCACAUUUCUUUGGUUAUUUUUUGGGUAAAUUACACCAACAAUCACUCAACUUUGAUGCAGCUGACAAAACAGUCACUCUGAUUUCAAUUCAGUCACUCUGAUUUGAAUUCAGUCACUCAACUUUCAAAAAAUAACAAAUUAGUCACUAACGUUAUCAAAAAGUGACAAAUCAGUCACUCGUUAACAUUUUCUUUUACGGCCUGAUGGGACAGGUGACGUGGCCAGUUAACUAGUUGACAUGGCCAAUUAACUUGCCACGUUGGACGAGCCAAAAUUUCACUUCAGUCACUCAACUUUCAAAAACUAACAAAUUAGUCACUAACGUUAUUGAAAAGUGACAAAUCAGUCACCCAUUAACAUCAUUGUCAAAAAGUUACAAAUCAGUCACUCAUUAACAUUUUAUGUUACAGGCCUAAUAGGACAGGUGACAUGGCCAAUAAACUAGUUGAUGUGGCUAGUUAACUUUCCACGUUAGACGAGGCAAGGUUGAGUGACUAUUUUUUUCGUCUUUCAUUUUUCGUCUUUUUAAUAAAUGACCAAUAUUUUUAUUUUUUACAUAAAUGGCCCAAUAUGUUUAUAUUUCUUCUUCCCUAUCUCAACAAUCUAGUCGUCACCGCCUCCACCACAACCAUCUUUGGCAUCACCACUAUUGACUUCCACAUCACCACCCUAUCCGUUUUUUUUCUUUUUCAACCCCCAAUAGAGGAGCCACCACGGUUUCAAUACGACUGUCUUUUUCUGCUACUCAAAGCCAUUAACUUUGAAAAAACCAGAUCGAAAUAGGAUUGGAGACAAUUUUGGGUCAAAAUAUCAGCUCCCACAACCAAACCGGUGAGGAGAAAAUCUUCCAAAGCAACAUUCAAGUGACUCAAGAACCAAAACAACUCGGAUUUGUUAAGAUCUCCAUGAGAUAUGAUGAUAUAAUCAAAAAGGUCAUCAAUUAAGCUAAACAACACUAACUCUAUUGCCAACAUUAUCAAGUUGUAUAAAACAAAAUCAAAAGAAAAACAAGGGGAACAUCUAGACAAACCAAAAAAUUGAUUAAACCCAUGAUUUUCGGGAACAAAAGAAGCAAUUCCUCCAAAGGGACACCAAAUACCGAUAAGUGGAAUUAUGAGUCGGGUCAGUGAUUAGCAAGAACCUAAAGUCAAAAUCGGACUGGGUAUUGUAGCAGAGGAGGAUGAAAGAUGGAUUAGAAGAAAAGUAGCGGAGAUGGUCGGCAACGAAAGUUGGGGUUGAGGUGAGGUAAGCCCAGUCCUUGGAAAGGGAUUUGAAUUAGGUCACGGACCUAAAGGGUAAUCUAGAAAGGAUAUCGAAAAAGGUAGUUUGGGGUAAUGACAAUAAGGAAGCCAUGGUUCUUAGCUUUCUUCUUAAACAAGAAGAAUUUAUUCAAUGGUUUUAUUUCUUCUUCUUUUUGGGUGUCUGGUUUUCUGAAAGUUUGUAGGACUGAUUUGUUAUUUUUUGAAAGCUGAGUGAUUGAAUGGAAAGUUGAGUGAUUGUUGGUGUAAUUUACCCUUAUAUAUAUUGGGUUCAAAAUAACGUGGUAAAUGGUUAAAUGUCAGGUCACUUUUCUAUUACGUUUGUAACGAAAAAUGGUUAGUAUUUUUUGAAAGUUGAGUGACUGAAUUGAAAUCAAAGUGAUUGUUUUGUCAACUACAUCAAAGUUGAGUGAUUGCUGGUGUAAUUUACCCUUUUUUUUUGGAUGAAAAACUUUAAAAUAAUAAAUCUCAUAUUGUUAAAGAUAUGUGACCCAAAUUCUUGUUAAAUAAAAAUACAAGAGGCAAGACAAGGGGAUCUACGAGGGUGAAGGCCCCAGCCCAUCGUAGAUCCCAAAUAAGCAAAAUACUGGGGUGGGGUCGCAAUUGGGGGUGUAGGGGCUGGAAGCCCUCGCGGUAUGGUACAAGCUGCACAAGUGAAAUUCGUAUAAAAGUAUGCUUCAUUUAUUUGAUGUUGAUUAGAAUAAGGUGCUUUAACCUUACUGCAUUACUUCUAUUUGACUUUAAUUAGAAUAUGGUUUUGCAAACCUAUAAAUAGACGUAGUGGUCUCUCCUCUUAUAUCAUUCGACUUCGACUUAGUGAAUUUUCUUCUCCUCUAACCGUGGUUUUUUCCCAAAAGGGUUUCCACGUAAAAUCUUUGUGUUCUAUUUUUCUCUCUUUUCUUGCUAUUAUCGACAUUCUAUUUUUACACGUAUGAUUAAUCAAAAAUAGUGUUUUAAUUUAUUGUGAAAUUUAUACUUAAUAAAAUAUAUAGGUAAUGGAUGUUUCAAAUGCAUAUAUAAUAUUUCCUAUUUAAGUUUUUUUACCGUUAACUAUUUUAUUUUAUAAAAUAUAUAUAUAAAAUAUAUUUGCAAAUGCAUAUAUAAAAUAUAUUUGCAAACUUAGAACUUAAUUAACAUCCUUUUAUGAAUUAUACACUUGUAAAUAUUCACUAUCUCAUUUUCUUCAGCUCAAAUGAGACAAAGCAAGUUAGCAUUUUUCCCUUGGGAAAAAGUUUCAUUGAAACUCAAAUAUCUCCCCUGAUAUUAGGUGUUGGUUGCCUUUGUAGUUUGCAGUCUCUCAAAGUCCCUGGUUUCAGGUUAGCAUGCCAAAGUACAUUGUGCUUGAUGAAAUUUGCGAUUUAAAAGUCGAGUUUUUAUUCAAUAUAGAUUGAUAUGGGAAUAUGUGGUUUCACCUCAGAAUCACCUUGUUAUGACGAUAUUUUUAUUUGAAUUGUUCAUAUGUACUUGAAUUUAGUUCAUCACAACAAACAUGUUUCCCCUCCUCAUGCAAGAUAAAGAACUAAUCAAUAAACUGUGUGGAAAAACUCUAUUUUUUUUUGUGAAAGAAAAACUAUCUCAUUUAAAUGUUUGUUUUGGUAUAUUUAUAUGAAAGAGACACCAUUCAUGUUUAGGUCACAGAAAAUUGUGAGAGUGGAGGGUAUGUAGAAACAAUAUUAUCAUUCCCUAAAAGAUCUAAAGCAUAUUAUUGUAUUGAAUAUUCUUAAUUUUUCUGAUAGGGUGGGGGGUUGGGAUUUUAAUUUUGCUCUGCUUGAUGUGUUUGUUUUUCAAGUUUAGGUAUUUUCUGAGGAAACUGAAGAAGGUGGAGAAGAGUAAUGCACAAGUUGUAGCUAUCAAUGAGGUAUUUUUGGCCAAUUAUUUUGACUAGUUGAUUUUAUUACAAUUUAAUAGGAUGACUUUGCAAAAUCAUGGAAUUGAAUUGAUUCAGAUUAUGAUGGAUUUAUUUGACCUGUAAGAAGGGCAAUGAUUUAUUUGAGAUUGUAACGCCCCAAAAUUUUAAUUUUGGGUAUUGUGAAUGUAUGACACAAGCAUCUGUUAGUUUUAGUGGUUAUGUGUUCUGGGAGUGUUUGGGAUCCCAAGUUCAAGCCAUUACUUGGGCAAAUUUAGGUAUUAUUAUGAAUAAGCCCUAUCUUUGGUCAGUAGGCUUUUAAGUAAAAGUUGGCAAAAAAUUAAUAGAAUGGGUCUGCUGGUUUGGUGGAUAAGUGGAGUGUUAGUGUAAGGGAGGUCAUGGGUUCAAAUCUUUGGGACGGCAAAGGUUGUAUUUUUGCUCCUAAUUUCGGCAAGAAUUGUGUUGAACUGGGUUUCUGAGUGGUGGAUGUGUAGUGGGAAGUGAGAGAGCGAUUUUAGGAGUGAAUUAAGGGAUUAUGGGGGAGAAUAUCCAAAAUCUGAUCACUUUUUUUCCUUUUUCAAAAAAAAAAGAAAGAAAUUCAUUUUUCUCUCCAUCUUUCUAACAUUUUCUCUCCCCCAUCUCUACCAAAUUUUUUCUUCCUUUCUUCUUACUCAAUUAUCUUUUCUUUUCUUUCCUCUACUGUCGAAAUUCCCUUGUUUCCCCUAAAUCAUUCUUUCCGCUUGAUUUUGUAGCGUUAAGCAGCACUUGUGCAAAUUCAGUAAGUUGUUGGGUAUUAUUUUAAGAGAUUAUUUUGUCUCCAAUAGUCUAAUUCUGGGGUGUCUGCAGUAGCAUUUCACGAGGAUUAAGGCUCUCCUUGUGAUUUUCGUAAACGUACUGAUUUGAAGUUUUUGCGGUAAGUGUUCAUUGUUUUAUGGGUAAGUAUUUUAGUUUUGGGAUUUUGAUUAAUCGUAAGUAAGACUGAUUACGGUGUUAUUUGUUAAAUUAUAGGCUUUGGAGUGCUCGGGGACUGUUUUAGCAUCAAACAAAACCAGGUGUGUACCCGAAACACAAAAAUAAGGGAUUCGGCGAAAAGCCGAAAUUACUUACUGUUUAGACAGCAGCAGUAGGCUAACUUUAAAAAAUCACCAUAAAUUGUGGAAAACGAAUUAGAGGAUGAUGAAAGUAUGGGAUUAAAUAUAUUUAAGUCUAGUUUCUCAUAGAAGAAACGAAGUCAGCAAAAGAAUUUCAUAUUAUGAGAUAUAUGAAUUUUAGUGAGACAGGGUCAGAAUGAUUUUAGAAUUCUCUGUCCUGAAUUUCAAAAAUUAUUAAAAAUUGUAUAAAAAUAAUUAUGGGUUAGAAUUUAUAUUUUUAAAAUCCUGAAUAAGUAUAUUUUCAAGAAAAACAAACGGAAACAUCAUCCAAAUUCUGUACUAGAAUAUAAUUAAAUUUUAGUGCAGAAAGGUCAAAACUGUCAGAUAGUAGAACAAGGGAAACUUUAAAGAAUAACUGUACUUAUUGGCUAAACCAAAAAUUCUAAAAAUUUUAUGGUAAGAAGAUAUGUGAGUUUGGUUUCAAGGAAAUUUUGCAGAUCUUAAUUCGAAAUUCUGUAGCUUAAGAUACAAAUAAUUUAGUAAUAGUGACUCAAGUAGACAACUUUGAAGGAUCAUAUAAGUAAAUAGUGGAGACACAUAUGAAUAAUUAUCUAGCAGGGGUUACAAUAAAAUGGAUCACGAGGCCAAGGCCAAUUUGGGCCAUAUGGGCCAUACAGACAUGUGGGCCUACAUGGGAGAACAUCAUGGUCUUGUAGGCCCAUUUUCACUAUUUUAUUGCUAAGGUUGCACGGGUCGUCCAAGUCGACUGUGGACCUACUGUAGGGUCAGUAAGCUUACCUAGACCCCUAAUUGACUGAAAUGACUGUAUGACUGAUAUGAUUAAGCCUGAUGAUGUCCCACUGAUUUGAUACUGUAUGCCCUGUUUACAUGCAUGAUAUUAUGUUAUAGCAUGUCAUAUCUGUAUAUUGCAUUGCAUUGGGUUGGAGAUUAUAAUGUUCGAAGGAAGUGUACUGAAAGGCCUUGAGCCUAAUUUACUGGUAGCUCAGCUGCAAACUACUGUCUAGUGUCGCAUUCAGUACUACUUGGAGUGUAGGGAUGGGUGGGUUGAUUAUAUCCCUGCAUGGAGUGUAGGGUUGGACGAAGAUGGUGUGUAGAGGCUGGAUGGGUAGGAUAUUUGUAACUGCAUAUCUGUUAUUGCUACUGAUAUUGUGAUGGGCUAAAGCCCUACUGCAUGACUAUUUUUGUACUGAGAUGGGCUAAGGUCCAAACUUGACUGAUACUGAUAUUGAAAAGGGCUUAAGCCCAGACUGUGAUUAUUUGUUUACUGUCUGUUCAUUUACAUGGGGAUUACACACUAAGUUUACGUAAACUCACCCCUUCUAUUUAAUCUAUACAGGUAAUCCCCAGAUAUAGGCGUAUCGGUGCAGCAGAGGACUCAAUGGUGGCCACACGACUUCUUUUACACUGUUUACUACCUAUUUAUGAUUUUACUUUUAUUUGGGGGUAUUUUGCUGUAAUUAUGGCAAUUACGAAUUUUAGUUUAAAAUUUGGAUUUUAUAUGGUUUUAUGAUUUAAAUCUGCUAGUGUUAGGUAAAACUCAAGUUUUCAAAUGAAAUUAAUGUUUUAUAAAAAAAUACCACGAAUAAGCAAACUAUUUAAAAGCUUCCGCAAUAAAAAUAAAAAAAAACAUUUUAAAAUUGAAUAACGAUUUGUAAAUUAAUAAUGUUUUGAAAAUGAACGACACGAUUUGAAGUUAACAUAAAAUAAUAAAAAAAUGGUUAAAUAGAAAAGAGAAUUUAGCGACGACAUAUUUUUUCGAAAAGCACUACCAUGUGACAUCGUCAUAUUCGGCCAUAACGUCUAGGCCAGGUUUGGGGUGUUACAAAGAUUGUUAAGAUUUUGUAGGAAUAGCAACAUUAGCCAAAAUAAAGGAAUGUACUUUUUAUUUAGAUUGUGAUAAUCUUGUAAGCAAAGCAACUAUUUGAGGAAAUUUAUGGGAUUUUCUCCCUCCUUAGGUUUCUAUUUGAGGAAAUUUAAAGGAGAGUAACGACUAGACCUGAUCAUGGGUUGGGCCACCUGGCUCGGCCCGAAGGCCCACCCUAAAUGUAGGAGGGUUUGAGCAAAAAUAUAGGCUCGAAAAAUGGGCUUGGACAAAAAAAUAAGGCUCGUAUAAAAAAUGGGUCGGCCCUCGGGUAAGGUAUUUUUGGCCCAGGCCCGGCCCGGCCCGACUCGAAUUCACUAAAGGACAAAAAAAUUGUUCUUUUUUUUAAUGUUAUUUUCUUGUUAUUUUCUCCCUAUUUUGCUACCAUUUUUACUAUUAUGUUGCUACUAUUUUGUUGUUAUUGUUUGGAUAUUGUAUAAAACUUAUUUUAUUUUAAAUUUUAUUAUUAUUUUAAAGGCAUUUGUUAAUUUUGGUAUUACUUUAGAGGCAUUUGCUUGUUAAGUUGCAUCUAUCUUAGUGUUAUUUAAGUCUACAUAUUUUUUAAAAUUUAUUUUCAAUUUGUUGGGAAAUAUUUAUUUUGAUGUUUUUAGUAUUUUUGAUGUAUUAUAUAUAUUUAAAAAUUAUAUAAAAAUAAUAUAAAGAUUAAUACGGGCCUGCUGGUUCGGACCCAAAUUUUAAUAUUUUUAUCCGGGUCGGGCUUGAGCAAAAUUUUAGACCUAUUUUUCAGGUCGAGCCGAGCGAGGACCUAAUAAAUGGACCUAAUUUUUUAUUUGAACUUGAUCCAGUCCGACCCAUAAACCCCUCUAGUCACGACCAUCACAAGAAAUUCUGUCGAGAGAUUGAAUGAUUUUGAAGACCUUCCUCUGCAAACACGUUGGGAUUUCAAAAUACUUCUUAGUUUCUGGUUCAGAAAUUGAUUGAUGACAAAAAGUAUGUUAUCUAUCCUUUCCUUUAUUAUCUUCUUUUCAUUUAAAUAUGUAUUCAGUUAUUAUUUGUGCUUAUUAUAUAUUUCAUUAAUUAUUUUCUUCAUUUCUCUUUUAUUUCAGCAUGAUUGUUUUGUUAUAAUAUUCAUUUUUAUAUCUAAGCUGUCUUGGUAUUGAUGUCACCAAUACCAAUCAUCUUAUUUUGUAGACUUUUUUUUUUUUUUACAUUAUUAUCUAAUAGUGAUUAAACAUCCAUAUAAUGUGCCAUUCGACUUUUAAAUUUAUUUUCAUGUUUUCUACCCAAAAUCUUAACUAAACCCGAGAAAUAAAUUAUAAACAAAGAAUAUCUCUUAAAAGACUAAUUCACAACAGUAUAUAGGCCAUUCAAAUGAUUUUACAUCACUUAAAAACUUCAAAGAAAUAAUUAUACAAGUGGAUGCAUGAGAAAAUAUGAGAAAUACAAUAAAAAGAUUGGAAUUAUGCACAGUAAACUUUGUAAGCUUGUUUUUUUGUCUUGUUUGAGUGUUUUUGAACUCUAUUUAUAUCCUCUUGAUGAUUUGUAGUUGUUAGAGACAUUAAUUCGAGCAUUAAAUACAAUUGUAGGGGCAUAAGUAUUGGUACAUUGAUCUUUGCAGUCCGAUUCCUCCCUUAAAAAUAUGAUAGUUGAACCUAUGAGAAUCGCAUCAAAGAUGGAAGGGGUUCAAUACGUCAUUAGUGUAGCUUUUAAAGAAAUUAUCGUUUACUCUCUCUUUUCUCGAUUUUACUUUAUUUUUAGUUUCUAAUUUUAAAACUUAUACAACAAUAUUUUACUUUUCUUUAAAAGGUUACAUAAGAUUUUACAUGUCAUUUAAUAGUUAAAUUAACAGUUUUAAUAAUAGCAAUACCUAAUUGAUGUAACAUCGAUAGUUUGGAUAUGUAAUUAGAAUGCUUUGAAAUUUGGGGACCACUUUAAAAUGAGAGACAUAGUUUGAGGAUGUCUGGUGCAAUUAACUCAAAAUUUUAUGAAUAAUUUAGGAAAAAGGAUAAAUAUCAAAUUUACACAUGAACUUUGGUCUAAUGUGCAAUUUGAUACAUAAACUUCAAUUACACACCUGAAACUUGAAUUGUGGUUCAAAUAUAUACAUGAAACGUUGAUUUUGAUUCAAUUAUACACAUUUAAAAAAUGAAUACAUACAUUUAUUUUCAUAUGUAUGGCAUUACACUUUAGAUCAAACAUCAUGUAUAGCUUUGAUAUUAAUACCAUUAGUAAUUAUAUAAAAUGAAAUUAGUUUUAUCUAUUUUUGGCCAUUCUAAUAAUUAACAUUCACCGAACCUAAUUUUCAAUAAUUAUAGGAUUAGCAAACUUAAAAAUCGUAUGAUUAGUGGCUAAGUUUAAAAUUAAAAGAGAAUUAAUUGUCGUAUGAUACGGUAAUUUACUAGUAUUAAUACACUAAUCAUGAUUACAAACAUAUUGCAUCUCGCCAUUCCUAAUCACAUUUUUUCUCCCUUUAAUUUUUUUUAAAAAUUAUUGCUUAAAAGAUACAGGGACCACAUUUCAAAACAAAAAUGACACGCCAACUUGUUGUUCUUGCUUUGGUUUUGAUUGCCCUUGCUGGUCUAGUUUCUGUCGACGCUUCACCCGCCAGUGGCAGCCCUGCAAGUGCACCAGCUGAAGCUUCUAUAGAUGGUAGUACUGCUAGUUCCUCCCCUCCUUCUCAAGCUACCACUCCAAGUCGUAGCAGUGGUGUCACUUUUGACCUUGAUAGAUAGAUAGAUCAAAAAUAGAACGAUCAAGUUAAAUAUAAUAAGUAAAUAAUUGUAUCAUUUGGACUAGUGAGUUGGUUGUUUCGCUGUAGAGUCAUAUUCAUAAGGUUCAUCCAUAGAAUGAUUCUCAGGGAAAUGCCGACAAAUCAUUAAACAAUUUGCAAUUUUAAAAAAUCGUGGGGUUUGGGCAAAUAAAUAAUUAUUUCUAUAAAUAGAAUGUUAUUUUUUUUCAUUGAGUUUAUGAACUGCUUUUCAAAUAUAUAAAUUCACUUACAACAUUAUACUCUUAAAAAAAUCUACUAAAACUAGUAGAUUAGUGAAUUGUGUGUUUUUGUUUUUUUUUUUUUUUUUUUGAAUUUUGAAUUUUGAAAGGAGGGUAAAGCCUUAACAAUAAUACGACUAGUGCGAUUUGAAUUCAGAUCACAUUUGGAGCGAUGGACACCUUAACCAUCAAGUCAACACACUUAAUUUGGUGAACUGUGUUUUAAGUAUUAAUUAUAAUAAUAUUUAAAGCAUUAAGUGAGUAAACAAAGAAAGAAGCCACCGGUGAUUGGGAAUAGCGGUUGGAAUAUGGUAUUUGUAAUGCUCCCAUUAUGUAGUAAUUUUUAUAUUAAGAAAAAAAAGAAAUAUUGGUCAACAAAUCUAAUUUAUUUAACUAAUGGAAGGUGGACUUUUAAGUGAAAAUUUUCAUAAAGGCAUCGAUAUGGAAAAUUGAAAGAGGGCUUGCCAUUCUACAACCUCGCUCAAUUCAGAACAUGUCCAUGUCUAGUUUAAGAAUUUCUUAAGACUCCAAGGACCAGCUCCCUGAGCCUUAACAUAACCACACGAGGUUCCAUCAGGCCAUGUCUCUAUGACAGUGGCUAUCAAUACUGUGAAAUGUUAAAUCCUAAACCCUAAACGAAACCAUAACCAUAUAAAAAUCAAAUAAGCUAUUCACAAUGUCAAAUGUUAACCACUUUGAAUCUCUCUUCACUAUCGUAUCUUGCAUCAACAAAUAUAUAUAAUUAUUGUUGAUAGAUUCUUUAACGAUGUAAAUGAGACGUUAGUGCUUGCAAGCUAGUAGAGUUCAACUCGAAAAAAAAAUUGAAUUUGAUUUGGUAAUUAUCAAAUAGAGCUUGAGCUCAAGUAGCUCGAGCUUUCAAUCGAGCUAAAUUCAAGCACUAUAAUAUUUGGUUUCAAUGGUUCGCAAGCUUAAUCGAGCUUUUUAUGUUAAUAUAAUUUUAUAUUAUAAAAUUAUAUUUUUACCCUUGUUAUAUAGAAAGAGCUUAAUUACAAACUAGUCUAAUCGAGCUCGAGUUCAAGCUAAAGCAUGAAAUUUAAUUAACUAGAUUAAUCAAGCUCGAAUAACUUAACUAGUAUGUCUCGAGCUAAGCUCAAACUUAAAAAUUGAUGCUCGAGCUGAGUAUUGAGUCCCGAAUUUCAAGUCAAGUUUAACCUCGAACUAACCAUUAUUCAAGCUUGCCUCAAAUCAAUUACACAGUAGACUCAUGUGACAUUGAUAAGAUGAUUCCUUAGGGUUUAUAUCUUUGCAAUUAAUACGGCAUGGCAGUCGGAGCAGGCAAAGUAGCCUAUUCAUUUGCAAGUCGUAUAUUGUUAAAGAAAAUAAUAUGAUAUCUCUCUCCCAUAUGUAGUCCACAAUUGAAUUCCAUGGUUAUUAAUAAGGCAUUCAAAAAAGUUGUACAAAGCUUCCUCUUAUGUAUAUAAAUAUAUAUUACAGUGUAAAAAAAAAAGGGUUAUAGUUUCUCAAUGGUGUUUUGUUCUUUAUAUAGGACACCAAUAUCCCUACCUUAUCCACAUGUCACUAUGAUAAUCAAAAAAAUUAGUUAGUAAGGUUGUAAGAAUCCCAUGUAGGAAUUUAUGGAUUUCGAUUUUUUUUAAUACCAAAGAAAUAUGAUUUUAGAUUUUUUAUAUUUCUUAAAUUACCCUUAAACCUCACAUACUUUGAACGAUUCAAGUCCCAAAAGAGUAGGGGAGCCGAUAGUAGCAAUUCGUAGAAUAAGGAGACAAGGCGAGCCAAGCCCCGAUGAGACAAAGGGUGCCUCGAUGCAAUCAUGAAAGAGAUGGGCGAGAGAAAGCCACUCAAUUGCCUCUUACGUGAGGGUCCGUAUAGGGUGUGAGAUCGCCCCACUAAGGCCAAGUUGUCCGCGAUCAAGAAGACCUUAGAAGAGUCUAAAAUUGAUGGUAGUGGAAGUGACCGAGAGCUUCAAGUAAAUAGGCUUGGCAGUAUUUGAGUGGUAAAGGAUGCACAUGACAUGGAGUUAUGAGUGUUAAGGUUGGGUUCCAUCUAAAGGUGUCCUAAAGUAGAGGCCAAUUCGAAAUCAAGGGAGAAUGUGAAACCAAGCGAGAAGAAGUCUGAACCCACUUGUGCAAAUGUGUAAAGCAAAUAGUGCAGAGAGUGUCGGCAACAUGAAAGUGAAGGAACCAAUAGUGAAUUUUCCUAGAUUAGCUACAGUCAUGCAAAGCUGAGGGUAAAAGACUUGGCGUGGAGGCACCGAAGAAGUUGUUUAUGAAGAAUUUGUUCACGAAGAAUGCGUCAAUCAAAGAACCAAGAGCAGCACCCUCUAGUAAUAAGGGCGUUUCUAGAUUGAGUGGGGGAAAAUAGAAUAUAGAAAAUCAUAAUGAAUGGAUGGUAAGUGGGAAGGAGAUGGAUAUCGAAUUCAUUAUGGGAGAAACAUCUAAUAAAAGCAAGGACGAUCUUAGUUUAAAGAAGUUACGGAUGGUAAGGGGAAAAAUCAAAUUAAACUAAUCAAUGAUCAUGUAGACGAUGAACAACUAUGGAAACUUUAGAAAUGUCUGGUGGGAGAAACUGCUACGUUUUGUGAAACUAAUAGUCUUGCAGAAAAAAUCGUUCAAAGUGGAUUGGAUCAGAUCAUAAUUAGAAGGAUUCAUGGAAGACAUUUCUUGAUCGAAAUACCAAAUGAUGAAUUACUCGGUAUUUUAGAACAGAGUAAUUAGACAUAUCUAAAAGAAUUUUUUGUCAAAAUAGAAGCAUGGGUUGAGAAAACUCUAUCGAUAGAGAGAGUGACAUGGAUCGAACUAUCAGGCUUGCCUUUGCAUUACUGGAACUACACAUCUUUCAAAAGAAUAGCAUGAUUGUUGGGAGAGUUAGUGUCUCUUGGCGAGAAUACGAUGAAGGUGAAUAGUUUUGACAAAAUGACGAUGUUGGUAUCAAUCAAACAACCAGAACAGAUUGAUGAACUGAUAUAUCUAGAGGUUGAGGAGGUGAGAUUUUCGGUUAAAGUUAAGGAAAUAGGCUUGUCAAAAUCAUUUAACAAUAUCAGUGGGAAAAUAGGGUGAAGGAAAGAGAAGGGUUGGAAUCAACAAAAGAGAAUGAUGAUGAGAUUGUGCCUGUGUCGGGAUUGGUGACAAGAACAUGACUGAAAAAAGCAUUGAAUGAAAGAAAAAUAGGGGAUGAUGAAGCAAUUCAUGUCAUCUUCCUUGAAAAAGAAAACGAUAAUGGUGGCUUUCAGAGAACUUGGGAAAAUGAACUACAUCAAGGAGGGGAAUAGUUAUGUGGGUUUAGAUCUGGUACCAAUUUAGAGGAGGAGAAUGCUAAUUGUUGUAGUGAAUAGGCCAAAGAAGAUGUUAAUAAUAUGGGUCUGACUGCUGUUGAAUUAAACAUGCAGGAUAGGGUUAGGGCUAGGAAAAACAAAAGGGAAAUGGGGAAUUUAUAGGCUUCGAAGAAAGUCUAGACAUACAAAGAGCCCAAACAUUGAGACCAGAAGGAAGUCCAGAAUCAAAUAUUCUGGACAAUCAAUCAGAGAGAACGGAGUUGGGAGGAGAAGACAGGGAAGAUAGGGCAAUAAUAGAUGUGGAUUCAUCAAAUCAAAAAAGGAAGAAGAAAAAACACAGGGUAGAAAAAUACGUUCCAUGAUUGAAAUUCAGGAUUGUUUCCUUUCGGUAAUGGAGAAAAAGAAGAGAGAUCGAGCAUUGCAGAGAGAAAAGUGGAAAGGAAUAUUGGCUAGAGAUGAGACUAUUGUAAAUGCUUCUCUUUCUAAUUCUGAUUAAGCAACAAAAAGAAGUUGAUCCUUAGGGAAGCAAAGAAAGCUUGGAAUUUUGGAAAAAGGUUGGGAUUUAGUGUAAGAGGGGAUGAACGUGAAGUAAUAGAUUGAAAUAAUAAAGUUGGAUGUACUAUAGCGUUGUAGAGUAGAAGGAAUUUGGGGUUCGGCCAGAACUAAAACAAGUGUGGUUUUUAUUGCUUGGUUUAUCUUUGUCAUUAUUCAAUUGCAUAUUUAUGGUGUGAGUUGGUAUGAGGAUUGUAUAGUGGAAUAUUAGAGGUAUGGGCUUGGAAGCUAAAAUAUCAUCUCUUAGAAGAGUCAUAUCAAGGCAAGGUCGAUUAGGUGUUUUAUUUAGGAAACUAAGUUAGAAACAGUCACUAUUGACAUAAUAAGGAAAAUAUGGUUUGACAAUAAUUUUGAUUAUAGAUUUUUGAUAGCUAUUGGGCGUUCCGGAGGUAUGGUUAAGAUUUGGGAUAUAGGUAGUGUUCAAGUGGAUAAAGAUCUUUAUGAUGAAAUGUUCGUAGUAGUAUGAUCUGUCGUAAUUCGAUGUAGUAGAUUAAACUAAUUUUCAAACUUUAGGAGCUUGAAAGCAAGUAUUUUCAUUAAGUUUUAAUUAUGUUUUCUUAAGUUUUCUUAUAAGUUAAUAAAAUGUGCAAAUUAAGUCUUUUAUUGACCUCAGGGGCCGAAUGAGGGCUAAGGGUAAGCAAAUGAACUGUAUAAGUGUACAGAAGGCGACUAGAAGGUGUAAUAAACAAAUAUUGGUCGCUAUGUCACAACAUGGAAUGAUCGAUGUUGCAACAUAGGGAGAAAAUUGGAAAAAUCAUGAAACUGCCUUAGAUGUCGUGACACAAGCUAGUGGUGUCGCAACAUACCCCUGAAAAUAUCCCAGGAUGAGUACACUAAUUGCAAUGUCAAGACACAGGUCCUGGUGUGUCAUGACAAUAACUCUUGAACGAAAAUUAAACACGAGCCAGGGACAUUUUGGCCCGCACAAUCAAACUUAAAGCUCGGGAACGUCAACUAACCUAGGGUUAAGGACGACGGUGACCUAAAAUCUAUGAAUUGGUUCCUUUGUCACAUGUUAUAGACACCAUUCACUUAGCCUAGAAUUAGUCUUUUGAUUUCAGUACAGUUUUCUCUUUUCUUAGGUUAGAUUUCUUUUCAUUUAUUCUUAUUCUAUUUUGAGAGAUCUUAAUUGUGAAAACAAUGAAACAUUGUGGAUUCAUGAUCAAUCUUAAUACAAUCAGGCUCUUUUUUUAUUUAUAUCGAUUUUAUAUUAUCUAUGGAGACCAUGAAGAACUAAUCCCUCUUUGCGGAAUUAGCGAGUGAAGGUAUGAUCUAUUAACUUUUUUGUAGGGAUACUAAACGGGUCAGUUGUUUGGGAAACGACGAACGUAAAACAAGCCCUAGGCCUGACAACCCUGGAAAGUCAUCAAGGUGGGAAUUAACCCAAAAUUUGUAUUUCCCAUUCAUGAGCACCUUCACCCCAAACCAGCCUGGACUGUGAGGUCAGAAAAUAAGUAAUCCUUGCUGACUCAUUAUUCGAGUGGAAGAUCAGAAGAUCAUACAAGGAUAGUGACUAGUUGAUUAACGAGAAACCCGGAGGGACAGUUGAUGGGAUUAUCGAAGCGAGCUAAUCACCCAUAAUCAGGCUUGAUUAUUUGUAUUCUUCAAUCUCUUGAAUUUAGUUCUUUAUGUUAUUUUAUUUUUAUUAUUAUAAAAAAACCCUCAAAACUCCUUUUAUUUUACCUUCGUACUAUAAACUUAACUAAGAGUACUAAUUAUAUUUUUCAGUGUUUAGGUUAAAAUUGAUCUAGCACUUACCUCCCUUGGGUAUGAUCCUCGGAGUACUCACCUACUCCAUUGUAACUAUAUUACAACUGGACUCGUAUACAUGCAGAUAUCAUCUCACUAAUAUAUCUUCUACUGAAUUAUUCAAACCAUGGACGUCAAUACGUCCGGAGGCAGUCAAGUUGUUGGUGUCAGUGUCGGGGAGGCAAUGUCACUAGUUUGAUUUUAAUUUUUACGUUCAGAAGGAAUAAUUAGGAAAUUUCUAAAUUAUACAUACGAUUUUAUUUUAUUUUAUUUAUUGUUACUAAUAUUCUCUUCUUGGGUUUAUUGUAUGACUCGUAGUAGAGCACACCUAUUGUAGCAGUCACAGAUCUAGAGAGAAUAAUAAUCUGCAGAAACCACCAAAAAUAACAACAACAGUAGCAAUAGAUGCAAGAUCCACCACCACCUGCUGCAGGUAACAUACCACGUGAAAAUCCACUAUUUGGCAACAUUGACAAUAACAUCUUAGGAACCCCACCAUCAUCACCACAGCUACCCGCAAACGUGCAUAUGCUCGUAACGAGAGAACCUUAAGAGACUAUGCAUUAUCAAGUUUAGACACGAUUCAGGAAAGUAUAACAAUGCCGUAUAUUACAACGAAUAAUUUUGAGAUCAAGCCAGAAAUGAAUCAGAUGAUCUAGAAUAAUUUGCAAGUUAAGGACAUAAUGAUAAAGGAUCCGAAUCAACAUUUAAAACAUAAUGAUAUAAUUUUAAGUAUAUCGGACUGAUGAUGCUAUUCAUCUUCGAUUGUUCCCAUUUUUCUUUUAUUGAUAGCACCUUUUCUUGGUUAGACUCGCAAGCACCAAGAUCCAUCACGAUAUGGGAUGAACUCGUUGGAAAGUUCUUACAAAAGUUUUUCCUAUCAGCAAAGCGAUUCAAUUAAUAAGGGAGAUUGUUGUUUUUAGACUCAUGGAAGGAGAAAGCUUUCAUGAUACAAAAAUGCCUGUACCACGGAUUUCCUGAGUGGAUGCGAUUGCAAGUAUUUUAUAACGGGUUGGAUGCAAGUGUAAGAUUAGGAUUAGACGGAGCAGCAGGAAGAGCUCUUAUGAAUAGAACGUACGAUGAUGUGUACGAAAUCAUUGAGAACAUGGCCAAUUCUAUGAUUUACAUAUGGCCAGAAAACCACUACGGUAAAAGCUAUUCAAGAGGACAAUAAGUAUCAACAGUUAGUGGAUAGACUUAACCGUAUUGAAUUUGCAAACAAUGUAUCGUCUAUGAAUGAAUGAGAUAAACCACUUUUCCACUGUAUCAACAAUCUUGACGAGGAUGUGAAUUACAUUGGAAAUAGAAGUGCAAACCCUUAUUCAAAUACCUACAAUCCUGGUUAGAGAGAUCACCCGAACCUGAGAUGGAAAGGAAACCAAGGAGGAGGUAAUAGUUCAAAUCAAGCUAAAAAUACUAUCAACCUCUUUAUUUGCAGAAACCACAGGAUAGGGUCAACCCAAGUGACCAUACUGCAUGUGGUCAACGUCUGGAUAGAAUUGAGGGAGAAAGACAGCCAAUGAGAACAAAUGUAAAGUAGGUGUAGUCUGGGUGCACCAACUCAAUAAGGACAUUAACUAAACUGGAGGAUCAAAUGAUCCAAUUGAUGAGUAUGAUGGGUGAUAUUAAAAGAAAAAUUGGCACUGAUAUUCCAAGCAAUACAAAAGAUAAUCCUUAGAGGGAAGGUAAGGAGCACGCAAAAGCAAAAAUAAUAGCAUUCUGAUCGAGCAAAGAACUGAGUAGCCCAAAAAACCUUAUUCCGGAGGUAGAUAUUAAAAGUACUGAUAAUCUUCCAAAGAAAUCUCUAGAAACAGAAGAUGGAGCAGAAUCAGAUGAGGUAAUUGCACCAACAGUGAAGACAGAAAAAGAAGUAACUAAAGAUGCUGCUGUUAUAAAGAUCUCAUUCCAUUCAAGACUAGAAGAAAAGUAAAAGCGGGAUGAAAAUUAGUUUGUAAGCUUUCUAAACUUGUUCAAAACAUUAAAUGUAAACAUGCCUUAAAUUGAAUCAAUUGAGACAGUCCCCAAAUACGCCAAGUUUUUAAAGAAAAUAAUGUCUAGGCAUAGGAAAACUAAGGUAGGAGAAAAAGUUAAUUUAAGUGCCUCCUAUAGUGUUAUUAGUUCAAGACAGGUUCCCCAAAAACUGAAAGACCUGGGAAGUUUUAGUAUUCCAAUAGAGAUAGGGAACAAUUAUUUUAAUAGAGUUUUAUGUGAUUUAAGAGCUAGUAUUAAUUUAAUGCCUCUAUCCAUUUUUGAAAAACUUGGGUUGGGGGAUCUCAAAACUACUUAGAUAACAUUACAGUUGGCUGAAAGAUCUUCAGUACAUCUGAAAGGAGUAUUGGAACAUGCGUUGGUUAAAGUGUGCAGUUUCAUUAUUCCAACAGAUUUUGUGGUUUUAGACUUUGAAGAAGAUUGUAAGAUACCAAUCUUAUUAGGAAGAUUGGCUGAAAGAUCUUCAGUACAUCUGAAAGGAGUAUUGGAACAUGUGUUGGUUAAAGUGUACAGUUUCAUUAUUCCAACAGAUUUUGUGGUUUUAGACUUUGAAGAAUAUUGUAAGAUACCAAUCUUAUUAGGAAGACCUUUUCUAGCCACUUAUAGAUCCACCAUUGAUUUAGAAAAAGAACGAAUUAACUAUGAAAAUGAAUAGUGAGACUGAAAUCUUUAAAUGUGGUCAUCAACCAAGCAAGGAAAGUAGAAGGAAAUCAGGGGAACACUGCAAAGAAUUAUUUCUUUCUAACACUCCCAAGUCAAGAGAUAUACUUCCUUUUGUGCAUGCAGAACGAAUAAAUAGGUUUAAGGAAAGGGAUAAGUGGGCCAUGGUGGAAUGGCACAACAAAUGAUAGACUAAUACGGAUAGAAUAGAAGAAUCGUCCAAAUGUGAAUUGAUGGUAAUGUUAGAUGAAUUCGACAGUAAAACUUAGAAUUAUCUAAAUUAAUGCUUAACUAUUGUAAAUUAUUGUAUAUUCAACUAACUGUUUAGUAUAGAUUUUAAUUUUUCUUAAAUUCAUGAUUUAUAACAAUUGUAACACUCUAGAAAAUGAAGUUUUGAGUGAGAACAGAGCCCAUGUCGUGACACAGGAACCUUGUAUCAUGACAUCGAGGGCAGCUUUCAAAAAUUGAGAAAGUUCUUUCGACGUCGCGACAUGGACUUUCAGUGUCGCGACACAACAGCCAGUAUACUCAAAAUUCCAAAAAUCUAAAAUGUGCUACGACAUCUAACCCAGAUGUCACGACAACGAUAAAUUGCCAGGGAUGUCGUGACACGGAACCCCUAUGUCAUGGCAUCGCUGCAAUUUUCUGCAUGGUUGACCCAAUCCAUUUAUGCAACUGGCCGCUUAAACUCCACUUUACUCGAUUUUUAACCAUUAAAACACCUAUUUUAUAACCAAAAACCAUAAUUUACCCUUAAUUAAACCAUCUCUUAACCCCUAAAUUCCCAAAACCUUUCAAAUCCCUUAAACCCUUAAAAAUAUUAUUUCCCUUUUUCUCUUAGAAAUUGUUUGGAACAACUACUUCCUUUAUAUCUUACUAGGUACAGGGAAGGACAAAAACACCUCAAAGAGUGACGAACAAACAAACACAAUGAGAAAUCAAACAAUCUCUACAAGGUUAAGGGUUUCUAAACUUGACUUUUACUGUUCCAUUGAGUUUGUUGCUUUGUACUUCAUUAGUUAGUAGAAUUAAAAAUAUUACGCCUCCUAGAAAAAUUAGGUGAACUAUGGAAAUGGAGCCAUUGAUGGUCCAAAAUCCCUCUACUUUCCCAAAUCUGAAUGUUGAAAAAUAUUUUAAUGAACUUUAAGGAAAAACAUUCAUUCAAGAGAGGGGAUUUGAUCCAUCCCUAAUUCUUUGUAAGGAAAUAUGGCCUUUGGUUAGGUAUUAUAGGUGGGAGCAUUUUUGAACAAUCCCAAAAGAUAAUGUUGUGGCCCUUGUUGUUCAAGAAUUUUAUGCAUCCUUACGGGAUUAGGAGUCUUGACAUACUUAAGGUCAUAUGUAGGAUAUAGUACAUGUGCGAAGGAAAGGGGUGCGAGUAACCCUUCAAAUUAUUUGCGACUUUUAUAAUGUUCCAUAGUAUGAAAAAGAUUUUAUCGAUGAAACUGAUUUAGAAUAUUUCUGAGACAUUGAUCUGGAUAACAUUAUAAAAUUUUUAACUGAAGGAGGGGCAAAUUGAAAUAUCACUUAGGUACCAAUGUCCUCGUGUCCUUUCAUCAAGCUAUUAUGUUUCCAAAGGCUAAAAUGUGGCUUCAAUUUGUGUGCACGUUAAUAUUACCUGCUUUAAAUGUUUCUAAUGUUAACAUUUUUUCAAACAGUUUUACUAUAUGCAAUAUUGCAAAAAAAGUAUGUUUGUAUCGGCAAAUGGAUCCACCAGAACAUGAAAAGAUGCAUUAGUGGCCAGAAGAUGGGAGUUUUCUUUCCCAAUCUAGUGAAACCUUAUGCAAAAUGGUAGGUGUACCUAUGACAUCCACUAAGCAGUCGCUGAAACCUUCCCGAAGUAUCAUCGAGGACACCUUGUUCCAAUAGUACGUUGAGUUGUGAACCAAACAAAUAAAAUAUUGGAACAAGCGACAACAAGACACGAUGGCUACACCAAAUUCAUCACAAAGGUUGACACAAGCUCAACAAGAAUUUGGUGAAUGUAGUCAUCCAAAGUUAGAUUGGAUGAUACAGUGGAUGUAAGAAUCGGGGUCGAUUUCCCAAGAAUUUGCUAGAAAAAACAACAUCUAGGUCCCUAAUUAUACACUUGACAUGUUCGGGCCAACAAAUAUGAAACAAGAAGAAGAGGUGCAUGAAAGCAAAAAGGAAGUAGAGGAUGAGAAGGAUGAUGGAAGUGAGGAGAUGGACUUUGAGGAAGGAGAUUGAACAAUUUUUUUUUAAAUACUUGUAUUGAUUUUUGGAUUUAGACCUUGUAGGAGUAGGAUUAAUAGUAGAUUUUUUUUAAUAUUAAAUUUUGUUUAAGUUUUCUAUGUAGGAACCCAACAUGAAGGAGACACAAAAUAUUCGAGCUUUACAAGAUCAAAAGGAGGAAGCGUCCACUAUUAGUAGUAGAAGUGAUAACGAUCAAUCGAGUAACUUCUUUCCUUAUCUUUUUAUGAGCUGCACAUUGAGGACAAUGUGUUAACUAAAGUGUAGAGGGGUAACAUAGAAAAAUUGUUUUCGAAUGUUUACGUUUUUCUUUGAUUUUUCUUGUCCUUGUUGUGUUUGAGCUUGUAGGAAUACAAGUGAUUGGUUAGGAUCAUGUACAUAGAUUGCUUGUGUUACAAAUAAAUUUGGUAUGAUGAUAAGUGACUUUAAAAUUUUUAUUAUUAGACUACUAUGUUCUAUAUGUUACACUGUAAACAGGCAUUAAGAAAUCAACUGUACCAAAUGAUACAGAAAAUAUAAGGAAACGAGCAUAUUAUUAUGAAUGAUAAAUGGUUGAAUUUGAGUUUGGUUGGUUGAUUAAAUUUGUGUAUAUUGAGAUAUUCAGUGAUGACCUAAGGCAUUGUUUGGAAUAUACCUAGAGCCAAACAGCUGACCUAUUUAUAUUCGCCUUUAGUACCAAUUUUUGAGCUUGUUGACACUUCUUGAUGAACCUCAUUACAAACCCCAAGCCUAAAAAUAUUAAUUUGUAUUUUCCCUUUUUCUUUGGUCCUGCACUACACGACUAUAGACGUCUGGCCAUACGCAUUGAGGAUUCAGUAGACACAUCACGACAAAUUUUGUAAAAAUAGAGUGAAAUAGGAAAGAUUGGCAUCAUAUGGGAACUACAGGUUAGCUUAAAAUUGUAAAACAAAAAGAAAAAUUCAAAAAACAAAAGUAAUAUGAGUAGAAAAAAUUCUCGAAAAACAAAAAAAAGCAUUAUUGAGUGAGAUGAGCUGAAAGUCACAAAGUCACAAAAGAAAGAGAAAUUCUUUCACUAGUGCAUAGAAACUCGUAGGCUAGUCGUAGUUACUAUGUUAUGCUAUGAUUUUCUAUAUGGAGAGACAAGGAAUGUGAGAGAAGGAGAAAUAAGGUAGUGAGCGGGUUAGGGUCAUUAAGGGGGAAGAAUAGUGAUCAAUAUGAUGUGUCAAACUAUUUUCGUGUUUGUAACCCUUUUUUAUGCUUACUGUUUUUAAACACCAUACCUACCCUAAGCCUUAAAAUAUUACAAGCUGAAAAAUCCUAUGUGACCUAAGUAUCUUUAUGCAUGAAUGGACAUUAUAUUGAACAAUCGCAUAAACAACUAAUUUUAUUAGCUCGGAUAAUCAAAUUACUUGUAUGAUUUGUUGAUGGAUCUCUACUGGUGAGACCCUUAAUACUUGUGUUCUUUGUAACAUACUAAACUUAGAUGUUUGUGGUCAAAAGUAGUAAGUCAAUUAUUUAUCAUGUUAAAGUUGUUAGUGAAUGUGAAAAGCCUAAGUCAUGUGCUUCGAAGUCAAUACUUGCAUUAUAUUUGGGUCAUCAUUUUUAUUUCUUAUUACUUGAAGACAAGUAAUGACUUAAGUGUAGGGGAGUUUGAUCUGUCGAAAUUUAGUGUAGCAGAUUAAACUAAUUUUUUCACUUUAGGAGCUUGAAAAAAACUAUUUUAUUAAGUUUUAAUUAUUUUUUCUUAAGUUUCUUUUAAGUUAAUAAAAUGUGCAAAUUGAGCCUUUUGAUUGACCUUAAGGGCCGAAUAAGGCCUAAGAGUGAGCUGAUGAAUUGUAUAAUUGUGUAGGAGACCACUAGAAGGCAUAAUAAACAAAUACUGGUCGAUAUGUCGCAACAUAGGGAGAAGAAUGGAGAAAUCAUGAAAUUGCAUCCGAUGUCGCGACACAGACUAGUGGUGUCACGAAAUACCCCUGAGGAUAUCCCAGAAUGAGUACACUGACUUGUAUGUCACGAUAUCGACUCUGGAACGAAAAUUAAACAAGAUUCAGGGACAUUUUGGUCUGCACAACCAAACUUAAAGCUUGGAAACAUCAGCCGACCUAGGGUUAAGGACGACGACGACCUGACAUCUAUAAAUUGGCUCUUUUAUCACAUGUUAUAAACAUUCACUUAGCAUAAAAUUAGUCUUUUAAUUUCAGUUUAGUUUUCUCUUUUCUUAGGUUAGAUUUCUUUUUAUUCGUUCUUGUUCUAUUUUGAGAGACUUGAAUUAUGGAGACAAUCAAACCUUGUAGAUUCACGACCAAUCUUAAUACAAUUAAGCUCUUUCUUAAACUCUAUAUUUUAGAUAUAUUUAACAUGUUUUCUCUUUAUUUUGAUUUUAUAUUGUUUAUGGAGACCAUGAGGAACUAAUCCCUCUAUGGGGGAUUAAUGAGUAGAGGUAUGAUUUGUUAAUUAUUUUGCAGGGAUGCUCAACGGAUCAGUUUUUUGGGAAAAGAAGAACGUAAAACAAACCCUAGGCCUAACAACCCUAGGAAGUCGUCAAAAUGAAAAUUAACCCAACAUUGGUAUUUCCCAUUCAUGAGCACCUUCACCCCAAACCGGUCUAGACUGUGAGGUCAGAAGAGAAGUAAUCCUUACAGACUCGUUAUUCGAGUGAAGAUCAGAAGAUUAUGUUGGGGUAACAACUAGUUGAUUAAUGAGAAUCCUAAAGCGAUAGUUGAUGGGGAUUAUCGAAGCGAGCUAAUCACCCAUAAUCAGAUUUGAUUAUUUCUAUUCUUUAUUCUCUUGAAUUUUGUUCUUUAUGUUAUUUUAUUUUUAUUUUUAUAAAAACCCUAAAAAAUCCUUUUAUUUUACCUUCGUACUAUAACUAAACUAAAGUGUUAAUUAGAUCUUUCAGUGUUUAGGUUAAAAUUGAUCUAACACUCGCCUCCCUUGGGUACGAUCCUCGGAGUACUCACCUACUCCGUUGUAACUAAAUUACAACUGGACUCGUAUACUUGUGGAUACCUCCUCAUGUAUAUAUCUUUUACUGCAGUAUUCACACUCUGGACUUUAGUAUGUCUGAAGGCGAUCAUUGUAAAAAGAAAAUGGUCGGCUGAAGGCAUGGAAGCAGCCCUGAUUAAUGUUUAUGCCCAUAAUGUGAUUUUGGUUCAAAAUAUAUUAUGGAUGAAUCUUUUAGCCUUAAAAAACUUGUUUGCUUGCCCUUGGAGUAUUGGUGGUGAUUGCAAUGCAGUGAGAAAUAGAAAAGAAAUAUGCAAUUAUGUGAGUUUAAAGAAUGGUCAAAGGAAUUCAAUAGCUUCACCGACAACUACAAAAUGGUGGAUUUAAAUUUGACGUAGAAAAAUUUUUCUUAGUACGUACCUAAUUAUAAAAGGACCAAAUUGGAUAGAUUUUUAUUGGAAGAGUAAUGGUUGUUACGUUUUAAUGACUUCUGACAAAAGGAAUUAAAUAAACCUGUUUCUGACCAAAUAUCAGUCUUGUUAUUAAAUGAAUCAGUUGACUGGUGAUCGUGUCCAUUCAAGUUUAUUAAUGUGUGACUCACCAAAAAGGAUUGUUCGAGCUUUAUUAGCAAAGUAUGGGGAGAGAUAGAAAGAUCGAAUAUGUGGAUAUCUAGAAGGUUGAGGAAAUUGAGGGUCACUAUCAAAAAGUGGAAUGAAAAUUUCAGAAGUGAAGUAGAUAAAAGGAUCGAAGUAAUUGAAAAAAAAAAGAUAAUAUAACUGGACAAAAUCAAUGAUCAAAGAGAUUUAAAUGAAUCGAAAAUGGAUGAGCUUAGACGAUUGAAUUUAGAGCUGUGCAUGGCUAUUAAAUAUCGUGAAUCAAUUUGGUGUAAAAAAUAAGAAUUAUUUGGUUAAGAGAAGGUGACUCCAAUUCUGUUUCUUUCAUAAAGCAGUAAAUAUUAUAUCAAAGAAGAAGAUGGUGCAUGGUUUAAAAUUCGGGCAUUCAUGGUGAAAUGACACAAAGUUGUUGAAAGUAAAAAUGUUCAAUUUGUUCAGUAAUUACUUUAACUACUCAUUGAGAAAAGAGAUCGUGGAUAUGGAUUUCAACUUUAAGAAAAUAUCCUAAGAAGAUGCAGCUAAACUCGAGUUAUCUUUCACGUUGAAGGAGAUUAAGGAAGCAAUAUGGAGUUGUGACACCAAUUGGUUAGUGUUAAAUUCGUAUUGGUUUAUACGAUAAGUAAUGGUAUGGUUAACGUUGGUUAUUAUUGGGGUGAGAAGAUUAGCGUUAUUUAAAGUUUCUUGGUGAUAUAUUCUUGAUUAUUUAAUAGUUUGGUUAGAUGUCGGAUGUUUUGUUUCCUUGUUUAAUUGGGUGUUUUGUAAUUUUGACUAAGAAUGAGGUUGGUGUUUCCCAACGUCUUUCUAUUAUUAAUAUAUGCAUAUUGACCGAGUAAAUAAAAAAAUAAGCUACCACUUUAUUCAUUAAAUAGAUGAGUAGUGCUUCAAGUAGCGGUGACAAUAGCAAUAUGCAAUAUUGUUUAGCUUGCUUGGGAGAGGCGAACAUUAAUGUCUUUGGAGAUAUCUUGAAUAAAUUGUAGUAGAGUCUCAAGAUUUGCAAUCUCAUCAUGUAGUUUAUAGUAUUCCAAAGUCUAGUGCAUUACGCUGCCACUACCCUUGCUCUUAGGCGAAACUUGAAUCCUGACUACAAAGCUCUUGUACUCUUCCAUUAGAUCUCCUUCGAUCACUUUGAAAGUGACCAAAUUCUUAUUAUGUUCUACUGCUUCCACUACUUCCUUUACCUUUUUAGCCUUUCCAUCUAAACAAACAACCUUUUUUUUUCCUUCAACAAAAAAAAAGAGUAAUAAAUCAAGCAAUAAGCAUGAAAAGAAACUGGAUUUGUUAUGUUAUAGCAUACCAUACACAUAACUCUGAUGGAUAAUGGUACCGACUUUCCCCUAUUCACCUUCAUGUAAAUCGCAUCCAGGCGAGUGCUAAAGGAGGUUGGGAGCUUGUCUUCGAUACAGGUCAUAGAGCAUCAUAUUAAGGAUUAUUUGUAUAGAGUAGAUCAGUUACAAGCUUCAGCUCCGGGUUUGAUUUAGCCACAGAUGGCAGUACAGCAGCCACCUAGGGGUCGUGGUCAAGCUAGGGGUGGCAAUGGUUUGGGCCGUGGAUAGAGAGCAUCGAGUCGAGGUGCUAAUCAGAUUGAAGUAAGACAACUACUUACAUUAGUGUAUGCGGCCAGGCACCGCAAGGACAGAGAUGUGGCAGAUGUGAUAGUCGGUACGUUUUCUAUCCAUUCUCUUUCUUAUUUUGUAUUAUCGAUGUUGGCUCGACACAUUCAUACAUAGCUAGUAUGGUUUCUAUUAAUCUGGGAAGUCCAACUGAGAGUACUUCUAAAGAGAUUUCUAUGAUUAGUUCGUUGGGCCAAUCAGUACAAGUCAGUAAGGUGUAUAGGAGGUGUCCGUUAGAGAUACAAAGGGUUGUAUUCCCGGGUUAUCUAAUGGAGUUGCCCUUUGGGGAGUUGAUUCUAUUCUGGGCAUGGACUGGCUUGUAGAGUAUCGGGUCAGUUUGGAUUGUGCAACAAAUAGGGUAACUCUGAAAACUAAGGAUGGUGUAGAGAUUGUUAUGGUAGAUGAGUGUCAAGAUUACCUCUCUAAUGUAUUCUUCGUUAUGGUAGAUGAAAGAUUAGUUCAAAAAGGGUGUGAAGCAUUCUUGGCUUAUGUGCAUGACACAAGUGCUGAGGUUUCUGCAGUGGAGAGCAUUCAAAUAGUUAGAGAAUUUUUUGACCUCUUUCCCGAAGAAUUGUUAGGGUUACCAUCAGAUAGGAAGGUCAAGUUCGGAAUUGAGGUACUGCCUGAGACAUCUCCGUUAUCCAUUGCUCCUACCGCAUGGCACUGAAAAAGCUUAUGGAACUAAAGGUUAAGCUUCAAGAACUUCUUGAUAGAGGGUUUAUCAGACCUAGUAUGUCUUCGUAGGGAGCACCAAUUCUCUUUGUUAAAAAUAAAAAUGGUACUAUGAGGAUAUAUGUGGAUUAUCAACAGUUGAAUAAGUUGAUGGUAAAGAAUAAGUACGCACUUCUAAGGAUUGAUAAUUAGUUUGAUCAAUUUCAUAGGGCAUCGAUUUUCUCCAAGAUUGAUCUUCGUUCUGGGUACCAUCAGUUGAAAGUAAAGGAAGCUAAUGUGCAUAAGGCUUCCUUUAGGACUCGUUAUGGUUAUUACGAGUUCCUUGUCAUGCCAUUCGAUUUGACGAAUGCUCCGCCUAUGUUCAUGAAUAUCAUGAACAGGGUAUUUUAGUUGUAUUUAGAUUAGUUCAUCAUAGUAUUGACGACAUUCUGGUAUACUCUAAGACUGAGGUUGAUCAUGAUGAACAUCUUAGAAUGGUUCUACAGAUUCUCCUCGAGAAAAAACUCUACACUAAGUUGAGCAAAUGUGAGUUCUGGUUAAGAGAAGUUACUUUUCUAGGACACGUGGUUUUUGUCAAGGGUAUCCGUAUGGACCUGAAAAAGAUUGAGGUUGUACUUGAAUGGAAACAGCUUAGGAAUGUGUAUAAGAUCUAGAUUUUUCUCGGUUUAGUGGGUUACUAUCGAAGAUUUGUGGAGGGGUUCUCGCUUAUCUCAGUUCCCUUGACUAAGUUGUUGUGUAAGAACACACCUUUUGUGUGGACCGUUGAGUACCAAUCGAGCUUUAAGAAGCUAAAAUCUAUUUUGACUCAGGCACCCAUUCUGAUACAACCUGAAUCCAAAAAAGAGUGCGCAAUGUAUAGUGAUGCAUCUCACACAGGUUUAGGUUGUGUAUUGAUGCAAGAGGGUAAGGUGGUGGCUUACGCGUCUAGACAGCUUAAGCUGCGUGAAGACAACUAUUUGACACACAACCUUGAGUUAGUUGUAGUUGUCUUUGUACUGAAUAUCUGGAGGCACUAUUUGUAUAGUGAUAGAUGUAUCAUCUACACUGAUCACAAAAGCCUCAAGUACCUCCUCAUUCAGAAAUAGUUGAAUCUAAGGUAACAUAUAUGGAUUGAGUUGCUUAAGGACUAUGACUGCGUCAUUGAGUAUCAUAUUGGUAAGGCCAAUGUUGUGGUUGGUGCUCUUAGUCAGAGGUCGAUGUCUAAUUUGAGGGCGAUGUUUACUCACCUAAGUCUGUUUGAAUAUGGUGGUUUGUUAGCCGAGUUACAAGUUAAAUUGACUUAGAUUGAUCAGAUUUGAAGUAAACAGUUGUUGGAUGACUCUCUAAUUCUUCAAGUUCAGUAGGUUGAUGAGGGUAAGACCUCAGAUUUUGGGUUCAAUAGUAAGGGUGUUUUGUGCUUCAGAGGUCAGGUUUGUGUACUGAAUGACACUAAGUUACGACAGUCUAUCUUGCGGGAAACGCAUAAUAACCCUUAUGCUAUGCAUCCCGGUGAAAGUAAGAUGUAUUGUGAUCUUCAGGAGUUAUAUUGGUAGCCUGGUUUGAAAUGUGAGGUAACUGCUUUUGUUUCUCAGUGCCUGACGUUCCAGCAAGUUAAAGCUGAACACCAACUUCCUUCAAGUUUGCUUCAACCCGUUAAGAUUUCUCUUUGAAAAUGGGAACGAGUGACUAUGGACUUCAUUAGUGGGUUAACCUUAACAUCCAGUAAGAAGGAUUAUGUUUGGGUUAUCGUAGAUCAGUUGACCAAGUUUGCCCGUUUCCUUCCGAUUAGGACCGAUUAUUCUCUGUAAAAGUUGGCAAAGUUGGCGACGUUGUACAUCUUCGAGAUAAUAAGACUUCAUUGGGUUCCUGUGUUGAUUAUCUUAGAUCGAGGCCCACGAUUUUCAUCUCGAUUUUGGAAGAAACUGCAUAAGGCUUUGGGUACUCGGUUAGACUUCAAUACUGCAUUCCAUCCACAAACUGAUGGACAAUUUGAGAGGGUGAUUCAAGUAUUAGAGGAUAUACUGCGAAGUUGUGUUAUUAAUUUUCAAGAUAGCCGGGAGAAGUUUCUACCACUGGUUGAAUUUGCUUAUAAUAAUAUCUUUCAAUCUAGUAUUCAGAUGGCACUAUAUGAGACUCUUUACAGUCGUAAGUUUCGCACUCCCUUAUAUUGGACUGAGUUGGGUGAGAUGAGGAUUAUGGGUCCGAAUUUGGUUUUUGAGACUAGGGAUAAGUUUAGAUUGAUUCGAGAUCGUCUUAAGGGCAAGUUGAGCCUUAGGUUCAUUGGGCCUUAUCAGGUUCUGAGACGAGUUGGGUCGAUCGCCUAUCAAUUAGAGUUACCUACAAAAUUAGACCGUGAACACGAUGUUUUUCACAUCUCCAUGUUAAAAUGGCAUCGGUUUGAUCCAUCUCACAUUGUACCUAUUGCGAAAAUUGAGGUAAGGUCAGAUUUGACGUUCGAGGAAGAACCAAUUCAGAUUCUAGAUCGAGAGUUUAAGGUCUUGAGGAAGAACACUAUUUCGUUAGUUAAGGUUUAGUGGUGGAAUCAUGGUACAGAAGAAGCCACAUGGGAGCCAGAGGACUCAAUUCGACAGCAAUACCCACAUCUGUUUGAGUCAAGUAAAUUUUGAGGCCGAAAUUUCUUUUAGGGCGGAGAGUUGUAAUGCCCCAAAAUUUUAGUUUUUGAAUUGCUAAAAUUUGUUAAUUGAAUUAAUACAGUUCAGUGGUUAAAUGUUUUGCUUGUGUGUGAAAGGUUCUGGGUUCAAUUCCUUUCACUUGAAUUUUUGUUAAUUUUUGCCCAACCCCUAUCUUUAAAACUAUAGCUUAUAUUUAAUUUUCACUCAACUGAUAAUAGGAUGAGUCUGCUAGUUCAGUGGUAUGGUUUUAGCUUACCCUUUGAUCCUAAGUUUGAAUCCUUGUGCAUGCAAACGGGAAUAUUUUUUGCUAUUUCCUACCUGUGCUGCCCAUGUGGUAGAGUUUGGGUGGAAUUUGAAUUAUUAAGGAAAUCUGAUAAGUAGAAGGUACUAUAUUUUGUGGGGAAAGUGGGUAGUUUUAAAAUUAAUAUUUGAAAAUUUCUAAUAUUUUUUCCAAAAUCUCUCCCACUCCUACUCCCUCUCACUUCUCUUCCCUCUUUUCGAAAAACUACCGUCACUUUUCCACUCGUCUCCCACCUUGUCGUUCCAAGUUUUUUACGCUCUUCUUUUAUUUUUCACGUUCUUUUUUUUGCAGUUAUUUUCUUUUUGCUCUUCUAGUUCACUUUUUUCAUUGUGUUGCCUUUUUGUACUACCAUCUUUUGCCGAAUGAUUGCGUGGUGUAAGUAUCGUAAUUGUUUCCAUAGAUUUGUUCGUAGCUAAAUCUUAGUAUGAAUAUUGUUGUGUUUCAUUGAUAAGUUAAUUUGUUUUACCUUGUACUUCUGUUAGGAAACGAAUGUGAGGCAUACAACAUCCCUCUAGUGACCUAGGCACCGUUUUAGGCUAUUGUUUUCUUGAGGGUAAGUGAUCAAUCUGUGGUUUAGGGUUGAAUACCAAUGUUAGGAUUGUGUUGUUGGUAUUUGUGACCGAGUUAGAGGCUCAAAAUUUUAGAUUUUUGUUAUCAAUUUUCAUGUUCUUAUUGUCGAAUUUAGGUAUUGGAAUUUCGAUUAUGGUGUGGGCAUCGAGAAAUGAUCAGGUGUGUAAUGAAAAACCUAAAAAAUAGCGAAUGGGACGAAGUUGAAAAGUGGGUUGUCAACGCAACACGGCCCUGUGCCAAACCGUGUGGUCCACACGAGCUGGGUUAGUUGGGUCGUGUGAGUCACAUGAGCGUGUGUCAGGCCGCAUAGACCACAUAGGCUAGGCCAAUUGGGUUGUGUAGGCCACAUGGACAUGUGGGCCCAUUUUCUUAAAAUUUUUCCUAGGGCCGUAUCAAUGUGUGAUUCAUAUUUUAGCCAUUCCUUAGGGUCCAUACUGUAUAAAUAUGACUUGAAAACAUGACAUCUGUUAUUAUGCUUGUUUGUAAUGUUGAUAAUGUAUGUGAAAUAUGUAUAUGAUCUGUAAUCGGAUAAUUCUAUUAGCAUGUUUUGAUGUGGAUAGCAUGUAUGGCAUAUAUGCAUUUGAUAUUUGUUAGUAUGUGCAUGUGCCUUAGAGUGGGAUAAUGAUGUGACGGAGGAAAUGUUGGCAGUUUAAUAAUCUGCCUGGUGGUUAUACCACAUGACUGUACUAGUGGCCCAGCCACACUUAUCUGUUUCUGGCGGAUUAUCCAAUAUUAUAUCUGACAGCUUGAUUGCGUUAUUCUGAAAAGUGACAUACGCUCACUUAUAGGUGUGUAGGGUUGGAUGGGUGUUUAAUACCCUAUUUGAUGUGUAGGGAUAAACGAAUAUGGUGUGUAAUGAAUGGGGGUAGGAUUUGAAUAUGUAUUUGAUUAUGCAUUUGUAUCUGAUUAUGAAAAUGCAUUUGAUUUUGUAUCUGAGUUGCAACUAUAUAUUCAUCUGAUAUUUUGUAUGCAUCUAAUAUGUGGUUGGGUUGAGUUACACACUGAGCUUGUUAGUUCACCCUUUUGUUUGUUUCUUCUCAGGUAAUCAGCAAACCUAAAAUUAGACGACGUGCAUGAACUCAGAAUCAAUUUCAGUUUAAAACGAUUUAAAUGAACUUUAUAUCUUAAUUUGGACUUUGUCAAACUUUUGGACUAUAAUUUGUUUUUGGACGUUACCUUUCGAUUUGACUUGUUUUUUUUCUGGAAUAAGUGGUAUUAUGUAUGUAUAGGCAAAACUAUCUGCUUACUAUUCAAACCAUGGUUUUCAAAACUUCUUAUUUUAAAAAAUUCCACUACAAAAUGAAAUGAUCAUUUAAAUAGUUUUUUUCAUAAUAAAGCAAAUGGUUUUUACGAGGAUUAUGCCCUAAAACUAAAAAACGAUUUAUCAAAGUUAGCACUGUUUUACCUCACAAUCUCAAGUUAAAUUUCUGGGUUUUCAAAAGAGCUAAUGUAAUUCCUCAAUAUUCGGCCAUAACAUUUAGGUCGAGUGUGGAGUGUUACAUUUUAAGAGAGAAUAAUUAAAAUAUUUAACCAUUUUUACUUUUCAUGGAAAUCACAAAAUGUUACUUAAACUAUACUAUUUUUUCAUGUUGGUAUUUAAACUAUACUUCAUUAUCCAAAGUGAUAACUAAAUUAUACUUUGUCUUUAUUACCAAAACUAAAUUAUACUUCGUCUUUAUUGCCAAAACCACCCUAAUCGUUAAAGAACAUCUUAACAAAUAAUUUUUAUGACAUAUGACAUUUUUUAAAUAAAGAUAAAAAUAAUAGAAUUAAAUUCAUUAUUAAAAAUAUCAAAUUAGUUAAAUUAGAACUUUUCAAUUUUUUUACACUCUCCCUCUCUCCAUGAUUAUGUUUUCUCUUUUAAUGCAUUUUUUAAUUGUUAAAUAAAUUUAUUUUGCAAUCCUCUUACUUUUUUAUUUCCUAUUCAACUUCUUUCUAAUAUUUAGAUUUUAUGCUUUAUCUGGGCUUUUUUAUUAUAGAGGUUCAUCCAAUAUUAACUAUUUUACAUAAAGUACAUAAAAAAUGAAGUUAUUGAUAAGAAAAAUAAUACAUGGUUUUUGAAAUGGGAUGAGAAAGGAAUCAAAGUCAAUGUUUGAGAAAAGGAAAAGAAGCUCAUUGGAAUGUGCGUUUUGUCAUCAAAAUAGGAUUUGGAUGAGUUUUUUUUACAGGUCCUUCAAUUUUCUGUCACCAGAAUUGUUGGGUAAAGAACAAAAUAAAUAAAUAUGUUUAUAUUUAAAAAAACUUAUUUUGAAUUUUUUAAGUUAAAAAUUGCCAUGUGUCACAAAAUGAAUAACAAAGUCUAGUUUAAGAACUACUUUAAAUAACAAAAUAUAUUUUAAGUAUCACUUGUGAUAAAAAUAAAUUUAGGUACCAAUUUAAGAAAAUAAUAUAAUUUUUUUAGUUCAAUAAAAAAAAUAAUUUAAGUACUACUUUAAAUAAUAAAACAUUACUAGUUACAACUUAAGAAGACAGGUUCCUUGAUUUGAUGCAUUGCAAAGAAGGUUAAGUUAGAUAAAGUUUGAACCCUAAACUUAGAAGCCAACAUUAAACAGACAUUUGUCACUAGAAGCCAAAAAAUUAUCAUUACUUGCAUCUAUCUUUACAUAGAUUGAGUGUAACGUAAUUUAGAUUAGUUGAAGCGUUAGAAAUGUUUUCUCACUUAAAUUUAUAAUAAUGAUUUUUACGAAUAUAAAUAAAAUUAAUUAAAAAUCAGUUAAAUUAAUAUGAACCUUAAUGAUUGAAAGCAUUAAAAGGAAUCCCAGUGACCCAGUAGCCCUCCCUGGGGUCUCCAAAAAGAUGAAUGCAAAGUAAUUUUCUUUACUGCUCUCAACAUUUUAUCAAAACAUAGCAGAUCAAUUACAUGAAAUUCAUGCAGAAGUGGAGUCGGAUGAUGAUGCAGCCCUCUUCUUGGCAAAGUAUUCCUCAGCUCGAGCAAGGUUCUUUGCAACUGAAGGCUUAACCCACUUCUUGCGCCCAGGCAGUACGGUGAGAGAGCAACCGGCAGCCUCAAGCUUUUCCUUUGCAGAUGCUGAAAAGGCACGGGCCUUCAAGUUCAGCUUUACCUUCAGCUCCCCGUCACCAAGAAU